CAAUAUUUUCAUGGAGUUCAGAGUAGCAGGGUCUUCAGGUACUUACACUAUUCCAGCAACCUGUAUUAAAAAAAUGUUUGGUAUUGGAGCAUUUUCUCUUGAUUAAUUCUUAUUGUGGAGGUUGAGUCUAUAUAUAUGAUGUUAAAAACGGACAUGGCUAUUCACCACAUCACAUGGUAUUGUAUCCAUUUGUUGCCUAAGGUCUGUUUAGUAAGAUAGCACUUGUGAUGAAAGUGCACGGUGGGCAAUACACAUUUGAUAUGAGUAAUCAAUGGACAGGGGCAUUCAUCGCAGACAUAGGCACCCAGAUUCAGGCUCCUUAUCUUCUCACGAAGGUCACGAUAGUACUCACUGGUAUCAUCUUUGAUGAACGAAGCGUAAAGUGUGAGUUAAUGAAAGUUAAUGGCAAUCUUUUACUGUAGUGGAAGGCAAUCUGUGAUCACUAAGAUUGCACUGCACAAAACCAUAAAAGUCGAACCUGCCAAAAUUUACCAGAGACACUGCAUAGGAAGCACAGUUCUGUAGACUAAAAUAAGAAAGAGUAUAUGCUCGUGGAGGUGAUUUUUCAAAGUGGGCCUUUCAAAAGUGCAUGAAAUGUUGAAGUCAUAGUCACAUUCCAUGCAGUGAAAGACAGAGCGUCAACACUCUUCACGACGUAUGUCAACAACGCUCCUUCCUCAUAUGAGAAGAAAAAGGAUGUGUGGCGUAAACAGGUUGUUGCAUAACUGAGGGCAAUUCAGCACAUGAUUUAUGGAGCAGAAAAGAGCAGCUCUGCUCCAGCCAGCGAUAGGUUAAACAUCUGACAGAUUCAUCACAAGCCUUGCAUGGACCAUCCUUCAUAUGACAGUUCCAGCAGCAGAGGAUGAUCGCGCAGGGAAGAAAGAAGAGGCAAUCAAGACAACCAUAGACCUCACCUGGUAUGUUCUCUUCACAAGCUUUGCACCUGAUUCUGCUUUUGAGUUUCAUGUAGAAGACCAGUGAGUGCUGAUGGUCAAAAUUAUAAAAAAAACCAAGUCCUUCUUGCCCUCUAGGUCUUGUGAACAUAGAGUUAAAGCCGUGCAGUCCAUGUUGAGGCUGAAUUUGCAUUCACUGCAGUAGGAAACCAUGGCAGGUGUUACAUUUGGCUCCUUCAAUUGAUUGAAAGCAAAAGAGAGAGAGAGGGUGAUCAUGGAGAGACAGGUGUUGCAUCUCUGGGGGAGAUUCGGUGCAGCUUUUGUGGAGAAAGAAUAUGCAUGCAUAGCAUCCAUAGACCUCCCCCAAGAUUGCUUGCUCGCAGGCUUUGCAUUUGAUUCUAUUUUUCAUCCCGAGAUGAUGGGAUGUCAGCGGAUGCUCAUGAGCAUUUGUUGGAUGGCCACAUGCUGAGAGUCCUCAUUGGGAGGACAAGCAAUCUUGGGCCCGUGCACUAAGAAUUGACGGAUCCGACUGUCAAGAGAAGGUUGUCAUAUAUAAAUGCAAAAUAUUGAUUGAAAUAUAUAUAUAUAUAUAUAUAUAUAUAUAUCAAUCACUAGACUAGUGAGGUCACGUAUUUCCUUGUGACCAAGUUUGUUAGGAAUAUGGACGAGCCUUGAUAAGCCAUUCCCUCUCGGGUCCAUCCGAGAGGGAAGCCUGCUCACACGCAUGGCAACUCCAAUGAUCCUCCUCAUCGUUGGCCGCUAGGCAGUCAAGUCGGGCAGCGGGUGAGACAGGUGUCCUAGUGGGGACAGCAUGCUAAAUUCGGCAUGACUCAUAAAAGAAGAAACGACACGAUUCACAGUGGUGAGCUGAGCUGCGCAUUGGAGAUCAGCACGCAUGACAGUCCAAGCAAGUACAGGCUUCUUCGCUCAGGUUUCGGAGAUAUCAAUACAUGAUCACCAAGGCAAAUUAGGAAAUAAAAAUGCGUUUUGUAUGGAGUUAUAGUUGUUGAGUGUUGUCGACACGAAGUAAAUGUGGUGAAAUUAAUUUUACCCCACUCCCGCAUCAUUUGAUGUUGUGUUUCAGUGCUAAUUUGUACAAUUCUUUUUUAUUUUUUUUUAUGCUAUGAUGCAAUGGUUAAUGAAACUAAAGUAGCCCAUGAAAAAGUUUCAUAUCUUGUUCAUUUAAAAUCAGCUGCAAUCCGACCAAAAAAUAAAAAUCAGCUGCAACUAUAAUUUAAUUUUCCAUAAAUUAACCAAUAAAUAAAACUCCAAACAUUGGUUAAGGUCGUAAAGGUGCAUCACCUUGGGCUAGUCCAUACAUAUAUUAGAAAUUCUUAUCCAACUUACUAUGAAUGCUACUUACUUAAGACAAUAGUGCGAUGACUUUUUAUAAAUUACUAAAGUAGGUGUACAUAACCUAAUAGCUUAUAAAACUAAAUUCACCUUAUAUGUAAAAGUAACGCUUACAUUGCCUAUUAAAAUGCAAUUCGUACAACUAGUAUGAGCCAUAUCUACUUUUUUUUAUAGUUACCAAUUUAUCUAUAAAUGCACAUGUUCUGCAGCAAUCUUGAAUUCCACAUUAUUAAAAAAAGAGUUACGUAUACCAUGAUGCUUCGUAAGCAAUGAUGAUAAGGUUCACCAAAGCAAUAAUUGUAAUUAAACCUGUAAUUUUCUGUUAAAAUCUUUGAAUAGAACUCAAUUGUCCGCAUUGGUUAUCCUUGAAAAACAAAAAUAUAGAUUGAAGUGGUUACAAACCCACUUCAUAUUAUACAACCUAGGACUUCAACUAGCUAAACUGAAUUUAGAUCCACACGGAAAAAGUUAGCAUUCGUAUAAACUAUGAAAACUAAGACCCAGAAGAACAUUUCUAGAAAGAACAAACAAAAGAGAGGUACUACUCCAAGUAAUUCUAAGUAAACCUGUCCAAACGGUAGUACUAAAUUUGCAAAAAGGAAUAUCAGAGCUGUGUAGGGCUUAUAUCGAUAGGUUCUUGGAAGCCGUUCUAUUCCAACCUAACUUGAACAUUUCUAGAAAGAACAAACAAAACAGAGAGAUACUCUUCCAAGUAAUUAUAAGUAAAUCUGUCCAAAUGGUCGAAUGAAUUAUAUUUGAAAAAAGGAAAACCAGAGCUGUGUAGGGCUUAUAUCUUAGGUUCUUGGAAGCCGUUCUAUUCUAAAUUUACUAGGAACUAGAACGGUCAGAUUGCGAACCAAAUUCAACUAGUACAAUUCGUUUUGCUGCAACUGUCGCCUAAGUCAUCAUCCAAAAUGCACAACCAUCUGAAUAAGGUACAACAACAAAGUAAUUCUUCAGGUUGGUAACAACUGGAAAGCAGGCAAAAUCAGACAACCGGAAAAUAUUCUAAGGUCUAAACCAACAACAUAAUUAAAGGGUUCAAAUGAUAUAGGUCACACAGUCUGUUGAUCAUGCAAUCAGACUAGUCUGUAUUCAAGCUUAAAUCAAACAAUGUCACUCUACAAGCGAGGCGAACGUCCCCAAGUUACAUGAGCACCCAUCUACUUCAUUUGACUAAUGGGAGGUGAAUGUAGAACUGAAGGCUGCAGGUAGCUCAAACCAAACUAUGUCGACUAGCUUUGAAUAAAUUACAAUCAGUAAUGUGCGUCCAGGUCAAAGCUACCAGCUAAAUAUUUUGGCGCACAUCCAAAACUUCGUUCUCACCAGUAACAAUUUCUCUUACUGACCUCAUAUCUAAUACAAAGUUCCGCAUCUGUCGCAUCAGGCAUGGCCACAAUCUACCGAUAAUUUCUUCCUCUUCCACGUCCACCCCAACCCCUUCCUCUUCCUCUCCCACCACCACGCCCACCCUGGGACAAACCUUCAAAUGCUCUAUUAACAAGCUGGUUUUGCAUACCACCCGCCCCACGUCCCUUUUUUGAUGCCGCAUAACCGGAACCAUUCACAGCACUAGCGGGUCGUUUUCCUCUGCAUAAAUGAUGAUAUCAAUAAGAUGAUAUUCGAGAAGAGACCCCAUUGAUCAUCACAACAGAAGAUAAAGCUAACAUAUGCAAGUCAUUCUCAACAAUCAGUCAAAUUUUGAUAACCAAAAUAUGAAGACAUUCACAUCAAUUUUCCAUGAACAUAUUCGACGGUGACCAACAUAAUUACAGUGAUUUCCUAGUGUAGAUGUAGACCUGUCACUAACGAGGGAAGUAGCUAAAGUAUCAGCAAGUAGAAUCGAUAUAUAACCCACCACAAACAAAUCCAAUAACAAACUUGUUGAGGAAUAAAAAAAACAUAGGGCUCAGUAUUUCUCCUACCCAGUCCCCGUAUUUGUUGCAGGUGCAGAAGCUUUGACUGCCUCUUUCCAGGAGAGGCUGAUGCUCUUGUCUCCAAUAAAUGAAGGUGUCUUUGAAUGCAAUGGCUAAAUCAAUAAACCACAAUGAGUUAGUUCUCACAUGCCAUGAAGACAAAAACAGUCAGUAAUAACUUGACUUAUUCACCUUAGUCAUGGCAAGGAUAUUAUUGCAGGUUCGCAGUCCGGAUGUAGUGUUCUGCUUCUGAGUUUUCUGCAUAAAGUACGCGGUGUCAGUUGCAUGAAGCAGAACAAUUUAAUAAUAAAAGAUGCAAGCAUUAUGAUGACAAACAGACAAUGGUAUUCUUCUCCUCAUCGGUCUUGGCAGCUGACAUUGCUUUAUUGUGCUCAGCCAUUCCCUGAGUUAGCUUUUUCAUGGUGGUCCUAGUUAACUCCUCAACAGUAGUUAAUCUGCAGCAAAAAAGCCAUGGAAAGAUCAGGAGGCAAAUUACACACUUCAAAACACCAACUUACUCGAAACAAGUAAAUUGCAAUGAAUAUCAGAACUCCUGGAUCAAAUUAUUCCCUCCAACUUAUCAUUCAUGAGGAAAUGAAAGGCAAGAGAAGAAUAAAAAAUGCUAUGUGGCCAUAGCAAAACUAAUUGCAAGGUAACAAGUUAACAAGGAACAUGCAAGAGCAAUUUAGCAUAAAUGUUGCAGUACUUUCGGCUAGUUUCAGGGAAAAGUCAAUCCUUCAACUAAUAUAGAAGCCAUCAUAGAAGCUAUGGGAAAAGUGUUGAAAAAGUCCUAAACCUUUUUUUGGUACUAAUUAAGUCCUAAAUCUUUUUACGUUGUGUCAAUUUAGUCAUUUCCGGCCAAUUUUGAUCGGAUUUUGCUGACUAGACGCUGGCCGACUGACGUGGCCUGAUCGACGCUGACGUUGACAACUUUUAAUAAUAGUUUAAUAUUUUUAAAUUUUCUUUCUUUCUUCUCCUUCUUCCUCCGGCUAGUCGCCGGACCUCGGCGACCAGCCAGAGGUGACGGCCGGCGAGGUUGAGGUCGACCUUGUUGGCCACCUCGCCAGUGACCGCAAGGGCGGCGAGGCUUGCCCAUGGCCAGCAAGGCUCGCCCAUGGCCGGCGAGGGUGAGCCCCACCAGCUCGGUGCGAGGCCAGCUCGGCACAAGGCAUUCCACGUAAGUAAAAUUCAUUUCUUUUAAUGUCUUUCUUCGAGGCAUGUACUUUUGAAAGAAAAACAUGAUAAGUAAGAUCCGAGAUAUACACAUAAAACCUAUGUUACAAACAAAAUGCCAGUGUUCUGUCUAGUCAAUAUUGCAUCAAGAUAACUAACAUAUCCAAUGCAUUUUCAACAUAAAUUGGAAAUUACAAAGACAGGAAGAAAUACAUUUUGGAAGAUGAUCUCUAGAUAUUGUCUAACGGCUAGUUUGGUAGUGGAGAAGUAUUUAAGAAGACCAAUGAUGGAGAAGUAAGAGACAGAGCCUAGAAUUUAGAUUUCCAAAGUUUGAGCGAAUUUCGAUCAUAUACUUGUCUUUCUUGAGCUUAAACGUUUGUAAUCAUGAGAAAAAUACCAAAAGAGUAAUUUAGUGAGAUAGUGUAAUCUACCAUUGAGUGUCUGCGCUCAAAGUUAUAAUCUCUUGUGGAUCAUAUAGUAGAAUCCAGCUAGUAUGCUGUUAGAGUGCAAAAGUGGACGUAGGCUUGAUUUAAGCCGAAUCACUAUAAAUUUUGUGUGUAACAUUCUCUUCCCUUAACUCUCAUUAUUAUUUAACCACUGGGGAUUCGCCCCAGUGGCCACCCUUCCAACAUGGAAGGGGGAGGUGAGGGGUUCAAAUCCCCACCUUCUCGGGGGGAUGGGGGUAGGGACGCGUAAGUUUGAGAGUGGGUUGCGACUCCCACGCCCUGCAAGCGGCAAGGCACAAGUCUGCAAGUGAGUGUAGAGUAGCAAUAGAGUAGGACUGACCAAAAAAAAAAAAAAAAAAAAACUCUCAUUAUUUAAGUCUAUUGUACACUUACAAGUUAUUUUAGAAAUCUAUUUCAUCGCAUAACAAAUUCUGAACAUCUAAUAAAAGUAUGGUGGCUCGUUUAUUAGAUUUUGAUCCUUACUCAGACUUUGGUCGCAACUUAUUUUAUUUCACAUUUACUUGUCAAGACUUCUUUCAAACACCUAUUCACUCCUUUUAGGUGUUUAUACUGACAUUAUCACACCAAAGUAAUAGGUGUAAUUAAACUUGUAUUUUUUUGUUAAAAUGUUUGAGUAGAAGUCGAUUUCAUUUUCAAAAUUAAAUAAUCAUUUUGCAUUGAGUAUCCUCAAAAACAAAAUAUAGAUUGAAGUGGUUAUAGACCCAAUUCAUAAGCUAGUUAUACUGAAUUUAGAUCCACAGGUCAAAAGUUAGCGUUUGUAUAAACUAUAUAAAGACUAAGACCCAGGAGAACCUAUCUAGAAAAAAAAAAACAAACAAAACAGAUAUGUACACCUUCGAAUAAUUAUAAGAAAACUUGUCCAAAUGAUAGAAUGAACUGCAUUUGCAUAAAAUAAAAUUAUGAUGCAUGCACAUUUUUCAUCUAUGGUGAUCAUGUUCAUUCCACUAAUUUGUACAUUCCUUUUGUUAAAAAUUUGAAUUUAUUAUACUAAUUAAAGUUACGGUUGGUCCGACCUUAAUUGUGGACUGGGUCAUGUCCUUUUUCUGAGGGAAAAAAAAAAAGCUCUCUCUGUAUGAGAGAGUUCCCAAAGGGGCUCAAGGGAGGCUUUGAUGUUUGCACAAAUAUGGUUGGACCAUGCAGUAUUACAUGAUAAUCCUAUGUCUACUCGUGGGUAAAAAUGGGACUACCGUGAAAGUUGGGGAUUUUUUUAAAUAAAAAAAAAAUUCGAGGCAAAAUUAAGAUUUUCCUGAAGUUUUGCUCUGCGACACUUUAAAUUUCUUUACAACAUUAUUUCACAAUUUAAAAACCUCUAGAAUCAGUCCAACAACGUAAAAUCCAUACAAAACCUAAUUUACAGUUAAACUAAGAAAACUUCUUCAAUUAGAUAAAUAAAAGUUUAAAAUCCUUACCAAUUAUUAAGAAAUAUAAAUAAUCCGGCUUGACCCAGCCUCUCAAACGUGCAUGUAGCGAGAGCCCCUCGUCUCAUCUUUGUCUUUCUGUCUGUUUCUCCGGAUUCUGGUUUCCUCCUUCUUGGCCAGACUCUGUUCUCUCUCUCUCUCUCUCUCUCUCUCUCUCUUUCUGCUCUAGUAAUUCCUUUGCAAUGGCAUCAACUGAACCAAGACCAAGGAAAGUGCUAAACGAGACACUUGGGCUUGGGCUUAAUGUUUUGCUCUUAUUUAUUAUUUUUUGCCAGCCUGGUUAUUGCAACUUUAAUAGGAAAGUUCAAAGGCGUUCCUCCACUCCAGUGGUGAAGGCAGGGCAGCAGACUGGCGUAAAAGACGACAGCCUGAAACUGGAGGGAUCACUGUCAAUUUGGAGUCUGCUCCGGUUUCAGACAGUCGUCCUUUAUGCCAGUAUGCAUAAAAAGAACCACGAAUGAUGUCCUGCCUUCACCCCUCUCGGCGUCAUGGAUUUUACCUCCAUUGUCUCUAUCCUGAUCGACUUCAUCGAAUUGAAAUGCCAGGGGAAGUUAAUUUCUUGCUGCUGUGUUCCCAUAAUCGGGCACCACCAUCUAGCGGCCACGCACCUCCUUGUGAUGGAGCAUGCACCUCCUCAUCGACUUGGCCAGUUCUAUAUCGGUGACUUUGCUCGUGUGGUUGCUGCUCCACGACUUAUCCCACUCCAUCCUAGGUUGUUUGUGCUGCUCCUGUUGCUUUUCAUGAGUCUGUUGCACGAACAUAAAAAGAAAGGAGAGCAGGGAACAAGUACAAAACCACCUUUGUCUCUUUCCUAUUCCUAGCCAUGAAUGGUCAUGCACCUAAUAGCAACUAAAUUUGAUUAAGAUAGCUAAGUCCACAAAAGAAAUUACAAUCUUUUGUUAUGGAAGAGAUCGAAGAUAACCUCAACAAUUGUUACUAGAAGAAGAAUGGUCAAUUGUAGUAGCUAUAUUAAGCAAAUAUUAUUCUUGACAUUGAAGCUUCUAACCUCUUUGAAAACAUUAUGAGUGUUGUAGACUUCCUUCUUUUUCCAGUGAAUUUCUUGGGAAAAUUACAAAAUAAUAAUAAUAAUAAUAAUCUUAACUCUUUUAAUAAUUUGUCAAUUUAGUUUUUCAGCUGAUUUAGCUUGAAAAAUGCUCACGUGAAUGUCAAAUAAGUAAUGCCCAUCCUACUUGGCCGGACUGGCAGAUGGCCGUUGCUAAUGUAAUCACAGAAAAACAAAACGGUGUCAUUUUUCACAAUAAUUUAAAAAGAAAAAAAUAGUCGCUGUGCUAUUUUCUUGCCCAAAUCCUCAAACACUCACCCAAUGCCCUUGUCCAAAGAAGUCUAACUUGAAUUCAACCGAGAUCUUGCUCAAAUCUCUUCAAAUCUCAACUCAAAUCGAACGAUUCUUGCUCGAGCCCGAGUCGUUUCUUUCCACAAUUAGGAGAAAAUGUAGAUGUUUUCUCCCAUCCCAAAAGAGUUAUUUUAUGUAUAACCCCAUAAUUGCUUCGCUGAAUUAGAGCAGAUUCUAAAAUGUGAGGCUAUAAUGGUAAACAUGCGAUGAGACAUCAAAAUUUGAGAUUUUGUUCAUACAGAAUAUUGAUAGAUAAAAUAGAAAGACGAAUAAUCUGCAGCAUUAAUUUUUUUACUUUUGAGAAUACUUUUAUCCCAAUAAAAAGAAAAUUGAAAAUUCUCAAUAUGAAUAGAAAUUUUAAAAUCAAGCUUGAUUGUAUGCCAAUUUGAACAUUUUGACAAUAACCGGUGCUGUUUUUCCUUUUGACCGAACCAUUUUUCUCACGGCCUUUCUCGUUCUAAAAGAUGCAUUUGCAAAACUGAAAUUGAUUCCCAAAAGAGCAUGGAAAAAAGCGUUUUCCGAAGGAUUUCAUCAAUAUACGAAAAUCAACGGUCGCGAUUGUUUUGGUGUAGGAACCAAGAUUGGAGACAGCAUAUACGGUGGUAUGGUAUGGGAAGUCGCCACGUGGCGCGCCGUGGAUCUUUUGCUCGGCCUUUCAGUUUCUCUGCUGGGGUACUUCUGACUCUGAGAGAGAGAGAGAGUGCUCUCCGGACGCUGGUGGUUGGCGACGGCGGAAGAGAGGAUGGCCGCGGCGGCGAGCCUCUGCAACCGCAUCCCCUCUCCGUUCCUCGGCCGCUUCCCUCCUCCUCCUCCUCAUCCCCUCGCUGUCGGUCUCUCUGUCUCUGUCUCUGUCUCUGUCUCUGUCUCUGUUCUCUCUUCGUUUCUAGAGUUUCGAGCUGACUGCGCGUCUUCCAUGGAGUUCGCUUUUUACUGUCUUCAUGUUGCGGAAUCUUCUUGAACGAAUCCGAAUGUUUUGCCAGAAAAGCUGAUUCCUUUCUUGUGUUUCGCGCGCCUGCUUCUUCAAUCUCACGACGAUUUCUCAUUUUCUCCUUCUUCUUCUUCUGCAACUGCGUUUUUGAAUGGAGGAGUUGUCGGUUGAUGAACGGAGAAUGUGAUGCUGUCGCCCCAAAUCCAAACCCCUCGCUCGCUCGCGCAGUCGCCCAAAUCUCCCCCGAACCUCAACUCAAAUCUCCCCGAAACCAUAGGAAGCACAGUUCGGAAGAUCAAAAUUAAGAAAGAGUACACGCUCGUGGAGGAGAUGUUUCGAAGUGGGCCUUUCAAAAGUGCAUGGAAUGUUGAAGUCGUAGUCACUUUCCAUGCAGCGAAAGACCAGAGGGUCUACACUCUUCACGGCAAAUGUCAACAGCGCUCCUUUCUGAUGCAAGAAGAAAAAGGAUGUGCGGGGUCAUUAUCGAAAAACAAUUACGUAUAAUAUGAUGCACCGUAAGCUAUGUGGAUAAGGUUCACCAAAGUAGUAGUCACAAUUAAACUUGUAUUUUUAUUAUCUAUGAAUAAAACUCAAUUUCAUUUUCAAAAAUUUAAUAAUUGUCCACAUUGUUUAUCUUGAAAACAAAAUAUAGAUCUAAGUUGUUAUAGACCUAGUUCGCAUAUACAACCUAUGGCUUCCGCUAGUUAGACUAAAUUUAGAUGCAUAGGUCAAAAGUUGGCAUUUGUAUAAAUUAUGGCAACUAAGAUCCAUGAGAACAUUUCAAGAAAGGACAAACAAAAUAGGGAGGUACUCUUUCGAGUAAUUAUAAGUAAACCAAUUGAAAUGUUAGAAAGAACUACAUUUGAAAAAAGGAAAACCAGAGCAGUGUAGAGCUCAUAUAAAAAGGUUCUUGGAAACCAUUCUACUCUAACCUAACUUUACUAGGAACUAUAAUAGUAAGAUUGUGAACUAAGUAGUCCUAACAAUGACACACGACACACAACAUAUCAUUUUUCAAAAAAUAGAGAAUUUCCACAUGUCAUGACAUGUUGUAUAUAAAAUGAUAACUUUUUCUUCAUUAUUUUGAUUUGAUAAAUUCAAUUGCAUUCCAUUCCAAUAAUCCAUAAAAGUUGAAGGAAGAAAAAUCAAACAAUCCACAUUCCACUAUUAAAUUUAAUAUUUAACAAAAAGUAGAAAAAUAAUAAUAAUACACGUUCCACCAUCAAAUAUAACAAGAAGUCUUUCUUUCCCCAUUUUUUUUAUUUUUUUAUAUAUAUAUUUACAUUUUGACCUAUCAUUUAUUGAAAAUUUUGAAAUUAACCUCGUGCAUAUCAAAAUCACGUGUCGAAAUUCCAUACUCACAUGUCAAGAGACUUGACCAUGUGUCGGAUUUUUCGACACUCAUUCAUCACGUGUUGGAACGUAUCGGAGUGUCAAACACAACACGAAGACUUCAAUAUUUCUUAAAUUGUGAACCAAAUUCUAGUAGUACAAUUGCUUUUGCUGCCAAUGUCAUCUCAGUAGCAGAAAAGCCAUGGAAAGAUCAGGAGGUACAUUACAUACUUCAAAACACCAACUUAUCCGAAACAAAUAAAUUGCAACGAAUAUCAGAACUUCUGGAUCAAAUUAUUCCCUCCGACUUAUCAUUCACGAGGAAAGGAAAGGCAUGAGGAGAAUCAGAAACGCAAUGUGGUCAUAGCAAAACCAAUCGCAUAAUGACAAGUUAACAGGGAACAUGCAAGAGCAAUUUAGCAUAAAUAUUGCAGUACUUUCGGCUAGUUUCGGGAAACGAAACACAUUCCAGAGAACAUGAAGCAUCCCAGAACGUCUUAUUCUCUUUUGUUGUCUACACUGCAUAAUCUGAAUAAUCAUAAUUUACGGCUUAAUUACGAAAAUUCCUGCACUUAGAUAAAUAAAAGUUGUUGCUACCAGCUAGAAUUAAUCCGUCUUGUCGAGUUCUCCCAAGCGUGCAUGGAGGGAAAGCCCCCUUUGUUUCCUCUCUCUUUUUCACCGUUUCUUUCCUUCUUUUCUUUUCUUUUCUUUUUUGUUCUUCUUGGCUAGGCUCCGUUUUCUCUCCUUCUUUCUGCUCUUGUAAUUUCCCUUGCAAUGAAGCAAGACUAAAGAAAGGGCUAAAACGAAACACUUAGGCUUGGGCUUAGGCUUGGGCUUAAUGUUUUGCUCUUAUUUAUUAUUUUUUGCAAGCCCGUUUCUUGCAACUUUAUUCAUGAAGAUAAAUAUAUUAGGGUAUUAUGUGCUGAUGGAUCCUAUGCGAAGUGAGGAUAAGGUCACUCGAAAUUAAAGUUGGGCAUAUAACUUUUUUAUGAAAAAUCAUAAAUCUAUUAUAUGUAUGUCAAUUCAGUCCUUUUGACUAAUUUUCAUUAGAAAUUACUGAUAUGGACAUUAGUUGUCCUGCAUGGCACACCUUGCCCUAAUAUGGAUAAUUUUUAUAGUAAUUCAAUUUUUUUAUUUGUUAUUCUUUUUUUUCUCUCUUUUUUCUCAUCACCCAGUUCUUCCAUCACCAUGUUCCAAGACAUGGAUUUUUCUUCUCUUGCAUGAGAAAACUCGAAACUUUCAUUCCCUGCUCUAGAAGAAUUCAUCCAUCCACAAGGCAGAUAUCGACAUGCUCCCAAAAUACCUACCUCCACUGAUGUAGACGAACAUGGAAAACAAAAAAGGACUCAUGUUACUGAAGCCAUCUUGAAUUGGCAAUUGGAGACUUUGUUGGCACACAACAAUGCGUUCAAAAUCACCUAGGUGAGGGUCGCCGUUGCCCACCAUAGGCUAGGCUAGGCUAGGCCAAGCGAGAUCGAUCCUAAGAAAGACUGCCUUGGCUUGGGCAAGGCCUUACGAGGGUUAGCCUCGCCUAGGCCAAAUUUGGUGAGGCUAGCUCGCUCGGCUAUUGCCUAUGAUUAGCAAAAGGAGGAAGAAAGGAAAAGAAAAAAAGAAAAAAAUUAAAGAAAAUAAAAAAUAUAUAUUAAAUUAUUAUUAAAAUUUUUCCAUGGCCAUCCAAUCAGUAUUUAGUCAAAAUUAACCAAAAUAAUUAAAUUUAUACAAUUAUAAGGUUUAAGACUAAAUUAAUAUAAAUGCGAUAAGCUUAUGGCUUUUCUCCCUUGUCAAUAUAAACAUUUGAUAUUUAUUUUUUUCAUGGAAAGUGGCACGGAUAUCAAUUUAAUAAUCUUUCUUUUGACAUCAAUCUAAUACUCUUUAUUUUUGAACGUCCCCCAUGCAUUCACGUGCUUCAAAGUUGUGUCUCGACUUUUUUUAUUUUACUUCUUCGAGAAAAUAUUAUAUAAACUUAUAAGUAAUCCGAUGGAUGGAAGAAAUCAAUUAAAAUACGUUAUUAGUCUUUUUCAGUCCUAAUUUAUAUUGAUUACAUAUAUCCGUGAAACGUAAUUAUUUGAUCUAGCAAACUUAGUUUAUGUAAUACUUGCCCGCGGGAUAAUUAUAAAAAGGGUUUUAAAUCUAUUGUACUUAUGAUAAUUUAGUUUUAAACCUUUGAAUUUAACUAAUUAAGUCCUCAACUUUUUGACAAUUUGUCAAUUCAGUUCUAAAUAUUUCAAUCGGGUCAAUUUAGCUCUAGUCAUUUUGAUAGUCACAUCGAUGUUGCCUAAAUCUCGAUGUCAACGAUUUCCAAUUAAAAUGGUCCAAAAGGAUUAAAUUGGUCAAUCGUAAAAAAAUUUAUGACUCUAUUAAUACAAUAUAAAGGCUUAUGAUUUAAUUGACACAAAUUUAAUAAGUUUGAACUUUUUUUUUUUUUUGGUAACUUCUCCCUUGCCCGUACUUCUUACAUAUUCCUCUCCCUCGAGAUAACCUUAAAAAUGUUAACGAUUAAAUAAGUGUAAGUAUCAGCUUUCCAACAACUUAGUGUCGUUGGCAAAAAAUAAUAAAAUACUAACUAAAAAAGUGAGUGUGACCGAACUACAUAGCUUUUGGAUCUUAGGCAGCUUUUUCCGUGUUGGCAUCUUAUUUUAAGUUUUGCGGCUAUAAAUAAUUCAGACGGUAUCUUCUUUACCAAAAAAAUAAUAAUUCAGACGGUAUCUUGACCCAUUGGAGUCGCCUGGAGACAUCACAUGCUCUUCUGUAAGGGCAGCACGCUUGUGAGCUGAGAGAAAGAUCCAAUCUCUAGGCCUCGAACGCGGAACAGUACUGAGAAUAUUUCUCCCGCUUAUAUCUUCUUCUGCUCAUGAUUAGAGAAAUAUUCCUACAUCUAUAUCUUUUACGAAUAGGUUAUAAAUUAUCAAAAUUACGGGAAAAAUACCAAAAUAAUCCUAAACUUUUUGCAUUGGUACCCAAUUCAGUCAUAAACUUUUUAAUUGGAUCAUUUUAGUCUCAAAUAUUUUUGUAUUGAUACCAAUUCAAUUUAUCCGGCUAAUUUAAACCGUAAAUUGUUGACGUAGCUGCCAGCGGUCUUAUGUGGCGCCAUGUGGACAUUUAUAUAUUUUUAUAUUUUUUUCAGAUUUUUUAAAUUAUUAUUUUCCUUUCUUCCUUUUUUUCUUUUUUUCUUUUUUUUCCUUUUCUUUUCUCCUUACUCCUUGGUCCGCGAGGUCACUGGCCAGCCGACCAUCAUCAGCCAUAGGUUGGUUGGGGCGAGGGGCCUCGCACCCUCCCUAGCCCCCGCCCAAAUCUAGGCGAGGGCCUCUGUGCCCUCGUUGGCCACAGACGAGGGUGCAGCUAGGGGUGAGCAUGGUCCGGGUUGGUCCGGGCCACCCCCUAACCCUAGGACUAACCCGUAUAGUGUCGGUCCUCAAUUUUUAGGACCGAUGACCGACCCUAUUGAGCCUGGGACCAAGGACUGGACUGACCCAAUGGGUUCGGUCCGGUUCCAGGGUUAACCCGGAACCGAUCGAUAAUUUUUUUCAUCUUUUUUUUCAUACUUCCUAAAAAAGUAAACCUACAAAAGUAUCUCAAUCAGUGUAUGAAAUCAACAAUGUGGCAUAUAAGACGAAAAGAAGUAUCUCAAUAAUUUUUUUUCGUCUUGUAUAUACAUAACUAGAUCUAAUGAAUUUUUUUCAUCAUGCAUAUACAUAACUAGAUCAAACACAAAGCUUCCCAGGUUCUUUUCCAACAGUAGAUAAGCCACUAGGAUAGAAGGAAAAAACAGGCCUAACGUCUAUCUAAAUGCCCGCAUUCCAAAAUUGCAAGAGCCAAAGUGAUUUGAAUAGAAUAUACAGCGCAAGUCCCCCUGUUGUAAGUGAGAAACUUAAAAAACAAACAGAAAAAUGCGUUCCCAAGUGAGUAAUUAAAACAGAUAAAAAUGCCAAGGAAUGUACCUCCAUUGAGAGCCAACCUAUUGAUCAGCAAAGUAAUUCAAUUGCUGCACUGGAAAAGACAACGGAAUUUACAUCAUAUGGGCUUGACUAUGAUGAAGUUGAUUGUUCUUCUCAAGACGUCUAGCAUUGGGAAUGUUUGACAAUGGCGUUCAUGUUCACCCAUCAUCAAAUGCUUUUCAGAAAAUCCUUUGCAGAGCAAAGGAGAAGAUACUUCAGGUAGCUUUCAUACACUUGCAGCCAUGUUCCUCAGUCAGCAAGCCGUCCCUCCGUUAUUUGCAUGUAAGAAGCAGAGCAAAUAAACCAAAUAUGUAAUCGACCUGUGGUGAUAAUCUGAGUACACAGCUCAACCCAAAUAUUCUCCACUACUGAUUCAAAUACCAUCCACUUCAAGCUAUGCCUCUUCUUUGAAAUAUCUAUGGUGAAUAGGACAUUGUAAGGAUUAGAUUGUGAAAAAAGAAGGUGUAUAACAGAAAACUAGGAUCUCUCUCUCAAAGCACAUACACAAUAGGCUAAUCAGGAUUUAUGACAUAAUAUACUUCAUUACAAAGUAAAGUUAUUGCUAUUAACAUCUAUUUAAUUCAAUAUCAUCCUUAGACUGCUUAAUCAUUUGUAUGAAUUUCACCUAUUUGAAUAACAUUAGGCACCAAAAGCACUAACAAACGAGUAUACAUACCAGUUAAAUACACAGACUUCGUACCGAACCUAGAUAUAUGAGGAUCAAAAUCCACCUUCCACCUGUCCAAAUAUUUGCUGUCUUGGCAGGUUCGAUAUAGUGAACUGUCUCCCAGAUUUAAAACAACUUCAUUAAUGGGACAUGAGACUCAGUGAGAUGACGAUUGGAAGGAAACUUGGCAGUAAUCUGAUUUACUCUGCAUCACAUUUCAGAUGAAAAAGUGGACAGAUCUCAGAGACAAUGGAGAGUUCUUCUAGAAAAGGAAGAAGUUCCAUCUGUCACGAGAUAUUUGACCCAAAAUUCCAUCGUUGCUACAUCUGCAGAAAAACCCCUUUCAACCAUUUCACCGACAAGUUGCGUGGCUCUAGUAUUUUUGUUAUCUCUUAGUAGUCUUUUGGAUGAUUGUGUUAUAAGUGACCCCAUCUGGGAGGUCAUAGGGACUAAUACCCAGCCAAACCAAUCACGUACACGAAGCAAACAUGGAAAAAAAAAAUCAACACAAAAUCAAGAGCAUACAUGAGGUUGAAGAUCUCAAAUGAAGCACAAAGUAGAACUCACUAGCCAAGUUGUGUUCGGAAAGCAAGGGCAAGCCGAGCGUUAGGGUUUCUAAUUAGGGAUUCUUCUUUUUCCUUCUGNNNNNNNNNNNNNNNNNNNNNNNNNNNNNNNNNNNNNNNNNNNNNNNNNNNNNNNNNNNNNNNNNNNNNNNNNNNNNNNNNNNNNNNNNNNNNNNNNNNNNNNNNNNNNNNNNNNNNNNNNNNNNNNNNNNNNNNNNNNNNNNNNNNNNNNNNNNNNNNNNNNNNNNNNNNNNNNNNNNNNNNNNNNNNNNNNNNNNNNNNNNNNNNNNNNNNNNNNNNNNNNNNNNNNNNNNNNNNNNNNNNNNNNNNNNNNNNNNNNNNNNNNNNNNNNNNNNNNNNNNNNNNNNNNNNNNNNNNNNNNNNNNNNNNNNNNNNNNNNNNNNNNNNNNNNNNNNNNNNNNNNNNNNNUCUGAUUUACUCGGCGAUAAGCGAGGUGACCGGCGCGAGUGGCGAGCGGCAAGUGCGAGCAUCGAGUGGGGCGAGCGUCAACUAGCGAGCGGCAAGAGUUGAGCGAGGCCAGCGGCGAGCGGCGAGCGUUAAGCAAGGCUAGCGGUGAGUGGCGAGUGGCGAGGGUUGAGCGAGGCUAGCAACGAUAGCAAAGGGCGAAUAGCAAGCGGCGAGCGGCGCGAGCGGCUCGGGCAACCAGAGGCGAGCAAGGAUGUCGCUACUUUUGAUUUUGGCAAAUUUGAAGAACAAAUAAGACAAAAUGGAAGAGAACAUACUUUGGAGAAGGAAGCCGCGAGGAGAUUUACAGCGUAGACUUUGCAGUUUGGACCGUUUUGGACGUUGCAAGUCCGUGACUGUGAAGACUCCUUGGUCUUCACAGUGAAGAACACUCUGGAUUGUGGACUCUGGAGAACAUACUUUGUAGUUUGGACUGUGGAGGAGGACGCCGUGAAGACCUUGACGGCAUAAAAUUCACGCCUUUUGGAUGCCGUUUGUUCGUGACAGUGAGCUGAGGAGUCAACAACUUCAACAUAAUUUUACUUAGAUUUGACCGUUUGAAUAUAUAAAAGAAUUAUUCCUUACCAAAAAAAUAUAUAAAAGAAUUAUAAAUAAUAUACAGGGUUGGUCCGGGUUGGACCGACCCAAAACUCUUAGGACCGAGGACCAAUCCGCACAGUGUUGGUCCUGAAAUUUCAGGACCAAAGAUCGACCCAGUCCCCUUGGGAACCGGACCAGGACCGGCAGGGUUGGGCCGGUCCAGGAUCGGUCUAGGGUCGACCCUAAACCGCUGCUCACCCCUAGGCGCAGCAGCCCUCACUCUUGGCAGGCGAGGGUGCAGCGGCCCUAGCCCAGAUCCAAGCGAGGGCACGACGUCACAGGCGAGGCCGCCAUGGCCCUUGCCUGGAUCUAGGCGAAGGCCCAAUGGCCUCGCUUGUGGCGAGCAAGGGCCAUGAAGGCCUCACUUGUGGCGCCAUGCCCUUGCCUGGAUCUGGGCGAGGGCUGAUGCACCCUUGCCUGCCACAGGCGAGGGCUGUCGUGCCCUUGCCUGUGGCCGAGGAGGGCGCAAAGGCCCUCGCCGACCAAUAGGUGAGGGUUUGGACCCUCGCUUGGAUUUGGGCGAUGGUUAACGCCCUCACUUGUGGCCGAUGAGGGUGCGCGGCCCUUGCUAGUGCAGGUGAGGGCGCGGGCCCCUCGCCUGACUAGCCUGUGCCGGCAAUGGUCGCCGGUGGACGACCUCAUCCGGCCAGGGUAGGAGAANNNNNNNNNNNNNNNNNNNNNNNNNNNNNNNNNNNNNNNNNNNNNNNNNNNNNNNNNNNNNNNNNNNNNNNNNNNNNNNNNNNNNNNNNNNNNNNNNNNNNNNNNNNNNNNNNNNNNNNNNNNNNNNNNNNNNNNNNNNNNNNNNNNNNNNNNNNNNNNNNNNNNNNNNNNNNNNNNNNNNNNNNNNNNNNNNNNNNNNNNNNNNNNNNNNNNNNNNNNNNNNNNNNNNNNNNNNNNNNNNNNNNNNNNNNNNNNNNNNNNNNNNNNNNNNNNNNNNNNNNNNNNNNNNNNNNNNNNNNNNNNNNNNNNNNNNNNNNNNNNNNNNNNNNNNNNNNNNNNNNNNNNNNNNNNNNNNNNNNNNNNNNNNNNNNNNNNNNNNNNNNNNNNNNNNNNNNNNNNNNNNNNNNNNNNNNNNNNNNNNNNNNNNNNNNNNNNNNNNNNNNNNNNNNNNNNNNNNNNNNNNNNNNNNNNNNNNNNNNNNNNNNNNNNNNNNNNNNNNNNNNNNNNNNNNNNNNNNNNNNNNNNNNNNNNNNNNNNNNNNNNNNNNNNNNNNNNNNNNNNNNNNNNNNNNNNNNNNNNNNNNNNNNNNNNNNNNNNNNNNNNNNNNNNNNNNNNNNNNNNNNNNNNNNNNNNNNNNNNNNNNNNNNNNNNNNNNNNNNNNNNNNNNNNNNNNNNNNNNNNNNNNNNNNNNNNNNNNNNNNNNNNNNNNNNNNNNNNNNNNNNNNNNNNNNNNNNNNNNNNNNNNNNNNNNNNNNNNNNNNNNNNNNNNNNNNNNNNNNNNNNNNNNNNNNNNNNNNNNNNNNNNNNNNNNNNNNNNNNNNNNNNNNNNNNNNNNNNNNNNNNNNNNNNNNNNNNNNNNNNNNNNNNNNNNNNNNNNNNNNNNNNNNNNNNNNNNNNNNNNNNNNNNNNNNNNNNNNNNNNNNNNNNNNNNNNNNNNNNNNNNNNNNNNNNNNNNNNNNNNNNNNNNNNNNNNNNNNNNNNNNNNNNNNNNNNNNNNNNNNNNNNNNNNNNNNNNNNNNNNNNNNNNNNNNNNNNNNNNNNNNNNNNNNNNNNNNNNNNNNNNNNNNNNNNNNNNNNNNNNNNNNNNNNNNNNNNNNNNNNNNNNNNNNNNNNNNNNNNNNNNNNNNNNNNNNNNNNNNNNNNNNNNNNNNNNNNNNNNNNNNNNNNNNNNNNNNNNNNNNNNNNNNNNNNNNNNNNNNNNNNNNNNNNNNNNNNNNNNNNNNNNNNNNNNNNNNNNNNNNNNNNNNNNNNNNNNNNNNNNNNNNNNNNNNNNNNNNNNNNNNNNNNNNNNNNNNNNNNNNNNNNNNNNNNNNNNNNNNNNNNNNNNNNNNNNNNNNNNNNNNNNNNNNNNNNNNNNNNNNNNNNNNNNNNNNNNNNNNNNNNNNNNNNNNNNNNNNNNNNNNNNNNNNNNNNNNNNNNNNNNNNNNNNNNNNNNNNNNNNNNNNNNNNNNNNNNNNNNNNNNNNNNNNNNNNNNNNNNNNNNNNNNNNNNNNNNNNNNNNNNNNNNNNNNNNNNNNNNNNNNNNNNNNNNNNNNNNNNNNNNNNNNNNNNNNNNNNNNNNNNNNNNNNNNNNNNNNNNNNNNNNNNNNNNNNNNNNNNNNNNNNNNNNNNNNNNNNNNNNNNNNNNNNNNNNNNNNNNNNNNNNNNNNNNNNNNNNNNNNNNNNNNNNNNNNNNNNNNNNNNNNNNNNNNNNNNNNNNNNNNNNNNNNNNNNNNNNNNNNNNNNNNNNNNNNNNNNNNNNNNNNNNNNNNNNNNNNNNNNNNNNNNNNNNNNNNNNNNNNNNNNNNNNNNNNNNNNNNNNNNNNNNNNNNNNNNNNNNNNNNNNNNNNNNNNNNNNNNNNNNNNNNNNNNNNNNNNNNNNNNNNNNNNNNNNNNNNNNNNNNNNNNNNNNNNNNNNNNNNNNNNNNNNNNNNNNNNNNNNNNNNNNNNNNNNNNNNNNNNNNNNNNNNNNNNNNNNNNNNNNNNNNNNNNNNNNNNNNNNNNNNNNNNNNNNNNNNNNNNNNNNNNNNNNNNNNNNNNNNNNNNNNNNNNNNNNNNNNNNNNNNNNNNNNNNNNNNNNNNNNNNNNNNNNNNNNNNNNNNNNNNNNNNNNNNNNNNNNNNNNNNNNNNNNNNNNNNNNNNNNNNNNNNNNNNNNNNNNNNNNNNNNNNNNNNNNNNNNNNNNNNNNNNNNNNNNNNNNNNNNNNNNNNNNNNNNNNNNNNNNNNNNNNNNNNNNNNNNNNNNNNNNNNNNNNNNNNNNNNNNNNNNNNNNNNNNNNNNNNNNNNNNNNNNNNNNNNNNNNNNNNNNNNNNNNNNNNNNNNNNNNNNNNNNNNNNNNNNNNNNNNNNNNNNNNNNNNNNNNNNNNNNNNNNNNNNNNNNNNNNNNNNNNNNNNNNNNNNNNNNNNNNNNNNNNNNNNNNNNNNNNNNNNNNNNNNNNNNNNNNNNNNNNNNNNNNNNNNNNNNNNNNNNNNNNNNNNNNNNNNNNNNNNNNNNNNNNNNNNNNNNNNNNNNNNNNNNNNNNNNNNNNNNNNNNNNNNNNNNNNNNNNNNNNNNNNNNNNNNNNNNNNNNNNNNNNNNNNNNNNNNNNNNNNNNNNNNNNNNNNNNNNNNNNNNNNNNNNNNNNNNNNNNNNNNNNNNNNNNNNNNNNNNNNNNNNNNNNNNNNNNNNNNNNNNNNNNNNNNNNNNNNNNNNNNNNNNNNNNNNNNNNNNNNNNNNNNNNNNNNNNNNNNNNNNNNNNNNNNNNNNNNNNNNNNNNNNNNNNNNNNNNNNNNNNNNNNNNNNNNNNNNNNUACAGUUCAUGAAUGCAAAGCCAUAUUGAUAGGAUGCAAAAGCUUGAGUCUAGUCUGUUCAAACUACACCUGUCUGAUAUUCAUUUUCGAGGAAAUAAUAAGACCGGCAAGCUUCCUGACGAGUUGAUUCACAAUCAACUCAUGCAUCCCAAUUUUAGUGCAUUAAUUCAUAACAUGAAGCAAACAAGUCUCAUACCCAAAAAUAUGAUAUUUAUCUGCUUUUGAUGCAGAGAAUAACAAUAUCAGAUGUCGAGUGUUAGUAGUGAUUCUGAUUGACUUGCUUGAGAACGUAAGUUGAACUAUCAAACAGGAAGGCUGUCUCCUGCCUCCCCAAUUCUUUUCCUCUGGAUAAGUGCCUCCCCAACUCUGCAACUACAUGCACUUUGCUUGCAUCUUUUUGAGACCAGCAUUGCCCGUUAUUUUUUUUUUUCAGUACCCUCAGUUGUGUGCUCACUCUCUCUGCUUUUCCUGCAGAAUUGCAAUUUUUGUAUCUAGUACAGCAAUAGCAAGGACUUCAGGUAGUUCCAUUACUUUAAAAAAAAUUUGGUAUUACCAUAUUUUCUGUUUUUUUUUUUUUGGUAAAUACCAUAUUUUCUGUUGAUUAUAACUUAUUGUGGAGAAUGAGUCUAUCUAUGAUGUUAAAGAAAGAAGAAAGAACAGGGCUAUUCACCACAUCACAAGGCAGCAUCUUGUAUCUCUUUGUUGGCUAAUUGUCAGUUUUGUGAGAAAGCACUUCUUUGAUGAAAGCAUACCAUGGGUAAAACGCAUUAGAUAUGAGUAAUCAAUGCACAGGGGCAUUCAUCAGAGCUGGAAGCACCUAGAUUCAGUCUUUUUUCUCUCAAAGGUCACAAUAGUACUCACCGGCAUGAUCUUUGAUGGACGAAGUGUAUAGUGUGAGUUGAUGGAGGUGAUGGUGAUCUUUUAUUUUCGGUGGUAAUUGUGGAAGGCAAUCAUGAUUGACAUUAAGACUGCACUGCACAAGAAUGUGAAAGUUGAAAGUGCAAAAUUUACCAGACAAUGCAUAGGAAGUGCACAUCAGUAGAUCUAAUAUAAGAAAGAGCAUAUGCUCUUGGAGGUGAUGUUUCAAAGUGGGCCUAUUAAAAGUGCAUGGAAUGUUGAAGUCAAAGUUGCAUUUUACGCAGAGAAAGACAGUGUCAAUGCUCUUCACGACAUGCGUUAGUGAGCGUUCCUUCCUGAUAUGGGAAGAAGUGGCUGUGCCAGGGCGAACGGGGUGUUGCAUAACUGAGGGCAAUUCAGCACAUGAUUUAUGGAGCAGAUGAGAGUAGAACUGCUCCAUCGGCAGUGGAUGAUCGUGAAUUGGAGAAAGAAGAGGCAAUCCAGGCAACCAUAGACGUCACCUAGUAUGCUUUGCACUCGAGCUUCACGUGGAGGGACGCCAGUAGAUGCUGAUGGGCGAAAUGGCAAAAAAACUGCACCUUUCUUGCCCUCCAGGUCUUGUGAACCUAGACUAUAGCCGCACAGUCCAUGUCAAGGCUGAAAUUGCACUCGCUGCAGUGGGAGACUAUAUGGCAGGCAUUACAUUGGAGGUCUACCAAUUGACCGAAGGCAAGAGAGAUGGUGAUCAUGGAGAGACGAGCAUUGCAUCUCUGGGGGGAGAUUUGGCCCAGUUCUCAUGGAGAAAGAACACACACGUGUACCAUCGAUAGACCUCCUCGCAGGCUUCGCAUUUGAUUCUACUUUUCGUCUCCAAGAUGAUGGGAUGUGAGCAGAUGCUAAUGAGCAAAACGUUGGAUGGUCGCAUUCUCAGAUUCCUCAUCAGGCUUAGAGUUGUGACUAGGUAGACGAAGCAAUAUCAGGCCGUGCAGCAACGCUUAACCAUCCGAACAGCAAGAAGGAAGCCCGCUCACACGCAUGGCAACUCCGACGAUCCUCCACAUCAUCGCCUACUGGGCGGUCAAGUCGGGGCAGCGGGUGAAACGGGGGUCCUAGGGCGGACAGCAUGCCAAAUUCAGUGCAACUGGUGAAAGAGAAAUUGACACGAUUCACGGCAGCGGGCUGAGCCACGGAGCGAAGACCAGCACGCGAGACAUUCCAAGCAACUACAACUUCCGCUUAGGUUCCGGAGACUCAAUGCAUGAUCGCCAAGGCAAAUUAGGAGAUAAAAAAAACGUUUUAAAUGGAGUUAUAGUUGCGUGAUGUCAACACGAAGUAAAUGAGGUGACAUGAAUUGUACCCUACUCCCGUAUUAUUUGAUGUUGUAUUUCAGUGUUCAUUUCUACAUUUUUAUUUUAUUUUAUUUUAUUUAUGCUUCAACGCAAUAGUUAAUAAAACUAAAGUGGCCCAUGAAAAGUUUUAUAUCUUGUUCAUUUAAAGUCAGCUGCAAUUAUAUGAGGUCUUAAAAGUGCAUUCACCUUGGGCUAGUCUAUACAUUCGUCAGAGAGUUCUUAUCUAACUUACUCUAAAAGUUACUUACGUAAGACAAUUUUGUGAUAACAGUUUUGUCAUAAUUGUUUAAAAAACCAAAUUCACCUUCUUCUUUUUUUAAAAAAAUUUUACAAGUUAUUUUUUUUAAUUUAUUAGUUGAUUGCAUUUACAUGUAAAAGUAAUGUUUACAUUUGCCAUUAAAUGCAAUUUGUACAAGUAGUAUGAGCCGAAUCUACUUUUUUCUAGUUAUCAAUUUCUCUAUGAAUGCACAUGUUCUGCACCACCCUUGAUCUGUAAACUAGGUCGAUAUGGCUCAUUGAAGCAGCAAUUGUAAUUAAACUUGUAAUUUUCUUUUAAAUCUUUGAAUGGAACUCGAUUUUAUUUUCAAAAACUAAAUAAUUAUCCGCAUUGGUUAUUUUAAAAAAAAAUGCAGAUUGAAAUUGUUACAGACUCUAUUCACAUAUACAACCUACAACUUCAACUAAUUAAACUGAAUUUAUAUCCAUAGAUAAAAGGUUGACAUUUGUAUAAACUAUGAAGACUAAGACCAAGGAGAACAUUUCUAGAAAGAGCAAAACAAAAAAGAGAGGUGCUCUUUCGAGUAAUUACAAGUAAAUCUAUCCAAAUUAUAGAAUGAACUACAUUGGAUGAAAUAAAGAUUAUGANNNNNNNNNNNNNNNNNNNNNNNNNNNNNNNNNNNNNNNNNNNNNNNNNNNNNNNNNNNNNNNNNNNNNNNNNNNNNNNNNNNNNNNNNNNNNNNNNNNNNNNNNNNNNNNNNNNNNNNNNNNNNNNNNNNNNNNNNNNNNNNNNNNNNNNNNNNNNNNNNNNNNNNNNNNNNNNNNNNNNNNNNNNNNNNNNNNNNNNNNNNNNNNNNNNNNNNNNNNNNNNNNNNNNNNNNNNNNNNNNNNNNNNNNNNNNNNNNNNNNNNNNNNNNNNNNNNNNNNNNNNNNNNNNNNNNNNNNNNNNNNNNNNNNNNNNNNNNNNNNNNNNNNNNNNNNNNNNNNNNNNNNNNNNNNNNNNNNNNNNNNNNNNNNNNNNNNNNNNNNNNNNNNNNNNNNNNNNNNNNNNNNNNNNNNNNNNNNNNNNNNNNNNNNNNNNNNNNNNNNNNNNNNNNNNNNNNNNNNNNNNNNNNNNNNNNNNNNNNNNNNNNNNNNNNNNNNNNNNNNNNNNNNNNNNNNNNNNNNNNNNNNNNNNNNNNNNNNNNNNNNNNNNNNNNNNNNNNNNNNNNNNNNNNNNNNNNNNNNNNNNNNNNNNNNNNNNNNNNNNNNNNNNNNNNNNNNNNNNNNNNNNNNNNNNNNNNNNNNNNNNNNNNNNNNNNNNNNNNNNNNNNNNNNNNNNNNNNNNNNNNNNNNNNNNNNNNNNNNNNNNNNNNNNNNNNNNNNNNNNNNNNNNNNNNNNNNNNNNNNNNNNNNNNNNNNNNNNNNNNNNNNNNNNNNNNNNNNNNNNNNNNNNNNNNNNNNNNNNNNNNNNNNNNNNNNNNNNNNNNNNNNNNNNNNNNNNNNNNNNNNNNNNNNNNNNNNNNNNNNNNNNNNNNNNNNNNNNNNNNNNNNNNNNNNNNNNNNNNNNNNNNNNNNNNNNNNNNNNNNNNNNNNNNNNNNNNNNNNNNNNNNNNNNNNNNNNNNNNNNNNNNNNNNNNNNNNNNNNNNNNNNNNNNNNNNNNNNNNNNNNNNNNNNNNNNNNNNNNNNNNNNNNNNNNNNNNNNNNNNNNNNNNNNNNNNNNNNNNNNNNNNNNNNNNNNNNNNNNNNNNNNNNNNNNNNNNNNNNNNNNNNNNNNNNNNNNNNNNNNNNNNNNNNNNNNNNNNNNNNNNNNNNNNNNNNNNNNNNNNNNNNNNNNNNNNNNNNNNNNNNNNNNNNNNNNNNNNNNNNNNNNNNNNNNNNNNNNNNNNNNNNNNNNNNNNNNNNNNNNNNNNNNNNNNNNNNNNNNNNNNNNNNNNNNNNNNNNNNNNNNNNNNNNNNNNNNNNNNNNNNNNNNNNNNNNNNNNNNNNNNNNNNNNNNNNNNNNNNNNNNNNNNNNNNNNNNNNNNNNNNNNNNNNNNNNNNNNNNNNNNNNNNNNNNNNNNNNNNNNNNNNNNNNNNNNNNNNNNNNNNNNNNNNNNNNNNNNNNNNNNNNNNNNNNNNNNNNNNNNNNNNNNNNNNNNNNNNNNNNNNNNNNNNNNNNNNNNNNNNNNNNNNNNNNNNNNNNNNNNNNNNNNNNNNNNNNNNNNNNNNNNNNNNNNNNNNNNNNNNNNNNNNNNNNNNNNNNNNNNNNNNNNNNNNNNNNNNNNNNNNNNNNNNNNNNNNNNNNNNNNNNNNNNNNNNNNNNNNNNNNNNNNNNNNNNNNNNNNNNNNNNNNNNNNNNNNNNNNNNNNNNNNNNNNNNNNNNNNNNNNNNNNNNNNNNNNNNNNNNNNNNNNNNNNNNNNNNNNNNNNNNNNNNNNNNNNNNNNNNNNNNNNNNNNNNNNNNNNNNNNNNNNNNNNNNNNNNNNNNNNNNNNNNNNNNNNNNNNNNNNNNNNNNNNNNNNNNNNNNNNNNNNNNNNNNNNNNNNNNNNNNNNNNNNNNNNNNNNNNNNNNNNNNNNNNNNNNNNNNNNNNNNNNNNNNNNNNNNNNNNNNNNNNNNNNNNNNNNNNNNNNNNNNNNNNNNNNNNNNNNNNNNNNNNNNNNNNNNNNNNNNNNNNNNNNNNNNNNNNNNNNNNNNNNNNNNNNNNNNNNNNNNNNNNNNNNNNNNNNNNNNNNNNNNNNNNNNNNNNNNNNNNNNNNNNNNNNNNNNNNNNNNNNNNNNNNNNNNNNNNNNNNNNNNNNNNNNNNNNNNNNNNNNNNNNNNNNNNNNNNNNNNNNNNNNNNNNNNNNNNNNNNNNNNNNNNNAAUCUCGAUCACUUUCAAAACAUGGAGCUAUAAAUUUGUAGAGAAUAACACACCCCUAAAUAAAAUCCAAUCGAAAGUUAUGCCGCUCAAAAAGUUUCAAAGUCCUAUCAAAGAUUAACUAAAUGUCAAACUUACGUGUCAACUAACCUCGACUAAAACUUUAGUAGGCGAUACCAUAUUCUUGAGUCAAAUCAUCCACUUGACAAAAGACCUUUGAACAAUUACUUUGCAAAUAGAGUCGAUCUCAUUUAAAACUCCAAUUCAAGUGAGCUUACUUUCAAUAGAAAACUCUUUCGAAUUACUAAGAGAUCAUAAAGCCAAAAGAUGGUCGGAGAAGGGUGAAAUCCAUUGCCAAAUACAGUUUUGAAAACUAUUUCUAGCAAUGUGCAAAAUUUUAAAAAUUUAUCCCAAUCAAAUCAUAAACCUAUAUUGACUUUCCUAAAGUCCUAUUAUGCAAUACCCUAAAAUUUCUUUACAACAUAAUUUUAUAGUUUAAAAAUCUCUAUCAACCUAGCAACAUAGAAUCUGCACAAAACCUAAUUUACGAUUUAAUUAUGAAAACUCCUUUAAUUAUAUAAAUAAAAGUUUUGAAUCUUUAACGAUUGCCAAGAAACUGAAUUAAUCCGGUGCAUGCAGCAAGAGCCCCCUUUUUGUCUCCUCUGUCUUUUUCUCGAUUUCUCCGGACUCUGCUUUCCUUCUCUCUCUCUCUCUCUCUUUUCGUGUUCUUCUUGGCAGACUCUGUUUUCAUCUUUUUUCUCUCUUUUCGCUCUAGUAAUUCCCUUAACACGGCGUCAACUGAGGCAAGACCAAAGAAAGGACUUUAACGAGACACUUGGGCUUGGGCUUGGGCUUACUGUUUUGCUCUUAUUUAUUAUUUUUUGCCAGCCCGGAUAUUGGAACUUUAUUCUUGCCCAUGAAAGUCCCUGCUUUCAUUCCUGCUUCUAGCACUACCAAGGAUUCUCGUCCCUCGAUUCAUUUUUCAAGCAUAACCUGCGAUUCAUUUUUCUAGCAUAACCUGCUUUCAAGAGACGAGAAUCCUUUGCCCUGCGAUUCAUUUUUCAAGCAUAACCUGCUUUCAAGAGACGAGAAUCCUUUGCCCUGCGAUUCAUUUUUCAAGCAUAACCUGCGAUUCAUUUUUCUAGUAUAACCUGCUUUCAAGAGACGAGAAUCCUUUGCCCUGCGAUUCAUUUUUCAAGCAUAACCUGCUUUCAAGAGACGAGAAUCCUUUGCCCUGCGAUUCAUUUUUCAAGCAUAACCUGCGAUUCAUUAUUCAAGCAUAACCUGCGAUUUUUUUUCAAGCAUAACCUGCUUUCAAGAGACGAGAAUCCUUUGCCCUGCUUUCAAUUGAGAGGCAAUUGAAAGGAUUCCUGCUUUCAUUCCUGCUUCUAAACUCUACAAAGGAUUCUCCUCCCUGCUUUCGUUCCUGCUUCUAAACACUACAAAGGAUUCUCGUCCCUGCUUUCAAGGAUUCUCUUGCAUUAACUCUUGCAUAAAAGAACCACAAACGAUGUCCCUACCUUCACCCACCCCGCGCCAUGGAUUUUACCUCCAUCGUCUCUAUCCUGAUCAACUUCCUCCAAGUGAAAUUCCAGGGGAAGUUGACUUCGCCCUUUGAAACUCACCCCGUUGCCACCGGAGUUGCCAUCUGCAGCUUGCUCCUGCAUUUUCUGUUGAUGCAUCUCACUAAUCGGGCACCCCCGUCUAGCAUUUUCUGUUGAUGCAUUUUGUGAAUAAGAUUUGUCCUUUAUAUAUUGUCACACCCCAACUCUAUAAAAUAAGGAAAAUGACACCACCAUGCUCUUACCCAAAGGACACAACUUCAAAUUAUCAAAAUAUAUAUUCAUCUAUAUACUUAACAAAUAGUCGUUUGGUUACAAAAUUUUAAGAGUUCUAAAAUUCAUUAAAAAAAAAAGUGGGUGUAUCUCCAAACUCAAUUAAACCCCAAAAAUAUCAUUCUAGACAUAUACAAGUAUCUAAACUCAAAUCUCAAUGCAACUGUAAAAAAAUUUCCGCUAAUUAUGCUCACGUCCUACUUAGCUUACUUGAAAAGAAUUUGGAAUGAAUAGUGUGAGCAAUCACAGUUUUUCGUUGCUAACCCAAAUCUCUCAUAAAUAGAUCAAGCAUCCGCUAUAAUAAAGUAAUACUAGAGAUUCAUUUACCCAAAUCCAAUAUAUAAUGUACAAUAAAAUCCAAAUAUUAGUAAUAUCACCUCAACGCAACUUUAUACUAAUCAAUUAUACUCAUUCAAAUUUCAAAUAUCAAGAGUAGUAAAUGCUCCAUCCAGUUUUAUGUAACAAAUAUGUCUUAAGCAUUACUUUUUCUAUUUUAACAAAAUCAUAUUGUGGAAUGUCUUUCACAGCUUAUAAUAUAUCAAAUCUUCAAGAUAUGAACUUACCAAUUUAUAGAGGAUAACAACCCCUAAAUAAAAUCCAAGUUGAAAGUUACACCGACUCGAAAAACUUCAAAGUCCUAUUAAAGAGUAACUAAAUGACAAACUUACAUGUCUCCUAACCUUGACUAAAACUUUAGUAGAUAAUGCCAUAUUCUUGAGUCAAAUCAUCCACUUGGCAAAAGACCUCUGAACACCUACUUUGCAAAUAGAGUCGACCUCUUAUCUCGGAACUUCAAUUCAAAUGAAUUUACUUUCAAUUGAAAACUCUUUCAAAACUAAGAGACCAUAAAGCCAAAAGAUGACCGGAGAAAGAUGAAAUCCAUUGCUAAACACAGCUAUGUGAAAACUAUUUCUAGUAGCGCGCAAAAUUUUAGAAAUUUAUUCCAAUUAAAUCAUAAUCCUAAAUUGACUUUCCUAAAGCCUUGUUUUGAGACACCCUAAAAAAUUUUCAAAACAUAAUUUUACAACUGAAAAACCUUUAUAAUCAACUCAGCAACGUAGAGUCCAUAUAAAACCUAAUUUACAGUUUAACUACGAAAACUUCUUCAAUUAGAUAAAUAAAGUUUUGAAACCUCACCGAUUGCUAGAUUCAGAAAUAAUCCGCCUUAAUCAAGUCUCUGGACCGGGCAUGCAGCGAGAGCCUACUUUGCCUCCUCUUUCUAUUUUUGUCCGUUUCUCCGAACCAUGCUUGCCUUCUUUUCUUUCCUUUUCCUUUUCUUUUCUUUCCUCGGCCAGACCCUGUUUCACUCUUUCUGCGCCCGUGAACUCCCUUGGAGCGGCAUGAACUGAAGCAUGACUGAAGAAAGGGCUUACGCGAGACACUUGGCUUGGGCUUAAUGUUUUGCUCUCGUUUAUCAUUUUUUGCCAAAGCUCGGUUACAGCAAAAAUCUGUAUAGGUCAGUAUACUUGAAAGAUUGUAACUCUGUAAUAUUUCGGAUUCAUAAUAGAUUCUUUUGGUUCUUGACUCCCACCGUGAAUUAAGUACCAAAAUUUGGGCUGAUCGAUUUGAAACUCCAACGCUCCUUACAAUUCCUCGUUGAUUUUAUUAUCAGCUUCCCUGUUUUUUUGCCACUAUUCCCGUUACUUAAUCUCAAUUUUUUCAUAGAACUAAAUAUCAAAAAGGGAACGAAGGACAAAUAUUAAUAUUAGUUUCCAUCUACGUCAUCAUCGUCGGGCAACGGGACUGCAGUGACGAAGCUCGAAGUCCUCAACACGCAUCCCCUCUCUUAUGGUUAUUUUAAAUUAUUUAUUAUUUGCACAUACAAGUUGCUAUAUUAUUUUCAUUAUAUUUACCAUCGCGAUCCCAUCCAAUGUGGACCAAACACACGUGUAAUAUAUGUCGGCAUCCGGUUCCUUAUAAAACAUCUUCUUCUUUUUUCUUAUGGAACGAAAUCUACCGUAAACUAUAAACUAUACUCACUUGUUUUUUUUUAUGUGACAUCAAAAAUUCCAAACUUAUGUCUAUGUAAGACAUUUACCUUCCAUCAAAAUUUUGUCAUUAUUAAAAUUUUGUCUAUAUAGACAUUAGAUGGCAAAUAGUAUUAACAUGAUUCCAGUAUAGCUAAAGUGAAAUAAAAACAAUAUUAUUUUGAUCUAAAAUCAUCCAAAAGAACCUUCAUGGAGGGUAAAAGUAUCACAUAGGUAUAAGUUUGAUGUUAUUCAUGUCAUAAGAAAUUUUUUUAUAUUAAAGGUGUCACAAUGGAUAUAAUUUGAUAUUUUUGAUAUCACAAAAUCAAGUUGAAGGUAGAUGUGGGGCAUAUUUUAGGGAUUUUUUGGUGAUUUUUUUCCCUUUCUUAUAUUAUCUCGUUCUAUCCAAUAUGAAUAUACAUAUGACCACACAAAUUUAACAAAUUAAAGGUUUUUUGAAAUCAUAUUUUGUUGUUAGCAUUUAUUGGUUUGGUGUAGGAAAGGUGACCAAAUUUGAAUCAAAUGAGUGCCACGGACUUAGAUAGGGGCAAGAGUAAGAGAAGAUUUUCUUUUUAAAAAUUUUUACUAGCAAUGUUCUCUCUAGAAGUCCUUAUCUUAUUACCAAUCGAGAUGAGCAUUAUCCAAUCAAUCCUAAACCUAUUGUGUGGAUCCCAAUUCAGUCAUAUUUAUUUGAAAUUUUAAUGUAAUCCUUUUGGUUAAUUUUUGCCGAUAUGAUCAUGUAUCACGUAGGAUGACCGACAAUGAUUGAAUUAUCACGUUAGUGAUUUCUAGGAAAAAUUGACCGGAAUAAUUAUAUUAAAAUUUCGCGCAAAGAUUUAGGACUAAACUAGAAAAAUUGGAAACUUUAUGCCUAAAUCAAUAUCCAUACAAUAAAUUUAAGAUUGAUCAAGUCAAUUUUCCCAAUUAGUUGGACUUAGAAGAAAAUUAGGGGUACCCAAAACGCAUAUUAUUCCACACCAAAUCAUAGUUAUAAAGCAUGUGCGAAUUAUGUCAUCAACCUAAAAACUUGGCCAUGUGAGCCGAUUGAGCUCGGAUCUUCUGCACAAAACCAGCGAUACACACCCCCAUCAGCUCCUCUACAAAUUCCGGCUAUGGAUCCCUCCAAUCUGCUCUCUGCCAUGAACAGUCCACGUUGAUCUUCCAUGCGCCUGGAUCUGGAGGUACCCAUGAGUAUCGUUCCGAGGUAAUCGCUGUCCUUUGUGGUUGCCACUUCUCGAAUAGUUGCUGAGCUAGGCGAGCUUCACUGAUUAUCUUGUUUUGUUCUAUUUUCCGGCCUUGAAAGAUCAGGCCAUUUCGUGCUUUCCAUAUGUACCACAGAGUGGUCGCGAAGGUCGCCUUUUGACUUGCUGAGUUGCCGGAGAAGAGGUAGUUGCAUACCCACUGAUCUAUUCUUGUAACUGAUGUCGGGGAGGUGCUGAUUUGAUCACUGGCAUAGGAUAAAUAGGUGCUCGGAGGACUCCGGAUACUCGCGACAGAACGGGCAAGUAGGCUCAGGUAAGAUUUUCCUCCGGCACAGGUUGAGUCUCGUAGGAAGGCUUUCGUUACAUAAGCUCCACAUGAAAUGCUCGAUUCUGGGAUUAGUAUGUAGGUGCCAUAUUUCCUUCCAUAGUCAGUUGGGGACUUGAAAAGAAGAUGAUGCCUGAUUCUCUGUGUUUGUUUUGGUUGCUGCUCGUAGUCUGUGGUACCCAUGUUUGAUUUUGUAGUUCCCCGAGUGAUGCCCUGUCCAUAUUAAAUAGUCAGGUCUGGUGUUUAUGCUGAGUGUUGUUUGCUGGAUCUCCUCUGAGAUGUUACUGUCAAAAAGCUCAUUAAUGAGUUGAUUUUUCCAUGUACGCGAGUGUGGAUCAAUAGUAUCUGCAACUAGCUUCGGGUCAUUUUGAUUCGCCGGUCCUCCAAUUUUGCCUGACAUGAGCCAACGAUCUUCUCUUAAGUUUAUAGAUUUGCCAUCCCCAACCUCCCAUUUCAAAUCAGGUUCAAGAGUAUCUCGGCCAAGUAGGAGGCUCUGCCAACCCCAUGAUGGUCUGGCGCCCUUAGUAGCAGUCCAUAGGCUACCAUUAGGGAAGUAGAGUCCUUUAAACAUUCUGCUCCAUAAGGCCUCUGGAUUUUGAUUGAGUCUCCAGGCUUGUUUCCCCAGCAUUGCCUUGUUAAGUUCCAUUAAAUCUCUAAAUCCCAAUCCACCUUGGUCCUUUCUCCUCUUUAAGACAUCCCAACUUUUCCAAUGAAUACCUCUCUGUACUGCAUUCUUCCUCCACCAGAAAUCUGAAAUUUUCCUUUCAAUCGGUCGACAAAUGGACAGGGGUAUUUUGAAUAUAUUCAUGGCAUAUUGGGGAAGAGCCUGAACAACCAUUUUUAUUAGUACUUCUUUCCCCGCCUUCGAAAUUAACUGCUCCUUCCAGCCCUCCAGUUUUCUGUCCACUCGUGCCAUGAUCCAAUUGAACAUCUGUUUUUUUGUCGGACCCCAAUCGGAUGGUAUCCCCAAGUAUUUUCCAGUUUUUUCUAAGAUAGGAACCCUCAGUUCAGAUGCUAUGUUUCUUUUUAAAACCUGUGGACAGCUUUCCCCGAAGAACACCCCAGAUUUGUUAUGAUUAAUUGACUGGCUCGUCGCAAAGUAAUAGCAAUUCAGUAAGUUUGCAAGGUUUUGAGCUUCUCUAAGUGUUCCAUCCAGAAAGAAAAUAGCAUCAUCUGCGAAAAAUAAGUGGGAAAGAGUGGGGCAGCUAUCCGGCGUUCGCUCGAGUGGUUGAAGGAGAAGAGAACUGAUCUGUCAGAACCACUUUCAACCGCACGAACUAAAGCUGCUUUCUACGUAUCAAGCGACUGCUUCCCUGCUGUUCAGUCUAUUCUGGGCCGCACAUAAAUUCCAUGGGCCUCGCGGCCCUUUGUCCUUGACUGCCGACAGCUGCUGGGCCAAAUGAAGGAUGUCUUCUUGCAGUUUGAACCGCGUGAGUCCAACCGAGCCGCGGACUGGAUCGCUAAAUCACACAAUUCUGGUUCCUUACCGGGUAAUUGGGUUACUAAUCCCCCGCACGAACUCUUUCUUAUCUUAUGUGUUGAUUUUCCUACUACUUGUAUUCCACCUACUUAGUAUCAAUCAAAGCGUUUUCACUUCGACCAAAAAAAAAAACCUAAAAACUUGGCACUUCCCAUGAUCUUCCACGAUUGUGUAACAUGCUUUGGAAUUGGACUCCAUCCCCUUAAUCAGCAGACAAAAAUAAUUCAAGAAAGAGAAAUUUUACCUCUUUUCUAUGAGACAAGUCUAUGAGACAAGCUCGAAGUCAAUUUUAUUUUUUCUUUCGGAGGUGUGACCACAGAAGAGUCUAAAGACAUGCAAUCGAACGGGGGCAUGCAUGUGUAGCUCAUGUGCAAUAUUGACAAUGAUUUAGCGGGUGAAUUAGGUGAAGCAAUCAUGCAAAUACUUUCAUGUAAAAAUUGAUUCAAUUUAUAUUUUUCUUAAAUUCUCCUAGACAAUACCUGAUUUUGGUCCCCCACCCUCGUCGGUCGGUCAAAAUUGUCGAAUUAAGGAAAAGGAAGGAAAGAGGUAAUUGGCGAGUUCAAUUAUUUUUCUUGCGGUUGUCGUACGGUUAUAAUGAUGGCUUGAGAAGAGAGUCAACGCCGCUCGGCACAGUUUCUACCGUUGGGUCUUUCGGUUGGUAAGGAAAAAAAAGGGAGGCAAAGCACGAAGCUCCAACCCCCCUUUCUUUUCCUUUUUUCUUUUUUUUCUUUUUUCCAUUUAUUUGCAAGUAAAUAUUUUAGAAGAUCAAAGUUCAAAGUGAGGGCGGCCCACCAACAUUCUUUUUAUUUGACAAUAUAUUUUUAUAUUAAUUAUUAUAAAAUGAUUAUAUUUUUGGCCCAAUGGAGACCCAACCGGUUGGGAAUUUGUGGCUUCUGGGUCCCUGCACGACGAUGCUUUCCCAACAAAACCCAGAAGCAUUGCGGACAUAUGAAAUCAUUUCAUAUAGUAUAGUUAUUUAUUUAUUUAUUUGUUAUGGAUUCGUCGUAGAUACAUCAGCUGAGUAAAAUAUUGCUGGGGGGGUUUCAUUUUCUUCGGUUGAGCUGUUGGUUAAGCCGUUGAUAUAGUUACACUUUUGGCGACUGCCUAUAUUUCAAGAUCAAUGGUUGCAGAUCUAAUUUGGUAAAGGGUCUUUUGAGCAACGGCAAUCCCGCCCUUUAGGGAUCACAUUCUUGGAAUUUUGGAGUCUCCCGAUUUACUUGUUCAAAGAAUGCCACAUAAGAAGUACAAAUCAGAUGGUCAAUGUUCAUCGAUAUCAUCAAAUAUUCACAAUAUUAAUCCAACCAACUUGAGGAUUUUAUCUUGUGGCUCAAGUUUUAGCUAAAAUUUGAACAAGAAUCUACCGGGACAUAAAGAUGUCCAAAAAGACUAGGCUAAAAUACUUCAUUAAUUAGUAAAAAAUUCUUCGCAAUCAACUCCUUGUUGAGGCAUUUACAUUAGAACCAAAUCACAUAUAUCUGAUAUUAUUAUCAUUCUUUGAUAGUUUUCCUGUUAAUUCAUCAUCUCACGUUUGAUACUGAAUUUGACGUUUUGUUAGUUUUCGUGCUAUAUUACAACAAAGGGUCACCUAACAUGUAAACUGUUCUAAGUCACGGCCAUUUCACAUAGAUCAAUGAUUUUGACUUCAUUGGUUCGUAGAACUUGCAAGAUAUCUCAUAAGCCUUCAGAUAGUAAAGUAUCUACACUAAUGCUCCUAAAUUAUUAAGAAAAAGAAGAAUUAUGACCAAUCAAUUACACACAAAAUAUCUAACUCUAACAAGCUAUCUUAAAUUUUUAGCAUGGUAUGAAAAGGAAAUUUGAACAUGAUUCAACACGUGAAAAUUUAAAUUGAGAGAGAAAGAGAGAGGCGUGUUCUUUUUUCCUUCCAAUAUUUGACUAAUUUUUUGGCCAAUUUGAUCCACGUUCCAACAAUGAGUUGAUUUUAUUGAAUUGGAUAAUUUACUAGAUAUGUACUCUACAUACCAUGAUUAGAAAUUUAGGAGAAAUAAGGAUGUUUAAUUUCAAGCGCGAAGUUCGAACCCCUACCCCCUGCUGACAGAGAUAGAAAAAAAAAACAAUAGGACAGAUCAAAUUCUCUUCUUAAUUUUUUUUUUAACACAAGAAAAAAUUAAUCGGAUGUUUAAAGGCCUUCCUCCACUCCACAACGUGACGAGGGGUGAAGUCAGGAACAUCAUCGAAAUAUUUUAUGAAAAAAUAAGUACCGUGGGAUAGGGAUAUUAUUUAUACAUCAUAUAUUUUCAUGGAAAGGUCUGUCAAUUCGACUCGGAUGGGGAAUGAUGAUAUGAUUUGUCCAUCACAUACUUUGUGUCAAUUCUGCCACCCUAGAUUCGACCAAGGAUAUAUCACAUACUUUGUCAUAAAGUAUGUGAUAUAUCCUUGGUCAAAUCUAGGGUGGUAGAAUUGACACAAAGCAUGUAGAAUUGGUGGACCCAUAUCAUCAUUCCUUUUCCAUGAAAAUAUAUGAUAUAUACGCGAUGCUCCAGUCUGCACCCCUCCCCGCGCCAUGGAUUUUACCUCCAUUGUCUCUAUCCUGGUCAACAUCAUCCAAGUGCAGGGGAAGUCGAUUUCACCCUUUGAAACCCACCCGGUCGCCACCCGGGUUGCCGUCUGCAGCCUGCUCCUACAUUUCUUUUUCGGGCGUGUCACUAAUCGGGCACCCCCGUCUCGCGGCCCUGCUUCUUCUUGUGAUGGAGCAGCACACCUCCUCUUCCACUUCACCGGUUUGAUAUCGGUGUUUUCGCUCGCGUGGUUGCUGCUCCACGACUCCUUCCACUCCGUCCUCUGGUUCGUGCUGUUCCUGUUGCUUUCCGUGCGUCUGUUGCGGGGCCUCAUUCAAAAACUUUGGCUGUGGUUUUACUGCAAACUCGUUCUCAUGAUUAUCCGUGCGGCGCGCUCCCGUGUAUGGCAUGGUGGAAGAGCACGGCCACAUUUGCCAUGCCCGGUCGUGGAUCUGCGUUCCAUGCCAGAAGUCCAAGCGCCGUAGUUGUUCGACUGAAUGUUCCCUGUUUGGAAGAAGUAAUUUAAAUUGUAUGACCACUUUAAAUCAAAUGAUUAGUACGUUAGGAACCUAAGCUAGUUUUGUAUAAGAUGCACUUGGGGUUCUCUUCUCUUUAUCUGGAGCCAAAGCCGUAAGGAAUUCCCAAGCCUUCAGCGUCAAAUUAUCUCCCGAUCAUAAGAAAGGAGAGCAGGGAACAAGUAAAAACUACCUAUGUAUCUUUCCUAUUCCUAGCCAUGAACGGUGAUGGACCUUGUAGUGAAUACAUCUGUUUAAGAUAGGCUAAGCCCUCAAAAGAAAUUUGGAUCUAUUGUUAUCGAAGAGAUUGAAGACGACCUUAACAAUUGUUAUGACGAGUAGAAUGGUCAUUUCUACUGGCCAUAUAAGGGGUAGUAAUGGUUCUUGAGGUUAAAGCUUCUGACCUCUUUGAAAACGUUGUUGAGUGCUGCAGAUUUUUCCUUCUUUUUUCGAUGAAUCUCUUUGUAGGUUUCUGUUUGGCCAGUGGAUGGAUAUGUGUCAUUUUACGUUCUUUGUUGGUGUACUAUGGUUUUGCUUAUAUGAACUGGGAUAAAUUGAUGCCUUGGAGAUGCGAGCACAGCUGCAAUUUCAAAAGCUUUGAUCUAACACUAACAUCAUUGAAUGAUCCAAAUCAAAAUGAAAGAUGUCAGCUUUUUCAUCUCUCUCGCAUAUACACUGUUACUGCUUACUAGCUAUUCCAACGAUAAUAUAGUUGUAGUUUGUCAUUGCAGAAUGUGGGAAUGGUUACAUCAUAUGGUCUUCAUUUGAGCUAUAAGAGGUGACAACUACUAGAUCUUUGCUGUGGCAAACGUGUUAACUUGCAAUCUAAGACUUCAUUGUCUAGCUGGCUGAUUGACAUUCAAGUUGCCAGGGCCAAGGGGAGAAAAGAAUGCUGAAAUGUCGAUUUUUUUUCUGUAGGCUUUAGUUCAAGAUUACUAAAUUUUGGCAAGAUUGUAGAUGUUAAAACCGAAAUUUUCCCAUCUUCAUGUGCUAAAGAAUUUACGGUUCAUGUGUGCAAUGCUAGAUAGAUAGUAUGCAGAUGCUUGAGACAAUUCUGUACAAACUACACGCAUCUGAUGUUUGUAUCUGUGGAAAUAAUUAGACCAGCAAGCUUCCUGCCAAGUUGAUUAACAAUCAAAUUAUGCAUCUCAAUGUCAGCACGUCAUCUCAUUACAUAGAGCACUCGAGUCUUGCACUUCAAAAGUAUGAUAUUUAUCUGCUUUACUGCAGAGAACAACAGUCUUGGAUGUCGACUGUAGCAGUGAUACCAAUUGACUUGCAUGACAUCAAACAGAAAGGAAAUUCUUUUCAUAUUGAUAAGUGCCUCCCCAACUCUGCAACUGCAUGCACUUCACUUGCAGUUUUUCGAGACCAACAUUGCACAUCUUUUCUUGAGGACCUCCAAUUGUGUGCUCAUUCUUCUCACUUUUACCUGCAGAAUUGCAAUAUUUUCAUCUAGUUCAGCAAUAGCAGGGUCUCAGGUACGUUCACCAUUCCAGCAACCUGAUUUAAAAAGUGUUUGGUAUUGGAGAAUUUUCUGUUGAUUACUACUUAUUGUGGAGGAUGAAUCUAUAUAAAUGAUGUUAAAAAGGAACAUGGCUACUCACCACAUCAUAUGGCAUUGUAUCCAUUUGUUGCCUAAAGUCUGUUUAGUAAGAGAUCAUUUCUGUGAUGAAAGCGCACUGUAGGUGAAACACAUUUGAUAUGAGUAAUCACUGGGCAGGGGCAUUCAUUGCAGAUGUAAGCACUCAGAUUCAGGUUCCUUAUCUUCUCACAAAGGUCACAAUAGUACUGGUAUCAUCUUUGAUGAAUGAAGCGUAAAGUGUGAAUUGAUGAAAGUUAAUGGCAAUCUUUUGCUGUGGUGGAAGGCAAUCUGUGAUGAUUAAGAUUGCACUGCACACAACCAUUGAAGUCAAACCUGCAAAAUUUACCAGAGACACUGCUUAGGAAAUACAGUUCAGUAGAUCUAAAAUAAGAAAGAGUAUAUGCUUGUGGAGGUGUUGUUUCAAAGUGCGCCUUUCAAAAGUGCAUGAAAUGUUGAAGUCAUAGUCACAUUCCAUGCAGUGAAAGAUAGAGAGCCGACACUCUUCACGACAUAUUUCAACAGCGCUCCUUCCUAAUAUGAGAAGAAAAAAGGAUGUGUGGGGUGAACAGCUUCUUGCAUAACCGAGGGCAAUUCAGCACAUGAUUAAUGGAGCAUAAGAGCAGCUUUUUUUUUCCACCAGCAAUACGCUAAACAUUUGACGCUUUACGACAAGCCUUGCUUGGACCAUCCUUCAUAUGACAGUUCCAGCGGCAGACGAUGAUUGUGCAAUGGAGAAAGAAGAGGCAAUCAAGACAACUAUAGACCUCACCUGGUAUGUUCUGUUCACAAGAUUUGCACCUGAUUCUGCUUUCGAGUUUCGUGUGGAAGACCAGUGGAUGCUGAUGGUCACAAUUGUAAAAAACCAAGUCCUUCUUGCCCUUCAGGUCUUGCAAACAUAGAGUUGAAGCCACGCAGUCUAUGUCGAGGCUGAAUUUGCAUUUACUGCAGUAGGAAACCAUGGCAGACGUUAUGUUUAGCUCCUCAAAUUUAUUCAAAGCAGGAGAGAGAGGGUAAUUAUGGAGACAGGUGUUGCAUCUCUGGGGGAGAUUUGGUGUAGCUUUUGUGGAGAAAGAAUAUGUACGCAUAGCAUCCAUAGGCCUCCCCCAAGAUUGCCUACUCGCAGGCUUUGCAUUCGAUUCUAUUUUUCAUCCCGAGAUGAUGGGAUGUGAGCAGAUGCUCAUGAGCAUUUUUCGGAUGGCCACAUUCUGAGAAUCCUCAUUAGGAGGACAAGCAAUCUUGGGCCGUGCAGUAACAAUUGAUGGAUCCAACUGGCAAGAGAAGGUUUUCAUAUAUAAAUGCAAAAUACUGAUUGGAAUGUAUAUAUCGCUAGACUGGUGAGGUCAUGUAUUUCCUCGUGACAAAUCUGUUAAGAAUAUGGAUGAGCCUUGAUAAGCCAUUCCCUCUUGGAGUCAUCCGUUGAUCACAUUUAAGUUCUACCUUAAGACUUAGUGUUCCAGACAAUGAGUGACUAAGUUUGCUAGGAAAUAAAAUGAUAGCCAAGAUAAGCAUUUAUAGAUACCUUUCAGUGAUUUUAGAGUGCUCAAAACGAGCAGUUUCUCAAGAACAGAUCAGAGAAAACAUGUAACCUUGGAGCAUAAUCAUACAUGUCAUCAUUUGAAGGGCUGAACAGAAAUAUGGGAUGUGAUUUGAGGACUGAACCGAUGAUUUAAAUGCAAAUGGUAAUAAAUUCUUUUCUGCAGACUCUGAAAGUUAGCCAUUUUGUAUGCGAUGUGCGGGAUUGCAGGUAUCAUAAAGCAAAUCAAAUUAUGUCAGCAAAAAAAUUCGGUACUAUCAUUUCCAAUGAAAGCAAUAUGUGUGAUAAAUGUUAUUGGCCAUGGAAGCUGGAAAGAGCAAUAGAUGAUUCAUCUUCAGUGAAAGCAUGUGUCACAGACAACAGUAUCUCUCUUCUUGGUUGACCAUUCCUCCUUCUCAGGCAACUGUUUCUAUCUACUCCAUCAAUUAUGUAAGCUACCCUUUAAUCCAUAGGAACUUCUCAUCAGUUGCAGGGUUUGGUUGCCCAAAAUCGAAUUGGCUUCGCCAAAACUCCCCUUCUCUAGAAGCCUGGCUGGCAAAGUGUCCUGCUGGCAGUGGAGUGCUCAACUUCGCCUUGCUUUUGUGACAUGCAUUCCAUAGUCAAGGGUGAGUCCCAUGCAUCAGUUUGUGGAUUGUGGUCUCAAACACCAAUCUCUACAAAUUCCUGUGGGAGGUCCAAAUUAUAUGCAUUUUAAUUUUCAUGCGGGUUCGUUCAUCAUUUGAUUUGACCUUGCAGCUGAUUUUCUUCUCACAUAUAUCUACAAGCCUAAAUGCUUAUUGCAAAAAAUAAUUCCCAGGAGAGUUAUCAUGAUACUAAGUCAAAUAAUGAAGCUAAGAAGUUGAUCAGCAGUAUGACUUUAGAUGGCAAGACUGUCAAAUGCUUCUGCUAAUUCAGUAGCAGAUACUUCAAAUUGUUACCAUCAACAAAAGGGCAAAUGUUAUUGAAAAGACCAAAAAUAAUUUGAAAAUUAUUGCGACUAGAAGAAUGGGGAGAUAUUUCAUUGUUUGCUUCCAGUUUACCUAAGAUCCUACUGGACCAAAAGAUUUGGAAGUUUUUUUUUUCACUGAAGAGAGAAAAAGAGGGACAUUCAUGAAAAAAGGCACUUUUACUAGCAUUUUUGGAUACCAACUCCUUAUCAUCACAUUGCCACGUGUCAAGCAUUGUCAUAUGGUUGGUACUAGUUGCCCAAAUAAAGUCAAAAUUGUUCUUGAGGUUAAAGCUCCCGAAUUCUUUGAAAAUAUGGCAAGCGUUGUAGUUUUGCUUUUCUUUUUCUGGCGAAUCUCUUUGUAACUUUCUGUUUGACCAUGGAUCUAUAUGUGUUAUUUUACAGACUCUUUGACCAUAUGCAAUGGUUUUGCUCAUUUAUCCAUAUGAACAAGGAUAAAUAGAUGCCUUGGAGACAUGAGCACAGCUGCAAUGUUAGAGCCUUGUUCUAUUGCCAUAGAUCUAGCAGAAUCAAAAUGAACAAUGUCAGUCUUUUCAUCUCUGUCCCGUAUGCACGGGUACUGCUUACUACCUAUUCUGAUGAUGACAUUGCUUGAGUUUGUAACUGCAGAAUGACAGAGUGGUUACAUCAUAUAGUCAGCAUUUUACCUCUGAGAGGUGACAACUAGAUCUUUGUUGUGGCGAAUGCGUUAACUUGCUCUGGCAAACAAGAUUUAUAAAGACACUUCUUCUGUGGUGUAUCCUGUAUGUAUCAAGAAGCUCAUGGAUCUGAAUUAUGCAAUGACUAUGUUGUCUCUCUGCCCGAUUGGUUUUCAGCCAGGAGCUAGAAUUGUUGCUUCGGUUGGAGAUUCAAGUUGCCUGGGCCAAGGUGAGAAAAGAACGCUUGAUUUCUUUUUUGAGAGGCUUUAGUUCAACAUAACUGAAUUUUGGUAGACCGCAGAUGUUAGAUCUGAACUUUUCACAUCUUCACAUGCUGGAAAAGAAUUUACAGUUCGUGAAAGCAAAGCUAGAUAGCUAGUAUGCAAAAGCUUGAGACAAGUCUGCACAAACUACACACAUCAGCUAUUCAUUUUCAGGGAAAUAAUAAGACUGGCAAGCUUCCUAACAAGUUGAUUUGUAAUCAAGUUAUGCAUCCCAAUGUUAGUACUCCUAUUCAUAACACAGAGCACACAAGUCUUAUGCUAAAAAAUAUGAUAUUUAUCUGAUUUUUGUUCGUAAAAUUCUAAACGCAAGUACACGUAUCGAACAAGUAAUAUAAUGAUGAGAUAAAGUAUCGUCCCACGGAGAUCGAUGAUUAAUAAACUAAUUAAAUACUAAAAUAGAUUAAUUCUAAAAUUUAUCUAACAGAUCAAAAUAUAAUUAAGAAUAAAUUAAAAACGAAACUUGAAGACUUUGAAGACUAAAUGCAGUAAAAUCAAUCAGAUAAAUAUGUUAGAGCAUCCGAUUUCACCAUAAUCACUAGAUAUGAAUUUCAUAUUAUUAUGAGUACAAGAACGAUAUCAAACAUAUGAUAGCGGAACUUCCUAAUCUAUUUACUAUCCUAUCUCUAGGUAUAGCAAACUUACUCAGCUUAUUAAUCCACUAUAUCUCUAUGUGAAUUAAAAUAAACAUGAGCGCAUUAAAAACUAUGAAUAUUCCCGGUUUACAAUGAGUCUUUUGGAUCACCUUAUCACUGAAAACUACACAAAUAACGCAGUAUAUUUCUAUCCAUGUUUAAUUCAUGGUUAUAUAUUAUAAUGAGCAAUUGCAUAUUAUCACCUCUCAGUCUCAAACAUGCACAUCAGAUCAUUUGAGUGGUGGCUAGUUACUCAAAAGCAUUAAACACAAUAAUAUAUAACUCACAUGAAUGAAAUCGAUUGUAAAACAUAAAAAUCAUGAAAUUCACAUCAUCAUGGUUAGGCUACAUCGUAGCCCUAACAAAAGAAAAUUAGAACAUAGUAGAAGAAAAAGUAAAAAUAUAAAUCAAACCCAGCAUCUUGAAUCAAAGAACAAGAAUUCCGUCACCACUUUUGUCUUCUCUUUAAAAUACUUGAAAAACUCUCAGAACAAUGGAAAACGAUCUAACUCUCCCCCUAAAACCCUAGCUGUCUCUCUCUAUUUCUAUUUAUAGGAUAUAUCCAAGAUAUCUAUCUCCCAACGCUUGCAAAUAACAUUAGGGAACAAAAUCAAGAAUUUCCCGAUUUGAUAUCCAUCUUUCACUGCUGCUUUUAUUUGAAUUUCUGAUAGUUACCAUUCUUUUUCUUAUCCUCUUCAUAUCUCAUUAUUCUGCAUAAACAAGGAAAAUUCAAAUAAUCAGAAGGAAAUCCAAAUAUUUUCUCACCGAUAAUGCAUUAAUUACUGUCUAAAAUAGGUAAAAUAACCCUAUUUUAAAGAGUUAUCAAUUUUGCUGCAGAAGAUAAAAAUAUCGGAUGUCAAGUGUUAGCGGUGAUUCCAAUUGACUUGCAUAAGUGGGUAAGCUGAAACAUCAAACAGAAAGGUGGUCUCCUGCCUCCCCAAUUUUUUCCUUCUGGAUAAGAGCCCCCGCAACUCUUCAACUACAUGCACUUCGCUUGUUGCUUUUUGAGACCAGCAUUGCAAGUCUUUUUUUGAGUUCCUCCAAUUGUGUGCUCACUGUCCACUUUUUCCUGCAGAAUUGCAAUUUCUUCAUCUAGUUCAGCUAUAGCGGCGCUUCAGGUACUUCCAUUACUUCAAAAUAAAUUUUGUAUUACCAUAUUUUCUGUUGAUUAUAUUUUAUUGUGAAGAUUGAGUCUGUAUAUGAUGUAACAAAAGAAAAAAGAACAGGGCUAUUCACAUCAUGGGGCAGCAUCUUGUAGCCGUUUGUUGGCUAAAGUCAGGUUAGUGAGAGACCACUUCUGUGAUGAAAGCAUACCGUGGGUAAAACGCAUGUCGAUAUGAGUAAUCAAGGGCAUUCAUUGCAGCCAGAAACACCCAGAUUCAGGUCUUUUUUCUCUCAAAGGUCACAGAGGUACUAACUGGCAUCAUCUUUGAUGGACGAAGUGUAAGGUGUGAGUUGAUGGAGGUGAUGGCCAUCUUUUAUUGUUGGUGGUAACUGUGGAAGGCAAUCAUGAUUUACAUUAAGAUUGCACUGCGCAAAAACGUGUAAGUCGAAUGUGCAAAAUUUACCAGACUGCAUCAGUCGUGCAGGUCAAUAGAUUUAAUACAAGAAUGAGUAUAUAUGAUCGUGGAGGUGAUGUUUCAACAUGUGCCUUUCAAAAGUGCAUGGAAUUUUGAUGUCGAAGUUGCAUUCUGCGCAGCAAAAGACAGCGUCAAUGCUCUUCAGAAUGCGUCAGUGAGCGUUCCUUCCUGAUACGGGAAGAAGUGGAUGUGCAGGGUGAACAGGGUCUUGCAUAACUGAGGGCAUUUCAGCACAUGAUUUAUGGUGCAGGAAAGAGCAGCACUGCUCCAGCGGCAGCGGAUGACUGUGAAUUGGAGAAAGAGAUGCAAUCCAGACAAACAUAGACCUCACCUAGUAUGCUUUGCACUCUGAUUCUGGUUUCAAGCUUCACGUAGAGGACACAAAGCAGAUGCUGAUGGGCGAAAUGGCAAAAAAAAGCUGGGCCUUUCUUGCCCUCCAGGACUUGUGAACCUAGGACUUAUAGCCGCACAAUCCAUGUCAAGGCUGAAAUUGCAUUCGCUGUAGCGGGAAACUAUAUGGCAGGCAUAACGUUGGAGGUCUACCAAUUGAUCGAAAGGAAGAGAGAUGGUGAUCCCGGCGUUGCAUCUCUUGGGGGAGAUUCAAUAAUUAUAAAGCUGAGUUGAAAACAAAAUAGAGAGGUGCUUUUCUGAAUAAUUACAAGUAAACCUGUCCAAAUGAUGGAAUGAACUAUAUUUGGAUGAAAUUAAAAAUUAUGAUACAUGCGCAUUUUUCAUCUAUGGUGAUCAUCUUCCUUUCACUAAUCUGUACACUUCUUUUGCUGGAACUUUGAAUUUAUUAUACUAAUCAAAGUAACGAUUGGUCCAACCUUGAUUUUGAAACGGGUCAAAUCCUUUUAGUGAGGCAAAAAAGGAAGAAGACAGGAUGCUCUCUUUUUUAUCAUAUUUAUUGUCUCAUGCUAAGGUGUUUGCGUGUAUAUAUAAACCUCUUUUCAACUACUUUUCAAUCUCCUUUAAUGACUCUCAUGACUCUCUCUCUCUCUCUCUCUCUCUCUCUCUCUCUAAGAGAGUUUCCGAUGGGUCUUAGGGGAAGCUUCAGUGUUCACAUUGCAAAGAUUGGACUAUGCGGUGUUACAUGAUGAUCCAAUGGCCACUCAUGGGCAGAAGUGGGGCUUUCAAGAAAGUUGGGAUUUUUUUUUUUAAAUCAAGGUAGAAUUGCGAUUAAAAUUAAAAUUUGAGAUUUUUCUUAGGAGAUUAGCCCAUAAAGUUCAUACUUCCAUCAACAAUCCAAGGUGUCUCAAACCGAAGAAAAUGCAAUAUUUUGUUAAAAUGGAAACCAUUUUUAGCAAUAUUUCACCAAGAAAAAAUGCCCGCUGCUUCAAAAGUACUUUAAUAGGAUUUUGUAUAUCCAACAAUUAUAGAAAUAGGUGAGUUCGUGCAUAAAACAUGGGGACACGAGAAUGCUCAUGUUGUGAUAUAUUAUUUGCACAGUAAAUGGAUAAUUAGAGAAAGAGAGGAGCGGCUAUUAUUGCAAUAUAAAAAAUUAAUAAGAUUAUAAUGAUAUAGAAAAACAAUAAUGAUAUAUUGAUGUAUGUUUUAAUUUUGUUGACUUUGUGAAUAAGAUUUCUACUUUAUCUAUUGUUAUGACACCACCAUACUCUUUACCCAAAGGAUGCAGUAUAAAAUUAUCAAGAUAUAUAUUCACCUAUAUACUUGAUAAAAUAGUGAGUUAGUUACAAACUCCAGAGAUCUAAAAUUCAUUAAAAAUAAAAGUAUGACUGUAUCUCCAAACUCAAUUAAACCUCACAAAUAUCAUCCCAAACAUAUAUAAGUAUCUAAACUCACAUCCAAAUCCAACUUUUGAUAAUUUCCCACUAAUAACGCUCAUGUCCUACUUUAGCUUACUAGAAAAAGAUUUGGAAUGAAUAGUAUGAGUAACCACAUCUUAAUGACUAGUCCUAAUAUCUCCUAAAUAGAUCAAGAAUCUACUAUGAUAAAGCAAUACUAGAGAUUCAUUUAUCCAAAUCCAAUAUAUUAUGUACAAUAAUAUCAAAAUAUGAAUAAUGUCACUUUAAAGCAACUUUAUACUAAUAAAUUAUAUACCAAAAGGGUAGUUAAUGCUCCAUUUGAUCCUUUUUCUUGCCCAACCACCUGCUGCAGAGGAGUCUGUGACGGUUGAUGAUCCUCAAUCGCAAGGUCUUAAGGAUAUGCAACAAAUAUAUUUCAAACAUUACUUUUUCAUUUAAAAAAAAUCAUUUUGUUCAAUGCUUUUCACAACUUAUAAUAUAUCAAAUCCCUAUCACUUUCAAGACAUGAGCUUACAAAUUUAUAGAGGAUAACAACCACCCCUAAAUAAAUUGCAAAUCGAAAGUUACACCGCUCGAAGAGUCUCAUAGUCCUAUCAAAGUUUAUCUAGAUGUCAAACUUACAUGUCAACUAACCUCGACUAAAACUUUAGUAGGCAAUACCAUAUUCUUGAGUCAAAUCGUCCAUUUGACAAAAGACCUUUGAACAAUUACUUUGCAAAUAGAGUCGACCGCAUUUUAAAACUCCAAUUCAAGCGAGCUUACUUUCAAUAGAAAACUCUUUCGAAUUACUAAGAGAUCAUAAAGCCAAAAGAUAGUUGGAGAAGGGUGAAAUUCAUUGCCAAACAUAGUAAUUCGAAAAAUGUUUUUAGCAAUGCGCAACAUUUUAAAAAUUUAUCCCAAUCAAAUCAUAAACCUACAUUAACUUUUCUAAAGUCCCAAUAUGUAAUACCCUAAAAUUUCUUUACAACAUAAUUUCAUAGCUUAAAAAUCUCUAGAAUCGACCUAGCAACAUAGAAUCCAUGCAAAACCUAAUUUACAAUUUAAUUACGAAAACUCCUUCAAUUAGAUAAAUAAAAGUUUCGAAUCCUUAUUGAUUGCCAAGAAAAAAAAAAUUAAUCCGGUGCAUACAGCAAGAGCCCCCUUUUGUCUCCUCUGUCUUUUUCUCGGUUUCUCCGGGCUCUGCUUUCCUUCUCUCUCUCUUUCUUUCUUUCUUUUUUCGUGUUCUUCUUGGCAGACUCUGUUUUCAUAUUUUUCUCUCUUUUUGCUCUAGUGAUUCGCUUACCACGGCAUCAACUAGGGGUGAGCAGCGGUCUAGGGUCGACCCUGGACCAACCCUGGACCGGCCCAACCCUGCCGGUCCUGGUCUGGUUCCCAAGGGGAUUGGGUCGGUCCUUGGUCCUGAAAUUACAGGACCAACACUGUGCGGGUUGGUCCUCGGUCCUAAGAGUUUUGGGUCAGUCCAACCCUGGACCAACCCUGUAUAUUAUAUUAUAUUAUAUUAUAUUAUAUUAUAUUAUAUUAUUUAUAAUUCUCUUAUAUAUUCAAACCUAAGUAAAAUGUCUGUUAUAUUAUAUUAUAUUGAAAUGUUCUAUCAAUAGUACUAAUAGUAAUUUCAAUUUAAAACUUUUGUUGAGUAUUAAUUAAGUGUCGUUUGUUUUGUUUUCAAGUGUUUAGAAGUUCAAGUGAAUUAACAAGAUGUGAAGUUAUAUAUUCAUGGUUUAUAUUAAGUAUUUUGAACUUUUUAUUGUUUAAUUGUAUUUUACUAAUGAAUUUCAGCUGCACUUUGCUUUUCAAUUUGUGUCAAAUGGUAGAAGUUUUUGAAGAGUAGAGUAGUACUGUAGUUGCUACGGUGAUUUGCUAGUCAAGUGGUGUGAAGCUCAUUUUUUGGUUGAGUGUACUCUACAUGAUCAAAUGCAGGAAAACGCUUUUGCAUAUGAUGUUAUGAAUAUUAAAGAUAGAUGAUUACAAAAACUUUCCAUCUUGUCCCAUAUCUCGAUGAGCGGUUAGCAAGUACGAAAUUUCUAUUAUUGUGUCAUCUUAAAUUUGGUAAAUAUGUAUUGGUAUUUAUAAUUUAGUUGCACAAUGUCGCAUUAUUGAUGGAUGUGUAAUUUGAAUUUGUAAGUUUGUUUUUUUAGGGAGUAUAAAAAAUAAGACGAAAAAAAUUAUCGAUCGGUCCCGGGUUGACCCUGGAACCGGACCAAACCCAUUGGGUCGGUCCGGUCCUUGGUCCCAGGCUCAAUAGGGUCGGUCCUCGGUCCUGAAAAUUGAGGACCGACACUGUACGGGUUGGUCCUAGGGUUAGAGGGUGGCCCGGACCAACCCGGACCAUGCUCACCCCUAGCAUCAACUGAGGCAAGACCAAAGAAAGGACUUUAACGAGACACUUGGGCUUGGGCUUACUGCUUUGCUCUUGGUUAUUAUUUUUUGCCAGCCCGGUUAUUGGAACUUUAUCCUUGCCAGUGAAUCUUCCAGCUUACUACGUAUUGAUGUAACUUUGCGGACACACUGCCGAGAAAACAGAAAGGAGAAUUCAAUCAGCACCGAACAGAGUCUUUUUUUUAUAGCACCAGAAAAAAUAAAUAGGAAAGUUCAAAGGCCUUCCUCCACUCCAGUGGUGGGGGUGAAGCAGGGACAUCCUUCGGGGUUCUUUUAUACAGAGUGGCAUUAUUAUUUUAAGGUGAAGGUGGGACAUCAUUCGUGCUUCUUUUAUUGCGAGGGUGAAUGCGGAUUAGAAUCCUGCAUUAUUAUUAUUUUAUAGUUUGAGCUCGAGUCUUAGUACUGGAUUAUUAUUGUUUUGAAGAAUAGUUUGAACUCGAUUCUUCAGACCGCAUUAUUAUUGUUUUUAUAGUUGAAGAUCGAUGCAUUGUUAUUGUUUUAUAGUUUGAAGAAUAGUUUGAGCUCGAGCUCAAACUAUAAAAUAAUAAUAAUGCAGGAUUCUAAUCCGCAUUCACCCUCGCAUAAAAGAAGCACGAACCAUGUCCCUACCUUCACCCACCCGGCCCGGCGCCAUGGAUUUUACCUCCAUCCUCUCUAUCCUGAUCAACUUCAUUCAAGCGAAAUUCCAGGGGAAGUUGAUUUCGCCCUUCGAAACUCACCCCGUUGCCACCGGUGUUGCAAUCUGCAGCCGCUCCUGCAUUUCUUGUUGCUACAUCUCGUUAAUCGGGCACCCCUGUCUUGCGGCCGCACUCCUCCUUGUUAUGGAGCAUCAUUGCACCUUCUCAUUGACUUCACUGGUUCAAUAUCGGUGGCUUCGCUUGCAUGGUUGCUGCUCCACGACUCCUCCCACUCUGUCCCCUGGUUGUUAGUGCUGCUCCCGUUGCUUUCCGUGAGUCUGUUGCGCGGCCUCAUUCAAAAACUUUGGCUUUGGUUUUACGACAGAAUCUUUGCCAUGAUUUUCUGUGUGGUGCCGUCUCGUCUAUGGCAUGGUGGAAGAGCGCAGCCACAUCCAUCGCGCUCAGGCGUAGAUCUGCGUUUAUUGCUGGAAGUCUGAGCGCCCUAGUUAUUCGACUGACUGUUCUCUGCUUGGAUAAAGUAGUCUAACCACUUUAAAACGAAUGAAUAAGUACUUUAGGAAGCUAGCUAGUUUUGUUUAGGAGGCACUUGGGCCUUGUUGCGACCAUAUCUGAAUCCAUAAGAAAAUCGCAAGCCUAAAAACCACCUGUGUAUCUUACCUAUUCCUGGCCAUGAAUGGUCAUGCACCCUGGGCCAACUAAAUCAGAUUAAGAUAGGCUAAGCCCUCAAUGGAAAUUGCAAUCUAUUGUUAUCGAAGAGAUCGAAGACGACCUCAACAAUUGUUACCAAGAGAAGAAUAGUCAUUUCUAGUAGCCAUAUAAGGGAUAGUAAUUGUUCUUGAGGUUAAAGCUUCUGACCUCUUUGAAAGCAUUGCUGAGUGUUGCAGAUUUCCUUCUUUUUUUGGUGAAUCUCUUUGUACCUUUCUGUUUGGCCAGUGGAUCCAUAUGUGUCGUUUUACAUUCUUUGCUGGUGUACUAUGGUUUUGCUAAUAUAUCCAUAUGAACUAAGAUAAAUAGAUGCCUUGACAACGUGGGCACAGCUACAAUUUCAAAAGCUUUGAUCUAACACUAACAUCAUUGAGUGAUCCAAAUCAAAAUGAAAGAUGCCAGCUUUUUCCAUCUCUCUCGCAUAUACACCAUUACUGCUUACUAGCUAUUCCGAUGAUAAUAUAAUUGUACUUUGUCAUUGCAGAAUGUGGGAGUGGUUACAUCAUAUAAUCUUUAUUUUACCUCUUGAGAGGUGACAACUAGAUCUUUGCUGUGGCAAAUGUGUUAACUUGCAAUUUAAGACUACGCCAUCUCGCUGGCUCAUUGACAUUCAAGUUGCUGGGGCCAAGGUGAGAAAAGAAUACUGAAAUGUAGAUUAUUUUUCAGGAGGCUUUAUUUCAAGAUAACUGAAUUUUGGUUGACUACAGAUGUUAGAACCGAAAUUUUCCCACCCUGCGUGUGCUAAGAAUUUACAGUCCAUGUAUGCAAAGCUAGAUAGAUAGUAUGCAGAUGCUUGAGAUAAGUCUGUACAAAAUACACACAUUUGAUGUUCGUAUCUGAGGAAAUAAUUAGACCAGCAAGCUUCUUGACAAGUUGAUUCAUAAUCAAAUUUUCCAUUUAAUGUUAGUACUUUGAAAUAUGACAGAGCACACAAGUCUUGCACUUCAAAAAUAUGAUAUUUAUCUGCUUUUUCUGCAGAGAACAAUGAUCUUGGAUGUUGACUGUGGCAGUGAGUCCAAUUGACUUGCAUAAGAACGUGACUUGAAACAUCAAACAGAAAGGUAGGUUCUCCUGACUCCCGAAUUUUUUUUUCUUCUUGGUAAGUGCCUCCCCAACACUACAACUGCAUGCACUUCACUUGCAGCUUUUAGAGACCAGUAUUGCACGUCUUUUCUUGAGUACCUCCAAUUAUGUGCUCGUUCUUUCCGCUUAUUCCUGUAGAGUUGCAAUUUUUUUCAUCUAAUACAGCUAUAGCAGGGUUUUCGGGUACUUCCACUAUUCCAGCAACCUGUAUUAAAAAAUGUUUGGUAUAAGCGCAUUUUCUGUUGAUGAUUAAAAAAUGUUUGGUAUUGUGGAGGAUGAGUCCAUACAUAUGACGUUCAAAAAGGAAUAUGGCUAUUUACCACAUUAUAUGGCAGCAUCUUGUAUCCAUUUGUUGGCUAAAGUCUGUUUAGUAAGAGAGCCCUUGUGUGAUGGAAGUGCAUCGUGGGUCAAACACAUUUGAUAUGAGUAAUCAAUGGGCAAGGGAAUUCAUUGGAGUCCUAAGCACCUAGAUUUGGGUCCCUUAUCAUCUUGCAAAGGUCAUAUUAGUACUCACUGGUAUCAUCUUUGAUGGACAACGUGUAAAAUAUGAGUUGAAGGAAGUUGAUGGCAAUCUUUUACUGUAGUGGAGGUUAAUCUGUGAUGAUUAAGAUUGCACUGCACACUACCAUAAAAGUCAAACCUGCAAUAUUUACCACAGAUGCUGCAUAGGAAGCAUGGUUUGUUAGAUCUAAUAUAAGCACGGUUCUGUCCCCUCUGCAUUCCACAGGCAAGGGUGAGUCCCAUGCAUCAGUUUGUGGAUCGCGCUUUCACACACUAAUCCCUACAGAUUCCUGUGGGAGGACCAAAUCCUAUUGAUUUGAAUUUUCAGCAGGUUCCUUUAUCAUUUGAUAUGAACUUGGAAGUUCAUCUUCUUCUCAGGUUUAUAAAAUCCCGAAUGCUUAUUGUGGAAAACAAUUCCCAGGAGAGUUAUCAUUAACCUAAGUCAAAUAAUGAAGCUAAGUACAUGAUCUACAGAAGAACUUAAGACUGCAGGACUGUCAAAUGCUUCUGCUAAUUCAAUAGCAGAUACUUAAAAAUUGCAACCUUUAACUGGAGUGCGAAUGUUACUGAAGAGACCAAAAAUACUUUGAUAAUCAUUGCAACAAGGAGGUUGGGGAGAUGUUUCAUUGUUUGUUUCAAGGUUACCGAAGAUCCUACUAGACCAAAAGAUUUGGAAGUUUUUUUCUUUACUGAAAAGAGAAAAAGAGGCACGUUCAUGAAAAAUGGUGCUUUUACUAGCAUUUUCAGAUAUUGACUCUUUAUUAUCACAUUGGCACGUGUCAAAUGUUGUCAUAUGGUCGUUUCUAGUUGCCAAAAUAAAGUUAUGAACUAGGAUAAAUAAGAUGCCUUGGAGACGCGAGCACAGCUGCAAUAUAGAAGUUUUGUUCUAUCGUGACACAGUUAUGCAUAUCAAAAUGAAAAAUGUCAGUUUUUUCAUCUCUGUCCCAUAUGCACGGGUACCGCUUCUUGGCUAUUCUGAUGAUAAUUUUGUUUGAGUUUGUCAUUGCAGAAUGACAAGAGUGGUUAUGUCAUAUAGUCAGCACUUUACCUCUCAGAGGUGACAACUAGAUCUUUGUUGCUGCGAAUGUGUCAACUUGCUUUGGCAAAUAAUAUUUAUAAAGGCAGCGACUUCUUUUGUGAUAUAUCCUGUUUGUAUCUGGAAGCUCUUGGAUCUGGGUGAUGCAAUCUAAGACUAUGUUGUCUCACAGGCUGAUUGGUUUUCGUGGGGAGCUAUAAUUGUGGCUUCAGUCAGAGAGUCAAGGUGCCAGGGCCAAGGUGAGAAAAGAAUGCUGAAAUAUGGAUUUCUUUUUUGGGAGGCUUUAGUUCAAUAUAACCGACUUUUGGUAGACUGCAGAUGUUAGAACUGAACUUUUCCCAUCAUCAUGUGCUGGAAAAGAAUUUUUGCAGUUCAUGAAUGCAAAGCCAUAUAGAUAGUAUGCAAAAGCUUGAGACUAGUCUGUGCAUACUACUUACAUCUGAUAAUCUUUUUUUGAGGAAAUAAUAAGACCCACAAGCUUCCUGACAAGUUUAUUCAUAAUCAAAUUAUGCAUCCUUUUGUUAGCACUCCAACUCAUAACAUAGACCAAACAAGUCUUACACUCAAAAAUAUGAUAUUUUUGUGCUUUUGCUGCAGAGAAUAACAAUCUCAGAUGUCGAGUGUCAGCAGUGAUUCUGUGUAAGUUGACACAUCAAACAGGAAGGUGGCCUCCUGCCUACCCAAUUCUUUUCUUCUCGAUAAGUGCCUUCCCAACUCUGCAACUACAUGCGCUUUGGUUGCAUCAUUUUGAGACCAGCAUUGCACAUCUUGUUUUUAGUACCCCCAGCCAUGUGCUCGCUCUGUCCUCUUUUUCCUGCAGAGUUGCAAUUGUUUCAUCUAGUUCAGCCGUAGCAGGGUCUUCAGGUACUUCCACUUUUCCAGCGACCUGUAUUUAGUACUAGCAAGUUUUCCGUUAAUUAUUACUUAUUGUGGAGGAUGAGUCUAUAUAUAUAUGACGUUAAAAAGGAACAAGGCUAUUCACUGCAGCAAAUGGCACUGGCGGCAUCUUAUAUCCAUUAGAUGGCUAGAGUCUGUUUGGUAAGAGAGCACUUCUGGGAUGAAAAUGCAGUGUGUAAAACUCGUUUGAUAUGAGGAAUCAAUGGGCAAGGGCAAUCAUUGCACUUGUAAGCACCCGGACUCAAGUCCCUUAUCUUCUUGCAAAGGUCACAAUAGUAGUCACCGGUAUCAUCUUCGAUGAAGGAAGCGCGUAGAGUGUGAGUUGAUGGAAGUUAAUGGGAAUCCUUUACUGUAGUGGUAGGCAAUCUGUGAUGAUUAUGAGUGCAAUGCUCACAACUGUAGAAGUCGAACCUGCAAAAUUUACCACAGACAUUGCAUAGGAAGGACGGUUCGGUAGGUCUAAAUUAAGAAAGAGUAUUUGGUUGUGGAGGUGAUGUUUCAAAGUGGGCCUGUCAAAAGUGAAUGGAAUAUUGAAGCCGUAGUCACUUUUCGUGCAGUGAAAGAGUGUCGACAAUCUUUACGACAUAUUUCAACAAUGCUCCUUCCUGAUACUAAAAGAAAAGCAUGUGCGGGGUGAACAGGUUAUUGCAUAACGGAGGGCAAUUCAUCACAAGAAUUAUGGAGCUGAAAAGAGCUGCUCUGCUCCAGCCAGUGAUAGGCUAAACAUUUGACGCAUUCAUCAUGAGUCUUGCACGGACCAUCCUUCAUAUGACAAUACCAGUGGCAGAUUUUGAACGUGAGAAAGAAGAGGCAAUCAAGACAAGCGGAGACCUCACCUGGUAUGUUCUCUUCGCAAGCUUUGCACUGGAUUCUGCUCUCGAGCUUUGUGUGUAAGACCAGUCGAUGCUGAUUGUUGAAAUGGUUAAAAACCGAGUCCUUAUUGGCUCCAGAUCUUGUGAACGUAGCCGUGCAGUCCAUGUCGCGGCUGAAUUUGCAUUCGCUGCAGGAGGAAACCAUGGUAAGCAUGACAUUUACCUCCUCCAAUUGAUCGAAAGCAAGAGAGAGAGAGGGUGAUCAUGGAGAGACGGGUAUUGCAUCUCUGUGGGGGAUUCGGCGCAGCUUUUGUGGAGAAAGAAUAUGCACGCAUGGCCUCAAUAGACCACCCCCAAGAUCGCUUGCUCGCAGGUUUUGCAUUUAUUUCUACUUUUCAUCCUGAGAUGAUGGGAUGUGAGCGGUCUUGAGCAUAUAUUGGAUGGCCAUAUUCUGAGAAUCUUCAUCGAGACGGCUUAGUUGUGACUGGGCAGACGAAGCUAUAUCGGGCUGUGCAAUAACAAUCGACCCGUUCGAAUGGCAAGAGAAGGUUUUCAUAUAUAAAAGGCGAAAUAUUCAUUGGAAUAUAUAUAAUAUCUAUAUCACUAGACCGGUGAGGUCGUGUAUUUCAUCGUGUCGUGAUCAACUUUUCUAGGAAAAUAAAAUGAUACUGUUUAUGUAUGCGUGUUAUGCUUGGGUGAAUCAAGGCGGCGACAUAAAUGGAUGAAAAGCAUCUCUGAAAGACGACAAGCAAGCGGUGACGACUUAUGCCCUUCUCAUUCCUCCCUUCUUUUACUCAUUUCUCAUCCCCCGUUUGUCCCUUUGACGUGGCCUCCCCCCAUUUCCCUCUCCUCUCUAAAAGUUUCCACAAAUAUUCCUCAAUUCCUCAUUCUUUCUCUGUCACGAAAAGAUGACAUUUAUGAUGCAAUUUGGACGGAACAAAGAUUAUGAUGCAUAGGCAUUUUUCAUAUGUGGCGAUCAUCUUCAUUUCACUAGUUUGUAUGAUUUUUUUUAGCUAAAAUUCUAAUUUAUUAUGCUAAUCAAGGUCUGACGAACUGCGCAGCAAUGGUUGGACCAUGCAGACGAUCAUAUGUCCCCAUGGGGGCACAUAUGAGAUCUCAAUUGAAGUUGGAGAUUUUUUUUAAGAAAAGAAAUUGAAGUAAAAUUGAGAUUAGAAUUAAAGUUGUGCAUCUUUUUAGGAAAUAAGCCCAUGAAGAUUCAUGCUUUCAUCAAAUCAAUCCAAAGUGUCUCACAUGAAAGACAGUGGGAUCUUUUUUCUUUUCUUUUUUGGUUCUACUCUUGGCCAGACUCUGUUUUUGUGGCAUCCCAAAAAAUUUUAACGACCUCUAGUUACAUUAAAGUUUAUGAAUAGGUGAUGGAAGUACCAUCAAGUUAUUUUAUGGCCAUUUAAUCCAUAAUUUGCAAUAAGAUAUAUGGCCAAGCUUUUAAGGGAUAAUUAUGUGAUAGGAAAGAAAAUUCUAUCAUUAGCCAUGUGCAUCAUAAAUUGGAAUUUAGGGAUUUGUGACUAUAAGUUUAAUGGCCUUAUUAUUUAUGCAAUUAGAUGUUUAUUUAAACGAUGAUUAAGAUAUAUUAUAAAAAUAAAAUAAAAUAAACUUGGGCCAUUUAAGUUUGGGCUUUAGGCCCAAGUGAGAUGGGCCUAAAGUGGGCCAUAAGCCCGGCCCAUUGUCGCGCAUGGAGGGGGAAGGAGGAGUCACAUGGCUUCCUCCAAGUGUCUUCAACCAAGGAGACACUUGUCUCCUUCUUAGGGACAAGUCUCCACCACACAAAGAGGGGGUGCAUGCAAUAUAAAUACAACCAAAAAGGAAGAGAGAGAGGGAGUGGCUGAUGGUUGAGGGUUGUCAUCCAAAAGAGGUGCCGAGAGAGAGGAGAGAAAGAGAGAAAGAGAGGAAGAGAGAAAGGAAGGAGCUCGCUCGUCGCCGCCCGCAUGCCAUUCGUCCGUCGCCGGUGUGCCGCCGUUCGUGUGGUCUAGAGGCAAGUUGGGAUUGAUUUCCACCCUUGCAUGUGUGCCUUGCAUGUAUGAUUUGUUAGUGGUGAGUUUCGGAUGUUAGGGUAGGCGAAACCGAAGCAAAAUGUGCUUUGUUCUUGAAUAUGCUUGCUGUUUUCGCAUGAACCGCCUGAGUCAGAAACUUGUGAGAGCUUGCAUGCAUGUUUAGAGUUCGAUUUGGACUUGGAUAUCUUCAUAAAAGUUGUAGCUAACGUCUUAAACUACAACAUAAUAAACUUUGGUGGAAAAUUAUGGAUAUUUGAGGGGUCAAACUCUCAUCUUACGGAGAUGUCAGAUCUGGAAUGUUUUCGCAUGAAUCCGCUCGAGUCAGAAUGUUGUGAGAGCUUGCAUGCAUGUUUAUAGUUCUAUUUUGGCUUUGGUCUCUCAUAAAAGUUGUAGCUAACAUCUUAAACUACAACAUACUAAAAUUUGGUGGAAACUGAUGGAGAUUUAAGGGGUUAAACUCUCAUUCUACGGAGACCUCAGAUCUGGAACGAUUUCACUGACAUCUUGAUGAAUUUGUGGUUGCAUGUUGAUUUGUACUAAGAAUAUCUCUUCGAUUUCUUCAUGAAAGUUUUAGGGGACAUCUUAAAAUACAACAUACUCAAAUUUUAAGUGAAAUGAACAAGUAUAACCUGGUAAAUCGACUAGAUCUUGAAGACGGUAGUUCUGGAGAUGUAUUACAGGACACCCGAGACUUCAUGGACCUAAAUGACGACUAUACUCUGGUUAUUUGACUUAUAUCUCUUCAUGAAACUUGUAGAGGACAUCUUUAUGUAGAACAUAUCCAAAUUUAAAAUGAAACGAAGAAGAAUAGGUAGGUCAAAACUCAGUAUUUCGGAGAAGCAUGUACUGGACGAUUUGGUGAUGGAUCCAGAAGCUUCGUGAGACUGUAGAAAUUAAUCUAAAAAGAAUCUGACUUGGAAACCUUCAUGAAAGAUGUACGAACAUGUCUUGGCCGUAACUUGGUAGAAUUUCGUAAUUUUUGGAGGUCUUAUGGAUAUUUUAAUCGAAUUUAUUCGGAAACUGUGCAUUCUGGUUUCAUCCGAAAAUUACAUGCUGUUUUGUGUAAAUUAUGGAUUUGUGUGGAUUUCUCAUUGGCCGUGUAUUUUGCAUGAAAUCAUUAUCCUAUUGUCUUAUUUAUUACUUGCCUUAAUUUUAUGAUUUUUGAGAUUAUAUAAAUAAUUAAAUUUAAUAUUUUUGAAAAUGGCACAAGCUGGAAUUUAAAUAAAUGUAAAAAAGGGCAUGAUAAAUGGAUUAUUUUAAUUGGCAUAAAUUCCAUGAAUUUUAUUCUUAUAAAUAAUUGCACCAUGUAGUAUGUGUGAUGAGGUCUUGAUGUAUGCAUUGAGAUGAAUGCGUGAAUUCAAUGUUGAACAUGAUUUUUGGUUGCCAUUGCAUCAUAUGCCAUGCUAAAUUAAGACCGAAAUUGGUGAACAUGAGUAAUGUUAAAUGAGGGAAUUGAUGUGGUGGAUGAUAAUGCCCCGGGAGUGUCGGGAUGCCCGGUGGUAUACGGUACGUAAUUCCAGGGGAGGCCUGGUGGUAUAUCGGUACGUAAUUCUGGAAGCCUUGUCGGAGGUUUUUGCCCGAGGGGAUGCCUCGCGAUGCCAGGAUUGGGGUGCGAGAUGCCCGACCAGGGAGUGUAAAUGCCGGAAGCCCUGUCGGAGGUUUUUGCCCGGGGGGAAUGCCUCGUGAUGCCAGUUGGGAUGCGAGAUGCCCAGAAUGUGAGGGGCCGGAUGCCCGGUGGCCUGGAAUGGCUGAAUGCCGGAAGCCUCGAAGGUCUUUGCUCGAGGGGAUGAUGAAAUUGAUGAUUCGAGGAAUGGGUAAUGUGGUGAUCAAAUUGAGAGUUAAAAGUGGAAAUUAAACCAUGGCAUGAUGAUAUGCAUGAUGAUGAUGAUGAUCACCCAUGGCAUGAUGAUAUGCAUGAUGAUGAUGAUGAUAUAUGAUAUGCAUGAUGAUGAUGAUGAUAUAUGACAUGGCAUGAUGAUAUGCACGAUGAUGAUGAUGAUGAUGAUGAUAUAUGAUAUGGCAUGAUGACAUGUGUAAUGUGAUGAUGUCAUGAUGAUGAUGACAUGAAUAUGAUUAUAACGAUGCCAUGAUAAUGAUGACAUGUAUGGUAUGAUGAUGUCAUGUAUAUGAUGAUGAUGACAUGUGUGUAAUAUAAUAAUGCCAUGAUGACGACUAUAUGAGUAUGACAUGAUGAUACACAUGUAUGUGUUAUGAUUGUGAUGAUGAUGCAUGAUAGUAUGCGCAUGGCUCCAAGGUAAGUAUUGCCUGAAAUGCAUGUAUGACUUGUAUGAUGCAUUGAGUGGUUAUUGGAUUCCUUUACCUGCUGAGUGGUUGUACUCACCCCUUUUGGGGACCAACAUUUCAUAUUAGUAGAUGGAUUGAGCGGUUGGAUAUGACCGCGAGGAGAAGGAUAGUAAAGGAGGGAACUUUUGGACGUCGACACUGAUUGAUGGACUUUAAGUAUUCGAUUGUUGGAGAAGAUGUCGGUCAUCUUUUGAAGUAUAGCCGAGUAUAGAAACAUUGGCAUUUCGAUGUACCGACUAAAGAUGUCCAUCUGCUUUAUGUAAAUAAACGUGUUCGGCUUUAACUUAUAUAAGAUGUUUAAUAGGUGUGCAUCGUUUUCUAAAUAUAGGGAAGGGAGCUUGUUGGAUGUGCUUCCGUAUAUGAAUUGCGCAAGGGACCUAUAAAAAAAAGAGUGUAAACUCCCUAUGUUGUAUGGACUCGCUGCAAUUGAAAUGGUAUCAGAGUGACAUGUUAAUAAGGAAAGUGAAAAGUAAGCGAACUGUGGCGACCCUAACGGAUCGGGAGCCGUCGAGGGGUGGCACAAUUUUCAUCUUUUUUCUCCCUUUUUGCUCUAAUAAUUCCCUUACCACGGCGUCAACUGAAACAAGAUCAAAGAAAGGGCUCUAACAAGAUACUUGGGCUUGGGCUUACUGUCAUGCUCUUAUUUAUUAUUUUUUGCCAGCCCGGUUAUUGAAACUUUAUCCUUGCACAUGAAUCUUCCAGGUUAAUUGCACACUCCGCUGAAACACAAUAAAAAAUAAAUAGGAAAGUUUAAAAGCGUCUCCCCACUGUCCACCCCAACGGUGGGGUGAACGCAGGGGCAUGGUUGAUGUUUCUGCUUCUUUUAUUCGAGGUGACAUUUGCAUCUAUUCAUGCUGUGAAUAUGAAUGAUGUCCAAAUUUCACUUCGAAUAAAAGAAGCAGAAGCGAAGCAUCAAUGAUGUCCCUGUCUGCGCCCAACAUGGCGCCAUGGAUCUUACCCCAUCGUCUCUAUCCUCGUCGAUUUCAUCCAAGUGAAAUAUCAGGGUAAGUUGAUUUCGCCCUUCGAAACCCACCCCGUUGCCAUCGGCGUUUCCAUUUGCAGCCUGCUCCUGCAUUACUUGUUGCUGCGUCUCACUGAUCGGGCACCACCGUCUAGCGGCCGUUCUCCUUCUUGGGAUGGAGCAUGGCACCUCUUCAUCGACUUCGUCAGUUCGAUAUUGGUGGCUUCGUUCGCGUGGUUGCUGCUCCAUGACUCCUCCCACUCCGUUCCCUGGUUGUUCGUGCUGCUCCUGCUGCUUUCCGUGAGUCUGUUGUGCGGCCUCAUGCAAAAACUGUCUGUGGUUUAACGACAAAAAUCAUCCGUGCCGUGCAGCGUGGUCUCCUGGUCGUAUCAGCGUUUAAGGCCGCAUGUCUAAGCUAGUUUUGUAUAAGAUGCACUCGGGCCUUUCUUCCGUUUAUAUGAAAACAUAAGGAGUCCCCAAGCCUUCGGCAUCAUCAAAUUAUCUCCCAAACCAUAAGAAAGGAGAGCAGGGGACAAGUACAAACCACCUAUGAACGGUGAUGGACCUUGUAGCGACUAGAUCUGAUUAAGAUAAGCUAAGCCCUCAAAAGAAAUUGGGAUCUACUGUUAUUGAAGAGAUCGAAGAUAACCUCAGCAAUCGUUUUGACGAGUAGGUCUACUCUAGUAGCCAGGUAAGAGAUAGUUAUUGUUCUUGAGGUUAAAGCUUCUGACCUCUUUGAAAACAUUGUUGAGUGUUGCAGAUUUUCCUUCUUUUUCUGGUGAAUCUCUUCGUAGCUUUCUGUUUGGCCAGUGGAUGGAUAUGUGUCAUUUUACAUUCUUUGCUGGUGUACUAUGGUUUUGCCCAUUUUUCCAUAUGAACUGGGAUAAAUUGAUGCCUUGGAGAGGUGAGCACAACUACAAUUUCAAAAGCUUUGAUCUAAUGCUAACAUCAACGAGUGAUCCAAAUAAAAAUGAAAGAUGUCAGCUCUUUCAUUUCUGUACCAUAUACACCAUUACUGCUUAAUAGCUAUUCUGAUGAUAACAUAGUUGUAGUUUGUCAUUGCAGAAUGUGGGAGUCAUUACAUCAUAUAGUCUUCAUUUGACCUCUGAGAGGUGACAACUAGAUCUUUGCUGUGGCAAAAGCAUUAACUUGCAAUCUAAGACUACAUUGUCUUGCUGGCUGAUUGACAUUCAAGUUGACAGGGCCAAGGUGAGAAAAGAAUGCUGAAAUGUUGAUUUUUUUUUCUGUAGGCUUUAUUUCAAGAUUACUAAAUUUUGGCAGACUGUAGAUGUUAAAACCAAACUUAUCCCAUCUUCAUGUGCUAUAGAAUUUACAGUUUAUGUAUGCAAAGUUAGAUAGAUAGUAUGCAGACGCUCGAGACAAUUCUGUACAAACUACACAUCUCUAAUGUUCGUAUCUGUGGAAAUAAUUAGACUGGCAAGCUACCUGACAAGUUGAUUCAUCGUCAAAUUAUGCAGACCAAUGUUAAUACUCCGAUUCAUAAAAUGGAGCACACAAGUCUUGCACUUCAAAAAUAUGAUAUUUAUCUGCUUUUACUGCAGAGAACAACAAUCUUGGAUGUUGACUCUAGCAGUGAGUCCAAUUGACUUGCAUAAGAAUGCAAGUUGAAAAAUCAAACAGAAAGGUAGGUUCCCCUGACUCCCAUAUUCUUUUCAUCUUGUUAAGUGCCUUUCGAACUCUGCAACUACAUGUAAUUUGCUUGUGGCUUUUGGAAACCAGCAUCGCACGUCUUUUCUUGAGUACCUCCAAGUAUGUGCCCACUUUUUUCUGCAGAAUUUUAAUUUUUUUCAUCUAGUUCAGCAAUAGCAGGGUCUUCAGGUACUUGCACUAUUCCAGCAACUUGUAUUAAACACUGUUUGGUAUUGGCACAUUUUCGGUUGAUUAUUACUUACUGUGGAGAUUAGUCUCUAUAUAUGAUAUUAAAAAGGAACAUGACUAUUCACCACAUUGUACGGCAGCAUCUUGUAUCCAAUUUUGGCUAAAGUCUGUUUAGCAUGAGAGUUCUACUGUGAUACAAGCGCACCAUGGUAAAACAUAUUUGAUAUGAGUAAUAGAUGGGCAAGGGCAUUAAUCACAGUCAUAAGCACCCAGAUUCGUGUCUCUUAUCUUAUUACAAAGGGGACAAUAGUACUGCUAACUGGUAUUAUCUUUGAUGAACAAAGCAUAAAUGUGGGUUGAUGAAAGUUAAUGGCAAUCUUUUACUGAAGUGGAAGGCAAUCUGUGAGGAUUAAGAUUGCACUGCGCACAACUGCAAAAACCUAAUUUACAGUUUAACUACAAAAACUUCUUCAAUUAGAUAAAUAAAAGUUUCAAAUCCUUACCAAUUGCUAAGAAACACAAAUAAUCUGGCUUGACCAAGCUGCUCAAAAGUGCAUGUAGCGAGAGCCCCCUGUCUCACUUUGUCUUUUUGUCUGUUUCUCCGGACUCUGCUUUCCUCCUCUUUUGGGGUUCUUCUUGGCCAGACUGUUUUUUUAUUUUCUCUCUAUCUGCUCUAGUAAUUUCGUUGCAAAGGCAUCAACUGAAGCAAGACCAAAGAAAGUACUUAAACGAGACACUUGGACUUGGGCUUACUGUUUUGCUCUUAUUUAUUGUUUUUUGCCAGCCCGGUUAUUGAAACUUCAAUAGGAAAGUUAAGUUCAAAGGCGUUCCUCCACUCCAGUGGUGGGUUGAAGGCAAGGAUAGCAGAGUGGCAUAAAAGAUGACAGUCUGGAACCGGGAGGAUCACUGCUGUCGCGAUCUCCCCGAAGCGGGUUGGACCACCUAAGGGUUUGGCUAAUGGAUUGCUAAGCCUAGACUUAGCUCGAGCUCUCCCAAGCCCAUACCAAUUUGCAACUUAGGGUUUAAGUUCUUAAUAUGCAAAUGAUUUUUAUCAUGGAGUCGCCACUAAUCUAUUUUUGGUGGGUCGAUUAGAAACCCAAGUAAAGUAAUGGGAGAAUUACUUUACUCCUACAAACCAGAGAUUAAAUGAGUUCGGGGACUUGAUUACGCUAGAUUUCUCUAACGCCCUUUCGGUACCUCUUCUCUUUUACUUCAGAAAAAAAAUGUUUUGCAGGCAGUUUGAAUUGAUUUUAAAUCUAUUUCCCUAACAUGUGAGGUGAUCAUGCAGGUGCGCAAACCACCAAUUUAACACCCAAGAAAGCGAUGAAUAAAUUGCAGGACUUACCUCAUAACAACGAAAGCAUCUGCAAGGUUAAAUCAGAAUUCACAUCAACAAUCCUAAAUAUGAUUUCUAAUUAACACGCAAUUUCUUCUUUUUGGUUUUCACUUUUUUUUUUAAUGAAAAUCAUGCUUUAUGCAGCAUACUACUAAUUUAACAUGAAAUAAUAUGACAUGAUAAUAUGACCUAAACUAUAUGAUGCAAAUGCGAUGUUUUUGUGUUUUCUUAAUAAGCAUGCAAUCUAUCCUAGAAAAUAAAACUAAUUUAUUCUAAGACAUCUUUUUUUGUGUAUUUUUCAUGAAAUUCGGAAUUAGAAAAAUGUGAAAAUUAUCUAUCUAAAUUAAAAUACCAUCUAAUUUGUAUUAGGAAUGAGGUUAAACCAAAUCAUAAUUUAAACUAGAAUGUUAUUCUAAUUUAGAAAUUUCUAACUAAAAUGCAAUCUAUCUAAAAAUUUUCUUAAAUUAAAAAAACUAUUAUCUAGAAUUAAACUAUAUGAAAUUUUACCCUAAAAUGCAAUGAUAUGCAAAGAGUGCCAAAAUUCUAAUAAUUUUUUUUUAUGUUUUUGUAUUAAUUUCGAAAUUAAAAAUUGUCAAGUAAUUAAAUAUGAAACCUAAGUUAAAACUAACAACCUAAAUUGAUCGAUUUGAUUUUCUUAUUAUUUUUUUUAAAUUCGAAAUAAAAUUCCUAUUCUAAAUAUGCAAACCAUAAAACAAGAAAUAAACCUAAUUCUAACCUACAUGAAAUGCAAAUGCAAUUUUUUUGUAUUUUUUUUUUAGAUAAACAAAACAAUUAAAAGAUACCAAAUCCUCCAUGAUUGUUUCGCUAAUAAAAUCAAUAAUUUGAUCUUAAGCCUUAAAGACCAAAAUAUCAAUUUUAUUCCCGCGUGAUUAAUUAUUCCAUCUAAAGCCUUAUAGAUGAAAUAAAAAAAAUCAUUGUGCGGUUGCGAAUUGGGUGGUACGUACCGGAUUUUCAAACAUGCAUCAAGAAAUAUUUCAAAUAAAGAGAUAAAAUAAAUCUAUCUAAUUUGGUUCAAGAAAACUACCUAGUUUUUGAUGAUUCGUUUCCAAAACAGGAUCGGCAACAAGGGACUCACGAACGACAGCGAUUACACGGCCACGAAGCUUAGGGACCUGCGAUUUAGUUGCUCGCCAGAGGCUCUACGGGUGGCUUGGGAUAAGCUGCAGUGUUUGGUUCGAGCAGGAAACGUCUUUCUCCAAAAGGCAAGGGAUGACCAGCAACACAAAAUUUACGAGGAAGGAAAGUCCUCGUUGAAAGCAUAACUACAGGACUUCACCAGCCCACGUGAAUAUCCUGCAAAGAAAAGGAAAGUGGUCUUUUAUUCCUUUUUUUUUUAUUUGCUCUUUAUGUGCCCCCCCUUUCUCUACGUUGGUGGACUUCAGAAGAACGCUGAUUCGCCGGUACUGCAACUUCUCAGUUUAGAAUGGUCAGGCUCGAGCUUGGACAGCAGCUCGCCGUUAUUGCCGGGGAUUCCGCGGAUGGCUUAACAGGCCGUAUGGAUGUGGCUCACGUCUGGGAAUGACAGCUCGGACUCGGAGGCACCUUACAGCUGCAACAAGAUCGCCAGGGCUCUAAACAUGGCUCGUAGGGCUGGGACUUGACGCCAGGGCAGUGCAGGCGGGCGGCGUUGCUGGUGUAGGACACGGGCAGCGGCGGCGGCAGGAGCUGUGACGGGCGAGAAGAGGCGUGGCUACUGGUGCAGGCGUCGGGCGGAGGGUAGCAGCGACAGAGAGGACUCGGCGACGGGUGCUGCAGCUUGCGGGCGUCGCUCGUUGCUUCAAGCUGCAGGAGGCGAGUGAGCGGAGGCGACGGUGACAGGUGCGUAGACGGCGUUCGGAGGCAGAUGCUCGCGGCGUCGGACGACGGGGGGAAGGGUGACGCGUUGCGGGGCGCGGUCGUCGGAGGGUGGUGCUCGAGCGGAGACGCGGGCGUCGCAGGUUGGAUCUGAGGGCGUCGGGCGCUGGGUUGCAGGCGCGGGCAGUGGUGCGGCGACGGCGUGAGGUUGCUGCGGAGGUGCAGCGCGGAGGUGCGGCGCGGGCAGCAGAUCGUGGGCCGACGGGUGAGGGAGCGAGCGGUGCCGAACGGUGGCGCGGCGUCGGGGGCGCGGGCUGCAGGCGUAGAGGCGGGCGCUCGUGGCGUCGGGUGCUCGGAGGCAGCAGUGACGAUGAUCAGGCUGAGGCGCGGUCACGGACGAGAAGAGGAGCGGAGAUGGCGACGGCGUUCGGAGCUCCUGCGACGAACGGCGGUGCGAUCACGUGGGUGGUGCUCGCACAGGGGAUGGCCGGCGGAGUGGCGGUGACUGGUGGUGCGGCUGGGUAGACAGCAACAGUUUUGCUGCUGAGGUCGAACGGCGUAGGAGCAGAAGCUUCGUCGCGGCUAGGGGCGAAGUGGGCGGCGGUGGUCGUCGCCGCAGGGGACCGGAGCAGAAGCAGAGCUGGCCGUCGCAGGGAGGCGGAGUGGAAGCGGGUCGGUCGGCGCAGGGGGCAGCCGAGCGGCUAAGGAAACUCCGAAGAAGAUGAACAGUAGGGGUCUUUUCCUCUCUUUUUUUUUCUUUUUUUUCACUGCUGUUCGGUCACUUCUUUUCUCUGUCUCUCUCUCACGUCUCACUCUCUGCAGUCUCUCUCUUCUGCUUUCUCUCGUUUUUUUAAUCUCCUCCCCCUGACUUCAUCUUUUCUUCUUUCUCUCUACGAGAGUCUCUCCCCUUUCUUCUCUCAACUCAUGUGUCUCCACACGGGCUCUCUUUUUUAAUAGCUCUCACAAUCCUCUCAAGGGAAUUUUUUUCGUUCUCCUCCUCCUCCUAAACCGAGGAUCCUUGCUUAUUUAUAGGCAACAACUGACUUUAGCGUGAACAGGUGAACAGGAGGCAGCCGCAACUUUUCCUUGCUUGUUCAAGUUUGGUUCUUUUUUUUCAAAUAUCUGCUCUCUAGGAAAGAAAGUAUUAUAAAAUGUCAGCCCAUCCUUUUGCAUGCGUCUUAGAAUUUUCACGUCCCCCACUCAUGCGUGCAUGUGCAUGCAUUAAUGAGGGGAAGAAAAUGCAGGUUCAUGGAUUCUUCUUUCUUCUGCAUGCUUGGGUUUCUUAUACGGCUACUUGUCCCUCCCUUAUAUAGGAUAGCCACAACUUUUGACUUUUCUUUGCUUGUUAUUUGCUUCCUCCUUCAGCAAAUUUCUCGUUGCUUCUCCUGACAACCCACACUUGAGAGAGAGCAUAUUAUAUAAUAUUAUAUCAUGGGCUCAUUUUGCUUCUCUGAGGAUUCCUCUAGCAUCCGCACGUCCGCCGAAUUUGUGCGUGCAUGCGCAUACAAUAAUGAGGGAGAGACAAAGGACGUGCAAUAACUUCCUUCCUCUCUUUUUUCGCUCUUUUGCGUGCUCAGACCAGCAAAGAGAGCGAUUACUACGAGCAGCUGCGUCUUGUCGCGCUUUUAGUACCGAUGCAAAUGCGACUACAUGAAAUGCAAUUUUACUAUUUUUUCUUAGAGGUUAAAGAUUAAUCCCUAAAUUUUUAUGCAAUUAAUUACUAAAUGAUUAGACAAAAUUUAGGUGUCAACAACUGCCAUUGUCAGUUUGGAGUUUAGUUGCUACAAGGUGCAUUCCCAUUCAUGGCUAGGUAUUGGCACGAUACAUGGGUAGUUUUUACUUUCUUAUGGUCGGAAGAUAAUUUGAUGAUUCCGAAGGCUUGGAACUCCUUAUGGUUUCAGAUAAAGAGAAGAAAGCCCCAAAUGCCUCUUAUAAAAUACUAGCUAGCUUCCUAAGGUACUUGUCACUUGUUUUAAAGUGGCCAUAUAGAACAAGAUUACUUUUUUCCAAGCAGGGAACAGUUGAACAACUAUGGCACUCAGACUUCCAACAUGAAAUGCAGAUACACGACUGUGCGAGGCGAAUACGGCUGCGCUCUUCCACCAUGCCAUACACGAGACUGCACCGCAUGGAUUAUUAUGAGAAUGAGUUUGCAGUAAAACCACAGCCAAAGUUUUUGAAUGGGGCCUUGCAACAGACUCACCGAAAGCAACAAGAGUGGCAUGAACCAGGGAACGGAGUGGAAAGAGUCGUGGAACAGCAACCAAGUGAGUGAAGCCACUGAUAUCGAACUGGUGAAGUCAAUGAGGAAGGAUGAUGCUCCAUCACAAGAAGGAGCAUGGCUGCUAGAUAAGCGAAACGCAGCAACAAGAAAUGCAGGAGCAGGCUGCAGAUGGCGAGGAUGGUGGUGACGGGGUGAGUUUCAAAGGGUGAAGUCAACUUCCCCUGGUAUUUUAAUUUGAUGAAGUCGACCAGGAUAGAGACAAUGGAGGUUAAAUCCAUGACGCCCUCAGAUGAAGGCAGGGACAUCAUUUGUGGUUCUUUUUAUGGGCAGUGGCCCUCAAAAGAAAUUGGGAUCUAUUUGUUAUCAAAGAGAUCAAAGAUAAUCUCAAAAAUUGUUACAAGGAGUAGAAUAAUCGUUUCUAGUAGCCAUAUGAAGCGUAGAAAUUGUUCUUGAGGUUAAAGCUUCUGACCUCUUUGAAAACAUUGCGAGCGUUGCAGGUUUCCUUCUUUUUCUAGUGAAUCUCUUUGUAGCUUUCUGUUUGGCCCUCUGAUCAACAUGUGCCAUUUUACAUUCUUUGCUAGUAUACUAUGGUUUUGCUCAUAUAUCCGUAUGAACUAGGAUACAUAGAUGCCUUGGAGACACGAGCACAGCUGCAAUUUCAAAAGCUCUGUUCUAACAUCACUGAGUGAUCCAAAUCAAAAUGAAAGACAUCUGUUUUUUCAUCUCUGUCCCACAUACCCCAUUACUGCUUACUAGCUAUUCCAAUGAUGAUAAAGUUUUAGUAUGUCAUUGCAGAAUGAAAGUGGUUAUAUCAUAUAGUCUUCAUUUGACCUCUUGAGAGGUGACAACUAGAUCAUUGUUGUGGCAAAUCAUCUACUUGCAAUCCAAGACUACUUUGUCACUAAUCCCUGCAGAUUCCUGUAGGAGGACCAAAUCAUAUUGAUUUUAAUUUUCAGCAGGUUUCUUCAUCAUUUGAUAUGAACUUGGAAGUUGAUAUUCUUCUCGGUUUUAUAAAAGCCUGAAUGUUUAUCGUGGAACUUGCAAUCUAAGACAACUAGAUCAUUGUUCUCAGGACUGUCAAAUCCUUCUGCUAAUUCAGUAGCAGAUGCUUAAAACUUGUAACCUUUAACUGGAGUGCAAAUGUUACUGGAGAGACCAAAAUACUUCAACAAUCACUAUGACAAGGAGGAUGGGGAGAUGUUUCAUUUUUUGUUUCAAGGGUAACCAAGAUCCUGGUAGACCAAAAGAUUAAGAAGUUUUUUCUUUACUGAAAAGAGAAAAAGAGGCACGUUAAUGAAAAAUGGCGCUUUUACUAGCAUUUUCAUAUAUUAACUCUUUAUUAUCGCAUUGGCACGUGUCAAAUGUUGUCACAUGGUCGUUUCUAGUUGCCAAUAUAUAGUCGUGAACUAGGAUACCUUGGAGACGCAAGAACGGCUACAAUAUAGAAGCUUUGUUCUUUCAUGACAGAGUUAUCCAUAUCAAAUGAAAAAUGUCAGUUUUUUCAUCUCCGUCCCAUAUGCACAGGUAUCGCUUACUAGCUAUUCUCAUGAUAAUUUCGUUUGAGUUUGUCAUCGCAGAAUGACGAGUACUUACAUCAUAUAGUCAGCACUUUUCCUCUCAGAGGUGACAACUAGAUCUUUGUUGCUGUGAAUGCGUCAACUUGCUUCAGCAAAUAAUAUUUAUGAAGGCAGCGACUUCUUUUGUGAUGAAUCCUGUAUGAAUCUGAAAGCUCUUGGGUCUGAGUAAUGCAAUCUAAGACUGUUGUCUCACUGGCUGAUUGGUUUUCGUCAGGAGCUAGAAUUGUAGCUUCUGUCAGAGACUCAAGUUGCCAGGGCCAAGGUGAGAAAAGAAGGUUGAAAUACAGAUUUCGUUUUCCGGAGGCUUUAGUUUAAUAUAACUGACUUUUGGUAGACUGCAGAUGUUAGAAUUGAACUUUCCCAUCUUCAUGUGCUGGAAAAGAAUUUUUGCGGUUCAUGAAUGCAAAGCCCUGUAGGUAGUUUGCAAAGGCUGAGACUAGUCCAUGCAAACUAUUCACAUCUGACAUUUAUUUUUCAAAGAAAUAAUAAGACCGGCAAGCUUCCUGACAAGUUGAUUCAUAAUCAAAUUAUGCAUUCCUAUGUGAGUAGUCCAACUCAUAACAUUGAGCACACAAGUUUUACACUCAAAAAUAUGACAUUUAUCUGCUUUGCUGCAGAGAAUAACAAUCUCAGAUUUCGAGUGUCUGCAGUGAUCCCUGUAAGUUGAAACAUCAAACAGGGAGGUGGUCUCCCACCUCCGCAAUUCUUUUCUUAUCGAUAAGUGCCUACCCAACUCUUCAACUACAUGCGCUUUGGUUGCUUCUUUUUGAGACCAGCAUUGCACAUCUUUUUUUUAGUACCCUCAGUUGUGUGCUCGCUCUGUCCUCUUUUUCCUGCAGAAUUGCAAUUGUUUCAUCUAGUUCAGCCACGGCAGGGUCUUCAGGUGCUUCCACUAUCCCAGCAACCUGUAUUUGGUACUAGCAAGUUUUCUGUUAAUUAUUACUUAUUGUGGAGGAUGAGUCUAUCUAUAUGAUGUUAAAAAGGAGCAAGGCUAUUCACCACAGCAAAUGGCGCUGGCAGCAUCUUGUAUCCAUUAGAUGGAUAAAGUCUAUUUGGUAAGAGAGCACUUCUGGGAUGAAAAUGCACCGUGGGUAAAACGCAUUUGAUAUGAGUAAUCGAUGGGCAAGGGCUUCCAUUGCAGUCAUAAGCACCCAGAUUCAGGUCCCUUGUCUUCUUGCAAAGGUCACAGUAGUACUCACUGGUAUCAUUUUCUCGAAGCGUAAAGUGUGAGUUGAUGGAAGUUAACGGGAAUCUUUUACUGUAGUGGAAGGCAAUCUGUGAUGAUUAAGAUUGCAAUGCAGACAACUGUAAAAUUCGAACCUGCAAAGUUUACAGCAAAGCAUCGACACUCUUCAUGACAUGUCAACAGUGCUCCAUCCUGAUAUGAGAAGAAGGUAGGAUGUGCAGGUGAACAGGUUGUUGCAUAACUGAGGGCAAUUCUGCACAUGAUUUAUGGAGCAGGAAAGAGCACCUUUGCUCCAGCCAGCGAUGGGCUAAACAUUUGAUGCAUUCAUAAGAAGCCUUGCACGGACCAGCCUUCAUAUGACAGUUCCAGCGGCAGAGGGUGAUCGUGCAGAAAGAAAGAAGGGGCAACCAAGACAACCAUGGACCUUUGCACCUGAUUCUGUUUUAGAGCUUCGUGUGGAAGACCAGUGGAUGCUGACGGUCGAAAUGGUAGAGAACCGAGUCCUUAGUGCCUCCAGAUCUUGCGAACAUAGAGAUAAAGCCAUGCGUGCAAUCCAUGUCGAGGCUGAAUUUGCAUUUUGCAGUCGGAAACCAUGAUAAGCAACUAAUGAUGAUUUGGUAACAUUUCUGUUCUAGGAAACAGUUUUUUUUCGGAAGCACUUUUUUCUAUUUUUGUUCUCGAGAACAAUUUCUGAGUAUUUUAAGACGUUUAGUAAAAAGAAAAAAAAGAAAAGAAUAGGAAGAAAAGAAAGAAAGAAAAAACUUGUUUCUUAUUUCUAGAAUUGUUUUCUAGAACAAGAAACAAUUUUAUUUUUGUUUUUUGUUUCCGUUCUAAAUCUAUUCUCAGGAACAAAUUGUUUCCAAUAAUAAAAAAAUUACUAAAUGUGAUUCUAUUAUAUUUCUAUUUCAGAGAACAAAAAGACAAAAAUACUGUUUCGGAGAGUGUUACCAAACCCUCCCCAAGCAUUAAAUUUAGCUCCUCCAUUUGUUCGAAAGCAAGAGAGAGUAUCAUCUUCGUGGGAGACUCGAUGCAAGUUUUCUGGAGAAAAGUAUGCACGCAUAGCACCACAGACCUACCCCAAGAUCGCUUGCUCGUAGGCUUUGCAUUUGAUUCUACUUUUAAUCCUGAGAUGAUGGAAUGUGAGUAGAUGCUAUUGAGCAUUUGUUGGAUGGCCACAUUCUGAGAAUCCUCGUUAGGGCUUAGUUGCAACUAGGCAGAUGAGGCUACAUUGGGCCAUGCAUUAACAAUAUACACAUCCGAAUGCAAGGGAAGGUUUUCAUAUAUAAACGUGAAAUAUUGACUGGAAUAUAUAACUACAUAUAUCACUAGACUGGUGAGGUCGCAUAUUUCAUCAUACCGUGACCAAGUUUGUUAGGAAAAUAAGAUGAUAUUGUAUAUACAUACACCUUAGGGUUGGGCGAAUCAAGACACCAACAUAAAGAUAUAAUGGAGAAAAGUAUCUUUUGAAGACGACAGGUGAGCGGUGAAGACAAUGACCAAUUUAAUGUAGUUUCUUCGUAAUUGGACCUAGUCAUCAGAUGUGUUCCCUUACAACCUUCUCAUUCCUCCCUUCUUUUACUCAUUUCUCAUCCCUAGUUUGCCGCUUUCACGUGCCCUCCCCCCAUUUCUCUCUCUUCUCUAAACGUUUCCACAAAUAUUCCUCAUUGAUAACUUUUUAUUUUCAACCAAAAAGAAAAUACCUUAAUUUUUCUCUAUCUCGAAAAGAUGAAACUUAUGUACGAUGCAAUUUGGAUGAAAUAAAGAUUAUGAUGCGCACACAUUUUUCAUCUAUGGUGAUCAUCUUCGUUCCACUAAUACGUAUAUUCCUUUUGCUAAAAUUUCUGAAUUUAUUAUCCUAAUAAGGGUCAAUCCUUGUUUGAACCAGGUCACAUCCUUUUUCCCAAGCCAAAAAGAGGAAGAAGAUAGAAUUCUCUCUUUUUAUCAUAUUUAUCCUCUCCUACCGAGGUGUGCGCGUGUAUAUAUAAAAACCUCUCUUCAACAACUUCUCAGCCUCCUUUAUUGACUAGACAAAGCCGGGCAAAGCCAUUAUCUCUCCAUGGGAGCGCUUGGUAAUUUCUGUGACAACGAUUCCAUCUCUCUCUCUUUGAGAAGUAAAAGUUUCAAAUCCUAUUGAUUGCUACAAAACAAAAAUAAUUGGGCUUGAUAAAGCCUCUCAAACGCGUAUACGUCGAGAGCCCCUUUGUUUUGAGAAAAUAUUGAUUACAUUAGGGAGGCUAACUCAACAAAUUACUAGUUCAUUCAUUGAGCGGUACAUAUUGCGUCGGGCCCACCUUACAUUAAGUUUCCUCUCUCUGUCUUUUUGCUUUCCUUUUUUUGUUUUUUUUUUUUCCUUUAUUUUGUUUUUGGGUUCUUCUUGGCCAGACUAUGUUUUCUUCUCCGUUUCUCUCUUUCUGCCAUGGAAAUUCCCUUGGGACGGCAACAACUGAAGCAAGACCGAAGCAAGACCGAAGAAAGGAUUUAAAUGAUACAUUUGGGCUUGGACUUACUGUUUUGCUCUUAUUUGUUAUGGUUUGUAAGCCCAGUUAUUGAAACGUUAAUUAGGGAGAUAAAUCUAUUAGGUUGUUAUGUAUUGAUGCAAAACUAUAUGAAAUGAGAAUAAGGUGAGUUUGCUCGGUGGUAAGAAAAUUGAAUGGGAUGAGGCAAAUAAUUUUAGAACAAAAACGCACACAAACGCGUUUCUGUUUCUUUUUUGUUCCAGGAACAAAAAAACAAAAAAAUUGUUUAAAAACAGAAAAAAAAAAUGCAAACAAACGACAGCCUUAGACUUAUUCCAGUUGAUGCGGUCGGCUUCAUGAAAGAAUUCAAGUUGGAUAAAACCCAAGUCCUUUUUCUUUUUUAACCCGAGAAAAAAAUAAAUAGGAAAGUUCAAAGGCGUUCUUCCACUGUCCACUCCAGUGGCGGGGUAAAGGCAGGGACAUCAGUUCCUUUUAGUUAGAGCUACUUUGAGUAAAAGAACUGAUGUCCGUCCCUGCCUUCACCCAACGCGGCGCCAUGGAUCAUGGAAGUGAAAUAGCAGAGGAGUUGAUUUCACCCUUUGAAACCCACCCCCUCGCCACCCGCAUCGCCAUCUGCGGCCGCCUCCUGCAUUUCUUGUUGCUGCGUUUCGCUAAUCGGGCACCACCGCCUCGCGGCCCUGCUCCUUCUCGUGAUGGAACAACGCGCCUCCUCUUCCACUUCACCGGUUUGGCAUCAGUUAUUUCGCUCACGUGGUUGCUGCUCCAUGACUCCUUCCAUUCCGUCCUCUGGUUGUUCGUGCCGUUCCUGUUGCUUUCUGUGAAUCUGUUGCGUGGCCCCCAUUCAAAAACUUUGUCUGUGGUCUUACCGCAAACUUGUCCUCGUGACUAUCCGUGCGGCGCACUCUCAUGUAUGGCAUGGUGGAAGAGUGCAGCCACAUUUGCCAUGCCCGGCUGUGGAUCGGCAUUUCACGCCAGGAGUAGCACCGUAGUUGGUCGACUGUUCCCUGCUUGGAAAAAGUAAUUUUAAUUGUAUGACGACUUUAAAUCAAAUAAUUAGUACUUUAGGACGCUAGGCUAAUUUUGUAUAAGAUGCACUUGGGGCUUUCUUCUCUUUAUCUGAAAACAUGAGGAGUCCCCAAUCCUUCGGCAUCAUUGAGUGAUCCAAAUCAAAAUGAAAGAUGUCAGCUUUUUCAUCUCUGUCUCAUGUACACCACUACUACUUUCUACGUAUUCCGAUGAUAAUAUAGUUGUAGCUUAACAUUGCGGAAUAAGAGUCGUUACAUCAUAUAGUCUUCAUUUUACCUCUGAGAGCUGACAAUUAGAAAUUUGCUGUGGCAAACGCGUCAACUUGCAAUCUAAGACUACGUUGUCUCACUGGCUGAUUGGUUUUUGGCUGGGAGCUUGUUGCUUCAGUUGGACAUUCAAGUUGCCGGGGCCAACGUGAAAAAAGAAUGCUGAAUGUAGAUUUAUUUUUAUUUUUUUCAAGUGGCUUUAGUUCAAGAUAACUGAAUUUUGGCAGACUGUAGAUGUUAGAACAUAACUUUUCGAAUUGUCAUGUGCUGGAAAAAAAAUUUCCAGUUCAUGAAUGCAAAGCUAGAUAGAUAGUAUGCAGAAGCUCAAGACUUGUCUGUACAAACUACAGACAUCCAAUGUUCAUAUUUGUGGAAAGAAUUUAACCAGCAAGCUUCCUGAUAAAUUGAUUCAUAAUCAAAUUAUUCAUCCCAAUGUUAAUACUUCAAUAUAUGACACAAAGCACAAAAGUCUUCCAGUUCAAAAAUAUGAUUUUAAAUGUGUUUUCACUGCAGAGAACAACAAUCUUGGAUGUCAACUGAAGUAGUGAAUCCAAUUGACUUGCAUAAGAACGUAAGUUGAAACAUCAACCAGAAAGGCAGGUUCCCCUGACUACUGUAUUCUUUUCAUUUUGGUAAGACCCUCCUCAACUCUGCAACUACAUGCACUUUGCUUCCGGCUUUUGGAGACCAGCAUUGUGCGUCUUUUCUUGAGUACCUCCAAUUAUGUGCCCACUUUUUCCUGCAGUAAUUUUUUUCAUCUAGUUCAGCAACGGCAGGGUCUUUAGGUACUUGCACUAUUCCAGCAACUUGUAUUAAACACUAUUUGGUAUUAGCGCAUUUUCUGUUGAUUAUUACUUAUCAUGGAGAUGAGUCUAUAUAUAUGAUGUUAAAAAGGAACAUGGCUAUUCACCUCACAUGGCAGCAUCCUGUAUCCAAAUUUGGCUAAAGUCUGUUUAGCAAGAGAGCACUACUGUGAUUCAAGCGCACCAUGGUAAAACGAUUCAAUAUGAGUAGUCAAUGAGUGAGGGCACUGAUCAGAGUCAUGAGCACCUAGAUUCAUGCUCUGUCUUAUUGCAAAAGGCACAAUAGUACUACUCACUGGUAUUAUUCUUCAAUGAACAAAGCAUAAAGUGUGAGUUGAUGGAAGUUAGUGGCAAUAUUUUACUGUAGUGGAAGGCAAUCUGUGAUGAUUAAGAUUGCACUGCACACAACUGCAAAAACCGAACCUGCAAAAUUUACCAGACACUUCAUAGUGGCACAGUUUGGUAGAUUUAAAAUGGGAAAGAGUAAAUGCUUGUGGAGGUGAUGUUUCAAAGUGGGCCUUUCAAAAGUGCAUGGAGUGUCGAAGUCCUUGUCACUUCUUUGCAGUGAAAGACAGAGCGUCGAUGCUCUUCACGACAUACGUCAACAGUGCUCCUCCUGAUACGAGAAGAAAAAGGAUGUGCAGGGUGAGCAGGUUGUUGCAUCUGAGGCAAUUCAGCACAUAAUCUAUAGAGCAGAGAAGAGCAGCUCUGCUUUGCCUGGCGAUAGGCUAAACAUUUGACACAUUCAACACAAGCCUUGCACACACCAUCCUUCAUAUGACAGUUCCAGCGGCAGAGAAUGAUGGUGCAGUGGAGAAAGAAGAGGCAAUCAAGACAAUUAUAGACAGACCUCACCUAUAUGUUCCCUUCACAAGCUUUGCACUUGAUUUUGCAGUCGAGCUGCAUGUGGAAGACCAGUGGAUGCUGAUGGUCGAAAUGGUAAAAAACCGAGUCCUUAGAGCCUCCAGAAGCACAACGAGCUAUUCUUAGCUAUUCUGAUGAUAAUAAUGUUUGAGUUCGUCAUUGCAGAAAGACAGAUUGGUUACAUCAUAUAGUCAGCAUUUUACCUCUGAGAGGUGACAACUAGAUCUUUGUCCCAGCGAAUGCAUCAACAAGCAAAUAAGAUUUAUAAAGACAACGACUUCUUUUGUGAUGUAUCCUGUAUGUAUCCAGAAGCUCUUGGAUCUGAAUAAUGCAAUCUAAGACUAUUUUGUCUCACUGGUUGAUUGGUUUUCGUCGAGGAGCUAGAAUUGUUGCUUCAGUCAGAGAUUCAAGUUACCAGGGCCAAGGUGAGAAAAGAGCGCUGAAAUAUAGAUUCGUUUUUUGGGAGGCUUUAGUCCAAUGUAACCAAAUUUUGGUAGACUGCGGAUGUUAGUACUGAACUUUUCCCAUCUUCAUGUGCUGGAAAAGAAUUUGCAGCUCAUGAAUGCCGAGCCAUAUAGAUAGUAUGCAAAAGCUUGAGACUAAUCUGCACAAACUACGCACAUCUUAUAUUCAUUUUUCGAGGAAAUAAUGACCUGCAAGCUUCCUGCCAAGUUGAUUCAUAAUCAAUCUAUGCAUCACAAUGUUAGUACAUUAAUUCAUAACAUGAAGCAAACAAGUCUCACACUCAAAAAUAUGAUAUUUAUCUGCUUUUGCUGCAGAGAAUAACAAUUUCGGAUGUCUGAGUGUUAGCAGUGAUUCUGAUUGACUUGCUUAGGAACCUAAGCUGAAACAUCAAACAGAAAGAUUGUCUCCUGCCACCCCAAUUCUUUUCCUCUUGAUAAGUGCCUCCCCACCUCUGCAACUACAUGCGCUUUGCUUGCGUCUUUUUGAGACCAGCAUUGCCCAUUAUUUUUUUAGUACCUUCAGUUGUGUGCUCACUCAGUCCGCUUUUUCCCGCAGAAUUGCAAUUUUUUCAUCUUGUUCAGCAAUAGCAGGGUCUUCAGGUACUUCCAUUAUUAUUAUUUUUUUAAAAAUUGAUAUUACCGUAUUUUCUGUUGAUUAUAAUUUAUUGUGGGGAAUAAGUCUAUAUAUCAUGUUAAAGAAAGAAAAAAGAACCGGGCUUUUCACCACAUCACAAGGCAGCAUCUUGUAUCUCUUCAUUGGCUAAUGUCAGUUUAGUGAGAGAGCACUUCUGUGGUGAAAGCAUACCGUGGGUAAAACGCAUUCAAUAUGAGUAAUCAAUGCGCAAGGGCAUUCAUCGCAGCUGGAAGUACCUAUCUCAAAGGUCACAAUAAUGCUCACCGGCCUAAUCUUCGAUGGACUUAGUGUAAAGUGCGAGUUGACGGAGGUGAUGGUGAUCUUUUAUCGUUGGUGGUAAUUGUGGAAGGCAAUCAUGAUUGACAUUAAGACUGCACUGCACAAGAACAUGAAGGUUGAAAGUGCAAAAUUUACCAGACACUGCAUAGGAAGCGUGGGUCAGUAGAUCUAACAUAAGAAAGAGUAGAUGCUCGAGGUGGUGAUGUUUCAAAGUGGGCCUUCCAAAAGUGCAUGGAAUGUUGAAGUCGAAGUCACGUUCUGCGCAGUGAAAGACAGCGUCAAUUCUCUUCACCACAUGCGUCAGUGAUCGUUCCUUCCUGACAUGGGAAAAGUGGAUGUGCCUGGGUGAACGGAGUGUUGCAUGCCUGAGGGCAAUUCAGCACAUGAUUUCUGGAGCAGAAAAGAGCAGCUCGGCUUCAGGCAGUGACGGGCUAAACCUUUUCAUAUUCAUUACAAGCCUUGCCCGCACCAUCUUUCAUAUGACCUGGCUCCAGCGGCAGUGGAUGAGCGUGAAUUGCGGAAAGAAGAGGCAAUCCAGACAAGCAUAGAACUCACCUAGUAUGUUCUCUUCAUAAGCUUUGCACUAGAUUCUGGUUUCGAGCUUCACGUGGGAGGACACCAGUAGAUGCUGAUGGGCAAAAUGGAAAGACGGGGGUUGCUUCUCUGGGGUAGAUUCGGCGCAGCUCUUGUGAAUUAAGAAUAUGCACCGUGUAGCAACCAUAGACCUCGCAGGCUUUGCAUUUGAUUCGACUUUUGGCGCCGACAUGAUGGGCUGUGAGGAGAUGCUAAUGAGCAAAAUGUUGGAUGGUCACCUUCUUAGAAUCGUCGUCAGGCUUAGAGUUGUGACUAGGCAAACAAAGCUAUAUCGGGCCUUGCAGUAACGCUCAACCAUCCAACGAUCCUCCUCAUUGUAAUAUAUGGGCUUUAAAAAAAAAAAAGGAAAAGAAAGGGUUGAGAAGUCAAAAAAGGAAGCUGAGGGAGAACUGUGGAACCUUCUGCUGUUUUAAAGAGAGGAGAGAAGGAGGUCUUCAGCAGAAACGAAAAACAGGGGAACGAAAGAAACAGGGGAAAAGAGAGAAAGAAGAGAGAAAAAAAGGAAAAAAAUUUGGCACGUUUGUGAUCCGGACGCCUCAUCAAGCCGACUCAAGUGUGUUUUGCAAAGCCGGUAAGAAAUCGAAGCCUUUAAUCACUUACUUGAAGCAAUUGCCGCAAUUAGGGCUCAAAAUUCGGAUUUCUUGGAUAUUCCGAAUAUUUGUGUGGCGAAGCCCCAUUUUUGAGUCGUUGAGCUGUAUAUUUUUGUAGAAAUGGUACUUUGGGAUGUUGUGAAGCUAUAGCAUAUUUCGGAUCAUGAUUUAAGUUGCGGUUUGUCCGGAACGGAAUUUUGAAGUUGGGGGCGCAUUCUGGUACUGUAGCGAAUGGUAGCUUCAAGCCUCUUUUUUUUUUUUUUUUUGUACUGUUUUGGGGCGGCUGAGUUGGGGUUAUUGUUGUACAUUAAGAGAGCUUUCUAAAGACUGUAAGACGGCUUGAAACGGAUUUUUGUGAAGGAAGUUAUGGCGUGAUGAAGUUGGCACAUGGGCUGCACCUAGCGGGAAAUGUUGGGCGAGCUUUUAUGGCACAUAGGUGUCGUUUUAUCAACAAAUAGGCCUAGUAUAGACGAGUCGUUAUGCGAAUAUCCUUUUUACUUGGUUUUUUUAUAUUGUUUCCGUUAAUUGUCAGGAAUCCGAGUGCGUUGGUUCGAGUGAGCGUUGUAAUCGAUUUUUGGCUUUUCUCAAGUGAGUGAUGCUAUUUCUUCUUUGUAUUUUAAACUCAUGUUUUGAGCAACGGGGUGGAUUAUAUAUUCUAUGAGUUGAUAAAAAAGCAUAUUUUGUUGCAUAAAACAAGAUCAAGUUAUUACUGCCAUUUCGUUAUUUAAAAGACCGAGUUAUAUUUCGAAUUCAAUUUAAAUGGUUGUUUGAAAAAGGAUUUGUGAAAUCAUUUAUGAAAGAAUCUUGAAAUGUUUUGGAGAAUGUUUUGAUAUUUAUAUAUGUUGGAUUACUAAAAAUUGUGAUUGGCGAUUGAUGCUCAAUAUCUCUGUGGACCCUAAGGAGUGUGUGGGUAUGCGCAUACUAGUCUAGGAUAUCCUUGUGGGCCGAGCCACCGGCUAAUAAUAGGUGGAGACCUUGCUAAGGGGGGAAUCUUGAUCGUCUUGUCACGGGCGUUACGCGUAACCAUGGUCCGAUAGUUGAGCAUGAAUUGAUCAAUGGAGUGGACCAUUGAUGUGUGAUUUGCGUUUGGUCGAUGGAAUGGACCAUCGAUGUGAUUUGAUGAGAUUAAUCAAUGAAAUAAACCAUUGAUACAUGUUUUAUGAGAUUGACUAAUAGAUUGGACGAUUGGUAUCUUCGGUAUUUGAGUUAUGAUUAUAUAUUAUGUUAAAGUGAGUUACAGUUGUGUUUUAAAUAUACAUAAUGAUUUCUCGAUCCGCUUAGAAAAAAUGUGUUACUCACUUAGCCGUAGUAGCUCACUCCUCUUUUAUACUUGUUUUUCAAGUUCUUCAGCGAGUUGCGAGUAGGCGUGAGCAUUCGUUCGAGAAGGACUUUUGUGGUGGAAACUUUUUGGUAUGACUUGUGUAUAGUUAAUAGGGUUAUAAGUUAGUAUUUGUAAAAGGUUUAUGUUUUGAUUUUGUGGAUUAUAGAUAUACUCUGAUAUUGUAACCAAAUGUCAUUUUUGUCAUAUAUGUGUGUGUGUGUGAAUGUAUAUAUAUUGAUAUCAGGUUAAAUUUUGGUUAUGUUGAGGCUGUGUCCUUUGGUAAAAGGACGGCCAUGUCAUGCCUCUUUUUCUUGUGAAUUGGGGUGUGACACUCAUCGUCCGCCUACUAGGUGUUCAAGCAGGGGCUGUCAGUGAAACGGAUUUUUCUUGGGCGGACAGCAUGCUAAAUUCGGGGCGUGACUCGUGAAAGAAGAAUCGACACAAUUUACAGCCGUGGGGCUGAGCUGCAGAUCGGAGACCAGCACGCGAGACAUUCCCAACAAGUACAACCUUCCACUCAGGGUGAGGAGAUUCAAUGCCCGAUCACCAAGGCAAAUAAGGAAAUAAAAAGGCACUUUGAAUGGAGUUAUAGUUGCUGAGUGAUAUCAACAUGAAGCAAAGGGGGUGAAAUGAAUUGUGCCUCACUCCCGUAUUGUUUGAUGUUGUAUUUUGGUGCUAAUUUGUACAAUUUGUUAUAUUAUUUAUGCUUUAAUGCAAUAGUCAAUAAAACUCCAGUGGUCCAUGAAGUUUCAUUUCAUUUUUCAUUCAGUGUUCCGAAGAUUCAAUGCAUGAUCACCAAGGCAAAUUAGGAAAUAAAAAGGCGUUUUGAAUGGAGUUAUAUAGUUGCUGAGUGAAUAUCAACACGAAGCAAAUGAGGUGAAAUGAAUUGUACUGCACUCCCAUAUAAUUUGAUGCUGUAUUUUAAUGUUAAUUUGUACAGUUUUAUUUUAUUUUACUUACGGUUUAAUGCAAUAGUUAAUAAAAUUGAAUUGGCCCAUGAAAAGUUUCAUAUCUUGUUCCUUUUCCAUAAAUUAACUAAUAAAUAAAACCCAAACAUUGUAUAAGGCCAUAAAGGUGCAUUCACAUUCGUCUUAUGUAUACGUUAAUUAAAAAGUUGUUAUCCAACUUACUAUAAAGGAAUAAACGUUAUGAAAGUCCUAAAACUUGUCGCGAAAAUGUAAUUGAGUCCUAAAACUUGUCAAAUUGGUUCAAUCAAAUCCUAAAGUUAACACCUUUAAUCUUUUCUGUUAAAAAUGCUGACGUGACAUUUAAAAUUAAUUUUUAUUUUUUCAUGUGGCUUUUUUUUAAUUAUUUUUUAUUCAUUUUUAAAAUAGAUUUAAAAACUAAAAAAUUAGAUUUAUUCAUUUUAUCUUAUUUUCACCAAAAAAAAAGUGAAAAUUUAUUUUUAAAAAAUAGUUCCAAAAAAAAAAAAAAAAGCAACCUCGUCGGAGGGGCUAGCGAUAGUCGUUGGCCCUCGCCUAGCCAGAGCAACGCCUCACCUGAGCUUAGCGAGGGUCGCCGGCCCUCACCUCGACCCUCGCCAAGCUUGGGCGAGGGUGCCCAAAUCUAGGCACGUCGACCCUCGUGGGGGGCCGGCAGCCAUCGCCCAGCUUGGGCGAGUUGUUGUUGGCCCUCGUAGGGGGCCAGCGAUCAUUGCUCAGCUUGGGCGAUGCCUCAUCAGCCCUCGCUCGGGGCCGGCGAGGCUCGCCAGAUCUGGGCGAGGAUCGCCGACCCUCACGGGGGAUGGCAUGCCCAAAUCUAGGCACCCUUGCCCGAGCUUGGUGAGAGUCACCAACCUUCGCCUGGGGCCGAGUGAGGGCCGGCCACCCGCACCCAAGGCUGGCGACCGUCGUCAACCCCUCUGGUGAGGCUGCCAUUUUUUUUUUUUUUGAACUGUUUUCUUUUUUAAAUAAAUUUUCACUUUUCUUUUUUUUUUAAUUUUUAAAUCUAAUUUAAAUAUAAAAAAAUUUAAAAAACCACGUGGAAAAUAAAAAUUAAUUUUAAAUGCAACAUCAGCAUUUUUAACGGAAAAGACUAACAGUGUUAACUUUAGGACUCAAUUGAAACAAUUUGACAAGUUUUAGGACUCGAUUACACUUUUUGCAAGUUUUAUGACUCAAUUGCAUUUUCGUGACAAGCUUUAGAACUUCCGUAACACUUACCCCUACUAUAAAAGUAACUUACUUAAGACACUAUCGCAAUAACAGUCCUAUAAAUUGCUAAAAUAAAUGUCACUUGACAUAACUUAAUAGUCUAUAAAACUAUAUUCACCUUUUAUGUAAAACUCAUGUUUACAUUUGCUAUUAAAUACCAUUUGUACAAAUGGCAUGAACUGAAUCUACUUUUUUGUAGUUAUCAAUUUAUCCGUAAAUGUAUAUGUUCAGCAACAAUCUUGAAUCCCACAUUAUCAAAAAAGAGUUACUUACAAUACAAUGGUCUGUAGGCUAUGUUGAUAUGGUUGAGCAAAGUAGAAAUUUUAAUUAAACUUGUAAUUUCCUUUGAAAUCUUUGAAUACAACUCGAUUUCAUUUUCAAAAACUAAAUAAUUAUCUGCUUUGGUUAUCCUCAAAAACAAAUUAUAUAUCAAAGUUGUUGCAAGGCCGGUUCAUAUAUAUCCAAUCCACAACUUCAGCUAAGUUAAAUUGAAUUUAGAUACAUGGGUGAAAUGUUGGUGUCUGUAUAAACUAUGAAGACCAACCCUGGAGAACAUACCUAGAAAGAACAAAAUAAAAUGAAGAGGUUCUCUUCCGAGUAAUUAUAAAUAAACCUAUCCAAAUGAUAGAAUACAUUCAGAUGAAAUAAAGAUUAUAAUGCAUGCGCAUUUUUCAUCCAUGGUGAUCAUUUUCAUUCCACUCAUUUGUAUAUUCCUUUUGCUAAAAUUUUGAGUUUAUUAUACCAAUCAAAGUUACAAUUUGUAUGACCUUAAUUUUGAACUGGGUCACAUCCUUUUUCAAAGGCAAAAAAGAAGAAGAUAGAAUCUUCUCUUUUUAUCAUAUUUAUUCUCUCCUACUAGGGUGUGUGCCUGUAUAUACCCCCCCCCCCCCCGGCCGCAACUUUUCUAUCUCCUUUAUUGGCUUCUCUCUCUCUCUCUCUCUCUCAGUUUUCCAAAGGGUGUAAGGGGAAGCUUCAGUGUUCACAUAGGAUUGGUUGGACGAUGUGGCGUUACAUGAUGAUCCUAUGUCCAAUCGUAUAAGUUUCCAAAGGGUGUGAGGGGUUAGGGGAAGCUUCAGUGUUCACACAGUAUUGGUUGGACCAUGUGGCGUUACAUGAUGAUCCUAUGUCCAAUUGUAGGCAGAAAUAGGGAAGUUGGAAUUUUUUUGUUUUUUGUUUUUUUUUUUUUUAAGUUAGAGGUAGAAUUGAAACUAAAAUUAAAAUUUGGGAUUUUUUAAAAUAAAUUAGCCCAUAAAAAUUCAUGCCUCCAUCAACAAUCCAAGAUGUCUCAAACCGAAUAAAGUGCAAUCUUCCGUUAAGAUAGGAAUCUAUUUUUGCAAUAUUUUAGCAAGAAAAAAUGUUCACUACUUCAAAAGUAUUUUAGUAGAAUUUAGUAUAUCCAAUAAUUAUAGAAAUAGGCGACUUCAUGCAUAAAACAUGGCAAGACAUACCGAAAUAAUAGGAGCAACCUAAAUUGGACUCAUUCGGUGGGUCUAGGUAGUGACUUGAUGAGAGAAUGCUCAUGUCACGAUAUAUAAUUUGCUCUAUAAAUGGGUAAUUAGAAAAAGGGAUAGGUGGCUAUUAUUGCAUAAUGAAAUUGGUAAGAUUUUAAUGAAUUAGAGAAACAAUAAUGAUAUAUUGAGUAUGUUUUCAUUUUGUUGAUAUUGUGAAUAAGAUCUAUCCUUAUCUUUUGUCACACCUCAACUUUAUAGAAUAGAAAAAUCAACACCACCGUGCUCUUACUCAGAGGGCGGCAGAAGAACACCACAAGUGCCAUAACUUGGCACGCCGGGACACUUAAGUGCCAUAACUUCCAAACGGUACACUUAAGUGCCACUUUUUUUUUCAAGUGGGACACUUAAGUGCCACCUCCGGCGACCCUUGCCGGAAAUCAUACGUGGCACUAUUUUAUUACUAUUUUUGCCAACGUGGCUCGCCGGAGAGCUGAGUCGGCGCUCAGUCACCAGAAACGACGUCGUCUCCAUAAUAAAAGCCCCAAAUCUUCCAAAAACGACGUCGUCUCCCCAAAUGCCCCAAAUCUAAAACCCUAAAUCGGCCAAAAUCCCUAUUGAAGUGCUCGAAUUGAAGUCUCGAACCCUAAUUUUCAUUUGCCCAAAAUUCCUUCGUCGAAUCUUGGAAAUGGAGAGCAGGACUCGCAGCAGCGCCUCAAUUUCCUCUCAUCGAAGCGAAGGAGAAGGCCAGCGUUUCUGUUUUUGUGGGUUACCGAGUCCAAGAAGAACAUCGUGGACUCAAAUCAAUCCUGGGAGAAGAUUUUAUGGAUGCGCCCGAUAUAAAGAAGCGUCGAAGUGCAAAUACUUCAAAUGGAUUGAUGAGAAGUUCUCUGACCGAGCCACAGAGGUGAUAUUGGAUCUACUUCAUAAAAGACAGCAAUCUUCAUCUGUGUUCGUGGACGACUUGGACGAUGUUGACUCAAUGCAAGCUCAAGUGUCUUCAGUGAAACUUUCGAAGAAUGAAGUGUCAAUGCACGCUUAAGCAUCUUCAACUAAACCUUUCAAGAAUGAAGUCCCAAUGAUGAAGAUUGAACGAAAGUGUUACCAAGCGUGUAUUAUGGUGUUGUUUUGUUGUCUAUUGUACUUUAUGAUGAAAUGUAAAGUACUUGAGAAUGAGAAAAAGUUUCUGCGACUGCCAUAGUUAAAAAUGGUGUUGUUCUGGAUUAAACGUUGGGUUUUUUCUUUUUGAAAGAUGCGAAGAAGUUUGUGUUGUGGAACAAGAUCAUUGUUGCUUUGUUGUCGUUUGUGCUGUGGUAUGGACUUGCCAUAAGUUUACCAUCAUCUUCUCUGUUUUGAUGCAGAAUCAUCUUCUCUGUUUUGCAAUGCAGAAUCAUGUUCUCUGUUUUGAUGCAGACCGACAUAUACACAAGACAAACAUGAGUCAUUACCCGAGUGCCAUAAGUUGUAUUCAGUAAUCACGUAAGUGCUAGUCGCGAUGAAAAAAUGAUCACUUUAGUGUCAAGUUAUUGUUAAAGUGAUCGGUUAAGUGUCACUUGUAGUUAAAAGUGAACAGUUAAGUGCCAAGUUUUUUUAGAAUAGGAUCAGUUAAGUGCCANNNNNNNNNNNNNNNNNNNNNNNNNNNNNNNNNNNNNNNNNNNNNNNNNNNNNNNNNNNNNNNNNNNNNNNNNNNNNNNNNNNNNNNNNNNNNNNNNNNNNNNNNNNNNNNNNNNNNNNNNNNNNNNNNNNNNNNNNNNNNNNNNNNNNNNNNNNNNNNNNNNNNNNNNNNNNNNNNNNNNNNNNNNNNNNNNNNNNNNNNNNNNNNNNNNNNNNNNNNNNNNNNNNNNNNNNNNNNNNNNNNNNNNNNNNNNNNNNNNNNNNNNNNNNNNNNNNNNNNNNNNNNNNNNNNNNNNNNNNNNNNNNNNNNNNNNNNNNNNNNNNNNNNNNNNNNNNNNNNNNNNNNNNNNNNNNNNNNNNNNNNNNNNNNNNNNNNNNNNNNNNNNNNNNNNNNNNNNNNNNNNNNNNNNNNNNNNNNNNNNNNNNNNNNNNNNNNNNNNNNNNNNNNNNNNNNNNNNNNNNNNNNNNNNNNNNNNNNNNNNNNNNNNNNNNNNNNNNNNNNNNNNNNNNNNNNNNNNNNNNNNNNNNNNNNNNNNNNNNNNNNNNNNNNNNNNNNNNNNNNNNNNNNNNNNNNNNNNNNNNNNNNNNNNNNNNNNNNNNNNNNNNNNNNNNNNNNNNNNNNNNNNNNNNNNNNNNNNNNNNNNNNNNNNNNNNNNNNNNNNNNNNNNNNNNNNNNNNNNNNNNNNNNNNNNNNNNNNNNNNNNNNNNNNNNNNNNNNNNNNNNNNNNNNNNNNNNNNNNNNNNNNNNNNNNNNNNNNNNNNNNNNNNNNNNNNNNNNNNNNNNNNNNNNNNNNNNNNNNNNNNNNNNNNNNNNNNNNNNNNNNNNNNNNNNNNNNNNNNNNNNNNNNNNNNNNNNNNNNNNNNNNNNNNNNNNNNNNNNNNNNNNNNNNNNNNNNNNNNNNNNNNNNNNNNNNNNNNNNNNNNNNNNNNNNNNNNNNNNNNNNNNNNNNNNNNNNNNNNNNNNNNNNNNNNNNNNNNNNNNNNNNNNNNNNNNNNNNNNNNNNNNNNNNNNNNNNNNNNNNNNNNNNNNNNNNNNNNNNNNNNNNNNNNNNNNNNNNNNNNNNNNNNNNNNNNNNNNNNNNNNNNNNNNNNNNNNNNNNNNNNNNNNNNNNNNNNNNNNNNNNNNNNNNNNNNNNNNNNNNNNNNNNNNNNNNNNNNNNNNNNNNNNNNNNNNNNNNNNNNNNNNNNNNNNNNNNNNNNNNNNNNNNNNNNNNNNNNNNNNNNNNNNNNNNNNNNNNNNNNNNNNNNNNNNNNNNNNNNNNNNNNNNNNNNNNNNNNNNNNNNNNNNNNNNNNNNNNNNNNNNNNNNNNNNNNNNNNNNNNNNNNNNNNNNNNNNNNNNNNNNNNNNNNNNNNNNNNNNNNNNNNNNNNNNNNNNNNNNNNNNNNNNNNNNNNNNNNNNNNNNNNNNNNNNNNNNNNNNNNNNNNNNNNNNNNNNNNNNNNNNNNNNNNNNNNNNNNNNNNNNNNNNNNNNNNNNNNNNNNNNNNNNNNNNNNNNNNNNNNNNNNNNNNNNNNNNNNNNNNNNNNNNNNNNNNNNNNNNNNNNNNNNNNNNNNNNNNNNNNNNNNNNNNNNNNNNNNNNNNNNNNNNNNNNNNNNNNNNNNNNNNNNNNNNNNNNNNNNNNNNNNNNNNNNNNNNNNNNNNNNNNNNNNNNNNNNNNNNNNNNNNNNNNNNNNNNNNNNNNNNNNNNNNNNNNNNNNNNNNNNNNNNNNNNNNNNNNNNNNNNNNNNNNNNNNNNNNNNNNNNNNNNNNNNNNNNNNNNNNNNNNNNNNNNNNNNNNNNNNNNNNNNNNNNNNNNNNNNNNNNNNNNNNNNNNNNNNNNNNNNNNNNNNNNNNNNNNNNNNNNNNNNNNNNNNNNNNNNNNNNNNNNNNNNNNNNNNNNNNNNNNNNNNNNNNNNNNNNNNNNNNNNNNNNNNNNNNNNNNNNNNNNNNNNNNNNNNNNNNNNNNNNNNNNNNNNNNNNNNNNNNNNNNNNNNNNNNNNNNNNNNNNNNNNNNNNNNNNNNNNNNNNNNNNNNNNNNNNNNNNNNNNNNNNNNNNNNNNNNNNNNNNNNNNNNNNNNNNNNNNNNNNNNNNNNNNNNNNNNNNNNNNNNNNNNNNNNNNNNNNNNNNNNNNNNNNNNNNNNNNNNNNNNNNNNNNNNNNNNNNNNNNNNNNNNNNNNNNNNNNNNNNNNNNNNNNNNNNNNNNNNNNNNNNNNNNNNNNNNNNNNNNNNNNNNNNNNNNNNNNNNNNNNNNNNNNNNNNNNNNNNNNNNNNNNNNNNNNNNNNNNNNNNNNNNNNNNNNNNNNNNNNNNNNNNNNNNNNNNNNNNNNNNNNNNNNNNNNNNNNNNNNNNNNNNNNNNNNNNNNNNNNNNNNNNNNNNNNNNNNNNNNNNNNNNNNNNNNNNNNNNNNNNNNNNNNNNNNNNNNNNNNNNNNNNNNNNNNNNNNNNNNNNNNNNNNNNNNNNNNNNNNNNNNNNNNNNNNNNNNNNNNNNNNNNNNNNNNNNNNNNNNNNNNNNNNNNNNNNNNNNNNNNNNNNNNNNNNNNNNNNNNNNNNNNNNNNNNNNNNNNNNNNNNNNNNNNNNNNNNNNNNNNNNNNNNNNNNNNNNNNNNNNNNNNNNNNNNNNNNNNNNNNNNNNNNNNNNNNNNNNNNNNNNNNNNNNNNNNNNNNNNNNNNNNNNNNNNNNNNNNNNNNNNNNNNNNNNNNNNNNNNNNNNNNNNNNNNNNNNNNNNNNNNNNNNNNNNNNNNNNNNNNNNNNNNNNNNNNNNNNNNNNNNNNNNNNNNNNNNNNNNNNNNNNNNNNNNNNNNNNNNNNNNNNNNNNNNNNNNNNNNNNNNNNNNNNNNNNNNNNNNNNNNNNNNNNNNNNNNNNNNNNNNNNNNNNNNNNNNNNNNNNNNNNNNNNNNNNNNNNNNNNNNNNNNNNNNNNNNNNNNNNNNNNNNNNNNNNNNNNNNNNNNNNNNNNNNNNNNNNNNNNNNNNNNNNNNNNNNNNNNNNNNNNNNNNNNNNNNNNNNNNNNNNNNNNNNNNNNNNNNNNNNNNNNNNNNNNNNNNNNNNNNNNNNNNNNNNNNNNNNNNNNNNNNNNNNNNNNNNNNNNNNNNNNNNNNNNNNNNNNNNNNNNNNNNNNNNNNNNNNNNNNNNNNNNNNNNNNNNNNNNNNNNNNNNNNNNNNNNNNNNNNNNNNNNNNNNNNNNNNNNNNNNNNNNNNNNNNNNNNNNNNNNNNNNNNNNNNNNNNNNNNNNNNNNNNNNNNNNNNNNNNNNNNNNNNNNNNNNNNNNNNNNNNNNNNNNNNNNNNNNNNNNNNNNNNNNNNNNNNNNNNNNNNNNNNNNNNNNNNNNNNNNNNNNNNNNNNNNNNNNNNNNNNNNNNNNNNNNNNNNNNNNNNNNNNNNNNNNNNNNNNNNNNNNNNNNNNNNNNNNNNNNNNNNNNNNNNNNNNNNCACUAUUGUUUUCACAAACACUUUCGCCUCUUCGCCAUGAAGAUAAUGAUAUAAGACAUCCCUAAAACCAUUAUCAUCUUCCAAAACUCUCAAACCAUCUCUCAAGCCUUUCCCAGGAACACAGUACAGUAACUUUUGUACUCUACAAGGCAAAAUGUCACUAUAUUCCUAACAAAUCCAAUAUAAGAUGCCUUCUUUAUAUCUACAAAGAUAGUACCCUCAUUCCCCCCCUCAUACUCCCACUCAUCCUCCCCAAUCACAAAAUCUCCACCGUAGUAAACGAUGACAGCAACAUAGUCUUUAUGCGCCAUUUCUGCAACAAAAGAGGACAAAUAUACAAUUAACUAUUUUGGGACCACAUUCACAAAGAACAGACAAUUGCAAGUGGAGGUCCCCACACUCUUUAUUAAAGAAAAGAAAAGAAAAGAAGAAGAGAGAGGGAAGAUGCGGUCGUCGACAGCUGCAGCUUGAAAACAACAGGCCUCGGGACAAGGACAAAUAAAAAUUAAGAUGGGACCCGACAACUGCUUUGAUUAUGCCGUCGCAUUUCUUUAAAAUAUGGAGAGAUUCCUCAGCAUGGGUCCUCAACAAUGCAAUUUAUUAAACAAAUAUCCAGAAGUCCCCAUCCCCACAACCUUCGAUUCUCACAUGUGCAAAGUCCAAUACUCUGAACCCUAACAAUCACCAAUCAUCGCACAUUUCACAUCCGACCACUACAAAUUACUUUCGCACAUCACAAUUCAACACCCUGAAUGAAUCACACAUCACAGUGGAUGAGGCGACGUCGAGCCCUACACUGAGCCCUAAUUUCCCCCCCCUCGAGCCCUACACCGAGCCUAUAUUUCAAUGCCGCUCCUAAACUGUCAAUUUGAACCCCCCAAUAGGAUUGUAGCACUACAUCUCAGCCAUUAAAUCUCACAUCAAGCCUGACCUUUCCCAGCCGACCCCCAAAUUUGAAGUCCGAGCCCUAAUAAACGAGUCGGAGCCCUAAUUUCACCACAGGGGAGAGGAAGAAGAGAAAAAACCUGAGCAAAUCGACGACGGCGAGCGAUGACAGCGCUCGACGACGGCGACCGACGACGCCGACCGACGACGGCGACCGACAAAGGCGAGCGACGACGGCGAGCGAUCACCUGCGAACGGCGAGCUGUGAACGGCGAUGGAUGGAUGGAGAGGACGUCAGACCUACUGUGAACCGACAAAAUGUUAAAUUCCAAAUAAACGAACGACGUCGUUUUGUUUGGCCAAGUGCACAGUGGAUGGGGCGACGUCGUUUUCCUCCUCCACGUCUGCUUUUUUUUAAAAAAAAAAUUGCCACAUCAGUUAAGCUUGUCGCCGGAAAAUGCCACGUCUGCAUUUUGGCCGGUUUUUCGCCGGAUUGGCACUUAAGUGUCCCAUUUUACUCCGAUGAUGGCACUUAAGUGUACCAUUUUAAAGUUAUGGCACUUAAGUGUCCCGGCGUGCCAAGUUAUGGCACUCCAGGUGUCCCGACCUCCUCAGAGGGCAUAGCCUCAAUUACAAACUAAUGUAAACAUGUUGUCAAAACAUACAUUCAUCUAUGUACUUGAUAGAACAGUGAGUUGGUGACAUAAUCAAGAAUUCUGAAAUUCAUAAAAAAGUGUAUCUCCAAACUCAAUUAAACUCCACAAAUAUCAUCUCAAACAUAUACAAAUAUCUAAACUCAUGUUUAAAACGCAACUGUAAAAAAUUUCCCGUCGAUAAUGCUCACAUCCUACUUUAGCUGAAGAAAUUUAAAAAGAUUUGGAGUAAAUAGUGUCAGCAAUCACAAUUUUGUAAAUAACCUAAUUUUUUCCUAAGCAGAUCGAGCAUAAAUUGUGCAAGUAUAUAAAGUAAUAUUAGAGACUCCUUUAUCCAAAUCUAGUAUCUAAUGUACAACAAAACCAAAUAUGAGUAAUAUUAUUUCAAGCUUUAUACUUAUUGAAAAUAUUCAUUCAAAUUUCAAAUAUCAAAAGAGCAGUAAACGGUUUGUCUAGUUUUAUGCAGCAAAUAUAUUUGAAACAUUACUUUCUUGUUUUUACAAAAUUAUAUCGUGCAAUGCCUUUUACAACUUCUAAUAUGUCAAACCCAUAUCACUUUCAAGAUAUGAGUUCACAAAUUCGUGAAAGUUCACAGCUCACCCCUAACCAAAAUCCAAAUCAAAGGUUACGCUCUCAGAAAGUUUCAAAGUCCUAUCAAAGAUUAACUAAAUGUCAAACUUACGUAUCAACUAAAAUUGACUAAAAUUUUAGUCGGUGAUACCAUAUUCUUGAGUCAAGAAACCUAUGAACAGCUACUUGCCAACAGAGUUGACCUCAUCUUAGAACUCUAAUUUAAGCAAGCUUACUUUCAAUAGAAAACUCUAGAUAAGGCUUGGGCUGGCAAUGCUUUGAUGAGGUCGCUAACCCUUGACGAGGUUGCUGACCCUUCUCUAGUCGAUUGAUGGCCAUGGCCAGCAACAUGCUAAAUGAAGAAAAAGAAGAGGAAAAGGAAAAAAGAAAAAGAAAAGAAAAAUGUAAUAAAUUAUUUAAAAUUUAACAGAAAUUCUAAAUUACUCAAGAUUUCGAAAGUCGUAUCAAAUGCAUUUCUAUUUCAAAAAUAGAAAUUUUAAAUAAUUACCAAACAUCUUCUAAUAUUAAGAAACUCUCCUAGGGAAUAGAAUUAGAAAACGAGAGUAGAAUAAUUACCAAACACAUAUUAAGAAAUCAUAAAACCAAAAGAUGGUCAGAGAAAGGCGAAAUCCGUUGCCAAACACAGUAAUUCAAAAAUUAUAUCUUACUAGUGCGCAAAACUUUAAAAAUUUAUCCCGAUCAAACCAUAAACUUUAGAAUGGGGGAGGGGAACGUGGCACGUGGUAGUCGAGCCCAGUGCGUUACGUUUUGGAUCCAGUCUCCAAAAAUAGUAGUAAUGCAGCCCACGUUGUUCCCCUUGCUUCGCCAUCACUAUCACAUGCGUUCGAGCCCAAGUUGCUGCUGGCCCAAGCCAUCUCCCAUCUUAAAGAGGAAUUUUUGUUCACAAGGUUGCUGAGUACAAGGACAAAAAAAGGAAAUGGUAGUCGUAUUCGAUUGCGGUAUCUAUCUUGUUCUUUUUCUUUUUCUUUUUCUUUUUCUUUGGGGUUCUUCUUGGCCAGGUUUGCUCUAGUAAUUCCGUUACCACAGCAUCAACUGAAGCAAAAAUAAAGAAAAGGCUUUAACGAGACGCUUGGGCUUGGGCUUACUGUUUUGCUCUUGUUCAUUAUGUUUUGCCAGCCCGGUUAUUGAAACUUUAUUCGUGCGCAUGAAUCUUCCAGGUUAUUGCCUUUUGAUGCGAACCAUGUCAGACAAGGGCGCACUCUGCUGAGAAAAGAGAGGAGAGUUCAAGUGGGACAGAAGAAAAUCCUUCUUUCUUUUCUAAUCCAAGGAAAAAUAAAUAGGAAAGUUCAAAGGCUUUCCUCCACUCCAGUGGUGGAGGUGAAGGCAGGGACUGCAAAAUGGAAUAAAAGACGACAGUCUGAAGCCGUUAAAAAGUGGAGAAGUCUCCACUUUUUCACAGCUUUCAAAGUCACAGCUUCAAACUGUGGUAUUUAAGAACCACCAGGGAUGUCCCUGCCUUCACCCCUCACGGCACCAUGGAUCUUACGUCUAUCGUCUCUAUCCUGGCCGACUUCAUUGAAGUGAAAUACCAGGGAAGUUAAUUUCGCCCUUUGAAACCCACCGCGUCGCCACUGGUGUCGCCAUCUGCAGCCUGCUCCUGCAUUUCUUUUUGGAGCGUGUCACUAAGCAGGCACCACCUUCUCGCAGCCGUGCUCCUUGAGAUGGAACAGCACGCCUCUUUUUCCACUUCAACGGUUUGAAAUUGGUGUUUUCACUCGCGUGGUUGCUGCUCCAAGACUCCUUCCACUCCAUUCUCCGGUUCCUGCUGCUCCUAGUGCUUUCCGUGAAUCUAUUGCACGGCCCCAUUCAAAAACUUUGUCUGCGGUUUUACCACAAACUUGUCCUCAAGAUUAUCCGUGUGGCAAGGUCUCGUGCAUGGCGUGAUCGAAGAGCAUGGCCAUUUUCGCCGUACCCGGUCGUGGAUCAGCGUUUCAUGCUGGAAGUCUGAGCGCUGGAGAGUUGUGACUAGGCAGACGAAGCGAUGUCGGGCCAUGCGGUAAGGCUUGACCAUCCGAAUGCCGAGAAGGAAGCCUGCUCAAAUGCAUGGCAACUAGGACGAUCCUCCCCAUUGUCCGCCUACUAGGUGUUCAAGCGGGGGCCGUGGGCGAAACGGGUUUUCUCGGGCGGAAAGAAUGCUAAAUUCGGGGCUCACUCCUGAAAGAAGAAUCGACACAAGUUACAGCAGUGGGGCUGAGCUGCGGAUCGGAGACCAGCACGCGAGACAUUCCAAGCUAGCUUAACCUUCCGCUCAGGUUCCGGAGAUUCAAUGCAUGAUCACCAAGGCAAAUUAGGAAAUAAAAAGGCGUUUUGAAUGGAGUUAUAGUUGCUGAGUGAUAUCAACACGAAGCAAACAGGAUGAAAUUGUUAAAAUGGAUGUAACUUGACAUAACUUAAUAGUCUAGAAAUCUAAAUUCACCUUAUAUCUAAAAGGAAUGUUUACAUCUGCUAUUCAAUAUAAUUUGUACAAAUGGAAUGAGCCAAAUCUACCUUUUUCUAGUUAUCAAUUUAUCCCUAAAUGUGCAUGUUUAGCGGCAAUCUUGAAUUCCACAUUAUUGAAAAACAGUUGCACAUAAUAUGAUGCUUCGUAAGUUAUGUUGAUAAGGUUCACCAAAGUAAUUACAAUUAAACUUGCAAUUUUAUUAUCUUUGAAUAAAACUCAAUUUCAUUUUCAAAAAUUUAAUAAUGGUCCACAUUGUUUACUCUUGAAAACAAAAUAUAGAUCCAAGUUGUUACAAACCCAAUUCACAUAUAUAACCUACGACUUCAGCCAUUUAAACUUAAUUUAGAUCCAUUUGUAUAAAACAAUGAAGACUAAGAUCUAGGAGAACAUUUCAAGAAAGAACAAACAAAACAGGGAAGUACUGUGACAGCCCAAGCGGCGGUGUGCGGAGAGAAGGGAUGGUGGUGCAUCCGCACCUCGGUUUCUGGACGUGCGCAAGGAAGAGGUUCCUGUCUUGUCCCACAUCGCUUAGGGGAGAGUCCUGGGCUAGCUUAUAAGGCUUGAGUCCAUCUAACUGUACACACUCUACCCUUGCAAUACGCAUUUUCUUGGGGUACUAUAGGCUGCCCCGAGAAGAACAAAACCAUGAGGACUCAGUAUCCAAAGUGGACAAUAUGUGUACAGUCCCACAACAUGUGGGGCCAUAGCGAUGACACUAUGCUCCUAAGGGGUGGAGAGUGUGACAGCCCAAGCGGCGAUGCGCGGGGAGGAGGGAUGGUGGUGCGUUCGCACCUUGAGAGAGGCUGCGCGACUCUGAUGGAGGGCGUAUGUACCAAAAGAGGACAAUAUAUUGGCUUGAGAAAGGGAUGGCGGUGUGUCCAUGCCUCUGCCUCUACAAUACACGUUUAGAUCACCAUCAAAAUUCAAAUAUCAAUGGUCAAGUACAUUGUAUAAUCUCCAUCAAAAACACAUAUCAAUGAUCUAUCCAUUGAUUUAUCUCAUAUCAAACACACGUUGAUGGUCCAUCAAUCAACCAAUCUUUUUCUCAAUAUUUAACCAUAGUCACUACUCAACGCCUUGUGACAAGGCGACCAAGAUUCCCUCCUUGGCAAGGUCUUCACCUAUAAAGCCGGUGGCUCGGCCCAGAAAGAUAUUCUAAACCUAAUAUGCAUAUCCCAAAAACCCCUCACUGGGUUCACAGUCAUAUUGAGCAUAAAUAAUCAUUCUCCAAUGCCAGAAAUCCAAUCCAUAAAUCAAUAGCUUAAACCAAACAAAUAACAUUUGCGGCAUAGUCCAUCAUCCAUUUCAUAUCAAUUUCUCAAAUCAUCAUAAACAUUUCCAUAAAUCAAUCGCAAAGAAUAUAUAUUACCACUCACCUCGUCGUCUACGACCAAACAACAAAUGAUACUUGUAUGGUCAAACUCAAGUCCCUAUCAAAUAAUCGAGGAAUAAUGUUAAAAUAUAAUAAAACUCUAUUUCAACUAUGAAACAAUUAAAUUACGCCUUAAUUCUACCAAAAGGACUUCCACGUUCUAACAAAUCGCAUAACCAAGGCGAUUGUUCAAGCCAUUCACAACACGGAGUUUAAGCACAAAACUUGAUCGCACAUUAACUUUCUCCUUCGAAUCCCGAACCGAAUGUACUUAUAAUCAAUAGAGAGCCCUUCACACAUAUUACAAGAAUCCCAACUUGACCGUCCCAAAAUCAAGCCAAAAAAUGACAAAAUACGGGCCCAAAGCUGCUGGACACGUAUUGCUCACUGCGCACGGGAAACUUUGAAAUUUUGUUUCGGACAAACCAUAAGCUCAAAUCAUGAUCCGUAAACUCUCACAGCUCCACAAUACCCUAAACUACCAUUCCUACAAAAAUAUGCGGCUCAACAACCCCAAAAUCGGACUUCACCGCUCAAUUUUCCAAAAAUUCCGAAUUUGAGUCAUAAACCCAUAAAUUACUUCAAUUGGACGAAUGAGAGGCCUAAUCUCUUACCGGGUGCUGCGUUAUGGAGUCGAGUCGGCUUGCGAGGCAUCCGUGGCGUGCACGUACCAAAACCCGUUUCAUUUCUUCCCCUUUCUCUUCUUCUUCUUCUUCUUCUUCUUCUUUUCUUUCUUAUCGAGGGACCUCUCAGCUUCUAGGCAAAAGAACGCUUCAAGUGCCAUAACUUUGGCCAAAGGGACACUUAAGUGCCAUAACUUACGAAAGGUACACUUAAGUGCCAAAUUCGAAAAAAAACGGAUCACUUGAGUGCCACUCCGGCCAAAGUCCGGCCAAAACGCCAACGUGGCGUAUUUCCGGUGAAGCGCGCCCAAAACGACACCGUUUUGCACGCUGACGUGGCCAAAACGGCGUCGUUUUGGGCCGACGUGGCAAAAAGAAAAUUAAAAAAUUAAUUAAAUUAAUUUUAAAAUUAAAUUUAGUUAAAAUAUUUAAAAAUAAUAAUUUUAAAAUUAAAUUUAUUUAAAAUGUUUUAAAAAACUUUAAAAACCUUUAAAAGUAUUUUUAAAAAUUAAAAAAUUAAAAAUUAAAAAAAAAAAAAAGGGAAUGGGGGGAGGCGGCUGAGGGAUCAGCCCUCAGCCGCCGCCGCCGCCGCCGCCGCCGCCGCCGCCCCGCCGCCGCCGGGAAGGGCCGGCGACGNNNNNNNNNNNNNNNNNNNNNNNNNNNNNNNNNNNNNNNNNNNNNNNNNNNNNNNNNNNNNNNNNNNNNNNNNNNNNNNNNNNNNNNNNNNNNNNNNNNNCUUAGCCGCCUCCCCUGUUCCUUUUUUUUUUUUUUUAAUUUUUUUAAUUUUUUUAAAAGUUUUUUAAAUUUUAAAUAUUAUUUUUUAAAAUAUUUUAACUAAAUUUAAUUUUAAAUUAAAUUUAAUUAUUUAUUUAUUUAUUUUGUUCCACGUCAGUCGAAACGACGCCGUUUUGGCCACGUCAACGUGCAAAACGGCGCCGUUUUGGCCGCGCUUCGCCGGAAAAACGCCACGUUGGCGUUUUGGCCGGAUUGGCACUCAAGUGAUCUCUUUUACUCCGAUUUUGGCACUUAAGUGUACCUUUCGUAAGUUAUGGCACUUAAGUGUCCCUUUGGGCAAAGUUAAGGCACUUGAGGGGUCCGCACGUCCAGCUUCUAUUUAGCUGAGCCCUCUCCCCUCUCAUUUUUGCUUUAUUGACUUUUCAACUUCUUUUUAUUUUUCUUCUUUCGGGGCCCACUAGCCUAAUAUUACAUUCUACCACCUAUAAGGACCCGGGCCUCCACUGUACACAUAUUGUCCGCUUUGGACACUAAGUCCUCACGGUUUUGUUCUUCUUGGGUAGCCUAUACUACCCCAAGAAAACGCGUAUUGCAAGGGCAGAGGUGCAGACGCACCGUCAUCCCUCUCCCAAGCCAGUAUACUGUCCUCUUUAGGUACAUACGCCCUCCGCCAUCCCUCUCCCAAGCCAAUAUAUUGUCCUCUUUAGGUACAUACGCUCUCCAUCAAAGUCGCGCAGCCUCCCUCAAGGUUUUGUUUCCUAUGGGUCACCUACACUAACAAGGACGCACCUCCAUCCCAACAACGGUUUUUUUCCUCAUAACGCGUAUGUACAGUUAGAGGGACCCAAGCCUUAUAAGCUAGCCUAAGACUCCCCCCCCCCCCACUAAGCGAUGUGGGACAAGAGAGGGACCCCUUCCCUACAUACGUCCGGGGACCGAGAUGCGGACACACUAUCAUCCCUCCUCCCCGCGCACCGCCGCUUGGGCUGUCACAAGUACUCUUCCAAAUAAUAAUAAGUAAACCUAUCUAAAUGAUAGAAAGAACUACAUUUGGAAAGAGAAAAACCAGAGCUGUGUAGAGCUCAUAUCAAAAGGUUCUUGGAAGCUGUUCUAUUCUAACCUAACUUUAUUAGGAGCUAUAAUUGUCGGAUUGUAAACCAAAUUCUAGUGGUACAAUUGCUUUAGCUGCUACUAUCACCAGUAGCAAAAAAAGCCAUGGAAAGGUCAAGAGGUACAUUACAUACUUCAAUACACCUGAAACAAGUAAAUUGCUACGAAUAUCAGAACUCCUGGAUCAAAGGCAAGAGGAGAAUAAAAAAACGCUAUGUGGCCAUAGCAAAACUAAUUGCAAGUUAACAAGGAACAUGCGAGAGCAAUUUAGCAAAAAUGUUGUAGUGCUAGUUUCGGGAAAUAAAACACAUUCAGAGAACGUGAAGUAUCCUGGAAUGUCUCAUUCUCUCUUGUUGUUUGCACAACAUAUUUGAAGAAUCAUAAUUUAUAGCUUAAUUACGAAAAUUCCUCCAAUUAGAUAAAUUAAAAUUGUUGCUACCAAAUAUAGUUAAUCAGUCUUGUUGAGCUCUCUCAAGCGUGCAUAGAGCGAAAGCCCCCCUUUGUUUCCACUCUCUUUACUCGAUUUCUCCGAAUUCUGCUUUCCUUCCUUCUUUCUUUUUUUAUUCUUCUUGGCCAGGCUUUGUUUUCUUUCUUUCUACUCUUGUAAUUUAUCUUGCAAUGCAGCAAGACUGAAGAAAGGGCUAAAACGAGACACUCAGGCUUGGACUUAAUGUUUUGCUCUUAUUUAUUAUUUUUUGCAAGCCCAUUUCUCGGAACUUCAUUCAUGAAGAUAAAUCUUUUAGGUUAUUAUGUACUGAUGGAUCCUAUGUGGAGUAAGGAUAGGUCACUUGAAAUUAAAGUUGGGCACAUAACUUUUUUUUAAUAAGAAAAAUGUCAGAAAAAUUCUAAUUCUAUUGUAUUCGUGUCAAUUUGACCUAGUAUCAAUUUAAUCAUCUCAACUAAUUUUGAUAAGAAAUUACUGACACGGAUAUUGGCUAUCCUGCAUGACAUGCCUACCCUAACAUGGAUAAUUUUUUUUAAUAAUAAUUCAAUAUUUUUUAUUUACUGUUAUUAUUAUUAUUUUCUUUUUUUUCUUCAUUCUUUUUUGCCAUUGUUGGGCGGGCUGGCGUCACCUAGGCGAGGGUUGCCAUCACCCACCAUUGGUGAGGCCUAGCCAAAAGAGAGUGAUCCCAAUCAAGCUUGUCACUUCGUAUCAUUCCUGGAAAAGGUUGAGCCCUCACCUGUGACUAGGCGAGGCCUUGCAAGAGUCAGCCUCAUCCAUGCCAGACUUGGUGAGGUCAGCUUGCUUGGUCAUUGCCUAUAACCAGCAAAAGGAAGAAGAAAGGAAAAAAGAAAAAAAAAUAGAAAAAAGAUAAAUAUAUAUUAUAUUAUUAUUUAAAAAUUUCCACGGCCCAAAUCACUUUUUGGUGUCCGGGAAGGGAAUCAAGGUCCGCAGACAUCCAAAUUGACUUUUGGUGUCUUGUAUCAAAUUUUGGAGUCCAGUGUUUCGGCAAAACAUCGCACCAAAAAUGAAUUUGGAUGUCUACAGACCAUAGCCAAAUCACCGCAUCAAAAGUGAAUUUGGAUGUCUGUGAACCAUGAUUCCCCUCCGUAUAAAUAGAAGUAUAAACGAUGCUCCUGUCGUCACCCCUCACAACUCCAUGGAUCUUACCUCCAUUGUCUCUAUCCUGGUCAACUUCAUCCAAGGGAAACACCAAAGGAAGUCGCAUUCACCCUUUGAAACCCACCCCAUCGCCACCCGUGUCACCAUCUGCAACCUGCUCCUGCAUUUCUUUUUCGGGCAUGUCACUAAUCCGGCACCACUAUCAAGCGGCCCUCCUCCUUCUCGUGAUGGAGUAGCACACCUCCUCUUUCACUUCACCGGUUUGAUAUCGGUGUUUUCGCUCGCGUGGUUACUGCUUCAUGACUCCUUCCACUUCGUCCUUUGGUUCGUGCCAUUCCUAUUGCUUUCCGUGAGUCUGUUGCAGGGCCUCAUUCAAAAACUCUGGUUGUGGUUUUACUGCAAACUUCUUCUCAUGAUAAUCCGUGCAGCACGCUCCCACUUAUGGCAUGGUGGAAGAGUGCAGCCACAUUUGCCAUUAUCUAACAUAAAAACUAAUCAAACCGAUUUACAAUUUUCAUUUUUUUAAUUAAAAAUUAAAUAUAAUAUAUAUUAUCGGUAGUCCGGGUGGACGGCUCCACGUCUAAAAUGAGAACCAAACCAAUUUCCUUAGAAAUCAUUGGUUCUCGGGCUAUCUAGACAGUUUUUGAUUCAUUUGCAUGACCCUAUUCCUCGUCCUCUACUGUGCUUUCACAUGGCCUCCACCCAUUUCUCUCUCCUCUUUAAAAGUUUCCACAAAUAUUCCUCCUCAAUACCUUGUUUUUUCUGCUCAAAAAGAUUAUAUUUAUGAUUCAAUUUGGAUGAAAUAAAGAUUAUAAUGCAUGCACAUUUUUCAUCUAUGGCGUAUCAUCUUCAUUCCACUAAUUUGUAUGUUCCUUUUGCUUAAAUUUUGAAUUUAUUAGACUAAUCAAGGUCCUACGUUGUUUAACCUUUUUCAGAGGCAAAAAAAAGAAAAAGAGAAGAAGACAAAGUUCUCUCUUUUUAUUUAUUCUCUCCUGCUAGGGUGUGCACGUGUAUGUAUAUAUAAACCUCUCUUCAAAAACUUCUAAGUCUCCUUUUUUAACUAUCCCAAUGUAGUUUCUUUGUGAACAAGACUUAGGGCGUCACGUUUGGUAACCCUUCUAUUCCUGAGAACAAUUUUUGAUCAUAAAUUAUUCUUUUUUAUUCCGUUCCCGAAAUCUAAAUAUUUUAAGUAGUUUGGUAACUAUCCAAAAUUUCAAUUCCCGGAAUAUAAUUAUAUUUGGCACUGUUCUCAAAAUUUCUACUUCAAAUCAUUUUCUUUUAAUUUUUAAAUAAUUUUAUUACUUUUUUUCUUUUUUCUUUUUUUUUUCCUUUCUUCUUCUUGGCCACAUGAGGGCCAGCAACCUCACCGGAGGUCGAGCCUCGCCCAGCCAAGCGAGGCUCGCUGAUGGCUGGGGAGGCUCGGGCGAGGCCUCCUUGGCCACCGACGAGGCUGAGGCUCACCGAUGGCUAGGCGAUCCUCCGAUGAGCUUGCCGGACUUUACCCAACUGGUUGACGGCGCACACCCUACCAGGAGAGAAUAAAUAUUAUAAAAAGAGAGAACUUUGUCUUCUUCUUCUUCUUCUUCUUCUUCUUCUUCUCGAUGAUGGCUGGGGAGGCUCGAGCGAGGCCUACUUGGCCACUGGCGAGGCUGAGGCUCACCGGUGGCUAGGCGAUCCUUCGAUGAGCUUGCCAAACCUUACCCAACUAGUUGCCGGCGACCAGUGACCGACGGCAAUGGGUAGCGAGCGGCGGCAGUGGCGGUGACGACAGUUAAAGAAGAAGAACAAGAAAAAAGAAAAGAAAAGAUAGAAAAUAAGUUGGUUGAUUUUAGAAUUGUUCCCAGGAACAAAGAAUCAACUCUUUUUUUAUUUCUCGAUUUUGUUCCAAGUCUAUUUCCGUGAACUAAAAAAUAGAAAUUUGUUCUCGGGAACAAAAAUUUUACCAAAUGGAUUUGUGUUCCAAAUCUAUUUUCGGGAACAAAAAAAAAUAUAAAUUAUCACUAUUUGGCAAGUUGCCAAACAAACCCUUAGUCAUCAAAUUUUCACUCAUGCCCUUCCCUGUUCCUUCCCCCUUUUUACUCAACCCUCAUCCCCUACUGUGCUUUCAUGUGGCCUUCCCCGAUUUCUCUUUUCUUUAAAAGUUUCAACAAAUAUUCCUCCCCUAUACCUUGUUUUUUCUAUUUUCUCAAAAAUAUGAUAUUUAUGAUUCAAUUUAGAUGAAAUAAAGAUUAUGAUGCACACGUAUUUUUCAUUUGUGAUGUAUCAUCUUCAUUCCACUAAUUUCUAUGUUUCUUUUGCUAAAAUUUUGAAUUUAUUAUACUAAUCAAGGUCCGAACCUUGAUUUGAACUGGUUCAAGUCCUUUUUUGAGGCAAAAGAAGAAGAAUUCUCUCUUUUUAUCAUAUUUAUUCUCUUCUACUAGGUAUGCACACAUAAACCACUCUUCAAAAACUUCUGAGUCCCCAUUAUUGACUACACCUCUCUCUCUCUCUCUCUCUAUGUUUUCAAUCUCAUUUAUUGAAUCAAACAGAGCCAAAUAAUCUCUCUCUCUCUCUCAGAGUUUCCCAAGGGGAGGCUUGGAUGCGACCGCAACAAUGGUUGGACCAUGUGGCAUCAAAUGAUGAUCCUAUGUCCAGGUGCGCGUCGUAUGAGAUCUUAAUUAAAGUUGCGAAUUUUUUUAAAAGAAAAUGAAGGCAGAAUGAGAUUAAAAUUAAAGUUGGGCAUCUUUUCAGGAAAUUAGCCCAUAGUUCCAUCAACAAUCCAAGGUGUCUUAAACCUAUUUUCACAAUAUUUCAUCGAAAAGACAUCCAGCUGCUUCAAAAGUAUUUUAGGAGGAUUUAAUAUACGCAACAAUCAUAGAAAUAGAUGAGUUCGUGGUUAAAACAUGGCAACAAACAAAUGUUCAUGUCGCAAUAUAUAUUGCGAACUAUGCUAGGGGUGAGGAUAAGUCAUGGGGAAAAGGUUGGCCAGAUCAAGGCCUCUUUAAUGGAGAAAAAUGUUAGAAAAGUUUUAAAUCUAUUUCAUUUGUGUCAAUAUAAUUUUAAACCUUUAAAUUAUAACAAUUUAAUCAUAAUUUUUUAUUAAUUCAAUCAUUGAGACUAAUUUUAACUGAAAAUUACUUAUAUAAACGCCAACUAUUCAACGUGACUCAACCGGGCAGGUUGGCCUCACUUAGGCGAGGAUCACCGGCCUGACCAGGCGAGAGCGAUCCUCGAUGAGGCCGCCUUGGCCUGGGCGAGGGGAGCCCUCGCCCUCACCCUCACCCUCGCCUAGGCUAGAUUUGGUGAGGCCACCCCGCUCAGCCAUUGCCUAUGAAUGGCAAAAAGAAGAAUAAAGGAAAAAAAAUUGUAAAAAAUCGAAAAAAUAUUAAAUUAUUAUUCUAUUUUUUUUCCAACCGUCCACAUAAGCAAUAUUCAGACAAAAUUAAUCGGAAUUAAUAAAUUGGCACAAUUAUAAGAUUUGUGGCUAAAUUUGGAUAAAUGCAAUAGGCUUAUGGUUUUCUUUGGUACUUUUCUUCCUUUUGANNNNNNNNNNNNNNNNNNNNNNNNNNNNNNNNNNNNNNNNNNNNNNNNNNNNNNNNNNNNNNNNNNNNNNNNNNNNNNNNNNNNNNNNNNNNNNNNNNNNNNNNNNNNNNNNNNNNNNNNNNNNNNNNNNNNNNNNNNNNNNNNNNNNNNNNNNNNNNNNNNNNNNNNNNNNNNNNNNNNNNNNNNNNNNNNNNNNNNNNNNNNNNNNNNNNNNNNNNNNNNNNNNNNNNNNNNNNNNNNNNNNNNNNNNNNNNNNNNNNNNNNNNNNNNNNNNNNNNNNNNNNNNNNNNNNNNNNNNNNNNNNNNNNNNNNNNNNNNNNNNNNNNNNNNNNNNNNNNNNNNNNNNNNNNNNNNNNNNNNNNNNNNNNNNNNNNNNNNNNNNNNNNNNNNNNNNNNNNNNNNNNNNNNNNNNNNNNNNNNNNNNNNNNNNNNNNNNNNNNNNNNNNNNNNNNNNNNNNNNNNNNNNNNNNNNNNNNNNNNNNNNNNNNNNNNNNNNNNNNNNNNNNNNNNNNNNNNNNNNNNNNNNNNNNNNNNNNNNNNNNNNNNNNNNNNNNNNNNNNNNNNNNNNNNNNNNNNNNNNNNNNNNNNNNNNNNNNNNNNNNNNNNNNNNNNNNNNNNNNNNNNNNNNNNNNNNNNNNNNNNNNNNNNNNNNNNNNNNNNNNNNNNNNNNNNNNNNNNNNNNNNNNNNNNNNNNNNNNNNNNNNNNNNNNNNNNNNNNNNNNNNNNNNNNNNNNNNNNNNNNNNNNNNNNNNNNNNNNNNNNNNNNNNNNNNNNNNNNNNNNNNNNNNNNNNNNNNNNNNNNNNNNNNNNNNNNNNNNNNNNNNNNNNNNNNNNNNNNNNNNNNNNNNNNNNNNNNNNNNNNNNNNNNNNNNNNNNNNNNNNNNNNNNNNNNNNNNNNNNNNNNNNNNNNNNNNNNNNNNNNNNNNNNNNNNNNNNNNNNNNNNNNNNNNNNNNNNNNNNNNNNNNNNNNNNNNNNNNNNNNNNNNNNNNNNNNNNNNNNNNNNNNNNNNNNNNNNNNNNNNNNNNNNNNNNNNNNNNNNNNNNNNNNNNNNNNNNNNNNNNNNNNNNNNNNNNNNNNNNNNNNNNNNNNNNNNNNNNNNNNNNNNNNNNNNNNNNNNNNNNNNNNNNNNNNNNNNNNNNNNNNNNNNNNNNNNNNNNNNNNNNNNNNNNNNNNNNNNNNNNNNNNNNNNNNNNNNNNNNNNNNNNNNNNNNNNNNNNNNNNNNNNNNNNNNNNNNNNNNNNNNNNNNNNNNNNNNNNNNNNNNNNNNNNNNNNNNNNNNNNNNNNNNNNNNNNNNNNNNNNNNNNNNNNNNNNNNNNNNNNNNNNNNNNNNNNNNNNNNNNNNNNNNNNNNNNNNNNNNNNNNNNNNNNNNNNNNNNNNNNNNNNNNNNNNNNNNNNNNNNNNNNNNNNNNNNNNNNNNNNNNNNNNNNNNNNNNNNNNNNNNNNNNNNNNNNNNNNNNNNNNNNNNNNNNNNNNNNNNNNNNNNNNNNNNNNNNNNNNNNNNNNNNNNNNNNNNNNNNNNNNNNNNNNNNNNNNNNNNNNNNNNNNNNNNNNNNNNNNNNNNNNNNNNNNNNNNNNNNNNNNNNNNNNNNNNNNNNNNNNNNNNNNNNNNNNNNNNNNNNNNNNNNNNNNNNNNNNNNNNNNNNNNNNNNNNNNNNNNNNNNNNNNNNNNNNNNNNNNNNNNNNNNNNNNNNNNNNNNNNNNNNNNNNNNNNNNNNNNNNNNNNNNNNNNNNNNNNNNNNNNNNNNNNNNNNNNNNNNNNNNNNNNNNNNNNNNNNNNNNNNNNNNNNNNNNNNNNNNNNNNNNNNNNNNNNNNNNNNNNNNNNNNNNNNNNNNNNNNNNNNNNNNNNNNNNNNNNNNNACCACACCAUGAAUCUUACUUCCAUCGUCUCUAUCCUGGUCAACAUCAUCCAAGUGGCUUAUCAAGGGAAGUCGAUUUCACCCUUUGAAACCCACCCCAUCGCCACCCGUGUUGCCAUCUGCAGCCUCCUCCUGCAUUUCACUUUGGGGCGUGUCGCUAAUCGGGCACCACCACCUCGCAGACCUGCUCUUUCUUGGGAUGGAGCCUCGCGCCUCCUCUUCCACUUCACUGGUUUGACAUCGGUGUUUUCGCUCGCGUGGUUGCUGCUCCACGACUCCUUCCACUCCGUCCUCUGGUUCAUGCUGUUCCUGUUGCUUUCUGUGCAUAUGCUGCGGGGCCUCAUUCGAAAACUUUGUCUGUGGUUUUACCGCAAACUUGUUCUCAUGAUUAUCCAUGCGGCGCACUCCCGUGUAUGGCAUGAUGAAAGAGCGCAGCCACAUUUGCCGCGCCUGGUCGUGCAUUUGCAUUCCAUGCCAGAAGUCCGAGCACCGUAGUUGUUCGACUGACUGCUCCCUUCUUGGAAGAAGUAAUUUUAAUUGUAUGACCACUUUAAAUCAAAUGAUUAGUACUUUAGGAACCUAAGCUAGUUUUGUAUAAGAUACACUUGGGGUUUUCUUCUCUUUAUCUGGAGCCAAACCCGAAAGGAAUCCCCAACCCUUCGGCGUCAAAUUAUCUCCCGAUCAUAAGAAAGGAGAGCAGGGAACAAGUAAAAACUACAUGUGUAUCUUUCCUAUUCCUAGCCAUGAAUGGUGAUGGACCUUGUAGCAACUAGAUCUGAUUAAGAUAUACUAAGCCCUCAAAAGAAAUUAGGAUCUAUUGUUCUCGAAGAGAUUGAGGAUGACCUCAACAAUUGUUAUGACGAGUAGAAUGGUCGUUUCUAGUGGCCAUAUAAGGGGGUAGUAAUGGUUCUUGAGGUUAAAGCUUCUGACCUCUUUGAAAACGUUGUUGAGUGUUGCAGAUUUCCUUUCUUUUUCAGUGAAUCUCUUUGUAGCUUUCUGUUUGGCCAGUGGAUGGAUAUGUGUCCUUUUACGUUCUUUGCUGGUGAACUAUGGUUUUGCUUAGAUGAACUGGGAUAAAUUGAUGCCUUGGAGAUGCGAGCACAGCUGCAAUUUCAAAAGCUUUGAUCUAACACUAACAUCAUUGAAUGAUCCAAAUCAAAAUGAAAGAUGUCAGCUUUUUCAUCUCUCUCGCAUAUACACUGUCACUGCUUACUAGCUAUUCCGAUGAUAAUAUAGUUGUAGUUUGUCAUUGCAGAAUGUGGGAGUGAUUACAUCAUAUGGUCUUCAUUUGAGCUCUGAGAGAUGACAACUACUAGAUCUUUGCUUUGGCAAAUGUGUUAACUUGCAAUCUAAGACUUCAUUGUCUAGUUGGCUGAUUGACAUUCAAGUUGCCAGGGACUAGGUGAGAAAAGAAUGCUGAAAUGUUGAUUUUUUUUUUCUGCCUCCUCUUUCUAUUUCUGUCGUUUUCUUCGAACCCUAAUUGCCUUCUUUUCUUUUCUUUUUCUCUUUCUUUUUUUUUCUUGGCUAGUCUCUGUUUUCUCUCUUUCUAUCGUUCUACUCCUGUAUAUCCCCUUGCAAUGGCAUCAACUAAAGCAAGACCGAAGAAAGGACUUAAGCGAGACACCGGGGCUUGGUUCUAAUGUUUUGCUCUCGAUUAUCAUCUUUUCCCAAGCUCGGUUAUUGCAACUUUAAUCAUAGCGAUAAAUCUUUUAGGGUAUUACGUAUUGAUACAAGCUAUAUGUAGAGUGAGAAUGAAGUCAUCCUGCCCGGUGACUAGGAAAUUGAGUGAGGUGGGAAUACUUUGUUUCAAGUAUGAAAUUCAAACUUCCACAUCCUAUUGAGAGAGAGAGAUGGAAGAAUUCAAAUAGGACAAAUCAAAGUCUCUUUAUUUUUAUUUUUGGCUAAAGUAAAUCGCAAGUGCCAAAAUUUGGCACGUGUGGACACUUAAAUGCCAAAACUUCCAAAAUAUAUACUUAAAGUGCCACUUUUUUUUAAAGUUGGGGCAAUUAAGUGUCAAUUAGGGGUAUCAACGGUUCGGUUCGGUUCAUUUUUUUUUUAAAAACCAAGCCAAACUGACCUGUUAGGAAAAACUUCUGAAUCGAAUACGAACUGAACCGAAAUUCUAGUUCGGUUCGAUUCGGUUUUUCGGUUUUUAGUUUUCAGCUUUCGGUUUUUGUUUUUUGCAUUUGUUUUUUAUUUCAUUUUUUCUGUUGUAUAUUAUAAGAGUAAUUUUCCCAGGCCUCAGUUCGGCGGUUUGGCUCGGUUUAGUUCGAAUUUUUUCUUUUUUCUUUUUUUGGUCGUAUAUUUUCGAAUCGGUCCAACCCCAAUUUAAUUAAUGCCUUGCAAGAUCAAGUUUUUCUAAAAGGUUCACAUCUUCAGAUGAGUAUUGCUUUCAAAUUUGUGUAAGCAUAUCGGCAAUAAUUAAAUAUGAGCCCAUUCAAAACUGAUUGCAAGACAUUGAACUUCGAAAAAACCAAUGGCUUUACCCUAACCACGAGCACCAAGCAAAAAUUAACCGACAAAAAGAGGAAGAGAAACUCCAUUCCUAAAGAUCAUAUGAAAUGACCCAUAACUUCAAUAGGUCUAAGUACAUAUCCCAAACUGACAAAAAUCUUCAUAUCUUAGAGAAAAUUUUCCAAGCCAAGCAUCGAUGUCGCUCUAAGUAAGACAGUCAUCGUACUUUCAUUGGCUUGUUGAAUAUCUGGAAUUCAUUGGCUUGUUGAAUAUCUGGAAUUCCGGUACUUCUUGAUUUCCUCAACUGUCCUUCCUAGAAUUCUAUUAGCAAUCAAAGACUACCUGAUCAUGAAUGAUAUAAUUUCGGCUCAACGAUAUUAUCUUCGCAAAAAAAAAAAAAAAAUGAGAGGAAAUCAUCAACAAUAAAAGAGAAGCGGAAAGGAAGCAAUAGAACAUAGUCUCACCUUUCUCCAACCAGAUUGUAUUCGAAUUAUAAGCAUUUCCUCAUAUUCAAAGAAAUCUAGCUUUGAUUCUUCGCUUAUCUCCUCCACAAUAAACUUGGAUGAACUAAUCAUUCAAAAAACAGAGAAAAAAAGAAGAAGCAAACUUGGAUGAACUUCACGUCUCACCAUUGAGGAGAUCAAUUGGAAUAGUAAAGUGUGACAAAGAUAGUGAGAUGGUGAAAAUAAGAUAAUAAGAUGACGGCUUGGACCAUUUAAAAAUAGAGCAUUAUAAGCGAGCACACAUAUUUUAUACACAUAUUUCACCUUACUCUAAGUUUGUCAAUCAUCAAGAGAAAUCGCUAUUGAGUUCAGAUCCAUGGCUGUAGAUGACAACUUUGCAUUAAAUUCACAAUGAAAAUGAGAAUUGAAGUAUCAAUUGUAAUUUUGAACGAUAUAAAUAUUUCAUGCUUAUUUGUUUCUCACUUGACUCGAAAUUUUCAAGUUCUUCUAAGUCCUUCUCAAUUGACUGUGAAAGUGGUGCGGAUCAUAGCCAAUCUUGAGUACAUAAAAGAGCCUCUACUAUCAUUGGGUUUAAGGAGCUACAAAAUACAUCAAGUACUCGACUUCCCAUGUUGAAUGUAAACUUUGAUGCUACAGUGGAGAUGGGCAUGGCCAAAAUAUCUCGAGCAAUGGAAGACAAGGUAGGAUAUAUGGAAGAAUUGACUUUCCACCAAUUUAAGAUAUCAAAGGUGGAGCUAUACCGUUCACAUCCUUCUUUCAAAUACUUAUCUAAUUCAAAUUUUUUUCCACAUAUUUUUGUUCCAUUUGGCUAAAAUACAUUGCAGUCAUAAUGUUCGCACCAACCACGGGAGACAUUGACAUUGAAAUGUUCACUGUCCUUGUCUCCUUUAAUCUCACGUUGCUUUGAGGGCAUGUACCGGUGCGAUAUUGCUCGAAUAAUAAUGUUAGAGAUUUUGUCACUCUAUCUCACAAAGUUUCUGCUCAGUUACUUUCAUACACUUGAUUAAUCAUCCAUUUCACAUACUCCAUCUUAUGUUGAGGGUGAAGUAUACAUGCAAUGAACCAUGUUAAAUUUAUGUUUUUUUUUUUUUUUUUUUUGGUAAGGGUAAGAAUAUGUUAGAUUUAUGUUGUUCACAUUGCCAAAAUACUUAUUGAACUUGAUCUUCAUUUUCUUGGCUAUUUCCUACAAACUCAUGUCUUCAUCUCUACAAUAUCUAUCAAUCAUCAUAUAAAUCCCAUAGACAUCUUUUGUCAUAUCAUUGCAAGUGACGUAAGAAGAGCCCGAUACUUUUAAAGCUGCACCAUAGAACAACUUCAAGAAAGAAAGAAAGAAAUCAAUGAAGAUAAUCCCAAUCAUCAUUAGUAGGCAACCCUCUCACCUUGGAAAGCUCUUCAGCAAAUCUUCUAUCAUGAAUAUCUAAUGAGAUAAAAGCAUUUCGAAACUUCAAGGUCACUUCCAACAUCAAGUAUGUUGAAUUCCACCGAGUCUCCACAUCCAAGCAUACAAGAUUAUUAGAAUCAAUAUUUUCUAGCAGAAUGCACUCCUUAAACCAUUGCAAUCUCAAAUGAGAAGAUAUCACAUAACGUACAGCUGAGCAUAUUCUAACAAUAGAAUCAUCUAUAUCUUUCAAAACUUCUCUCACAAUCAAAUUGAAAAUAUGAGCACAACAUCUCACAUGGAGUAACUCGCCCGAUAAUAUUAGAGCAUUCCAAGAGUUAAUCUUUUUUUCAAGUAUUGAACUUCCGAGUCAUUAGAGCUAGCAUUAUUAACAGUAAUAGAAAAAAUGUCUUUGAUCCCUCAACUAGUUAAGCAUUUCUCAACCCCUUUUUUCCUAUAAUCUUAAUCGAAUGUCCUGGGAUUUGACAAAAAUUCGAAAUUUUCUUUUGCAACUUCCAAUCAGCGUCUAUGAAGUGAGCAGUAAGACACAUAUAACUUAGAGUUUGACAUGAAGUUUACAUGUCAGUUGUAAGACAAACCCUUGGAGAAGUAUUGGAAAGAUAUUUUUUUUCAAUUUGCUUCUUUCCUCUAGUGAUAACUUAUAAUAGUCCUCCCUUAAUGUGUUUCUUGAAGGGAUCAAAAACUUUGGCUAGAUUCUACUCACAAAUUUCUGAAAUGCCUCAAGUUACACAAACUUGAAGAGUAGUUCACCAAUAUUAAACACCGCUGCUAGAUCUUUUUGACUAGCAUCUUGAUCAAAUUUUCAAAGACCGGCUGAAAUAGAAUUAACAACCCCAACAAGUUCAUUCAAGGCACUUUUUUUUUUCCUUUUCUCCACAUUUGCAUAUGGAUAAUUCUUACAUCUAUCUAAAUGAUUAUGCAUCCCACUAGUCCCUUAGGCACUAUAACAACCAAUAAUAGCCCCCACAAUAUAGACAUUCGACUUUGUCUUGACUAUUUUCUAUCAUUUUAAAGUGUUCCCAUGCAACAGAUCUUAGCCUCCUUCUAUUUGUACCGCUAAAUUCGCUCAUUAAAGAUUCGCUCAUUGUGUAUUUGACUUUGUAAAUGUUGUUACUGCCUUAACAGGGAGAUCUAUAAAUGGGCAUUAUAACAAUAUUUCAGCAAAUUUAUCAUAUCGGCAAGACUAGCAUUCUGAAUAUAUGGCAAGUUGACAAAACGAUUUUAAAAGGAUUUCAUCGAAGUCCACUGAUCAACCAAAAGUAUCAAAAUUAUGUCAUUAGUAAAAGUUACAAACCUGAAAUUUCUUCAGCAAUGCAAUAAGUUUGUGAAAGGAAGUCAUUGCUUCUUUUCUUUCGUAGAAUGUCCCCUUGCUCUUGAUUUGAUACAUUUGUUAGUUCUAUGGAUAUCCAAAAGGUAGAAACACGUCCACACUCUUUAGGAAAAUUACAUAUCAUAUAAGAAACACAUUAAAAGUUCAUGGACAACGAAUGCAAGAAUUUUAUACUACAAGUCAAAAUCCUCAAAUACUCAACUGGACAACACACAAUGCACGAACAACCAAUUCACAUCAAAGUUACAUUACCACAAAAGCUCGGCAAAAACAAACCAUAAAUUAAUGAAAAGCAGCCUAGACAUACCAAACACUAAAUACUGGAAAUGGUACAACAUUGAUUUCAAAUUUCUCUAGAAGAAUGCUAUUUUUCACCCAAAGAGAUAGUCAAAUUUCUAUACAAGAAUGAACAUGGUUAAUACAACAAUAACAUAAACAUAGCAGCCCCAUUAGAGCUACAGAAUUAAGUCAUCUUAUGUAAGGGUACAGCCAAACAUGGAAGAUUUGAUAUGAGCUAGUAUUUCAUCAGGACUUGCACAAGGUCCAAAGUCCAAUGUUAAUGUAUUCUCCUAUACAACCACAGAAAGAACCAAGUGGGAAGAUUUUGAAACAAGGGUAGCUGGAAAUCUAAUAUAGCUUAUUUUUAAUAAUACAAGUGGUCUCCAUGGCUUGCCGGAAUGUUUACUCAGCAAUGAACGUGCAAAAUGAAAUCGUUUUACCCCUAAAUUUAUUAAUUUUAUUAAAAAUAAAUUAAAAACUAAAAAAAAUAGGGAUUUUCGCUUGCAGGCCCUCACCGGCGAUCGCCAGAGUAGCCAACCACUACUCAGGGCCCAAUGACCUCGGCCAACCCUUGCCCUAGCAUCAUUGGCUGAUGAUGGCAAGGCGGCAGCGGCAAGGGCUAUGGAGGCCCUUGCCAAAGCAAUGGCUUCCCCUUCUUCUUUUUUUCAACUUAGUUUUUUAAUUUAUUUUCAUUAAUGUUUAUAUUAAAAAUUAAUUUACCAGGCUUAUAGGGCGAUGUGGAUAGUUUUUUUAAUAAAAAAAUUGCCACAUGAAUAUUUUUUUAAAAUAAUUGCCAUGUCGAUAAUUUUUUUAAAAAAAUGCAACGUCGAUAAAAAAAAAAAGGUCGCCAACAAAUGCCAUGUUAGCAGUUUGGUCAGAAUUUCUCGCUAUUGACACUUACAUUUUCCAUUUUUCUCCAAUUAGCAUUUAAUUGUAUCUCUUAAGUGUCCACUCGAACCGAAUUUUAACAGUUGCAAUGGUUGGCACUCUUUUCUUUUAGGUUAAUAUCACGAAAAAUCUCAAAUUGGUAUACCCGUGAUAAAUUUACCCCAAAUGACAAAAAAAAAAAAACUAAAUAGGCCAAAUUUAUCGCAAACUAAUUUUGGACCACCAAAAAUCCCAUACUGUUACAUUUAUAACAAAUAUAUCUUCCGUUAAAUUAGAUUAAUAGUAUAAAAAACAACAAACCUAUUGCAACUGCAACAAAUGGAAAAGUAUAAUUCCAAAUCGGUAUACCAGCCAAUUAAUUUUUUUUUUUUUGGUAAGAAGUAAGUAUAUAUAUCAGUUAAUUGUUACGUGUUAUUCAACUCAAUAAUUUGAUAGUAAAUUUAACGGAAAUUAAUAAAUUAUCAUAAUUGUAAUAAUUUGGAUAAAAUUAUUAAAGAUAUAUUAAUUUGAGGUUUUUGACAGUUAAAAAAUUAAUUUGAAAUAAAUUUACCAUAAAUAUAUCAGUUUGGAAUUUUUUGUGAUAUUAAUAUUUUUUCUUUAUACAAAAAAAGUUAAUCGGAAAGUUCAAAAGCCUUCCUCCAUUCUAUGACGUGAUGAGAUUGAGGGCUGAAGACAGGAACAUCAUUGGAAUAUUUUUACAGAAAAAUGAGAACAAUGAGUCCCCAUCUCAUGGAACGAUUUUGUACUGGAUCGGUGCAUCCAGUCCAAAAUCUUCGGGACCCCUUUUACAGUUGUACCGUUCCGGUACAAAAUCUUUCCAUGGGAUAGGGACCCAUUGAUCGUCCCAGAGCGGUCGCGACCGCGACGGCAAUCCAAAAUCAUUCCAUGGGAUGGGACCCAUAGUACUCAUCAAUAUGAUAUAUUAACGAUGUCCCUGACUUCACUCCUCACGGUGCCAUGGAUUUUACCUCCAUCGUCUCCAUCCUCGUUAAUUUCAUGCAAGUUAAAUUCCAGGGGAAGUUGAUUUCGCCCUUUGAAACCCACCCCGUCGCCACUGGCAUCGCCAUCUGUGGCUGCUCCUGCAUUUCUUAUUGCUGCGUCUCGCUGAUCGGGCACCACCAUCUAGCGGCUGUGCUCCUCCUUGCGAUGGAGCAUCACACCUCCUCAUCCACUUCGCCGGUUCGAUGCGGGUGGCUUCGCUCGCGUGGUUGCUGCUCCACGAAUCCUCCCACUCCGUCCUCUGGUUGUUGGUGCUGCUCCUGUUGCUUUCCCUGACUCUCUUGCGCAGCCUCAUUCAAAAACUUUGGCUGUGGCUUUACCGCAGACUCAUUCUCGUGAUUAUCCGUGCGGUGCACUCCCGUGUAUGGCUUGGUGGAAGAGGGCAGCCACAUCCGCCGUGCCCGGGAUCUGCGUUUAUUGCUGGAAAGUCUGAGCGCCCUAGUUGUUCAACUGACUGUUCCCUGCUUGGAAACUCUAAUUUUAAUCGUAUGACUACUUUAAAGCAAAUGAUUAGUACUUAAGGAACCUAAGCUGGUUUUUAUAAGAUGCACUUGGGGCUUUCUUUCUCUUUAUCAGAAGCCAAAGCCAUAAGGAAUCCCCAAGCCUUCGGCGUCAAAUUAUCUCCCGAUCAUAACAAAGGAGAGCAGGGAACAAGUAAAAACUACCUAUGUAUCUUUCCUAUUCCUAGCCAUGAACGGUGAUGGACCUUGUAGUGACUAGAUCUGUUUAAGCUAAGCUAAGUCCUCAAAAGAAGUUGGGAUAUAUUGUUAUUGAAGAGAUUGAAGAUGACCUCAACAAUUGUUACAACGAGUAGAAUGGUCUUUUCUAGUAGGCAUAUAGGGGGUAGUAAUUGUUCUUGAGGUUAUAGCUUCUGACCUCUUUGAAAGCAUUGCUGAAUGUUGCAGAUUUCCUUCUUUUUUUCUGGUGAAUCUCUUUGUAGCUUUCUGUUUGGCCAGUGGAUGGAUUUGUGUCAUUUUACAUUUUUUGCUGGUGUGCUAUGGUUUUGCUCAUUUAUCCAUAUGAACUUGGAUAAACUGACGCCUUGGAGACGCAAGCACAGCUAAAAUUUCAAAAGCUUUGAUCUAACACUAACAUCAUUGAGUGAUCCAAAUCAAAAUGAAAGAUGCCAGCUUUUUCCAUCUCUCUUGCAUAUACACCAUUACUGCUUACUAGCUAUUUAGAUGAUAAUAUGAUUGUAGUUUGUCAUUGCAGAAUGUGGGAGUGGUUACAUCAUAUAAUCUUUAUUUUACCUCUUGAGAGGUGACAACUAGAUCUUUGCUGUGGCAAAUGCGUUAACUUGCAAUUUAAGACUACGCCGUCUCGCUGGCUCAUUGACAUUCAAGUUGCUGGGGCCAAGUUGAGAAAAGAAUACUGAAAUGUAGAUUAUUUUUCAGGAGGCUUUAUUUCAAGAUAACUGAAUUUUGGUUGACUACAGAUGUUAGAACCGAAAUUUUCCCACCCUGCAUGUGCUAAGAAUUUACAGUUCAUGUAUGCAAAGCUAGAUAGAUAGUAUGCAGAUGCUCGAGACAAGUCUGUACAAACUACACACAUUUGAUGUUCGUAUCUGAGGAAAUAAUUAGACCAGCAAGCUUCUUGACAAGUUGAUUCAUAAUCAAAUCAUGCAUCCCAAUGUUAGUACUUUGAAAUAUGACAGAGCACACAAGUCUUGCACUUCAAAAAUAUGAUAUUUAUCUGCUUUUUCUGCAGAGAACAAUGAUCUUGGAUGUCGACUGUAGCAGUGAGUCCAAUUGACUUGCAUAAGAACGUGACUUGAAACAUCAAACAGAAAGGUGGGUUCUCCUGACUCCUGAAUUUUUUUCUUCUUGGUAAGUGCCUCCCCAACACUACAACUGCAUGCACUUCACUUGCAGCUUUUAGAGACCAGCAUUGCACAUCUUUUCUUGAGUACCUCCAAUUUUCAGCAAUAGCAGGGUCUUCAGGUACUUCCACUAUUCCAGCAAUCUGUAUUAAACACUGUUUGGUAUUAGCACAUUUUCUGUUGAUUAUUACUUAUUGUGGAGAUGAGUCUAUAUAUAUGAUAUUAAAAAGGAACGUGGCAAUUCACCACUUCACAUGGCAGCAUCUUGUAUUCAAUUUUGGCUAAAGUAUGUUUAGCAAGAGAGCACUACUGCAAUAUGAGCGCACCAUGAUAAAAUGCAUUGGAUAUGAGUAAUCAAUGGGCGACGGCAUUCAUCGCAGUCAUAAGCACCCACAUUUGUGUCCCUUAUCUUCUUGCAAAGGGCACAAUAGUACCACUCACUGGUAUCAUCUUUGAUGAACGAAACGUGAAUUGUGAGUUGAUGGAAGUUAAUGACUAUCUUUUACUGUAGUGGAAGGCAAUCUGUGCACACAACUGCAAUAGCCAAACCUGCAAAAUUUACCACAGACAUUGCAUAUUAGCAUGGUUAGGUAGAUUUAAAACAAGAAAGAGUAUAUGAUUGUGGAGGUGAUGUUUCAAAGUGGGCCUUUCAAAAGUGCAUAGAGUGUUGAAGUUGUUGUCACUUCCGUGCAGUGAAAGACAGAGUGUCAACACUCUUCAUGACGUAUGUCAACAGUGCUCCUCCUGAUACGAGAAGAAAAAGGAUGUGCAGGGUGAGCAGAUCAGAGAUUCAAGUUGUUGCUAGAAUUGUUGCUUCACUCAGAGAUUCAAGUUGCCGGGGCCAAGGUGAGAAAAGAACACUAAAAUAUAUUUUUCAUUUUUGGGAGGCUUUAUUCCAAUAUAACCGAAUUUGGUAAACUGCAGAUGUUAGAACCGAACUUCUCCCAUCUUCAUGUGCCGGAAAAGAUUUUACAGUUCAUGAAUGCAAAGUCAUAUAUAUAAUAUGCAAAAGCUUGACACUAGUCUGUACAAACUACACACAUCUGAUUCAUUUUUUGAGGAAAUAAUAAGACCGGCAAGCUUCCUGGCAAGUUGAUUCAUAAUCAAAUUAUGCAUCCCUAUGUUAGUAAUCCAACUCAUAACAUAGGGUAAACAAGUCUUACAUUCAAAGUUAUGAUAUUUAUCUGCUUUUGCUGCAGAAGAUAACAAUUUCAGAUGUCAAGUGUUAGCAGUGAUUCCAUUGACUUGCAUAAGAGCAUAAGUUGAAACAUCAAACAGAAAGGUGGUCUCUUGCCUCCCCAUUUCUUUUCUUCUGGAUAAGCGUGCCUCCCCAAAUCUGCAAUUACAUGCACUUCGUUUGCAGCUUUUUGAGACCAGCACUGCAUGUCUGUUUUUUUAGUAUUGUUCAUUUGUGGGCUCGCUGUGUCCUUUUUUUCCUGCAGAAUUGCAAUUUUUCCAUCUAGUUCAGCAAUAGCGGGGGGUAUUCAGGUACUUCCAUUACUUAAAAAAAUUUUGGUAUUACCAUAUUUUCUGUUAAUUAUAACUUAUUGUGGAGGGAGUCUAUAUAUGAUGUUAAAAAAAGAAAAAGGAACAGGGCUAUUCACCACAUCACGUAGCUGCAUCGUGUAUCUGUUUGUUGGCUGCCAGAGCACUUCUGUGAUGAAAGCAUACCGUGGGUAAAACACAUUUGAUAUGAGUAAUCAAUGCGCAAGGGCAUUCAUUUCAGAUGGAAGCACCCAGAUUCAGGUCUUUUUCUCUCAAAGGUUACAGUAGUACUUACCAUCAUCGUCUUUGAUGAACGUAGCAUAGAGUGUGAGUUGACAGAGGUGAUGGCGAUCUUUCAUUGUUGGUGGUAACCGUGGAAAGCAAUCAUGAUAGACAUUAAGAUUGCAGUGCACAAGAACGUGAAAGUCAAAUGUGCAAAAUUUGCCAGACACUGCAUAGGAAGCAUGGUUCAGUAGAUCUUUGUGGAGGUGACGUUUCAAAGUGGGCUUUCCAGAAGUGCAUGGAAUGUUGGAGUCUAAUUCACAUUCUGCGCAGUGAAAGAAAGCUUCAACGCUCUUCACGACAUGCGUCAGUGAGCUUUCUUCCUGAUAUGGGAAGCAGUGGAUGUGCAGGGCGAAUGGGUUGUUGCAUAACUGAGGGCAAUUCAGCACAUGAUUUAUGGAGCAGAAAAGAGCAGCACUGCUCGAGGCAGUGAUGCUCUAAACCUAUUGAAAUAUUCAUGACAAGCCUUGAGCGCACCAUCCUUCCUAUGACCCAGCUCCAGCGGCAGCAGAUGAUUGUGAAUUGGAGAAAGAAAAGGCAAUCCAGACAAGCAUAGAACUCACCUAGCAUGUUCCAUCAAGCUUCGCACUAAUCUGUUUCAUCCUUCUUGUGGAAGGACACCAGUAAAGGCUGAUGGGCGAAAUGGUAAAAAAACAAGCCUUUCUCACCCUUCAGAUCUUGUGAACGUAGAGUUAUAGCUGCGCAGUCCAUGUCAAGGCUGAAAUUGCAUUAGCUGCAGCAGGAAACCAUAUCGCAGGCAUUACAUUGGAGGUCUACAGAUUGAUUGAAAGCAAGAGAGAUGGUGAUCAUUGAAAGACAGGCAUUGCUUAUUUGGUGUAGAUUUGGCACAGCUCUUGUGAAUGAAGAAUAUGCACUGUGUAGCAUCCAUAGACCUCCUUGCAGGCUUUGCAUUCGAUUCUACUUUUCAUCCCAAGAUGCUAAUGAGCAAAAUGUUGGAUGGUCACAUACUCAGAAUCUUCAUCAGGCUUAGUUGUGACUAGGCAGACAGCAAUAUUGGACCGUGCUGUAAUGCUCAACAAUCCGAAUGGCAAGAAGGAAAGCCUCGUCACAUGCAUGGCAACCAUGACGAUCCUCCUUCUCAUCUGCCUACUAGGCAUUCAAGCGGGGGCAGCAGGUGAAACGGGUGUUCUCGGGUGAAGAGCAUGCUAAAUUCAGCUUGACUAGUGAAAGAAGAUUCGACACGAUUCCCAGCAGUAGGGCUGCGCCGCGGAUCUGAGACCAGCACGCAAGACAUUCCAAGCAAGUGCAGCCUUCUUUGCGAAUCAAUACAUGACCAGCAAGGCAAUGGAGUUAUAGUUGCUGAGUGACAUCAACAAGAAGCAAAUGGGGUGAAAUGAAUCGUACCCAACUACCGUAUUAUUUGGUGUUGCAUUUCAGUGCUAAUUUGUACCAUUUUUUUUUUAAUUAUCUAUGCAUUAAGGCAAUAGUUAAUAAAACUAAAAUGAAAUCUCAGCAAGAGUUUUGAGCAGAUCUAGCUUUCGUUCCUGAGGAAGCUCCCAGGAAAAGCUUCAUCAAAUAUUUACCUUCCAGAUAGUUCCUUCCUGAUGCGAGAACAGGGUUGUUGCAUAACUGAGGGCAAUUCAGUCAAUAAUUUUUUGUCAAAAUUAGUCUGAAAGAUUGAAUUAGCACUAGGUCAAAAGUUUAAGAUUAGAUUGUCAGAAUUAUAAGGUUUAUGAUUAGAUUGACACUAAUGCAAUAAAUUUAGAACUUUUAUGACAUUUUUCCCAUUAAAAAAGUCCUUGAUCUGGUCAGCUGUUUUUGGGGUCAUCCCGGGCACGUUUCUCAUAUGUUUUGAUUGUGUUAUUUGAUAGUUCGAGUUAUGCUAUAAGGAAUACAUUUCUUUUGGUGAGCAUUACAUUUAUCUCCUCUAAUUGCUUGAAAGCAAGAGAGAGAGGGUGAUCAUGGAGAGACGGGUGUUUAUCUCUGUGGGGGAUUCGGUGCAACUUUUGUGGAGAAAGAAUAUGCACGCAUGGCCUCCAUGGAAUUUGUUGUUGUUCCAUUUCGGUAUCGAGUUUUUUUUUUUUUAACAGUUUCGGUAUCGAGUUAAUAACUUUAUAAAGCGUGUUAGUUACAACGCGUGAUUAAUGGAGUCAUCUAAUCGUAGUCAAAGUUUGUAAACACAAAGUCCCAAUGGCUGAAGAAUGCAAACCCGAUUAACGAGACGAUUAUCUUGAGAGACUCGAUUGUGAGAUUGCCCUUACGAAUUACAUUUAAUCCCCGGUGGGCUCUAUACUCUCUCAAGUCUGUAAUCGGCUUUAAAGCGCUAUUAGCCAGGAGAAGGGGGAGGGGGGCCUGGGCAACAUCAAGUCAAGUGAGAGAAUCAUCUUAUGAACAUUUUCCUCUUUUUGGUCGUCAAAAGGGCUUUUAAUUCUUCAUUCAAACCAUCAAGCCAUGUCCUGUGAAUCGACCUACGCAUUGUCAAAAGCCUAAAAUCUGCUGCACUAAUCUCUCUGUUGAAGACUGGAAUCUAUGGGAUGGUGGCACCCCCUCCUUGGGAAGCUAACUCCAAUCAGUGGUCAUUAAAUCCGGAUCGAAAUGUCAAACGUUCGAGCGUGUCCUCUCUUUUCCGCAGAUCCUUCCCCGCGUGUGCGUGAUCAUGGUCGUCUGCUGGCUUUUCCCACCAUGUCAAACGGCUUCUGUGUGGUGUGAAAAGAGUGAACUUUCCUCGUCGUGGGAGCCCUCUCUCUCUGUCCCUCUCUUCGUCUUCGGUUUCGAGGCAUGGAAAGCGAUCGGGUGUUAAAAGGUGGAUUCCGUGUUGUUAAAAACUUGACUUCUCCGGCGGUUGAAACGAGUGAGCUUUUCUUUUUCUUUGUGUUCUUCUUGGCCAGAUUCUGUUCUCCCUUUCUUCCUGCUCUUGUAAUUUCCCUUGCAAUGAAGCAAGACUGGAGAAAGGGCUAAAACGAGACGCUCGGGAUUGGACUUGGACUUGGACUUGGGCUUGGGCUUAAUGUUUUGCUCUCAUUUAUUAUUUUUCGCUAGCCCUUUAUUGCAACUUUAAUCAUGGAGAUAAAUCUUUUAGGCUAUUGGGUGCUGAUGGAUACCAUGCGGAUUGCAGAGCGAGGAUAAGGUCACGGGGAAAAAAAGUAGGACAGAUCAAGGACUUUUUUUAAUGGGAAAAAUGUCGGAAAAUUCCUAAACCUACUAUAUUAGUGUGAAUCUAAUCCUAAAUAUUUUAAUUGUGUCAAUUUAGUUUAAAUUUUUUUUACUAAUACAAAUUCAGUCAUUUCAACUAACUUUAACCAGAAUUUACUGAUAUGGAUGUUAAUUGUCAUACGUGACAAUGGCCAAUGUUGACAUGGCGAUUUCUAAUUAUAUUUUUAAUGAUUUUCAAUUUUUUUUAUUAAUUUCUCUUUUUUUUUCUUUUUUUUUUCUUUUUUUUUAAACUCAUUUCUUUUUCCUUUUACCGGUGACCGACCACCGGCCAUAACCAAAUGAGCUAGCCUCUCCUAGGCAAGGGUUGUUGUUGCCCACCAGUGAGGCUCGACCUAGCUAGGCCAAGGAGGGCAAGCCCUAAUGAGGAGGCCAAUCCACCUAGCCAUUGCCUAUGGACAAUAGUUAGUCAUCGACAAAAGCAAGAAGAAAGGGGAAAAAAAAAAAAGAAGAGAAAAAUAUUAUAAAAAAUAAAAUAAAAAAUCGAAAAAUAUUAAAAUAUUAUUACAAAUUUUCAAUGUUCAUCAAUAUCAAUAAUAUCAUGCCAAACUAACUAAGAGAACUGAAUCGAUAUAAUUAUAAAGUUCAUGACUAAAUUAGCAUCAAUGUAAUAAAAAAUAAACAAUAAAAAAAUAAAGUUUAGGACUUUACUUUUUUUCCUUUUUAUAUAUAACCAAAUAAAAAAUAAAUCAGACAUUUCAAGGCUUUCGUCCACUCCAGGGGUGAGGGUAAGGACAUCAUUUGAUAUUUGAUUUUUCAUGGAAAGUGGCACAGGACAUCAGUUUUUUUUUUCUUUGGGUAUGAGCACGGGACAUCAAUUUGAAUACUUUUUUUCUUUUGGAUGCUUUCGGAUUCAAUCUGAUUUGAGUACUCAUCCUUUUCAUUUUGAGUACUCACGUCUGCGUGGUGAGGAAUGAAAAGACGGGGACUUUCAUUUUAUUCUCUUUCUUUUCGGGUCCGACCCUGCUCCAACCUCCCACCACCCACCACCCAAAAUGUAGAUCCUCUUUCUUUUCGGGUCCAAACCUGCUUCAACCUCAGGGUCGGGUCCGACCCUGCUUCAACCUCGGACCACCCAAAAUGUAGAGUAUUCAAAUUGACCCAAAAGAUUGAUUUAAAAAAAAAAAAUUGACCCAAAAGAAAAGAGUAUAAAAUGACAGUCUCAGUCUUUCCAUACCUCUCCUCGCCAUACGCCAUGGAUCUUACCUCCAUCGUCUCUAUCCUUGUCAGCUUCAUCCAAGUGGAAUACCAGGGGAAAGUUGAUUUCACCCUUUGCAACCCAUCCUGUCACCACCUGUGUCGCCAUCUGCAGCCCCCUCCUGCAUUUCUCUUUGGGGAAUGUCGCUAGUCAGGCACCACCGCCUUGCGGGCGUGCUCCUCCUUGUGAUGGAGCAACGCACCUCCUCUUCCACUUCACUGGUUUGACAUCGGUGUUUUCGCUCGCAUGGUUGCUCCUUCACGUCUCCUUCCACUCCCUCCUCUGGCUUGUGCUGUUCCUGUUGCUUUCCGUGCGUUUGUUGCACGGCCCCGUUCAAAAACUUUGGCUGUGUUUUACCGCAAACUUGUUCUCAUGAUUAUCCAUGCAGUGUGCUCCCGUUUCAGUAGAAACAAAUCCCUCAUUCUGUAGGCCAAUUCAGUUUACUCGUCUGAUCCUAUAAAUAUGUCACAAAAAUUCACAGCAAAAUACAUCACUUAUGAUGUUAGAUUUAUGUAAAGGAUACCAUUGUAGAAACAUUCUAGAAAUACAAUUUAGAUUAAUUGGAGAAAGCUCUACCAGAUACAGGCCUGAGUUGAAAAAUCGCUGGGAGCAGGUAGGAAGUUUCAACUUAACAGAGCAAUGUUCACUUUACAGUCAAUUGAGUUGGCUAAGCGAAAUAAAAAUUGUUCAACUUUAUUUGCGGGAGUACCCGAUACAUUUUUAAAAACACCAUAUGACAAUAUUUACACGUUUUUUAAGGUUUUAAGAAAUUAGUAAAGCAAAAAGGGGAGAGAAUGUCACCCCAAACACACCUAAGAUUUACAUAACGCAGAAUGCCCCCAAAAGUCGUUUAUCUGACCCACAGAAUGAAGUGAGAACUAAGUUAAAGCAAAGCUUACUGUGACAUAAAUUGGUAGAUGACUAAUGUAGGUAUACCAAGAAUGUGUCAAAAUGGGUACACUAAAUUAUGUGACAUGAGUUAAAUUGGUGAUGACAGGAGUAGAUUCAAAUCACAAGAUGGUGACUUAUUCAUAUAUCCAAUGUUAACAUCGUUUAGUAUGAUGGUAAUUGUAUAACUUUAGUAAUCUAGAAUUAUUCUUGACAACAAUGGAACACCAGUAAAUUUUCUAGAAAGGAUCGGGCCCUAUUUCCUUUCUAUUGAAUUUAAGGUACACGAUAAAAACAGAUCAUAGGAAUUUAAAAGCUUGUCUUAGCUUGUCUAGGCAGAUAAGAAGCACUGUCCAAAGUAAAGCGCUAAAAAAGUUCGAUUCCUUUUACCAAACCCAAGCCGGAAGACAUAUUAAUUGUAAGCAUGUGCUGCAAAUUCUUCAUAGAACUCCAUAUAAAAAAAUCUUCAACAACAAAUGAAAUAUAUCAUCUUGCAUUGACAUAGAAGUAGAUUGAAUUCGUGCAAUCACCAGUUCCUUAUACAGCAUUAUUGGAGUGUCAGCUUUCAGCUUCAUGCAAUUUUGAGUCAAUUUUCCAACAUGUAUAAAAUCAGGGUCCGUUUGCUCCCGUGAAAACUUGUUAGUGAAAACUGGAAAGUACUACCAGCAAACACAUCAGGUACCAUGUUUUGGUUUUUCUUAUUCCUAGAAGCUUGUCAAUGCGACAGGAAACUGCAUUACCUGAACAUUACUGGGCUUAAGUAUAUGUCGUUAUGUAAUAAAACACUUGCAGCUUUCUUAUAUGGUGUUAUAGUUAAGAUGGUUUUCAAACUUAUCAAUUGAUGAAGUUGCGUAAAGAGGUGUGAUCUGUAAUAGCCGAGACAAAUAAUUUGUUCAUUCCGCAAGCGGAACAAUGUUGAUGUAGUAGUCAACCAAGGUCACUGCCAUCCACCUGCAAUGUAGCGGGCAAAAAUUUAUCAGUAAUCCACGUUUUGCAUAGGCAUGUUCUAGUAAAGAAAGAUUUUGCAAGAUCAAGUGAUCAAUAAUUCGAGCUGUGACCAAAAUAUGCAAGAACUAAAUACUAGCCCAGACCAAACAUCUAGAAGUCAUUCUCUCAAGGAUUAAAACCCAAAAUAUUUGUCUCUCAAGGGCCACCUAGGUAGGAUCAUCUCAAACUACACAAAUUCUGGGCAAGGCAAAAAAGGGGAAUUUGAUCUUCUCAGACAAUUUGUCAGCUGAAGAGUUUCACAUGUUCAUUUCUCUCUCCCACACGCAUCGAUGAGAGACGACAGAAAAAUAAGGCUCUUCAUUCAAUAUGCUUUUGGGUUUAGUAGAGGAGCAAUACAGAUGUAUCUAUAAACUUAAACAUUAACAUUGCACCGAAUUCUACUAAGUGGAAUCCAAAAAAAAAAAAAAACGAACCUUCGGACAUACAGGAGUCGCCAAUAGGGUGCCUAUCAGUGGGGCUUGGGAAGGCGACGGCGAGAGGCGACGGUGUCGGCGGCGUCCGCGUUCAGGAGCAGGGGGCGCUUCGCGGAGGAAAGAGAGAGAGAGAGCGCGAGCAAAGCGACCUUCGUUCGCGGAGAGGGAGGUCAAAAUGCGAGCAGGGGUUUGUCGGCGUCGGGGUUGGCCAGCAAGGGCGCUCCGCAAAGGAAAGAGGGAGAGAGCGGAGCAGAGGUCGCGAGAGGGAGGCGAAAGGGCGUCGGCGACAGUGUAGGGGCGGAGGUGGAGGCAUCAGCGUCGGCGUCGGAGUCGGGGGCGACGACGGAGGCAGAAGCGUCAAGGGCGAAGGCGGAGGCGGAGGGGCGUCGGGUUCGACGUUGGAGUCGGGUUCAGGGGCCACGGAGGAGGCGUAAAAUGUUCGAGAAAGAGAUGUCUCUUUCUUUUGGGUGAUUUAUAUUAUAAAAUGUUUCGCCAUCCAGUAUAAAAUGACGUCCCCGUCUUUUCAUCCCUCACGACGCCAUGGACCUUAGCUCCAUCGUCUCAAUCCUGGUCAACAUCAUCCAAGUGGAAUACCAGGGGAGGUCGAUUUCACCCUUGGAAACCCACCCCGUCGCUACCCGUGUCGCCAUCUGCAGCCUCCUCCUGCAUUUCUCUUUGGGGCGUGUCGCUAAUCGGGCACCACCGCCUCGCGGCCCUGCUCUUUCUUUUGAUGGAGCAGCGCCUCCUCUUCCACUUCACCGGUUUGACAUCGGUGUUUUCGCUCGCGUGGUUGCUGUUCCACUACUCCUUCUACUCCGGCCUCUGGUUCAUGCUGUUCCUGUUGCUUUCCGUGCGUCUGCUGCGGGGCCUCAUUCGAAAACUUUGUCUGUGUUUUACCGCAAACUCGUUCUCAUGAUUAUCCAUGCGGCGUGGUCUCGUGUAUGGCGUGGUGGAAGAGCACGGCCACAUUUUCUGCGCCCAGCCAUGGGUCUGCGUUUCAAUCCGGAAGUCUGAGCGACGUAGUUGUUAGUAUGUUCCCUGCUUGGAUUCAGUAAAUUUAAUUGUAUCACCACUUUAAAACAAAUUAUUAGUACUCUAGGAAGCUAAGCUAGUUUUGUAUAAGAGGCAACUCAAGGCUUUGUUCUCUUUAUGCGAAGCCUUAAGGAAUCCCCAAGACUUCGGCAUCAAAUUAUCUCCCGGACCAUAAGAAAAGAGAGUAGGGGACAAGUAAAGAUCACCUAUGUAUCGUUCCUAUUCCUAGCCACGAACGGCGAUGGACCUUGUAGCAGCUAGAUCCAAUUAAGAUAGGCUAAGCCCUCAAAAGAUAUCGGGAUCUAUUGUUAUCGAAGGGAUUGAAGAUACCUCAACAAUUGUUACGAAGAGAAGAAUGGCCGUAUCUAGUAGCAUAUAAAGGGUAGAUAUUGUUCUUGAGGUUAAAGCUUCUGACCUCUUUGAAAACAUCAUUAGAGUGUUGCAGAUUUCCUUCUUUUUUCUCGUGAAUCUCUUUGUAGCUUUCUGUUUGGCCAGUGGGUGGAUGUGUCGUUUUACAUUCUUUGCUGGUGUACUAUGUUCUUGUUCAUUUAUCCAUGGGAUAAAUUGAUGCCUUGGUGACGCGAGCACAGCUACAAUUUUAAAAGCUUUGAUCUAACACUAACAUAAUUGAGUGAUCCAAAUCAAAAUGAAAGAUGUCAGCUUUUUCCAUCUCUCUUGCAUAUACACCGUUACUGCUUACUAGCUAUUCCGAUGAUAAUAUAGUUGUAGUUUGUCAUUGCAGAAUGUGGGAGUCGUUACAUCAUGUAGUCUUCAUUUUACCUCUGAGAGGCGACAGCUAGAUCUUUGCUGUGGCAAAUGCGUUAACUUGCAAUCAAAGACUAUGUUGUCUCCCUAGCUGAUUAACAUUCAAGCUGCUGAGGACAAGGUAAGAAAAGAAUGCUGAAAUGUCGAUUUUUUUAUGUAGGCGUUAGUUCAAGAUUACUGAAUUUUGGCAGACUGUAGAUGUUAGAACCAAACUUUUCCCAUCUUCAUGUGCUGUAGAAUUUACAGUUCAUGAAUGCAAAGCUAGAUAGAUAGUAUGCAGAUGCUCGAGACAAUUCUGUACAAACUACACUCAUCUGAUGUUCAUAUUUGCAGAAAUAAUUAGACCAGCUAGCUUCCUGACAAGUUGAUUCAUAAUCAAAUUAGGCAUCCCAAUGUUAACACUUUGAUAAAUGGCGGAGCACAAAAGCCUUGCACUUCAAAAAUAUGAUAUUUGUCUGUUUUUACUGCAGAGAACAACAAUCUUGGAUGUCGACUGUAGCAGUGAGUCCAAUUGACUUGCAUAAAAACGUAAGUUGAAACAUCAAACAGAAGGGUGUUCUCCUGAUUCCCGAAUUCUUUUCAUCUUGGUAAGGGCAUCCCCAACUCUGCAACUAAAUGCACUUCGCUUGCGGCUUUCGGAGACCAGCAUUACAUGUCUUUUCUUGAGUACCUCCAAUUAUGUGCCCACUUUUUCCUGCAGAAUUUCAACUUUUUCAUCUAGUUCAGGCUGUUCAGCAAUUACAGGGUCUUCAGGUACUUGCACUAUUCUAGCAACUUGUAUUAAACACUGUUUGGUAUUAGUGCAUUUUCUGCUGAUUAUUACUUAUUGUGGAGAUGAGUCGAUAUAUAUGAUGUUAAAGAGGAGUUCACCACAUCACAUGGCAGCAUCUUGUAUCCAGUUUUGGCUAAAGGCAGUUUAGCAAGAGAGCACUACUGUGAUACAAGCGCACCAUGGUAAAACGCAUUUGAUAUGAGUAAUCAAUGGGCAAGGGCAUUCAUCAGUCAUAGAUGGAGGUGAUGGUGAUCUUUUAUUGUUGGUGGUAAUUGUGGAAGGCAAUCAUGAUUGACAUUAAGACUGCACUGCACAAGAACGUGAAAGUUGAAAGUGCAAAAUUUACCAGGCAAUGCAUAGGAAGUGCACAUCAGUAGAUCUAAUAUAAGAAAGAGCAUAUGCUCGUGGAGGUGAUGUUUGAAAGUGGGCCUCUUAAAAGUGCAUGGAAUGUUGAAGUCAAAGCCGCAUUUUGCGCAGAGAAAAACAGCGUCAAUGCUCUUCACGACAUGCAUCAGUGAGCGUUCCUGAUACGGGAAGAAGUGGCUGUGCCAGGGUGAACGGGGUGUUGCAUAACUGAGGGCAAGUCAGCACAUGAUUUAUGGAGCAGAUGAGAGCAGCACUGCUCCAGCGGCAGUGGAUGAUCGUGAAUUUGAGAAAGAAGAGGCAAUCCACAUAACCAUAGACCUCACCUAGUAUGCUUUGCACUCGAUUCUGGUUUCAAGCUUCACGUUGUGGGACACCAGUAGAUGCUGAUGGGCGAAAUGGCCAAAAAACCGAGCCUUUCUUGCCCUCCAGGUCUUGUUUAUUUAGACUAAUAGCCGCACAGUCCAUGUCAAGGCUGAAAUUGCAUUUGCUGCGGCGGCAAACUAUAUGGCAGGCAUUGCAUUGGAGGUCUACCAAUUGAUCGAAAGCAAGAGAGAUGGUGAUCAUGGAGACGGGCAUUACAUCUCUGGAAAGAGAUUUGGCACAGCUCUCAUGGAGAAAGAAUACACACGUGUACCAUCGAUAGACCUCCUCGCAGGCUUCGCAUUUGAUUCUACUUUUCGUCUCUGAGAUGAUGGGAUGUGAGCAGAUGCUAAUGAGCAAAAUGCUGGAUGGUCGCAUUCUCAGAUUCCUCAUCAGGCUUAGAGUUGUGGCUAGGUAGACGAAGCAAUAGCAGGCCUGCAGCAACGGUCAACCAUCCAAAUGGCAAGGAGGAAGCCCGCUUACACGCAUGGCAACUCCGACAAUCCUCCGCAUCAUCGCCUACUGUGCGGUCAAGUCGGGGCAGCGGGUGAAACGGGGGUCCUAGGGCGGACAGCAUGCCAAAUUCAGUGCAACUGGUGAAAGAAAAAUUGACACGAUUCACGGCGGUGGGCUGAGCCACGGAGCGAAGACCAGCACGCGAGACAUUCCAAGCAACUACAACUUCCGCUUAGGUUCCGGAGACUCAAUGCAUGAUCACCAAGGCAAAUUAGGAGAUGAAAAAAGCGUUUUGAAUGGAGUUAUAGUUGAGUGAUGUCAACACGAAGUAAAUGAGGUGACAUGAAUUGUACCCUACUCCCGUAUUAUUUGAUGUUGUAUUUCAGUGUUCAUUUCUACAUUUUUAUUUUAUUUUAUUUAUGCUUCAACGCAAUAGUUAAUAAAACUAAAGUGGCCCAUGAAAAGUUUUAUGUCUUGUUCAUUUAGAAUGCGUUUGGUAACGAUUCUGUUCUCGGGAGCUGAUUCUAACUAGAAAUGAUUAUUUUUUAUUCUGUUCCUAAGAACUGAUUAUGAGUAAAAAACGUGUUUGAUAACUGCCCAAAAUUUUUUAUUCUGGAAUAGAAUUGUGUUUGAUACCGUGCUAAUUGAUUAUGUUCCAAAUUAAUUUCUUUUAAUUUUUAAAUAAUUUUUAAAUACUUUUAAAUCUUUCUUUCUUUUUUACCUUUUUCCUUUUUUCCUUUUUUUCUUUUUUUUUUUUCCCUUUUCUCCUAUUCUUCUUCUUCUUCAUUUGGCCAGUCACCGGACCAGCGACCGGCCAGACGAGGGCCGGCGACGCUCACCGGAGCUUCGCUGGCCCUCGGCGAGGUCGGCCCUCGUCGGCCGAGCCUCGCCGGUGGCCAGGCGGGGCUAGGCGAGCCUCGUCGAUGGCCGAGCGAGCCUCGCCUGGCCACCGGCGAGGCUCGCCCAAGCCCCACCGGUGGCCAGGCCGGCCUCGUCGGGGUUGGGCAAGGCCGGCCUUGCCGGUGGCUGGGCUUGCCUCCGGCGAGCUCGCUAGACCUCGCCCUAGCCUAGCAAGCCUCCGGCGAGCUCGCCGGACCGGCGGACAGCAAUCGGCGGAUGGCGGCAAACGGUGGUGGACAACAAUCGCGGGAUGUCGGAAGGAAAUAAUGAGACUUUUAUUGUGUUGAUUCUUUUUUUGAUUCUUGGACGGAGAAUCAUAUUUUUUUUUAUUCUCAAUUCUCUUCCCAAUCUGUUCUCGGGAACAAAAUUUUUACCAAACGCGAUUCUCGUCCCAGACUGAUUCUGGGAACAAAAAAUCAAAAUCAGGCACUGUUUGGCACGUUGCCAAAUAGGCCCUUAAAGUCGGCUGCAAUUAUAUGAGGUCUUAAAAGUGCAUUCACCUUGGGCUAGUCUAUACAUUCAUUAAAGAGUUCUUAUCUAACUUAUUCUAAAAGUAACUUACGUUGGACAAUUUUGCGAACAAUGGUUUUGUCAUAAUUGUUUAAAAAACCAAAUUCACCUAUUUUUAAUUUUACGAGUUAUUUUUUUAAUUUAUUAGUCGAUUGCAUUUACAUGUAAAAGUAAUGUUUACAUUUGCCAUUAAAUACAAUUUGUACAAGUAGUAUGAGCCGAACCUACUUUUUUUCUAGUUAUCAAUUUCUGUAUAAAUGCACAUGUUCCGCAACACCCUUGAUCCGUAAGCUAUGUCAAUAUGGCUCAUUGAAGCAGCAAUUGUAAUUAAACUGAAGUUUUCUUUUAAAUCUUUGAAUAGAACUCGAUUUUAUUUUCAUAAACUAAACAAUUAUCCGCAUUGGUUAUUUUAAAAAAUAAUAAUAAUAUAGAUUGAAGUUGUUAUAGAUCCAAUUCACAUAUAUAACCUACAACUCAACUAAUUAAACUGAAUUUAGAUCCACAGAUCUAUGAAGACUAAGACCAAGGAGAACAUUUCUAGAAAGAGCAAAACAAAAUAGAGAGGUGCUCUUUCGAGUAAUUACAAGUAAACCUAUACAAAUGAUAGAAUGAACUACAUUUGGAUGAAAUAAAGAUUAUGAUGCAUGCACAUUUUAUAUCUAUGGUGAUCAUCUACUCCUUUUGCUAAAAAUUUGAAUUUAUUAUACUAAUCAAAGUAAUGGUUGGUCCAACCUUGAUUUUAAACCGGGUCACACCCUUUUCUGGGGCAAAAAAGAAAGAAGACAAAAUGCUCUUUUUUUGUCAUAUUUAUUCUCUCCUACUUGGGUGUUUACAUGUAUAUAUAAACCUCUUUUCAAUCUCCUUUAUGGACUUUGCGGCGUUACAUUAUAAUCGCAUGGCCACUCAUGGGUAGAAAUGGGGCCUUCAGGAAAGUUGGGAACUUUUUUUAAACAAAAAACCAAUUCGAGUAGAAUCGACAUUAAAAUUAAAAUUUGAGAUUUUUUUAGGAAAUUAGCAAAAUUCAUACUUCCAUCAAUAAUCCAAGGUGUCUUAAACCGAAGAAAAUGCAAUCUUUUGUAAAAUAAAAACAUAUUUUCGUAAUAUUUCACCAAGAAAAAAAUGCCGUUGCUUCAAAAGUAUUUUGGUAGGAUUUUGUAUAUCCAACAAUUAUAGAAAUAGGUGAAUUCAUGCAUAAAACAUGGCGACACAAAGAUGCUCACGUCACGAUAUAUCAUUUGCACAAUAAAUGGAUAAUUAUAGAAAGGGAGGGGCGGCCGUUAUUGGAGUAUGGAAUUGGUAACAUUGUAAUGAUAUAGAGAAACAAUAAUGAUAUGUCAUUUAUCUAUUGUUACACCCCCAACUUUAUAAAAUAAGGAAAACAACAAUAUCAUGGUGUCGCGACUUAAUCUCAAGUGAACCACUUAGGAUUUGGCUAAUGGAUUACUAAGCCUAAACUUAGCAAGCGCUCUCCCAAGCCCAUACCAAUUCGCAACGUAGUUCAUGUUCUUAACAUAUAAUUGAUUUUUAAUUAGAAGUUGCCACUAAUCCAUUUUUAGAUGGUUGAUUAGAAACCCAAAUAAAGUAACGGGAGAUUUACUUUACUCUUGCGAACUAGAGAUUGUGAGUUCGGGGACUUAAUUACGCUAGAUUUCUCUAACGCCAUUUUAGUACUUUUCUCUUUUAUUUUGAAAAAAAAUGUUUUGUAAGCAGCUUAAAUUGAUUUUAAUUUACUAUGACGUGAUCAUGCGAGUACGCAAACCACUAAUUUAACAAAAGCAAUAAAUUAUGAGACUUACUUUGUAGCAACGAAAGUAUAUGUAAUGUUAACUCAAAAUUCACAUCAAAAGCCUGUGAUUCUUAAUUAACACGCAGUCACUCAAAUUUUCAAGGAUUUUCUCUUGUUUAAUAAAAUUUAAUCUAUGUGCAAUGCAAUCUAACCAAAUGACCUAAUUCUAAUGACGGCCAAUUUCUAAUUAAAUGGACCUAACAACAAUCACUAAAUGACAUGCAUUUCAUGAACACGUGCAUGAUAUUUUUGAUGUUUUUUUAAAUAAAAAUUCGUAAUUAAAAAUUGCUAAAAAUAAAAAUCUAACUAAAGUGAGAUAUUAUAUAUUUUAAGUUAGGAAAUAGACUAAUCUAAAUCAUAUCUUAACUUAGAAAUUUAUCUUAACAUGCAAUUUAAUUCUAAGAUACCAUCUAAUCUAAAUAUCAUUUAUACAUGCAUUCUAAUAUAAUUAGAACGGUACCUAACUAUUUUAUCAUGCAAUUCUAUCUAGAAAAUUAAUUGUAAUCUACAUGAUAUGCAAAUGCAAUUUUUUUUUUUUUUUGUAUUUUCAGGAUAAAUAAAGCAAUUAAAAGAUAAGCACUAAAUCAUUCACGGUCAUCAAAGACAUUAUCCAUUUUUCGAAUUAGGAAACAAUAUCUAAUCAAUUUAUUCAAUUUGAUUAUUUCGCUAAUAAAAUCAAUAAAUUGAUCUUAAGCUUAAAAAUUAAAAUAUCAAUUUUAUUCUCACGUGAUUAAUUAUUCCAUCUAAAGCCUUAUAGAUGGAAUAAAAAGUCGACAUGCAAUUGCGCCUUAGGCAAUAAAUCCUAAUUGAAAAUACACCUAUCAUUUAAAUAUGCACGUAAGAUAUUGAAAAGCAUGUUUUAGGUAAUAAAAUAUCCAAAUUGAAUUUAGAUAAGAUAAUUACCUAAUUCCACAAAUAAUAUUUACCAAAUUUGAACCGAAUAAAAUCCGCUUAAUGGGUACCGGCGUGUGUGGUGGUGCUUACGAGGACGGGCAGCUGUGGGCGGAGGGCAGUGAUGGCAGACGGAGGCGCCGGCGUUCAAAGCUCCGGCGAGGGGCAGCAGGGCGGCAGCGAGCAGCCGGAGUCAGGUGCUGCAGCAGGGGCGCGGAGGCAAUGACCGGCAGAAGGAUUGAGCUGCUGGCGCGGCGGUGCUCACGGGUUGCUGCAGCGGUGGCAGACGCGGGGGCCGCGGCGACCGGCUUACGUUGCUGCAACGGUGGCGGGCGCGGGGCCGCGGCGACCAGCUCGAACAGAGGCGCGGAGCAGUGGCGAAGGCGAGGCAGAGCAGGGGCGCGGAGGUGCAGGUUGCAGCAGCAAACGGACUUCGGGGGACACGGCGACCGGCUCGAGUUGCUGCAACGGUGGCGCGGCGAGGGGGCUCGGGCUGCUAGUUGCAGGAACGGCGGUGGCGCGGUGAGCAGGGGCGGAGCUUCGGCUGCUGGCGUCGACAGCAGCGGCAGCGAGUGCAGGGGCGGAGGCGCGGCAACCCGGCGAGGAGCUGCACGAAGAAGAAGACCCUGUUCUUUUUUUCUCUUGUUUUUCUCUCUCACCCGUCCACUCUCACAUCCCUUCUCUCUGCACCCCUUCAGAAAAAGACAAACCCCCUUCUUCGUUGACUUUGACCCCCCUCAACGAAAAAGAACUCCCUUUUGAAAAACAAGCAAAUAGUGAGAGAACCCCAGUAAAAUGGGGAUAUAUAAGAAUUUCUAUUAGAUUUUGAUUUCAUCUCCCUGAUCCCAUCUUCUAUGUGGUAUAGGCCUCGGUAAAGGAACUUGCUUGAUAUGUCUCAGCCAUGAUCUCGCAUCAUGCACAAGCGCAAUGCUGGGAGAGAUGCAGAACCAUGUGGUCUGAUAGAAAUAAGGAAUCUUUCAAACAAAGGGGGUCCUUCCUCCCCUCCUACUUGUCUGUCAUAAGCAGUGUUGAAUUUGUCAAUUAGCUCAUUCAUUUUGCUGCAGAAAGGAGAAGAAUUAUCUGAGUUUCUAAAAUGAAGCUCACAAUGUUGAGAGCAAACCCACGCAUUGACAAGUCAAUGUCAAUCCAGUCAUUAUCAAUUUGUCUGUGCACCAUAGAAACUUCUAAGUUAUAAAGCGAACAAACCAAAAUUAAGCAUAUUUCACAAAAGAAAGCUCUCGACUUUGCUACUUUCCCCAAAGUUUAGCUGACCCGUACCAAAGGUUUAUCAUGUUCCAAGGCUUCCUAUAAACAGACUAACUUGAAAUCUUGUGAAAGAACAAAUGCAUUGUGUUGCUCAAGGCCAAAUAUUGGAGAAGGUUUUCCCAACACCAUAUCUGCUAGGAGCAAUUCCUAACAAGUAGAUUGCACAAAAGUCAAAUACUAGGGAGAUGUCAUCUCAGUCAAAUUGUUCCCGAUGAAAAUUUCAACUUAUAGUAUAUAUUCUUCCAGAUUCAGCUAAUAACUCGCAUCAUUGGAUAAGCUUUCAGGCACAUGACUGGUGUGGUUUGAUUUAUAUACACAAUCCUCAAGCAUUAUAACCCAAAAGAUGGUCCAGAGCAAUAUUUUCAUCCUAAAUCAUGACUCCUGGACAUACUCAAAAUAUGUCAAAAGUAAAUAAUUCAAAAGUUUGUUCAUACCUUGAGCAAUUGGCGAGCAUGGCCAGGUAAGUAAUCAACAAUGUAUCAUUGCACUCCUCGAAAGCGAACAUCAAAAUUAUUCAGCAACUAAUGUAUAAAAAGAAAUUUAAAAAGGAAAAAACGAAACCUCAACUUCAGGGCAUGUCAAACUAAACAGAAUACUUGCCAUCAAAAAGUCGUCCUAAAAUUUCCCUGAUUCAAUAGCUGGCAAUCUUUCGAGAAGACUAGUUAUUUGUCUCAGCAGAGAAUUCUCACAAGGAAUCUCACCUGCCAGUGCAAUCGGUACAUACUCUAAUUUGUACCCAUAGAUACACAUCUUCUAUGCAACAAUCCUUUUUACAUUGAAGAAACAGAAGCCACAUUUCAGAGGAUACAUAGGACACGGAGAUGGCAGCAAUUGGUUCGUUUGUUUUCCCAUGUGUGCAAGAAAUAUUCUGGUAGGCCAUAAACAUGGCUAAUGAGUAACUCGUUAGAAUACUCGUCAUCUCUUUCAAAUUACAUGCAUUCAUUCUCCUGUCUUUUUACACAUUCUAUAGUAGGUGGGCUCUCCAAAUUUACGGACGGAGGCCUCUCAAACUUCUUUAACACCCCCAAUUUGAUGCAACUGCCAUGACUGAUGCAUUUGAGUCGCAGCUUUGGCUGUUGCCAGAGAAGCCAUUGUGUUAUCCUGCAAUAUCGGUUGGUUAGUUCUUGGCAAACAAGAAAACUACCGAUAAUCCAGAUAUAUUUUUCACUAAAUCCCUGAACAAAAAGCCGAUAAUCGAGAAAAACACCAAUGAUCCAGAUAUAGUUUUCACAGAAUCUCCUCAGCAGAAAGCUGAUAAGAUAUGGACCUAUGGUGGAGCAGUUGCAUCCCUCUUUAUUGCACCAGUGAAACAUCCAUCCCCCAGUUCCGAUUAAACAAGAUCAUCAAGGUUUGACUCUAUUUUAAACUCCACCGAGCAGAACUCUCAGGCACGCAAUUUUUAAAUAAAUAAAAAAUUCUUUCAUUUCUAGCAAAGAAUCUGAUGGUACCAACAAAGCGAAAACCAGCGAGGACCCACGAAAGAGUACAGAAAAUAUUAAGGAAUUCGAAUACCGAGAGAAACUAAAGAAGAGAUAUAACAAAACAGAAAAAGAUAAAAAAAAAAAAAAAAAAAAGGAACGAAGAGGAGGGGCUUACAUGCUGAGCUGAGAGGAUCGAACAGGACCAGUGAAGAGAGAACGACCCCUACACAUUGUGGCAAAACAAGAAAUUUUGACAAUCAGCAGGCGAGCUUCACCCAAAACAUAUAUGCGGAUAUAAAAACCAGUAAAAAAAAAAACUGGAAAGCGGGACUUGUCGUCGCAGAUUUAGGGCUUCUCUGGAGAGACGGCUUUGAGCAGAGCGGAAAGUGGAAGCGAGUCGUCAAUGGAAGAUUAGACGAGAGAGCAGAGCCAUUGCUUCCUGGCCGCCAGUCGGGAGGGACGGAGAAAGCCGAGCCCAAUCGGUCAUCGGGAGAGAGCGGAAUCCAGGCAGACAGAGGUCACGAGAGUGAGCGGAGAGAAUGCCAUCGGGAGGAAGAGGCCGUCGUCUGGAGGGAGCGUUGUCGGAGUGAGCGCUAUUUGGGAGAGAAGAGAACGUCGUCGGGGAGAUAGUGAGAAGAGAGAAGAGAGAGGAGAGAGAAAUGAAGCGCUGAGUUGAGUAGAGAGAGAAGAGGCCAUCUCUCUCUCGCGGGCUCGGUUUAAAAUUGGCUGACACGUGAGCCCCGAAAGACAGAUGUCGAUCUCUGAAUGGUUCAGAAUAAGGAUGGCGUAGUCCUUUGAGGUGCAUCUAAUAUUUUCUCCCUUCGAAAAAAGAUAAAAAAAAUUUAAAUUUUAUUUUUUAUAAUUGCAUCAACGUAAUGAACACUUGUCUUUUUUCCUAAAGGAUUUCUUUUGUCAAGACUCCAUCCAUACAAAUCCCAUGCAAAAGAUAAUUGCUUCUGGGUCAUCUAUCUACGUGAAGUUGACAGUUCCCCCCAUACAGGUGGCGGGGACAGGUGUCGCGGCGCCACUCUCCUAACCUAGCUCCGGCUAGUCGAGGCUGCCGUGGAGUUGGGGAAGUACACAGGAUGAAUUUUUCUCGGCUUGCUUAGGCCACGUUUGUUAAUGCUAUUUAUUUCUGUUUAUGAGCAAAAUUUCUAAGUUUUUGUUCCAGGGAACAAAAGAAGAACAGAAUCGUGUUUGUUUGUGUUUUUAUUUCAAAUAUAUUUUUUUGUUCCCAGGAACCAUUUGGAACAGAAACAAGAAACAAGAAAAACGUGUUUCUUGUUUCUGGAAUAAUUUUUAAGAACAAAUUUUUUUUCUCCUCUCUUUUUCUUCUCUUUUUUUUUUUCUUCUUUUCUUUUUCUUUUUUCUUUGGCCGGUCGCCGGCCUCGGCCAUGGCCAACAAUCGACUGUCAAGGGCCGGCGACCUCGCCGGAGCGUCACUGGCCCUAGGCGAGGCCGAGCUUGCCCAGCCAAGGCAAGGCCAAGCCUCGCCCAACCACAGAGAGCCAGGGCGCCGAGCCCGUCUACUAGUCGCCGGCCAUGGCCGAGGCCCGGCGACCGACCAAAAGAAGAAAAGAAGAAAAAAAUUAAAAAAAAUUAAAAAAUUAAAAGAAACAAAAAAAGAACACAAAUUUACCAAACAUGUUUUUGUUCAUUUUUUAUUCCCAGAACAAGUUUACCAAAUGCGUUUUUUUAUUCAAAAAUUGUUCCCUAAAACAGAAACAAUUUUUUUCUAAUUCUGUUUUUUGGAACAAUUUUAAAACAAAAAUGUUACCAAACGCGCUCUUAGCUUUUGAUCUUAUAUAAACCCUGAUUUUGUGUUGAUAUUUCCAAAUUUUAUUUUCAGAAAAAGACAAAAACUUUCUUAGAAUCUAUUUUUUAUAAUUGCAUCAACAUAACCAACACUUUUUUAGAUUCUAUUUUUUAUAAUUGUAUCAACAUAACCAACACUUGCCUUUUUCUGAAGGAAGUUUUUUUUCAUUGAGUUCCAAGACCUCUCUCUGCACCCCUUCAGAAAAAGAACUCAACAGAAAAAUGCCACGUAAGCAAUUUGGUCAGAAUUUAUCGCUGUUGACACUUAAGUCUUCCAUUUUUCUCCAAUUUUAGCAUUUAAUUGUAUCUCUUAAGUGUCCACCCGAACCAAAUUUUGACAAUUGCAAUGUUUGGCACUCUUUUCUUUUGGAUUAAUAUCAUGAAAAAUCUCAAAUUGGUAUAUCUAUGAUAAACUUACCCCAAAUGACAAAAAAAAAAAAAAAACUAAAUUGGCCAAAUUUAUCUCAAACUAAUUUUUGGACUACCGAAAAUCUCAAACCAUUACAUUUAUGACAAAUAUAUCUUCCGUUAAAUUAGUUUAAUAGUAUAAAAAACAACAAAACUAUUACAAUGGCAACAAAUGAAAAAGUAUAAUUCCAAAUCAGUAUACCAACCAACUGUUUUUUUUUUUUUUGGUAAAAUAUACCAGCCAAGUAUUACGUGUCAUUCAACUCAAUAAUUUGAUAGUAAAAUUUAACGGAAAUUAAUAGAUGGUAAAUUUAUUGUAAGUGUAAUAGUUUAGAUGAAAUUAUCAAAGAUAUAUUAAUUCGGGAUUUUUUAUAGUUAAAAAAAAUAAUUUGAGAUAAAUUUAUCAUAAACAUAUUAAUUUUGAGUUUUUUGUGGCAUUAAUCUUUUUUUUUAUACAAAAAAAGUUAAUCAGAAAGUUCAAAGGCCUUCCUCCACUCUAUGAUGGGAUGAGACUGAGGGCUGAUGACAGGAACGUCAUUGGAAUAUUUUUAGAGAAAGAUGAGUACUAUGGUCAGGACCCAUAGUACUCAUCAAUAUGAUAUAUUAACGGUGUCCCUGCCUUCUCCCCUCACGCAGCCAUGGAUUUUACAACCAUCGUCUCUAUCCUCGUCAAUUUCAUCCAAGUUAAAUUCCAGGGCAAGUUGAUUUCGCCCUUCGAAACCCACCCCGUCGCCACCUGCAUCGCCAUCUGCAGUCUGCUCCUGCAUUUCUUAUUGCUGCAUCUCGCUGAACGGGCACCACCGUCUAGCGGCCGUGCUCCUCCUUGCGAUGGAGCAUCGCACCUCCUCAUCCACUUCGCCGGUUCGAUAUCGGUGGCUUCGCUCGCGUGGUUGCUGCUCCACGACUCCUCCCACUCCGUCCUCUGGUUGUUCGUGCUGCUCCUGUUGCUUCCCGUGAGUCUCUUGCGCGGCCUCAUUCAAAAACUUUGGCUUUGGUUUUACAACAAAAUCUUUGCCAUGAUUUUCCUUGCGGUGCCGUCUCGUCUAUGGCAUGGUGGAAGAGCGCCACCACAUUUGCCGCGCCCGAUCGUGAAUCCACGUUUUAUGUUGGAAGUUUGAGCGCCAUAGUUGUUCAGAGCGCCGUAGUUAUUCGACUGUUCCCUGCUUGGAAAAACUAAUUUAUAUUGUAUGACCAAUUUAAAUCAGCUAGUUUUGUAUAAGAUGCACUCGGGCCUUUCUUCUGUUUAUCUCAAAACAUAAGGAGUCCCCAAGCCUUCGGCAUCAUCGAAUUAUCUCCCGACAAUAAGAAAGGAGAGCAGGGAACAAGUAAAAACCACCUAUGUAUCUUCCCUAUUCCCAGCCAUGAACAGUGAUGGACCUUGUCGCGACUAGAUCUGUUUAAGCUAAGCUAGCCCUCAAAAGAAAUUGUGAUCUAUUGUUAUCGAAGAGAUUGAAGAUGCCUCAACAAUUGUUACGGCACAUAUGAGGGGUAGUAAUUGUUCUUGAGGUUAUAGCUUCUGACCUCUUUGAAAGCAUUGCUGAGUAUUGCAGAUUUCCUUAUUUUUUUCUGGUGAAUCUCUUUGUAGCUCUCUGUUUGGCCAGUGGAUGGAUUUGUCAUUUUACAUUCCUUGCUGGUGUGCUAUGGUUUUGCUCAAUUAUCCACAUGAACUAGGAUAAAUUGAUGCCUUGGAGACGAGAGCACAGCUACAAUAUCAAAAGCUUUGAUCUAACAGUAACACUAACAUCAUUGCGUGAUCCAAAUCAAAAUGAAAGAUGUCAGCCUUUUCAUCUCAGUCCUGUAUACACCAUUACUGCUUACUAGCUAUUCCGAUGAUAAUAUAGUUGUAGUUUGUCAUUGAGAACGUGGGAGUCGUUACAUCAUACAGUCUUCAUUUGACCUCUGAGAGGUGACAAUUACAAAUUUGCUGUGGCAAAUGCGUCAAUCUGCAAUCUAAGGCUACGUUGUCUCACUGGCUGAUUGGUUUUUGGCCAGGAGCUUGAAUUGUUGCUUCAGUCGGACAUUCAAGUUGCUGGGGCCAAGGUGAGAGAAGAAUGCUGAAAGAAGAUUUUUGUUUUUUCCUUUUUCCGGGAGGCUUUAGUUCAAGAUAACUGAAUUUUGGUUUACUGUAGGUGUUAGAACCGACCUUUUCCCACUCUUCAUGUGCUAAAGAAUUUACAGUUCAUGUAUGCAAAGCUAGACAGAGUAUGCAGAUGCUUGAGACAAGUCUGCAAACUACAGACAUCUGUUUUUUGUAUUUGAGGAAAUAAUUAGACCGGCAAGCUUCCUGACUAGUUGAUUCAUAAUCAAAUUCUGCAUCCCAAUGUUAAUAUGUUGAUAUGUGACAGAGCACCCAAGUCUUGCACUUCAAAAAUAUGAUAUUUAUCUGCUGUUGCUGCAGAGAACCACAAUCUUGGAUGUCAACUGUAGCAUCGAGUACAAUUGACUUGCAUAAGAACGCAAGUUCAAGCAUCAAACAGAAAGGUGUUCUCCUGACCCCCAAAUUCUUUUCAUCUUGGUAAGUGCGUCCCCAACUCUGCAACUAUGUGCACUUCCCUUGCGGCUUUUGGAGACCAGCAUCGCAUGUCUUUUCUUGAGUACCUCCAGUUAUGUGCUUGUUCUUUCCACUUUUUUCCUGCAGAAGUGCAAUUUUUUUCGUCUAGUUCAGCAAUAGCCGGGAUUUCAGGUAUUUCCACUAUUCCAGCACCCUGGAUUAAAUUUUGUUUGGUAUUAGCGCAUUUUCUGUUGAUUAUUAAAAAAUGUUUGGUUUGUGGAGGAUGAAUCGAUAUAUAUGAUGUUCAAAAAGGAAUAUGGCUAUUCACCACAUUACAUGGCAGCAUCUUGUAUCCAUUUGUUGGCUGAAGUCUGUUUAGUAAGAGAGCACUUUUGUGAUGAAAGCGCGUUGUGGGUUAAACACAUUUGAUAUGAGUAAUCAAUGGGCAAGGAAUUCAUUGGAGUUCUAAGCGCCCAGAAUUGGGUCCCUUAUCAUCUUGCGAAGGUCACAUUAGUACUCACUGGUAUCAUCUUUGAUGAACAAAGCAUAAAAUGUGAGUUGAUGGAAGUUAAUGACAAUCUUUUACUGUAGUUGAACCUGCAAAAUUUACCACAGAUGCUGCAUAGGAAGCACAGUUUGGUAGAUCUAAUACAAGCAUCAGUUUGUGGUAGAUCUAAUACAAGCAUGGUUCAGUCCCUUCUGCAUUCCAUAGUCAAGGGUGAGUCCCAUGCAUCAGUUUGUGGAUCGCGGUCUCACACACUAAUCCCUACAGAUUCCUGUAGGAGGACCAAAUCAUAUUGAUUUUAAUUUUCAUGCAGGUUCCUUCACCAUUUGAUAUGAACUUGGAAGUUGAUCUUCUUCUCAGGUUUAUAAAAGCCAGAAUGCUUAUUGUGGAAAACGAUUCCCAAGAGAGUUAUCAUGAUACUAAGUCAAAUAAUGAAGCUAAGUACAUGAUCUACAGAAGAACUUAAGACUGCAGGACCGUCAAAUGCUUGUGCUAAUUCAGUAGAAGAUACUUAAAAAUUGUAACCUUUAACUGGAGUGCAAAUGUUUCUGAAGAGACCGAAAAUACUUUGACAAUCAUUACGACAAGGAGGAUGGGGAGAUGUUUCUUUGUUUGUUUCAAGGUUACCGAAGAUACUACUAGACGAAAACAUUUGGAAGAUUUUUCUUUACUGAAAAGAGAAAUAGAGGCACAUUAAUGAAAAAUGGCGCUUUUACUAGCAUUUUCAGAUAUUAACUCUUUAUUAUCACAUUGCCACGUGUCAAAUGUUGUCAUAUGAUCAUUUCUAGUUGCCAAACUAAAGUUAUGAACUAGGAUAAAUAGAUGCCUUGGAGACACGAGCACAGCUGCAAUAUAGAAGCUUUGUUCUAUCGUCACAGAGUUAUCCAUAUCAAAAUGAAAAAUGUCAGUUUUUUCAUCCCUGCCCCAUAUGCAUGGGUACUGCUUACUAGCUAUUCUGAUGAUAAUUUUGUUUCAGUUUGUCAUUGCAGAAUGACAAGAGUGGUUACAUCAUAUAGUCAACACUUUACGUCUUAGAGGUGACAACUAGAUCUUUGUUGCUGCGAAUGCGUCAACUUGCUUCAGCAAAUAAGAUUUAUAAAGGCAGAGACUUCUUUGUGAUGUAUCCUGUACGUAUCUGGAAGCUCUUGGAUCUGAGUAAUGCAAUCUAAGACUAUAUUGUCUCACUGGCUGAUUGGUUUUUGGCAGGAGCUAGAAUUAAGGCUUCAGUCUGAGAUUCAAGUUGCCAGGGCCAAGGUGAGAAAAGAAGGCUGAAAUAUAGAUUUCUUUUUUGGGAGGCUUUAGUUUAAUAUAACUGACUUUUGGUAGACUGCAGAUGUUAGAACUGAACUUUCCCCAUCUUCAUGUGCUGGAAAAGAAUUUUUACAGUUCAUGAAUGCAAAGCCAUACGGAUAGUAAGCAAAAGCUUGAGACUAGUCCGUACAAACUACUCACAUCUGAUAUUCAUUUUUUGAGGAAAUAAUAAGACCGGCUAGCUGCUGACAAGUUGAUUCAUAAUCAAAUUAUGCAUCCUUAUGUUAGUAUUCCAACUCAUGACAUAGAGCACACAAGUCUUACACUCACAAAUAUGAUAUUUAUCUGGUUUGCUGCAGAGAAUAACAAUCUCAGAUGUUGAGUGUCAGCAGUGAUUCCCUGUAAGUUGACACAACAAACAGGAAGGUGGUCUCCUGCCUCCCCAAUUCUUUUCUUCUCGACAAGUGACUCCCCAACUCUGCAACUACAUGCGCUUUGGUUGCAUCUUUUUGAGACAGGCAUUGCACAUCUUUUUUUUAGUACCCUCAGUUGUGUGCUUGCUCUCCUCUUUUUUUCCUGCAGAGUUGCAGUUGUUUCAUCUAGUUCAGCCAUAGCAGUGUCUUCAGGUACUCCCAAUAUUCCAGCAACCUGUAUUUGGUACUAGCAAGUUUUCUGUUAAUUAUUACUUAUUGUGGAGGAUGAGUCUAUAUAUAUGAUGUUAAAAAGGAACAAGGCUAUUCACCACAGCAAAUGGCACUGGCAGCAUCUUGUAUCCAUUAGAUGGCUAAAAUCUGUUCAGUAAUUCUGGGAUGAAAAUGCACCGUGGGUAAAACGCAAUUGAUAUGAGUAAUCAAUGAGCAAGGGCAUUCAUUGCAGUCAUACGCACCCAGAUUCAGGUCCCUUAUCUUCUCGCAAAGGUCACAAUUUUACUCACUGGUAUCAUCUUUGAUGAACGAAGCAUAGAGUGUGAGUUGCUGGAAGCUAAUGGAAAUCUUUUACUGUAAUGGAAGGAAAUCUGUGACUAUUAAGAUUGCAAGGCACACCACUUUAAAAGUCAAACCUGAAAAAUUUACCACAGACACUGCAUAGGAAGCACGGUGCAGUAGAUCUAAAUUAAGAAAGAGUAUAUGGUCAUGGAGGUGAUGUUUCAAAGUGAACCUAUCAAAAGUGCAUGGAAUCUUGAAGUCGUAGUAUCAUUCUGUGCAGUGAAAGACAGAGCGUCGACACUCUUCACAACAUAUGUCAACAGCGCUCCUUCCUGAUAUGAGAAGGAAAAAGGAUGUGCGGGUGAACAGGUUGUUGCAUAACUGAGGGCAAUUCAGCACGUGAUUUAUGGAGCAGGAAAGAUCAGCUCUGCUCCAGCCAGCGAUAGGCUAAACAUUUGAUGCAUUCAUCACAAGCCUUGCACGGACCAGCCUUCAUGUGACAGUUCCAGCAGCCGAGGGUGAUCAUGCAGUGCAGAAAGCAGAGGCAACCAAGACAACCAUUGACCUUUGCAUCCGAUUCUGUUUUAGAGCUUCAUGUGGAAGACCGGUGGAUUCUGAUGGUCGAAAUGGUAAAAAACCGAGUCGCUAGUGCCUCCAGAUCUUGCGAACAUAGAGUUAAAGCCAUGCGUGCAAUCCAUGUCAAAGCUGAAUUUGCAUUUGUCGCAGUCAGAAACCAUGGUAAGCAAAUAAGCAUUACAUUUAGCUCCUCCAUUUGAUCGAAAACAAGAGAGAGAGGGUCAUCUCUGGGGGAGACUCGGUGCAAGUUUUGUGGAGAAAGAAUAUGCACGCAUAGCAUCCAUAGACCUGCCCCAAGAUUGCUUGCUCACAGGCUUUGCAUUUGAUUCUACAUUUCAUCUUGAGAUGAUGGAAUGUGAGGGGAUGCUCUUGAGCGUUUGUUGGAUGGCCACGUUCUGAGAAUCCUCAUUAGGAGGACAAGCAAUAUUGGGCUGUGCAGUAACAAUUGACUGAUCCGACUGGCAAGAGAAGGUUUUCAUGUAUAAAUGCUGUCGCGACCUAACCUCAGUGCAGUAACUGAUAUUCCAAGCAAGUACGACCUUCCACUCAGGUUCCAGAGAUUCAAUGCAUGAUCACCGAGGCAAAUUAAGAAACCCAAAGGCGUUGUGAAUGGAGUUAUAGUUGCCGAGUGAUAUCAACGCGAAGCAAAUGGGGUGAAAUGAGAUGUACCUCAACUCCCGCAUUAUCUGAUGUUGUAUUGCAGUGCUAAUUUGUAAUAUAUAUAUAAUUGAUGCUUUAAUGCAAUGGUUUAUAAAACUGUCGUGGCCGGUGAAAAGUUUCAUUUCAUGUUCAUUUAUAAUUAGCCGCAAUGAUAAUAUAAUUUUCCAUGAAUUAACUAACAAAUGAAACUCCAAACAUUCUAUAAUGUCAUAAAGGUGCAUUCACCUUCGGUUUGUCUAUAAAUUUACUACAAAGUUCUUAUCCAACUUACUAUAAAGUAGCUUACUUAAGACGAUAUUGAGAUAAUAGUUUUGUAAAUUGCUAAAAUGGAUGUAACUUGACAUAACUUAAUAGUCUAUAAAACUAACUUCACUUUAUAUGUAAUGUUUAAAUUUGCUAUUAAAUACAAUACGUAACAAUGGUACCAAUGGUAUGAGCCAAAUCUACUUUUUUCUAGCUAUCGGUUUAUCCAUAAAUGUGCAAGUUCUGCAGCAAUCUUGAAUUCCACAUUAUCAAAAGAGAGUUACAUACAAUACAAUGGUCCGUAAGUUAUGUCGAUAAGGUUCACCAAAGUAGUAGUUACCAUUAAACUUGAUGUUUAUUAUCUUUGAAUAAAACUCGAUUUCAUUUUCAAAAAUUAAAUAUUUGUCUGCAUUUUUACCCUUGAAAACAAAUUAUAGAAUGAAGUUGUUAUAGACCUAGUUCACAUAUACAAGCUACGACUUUAGCCAGUCAAACUGAAUUUAGAUCCACAGGUCAAAAGUCGGCGUUUAUAUAAACUAUGAAGACUAAGACCCAGGAGAACAUUUUUGCAAAGAACAAACAAAAUAGGGAGGUACUCUUUCGAGGAAUUGAAAGUAAAACUGUCCAAAUGAUAGAAUGAACUACGUUUGGAAAAAGAAAAACCAGAGUUUUGUAGAGCUCAUAUCAAAAGGUUAUUGGAAGCCAUUCGAUUCUAACUUAACUUUGCUAGGAGCUGUAAUAGUCAGAUUGUGAACCAAAUUAUAGUAGUACAAUUGCUUUUGCUGCUAUAGUCAUCGGUAGCAAAAAAGCCAUGGCAAGAUCAGGAGGCACGUUACAUACUUCAAAACACCAACUUACUUGAAACAAGUAAAUUGCUACGAAUAUUAGAACGCCUAGAUCAAAUUAUUCCCUCCAUUCAUCAGGAAAUGGAAGGCAAAGGAGAAUCAGAAACGCUAUGUGGCCAUAGCAAAACUAAUUGCAAGAUAACAAGUUAACAAGGAAAAUGCAAGAGCAAUUUAGCAUAGAUAUUGCAGUACUUUCAGCUCGUUUCAGGAAACGAAACACAUUACAGAGAACGCGAAGCAUCCCGGAACAUCUCUUUCUCUUUUGUUUUUUGCACUGCAUAAUCUGAAUAAUCAUAAUUUACGCUUAAUUACGAAAAUUCCUCCAUUUAGAUAAAUAAAAGCCGUUGCUACCAAAUAGAAUUAAUCAGUCUUGUCGAAUUUUCCCGAGCGUUUAUGGAGCGAAAGCCCCCCUUUGUUUCCUCUCUUUUUCUCGGUUUCUCCGAACUUUGUUCUGUUUUUCUUUCUUUUCUUUUCUUUUUUGCUCUUCUUGGCCAGACACUGAUUUCUCUCUUUCUUUCUGCUCUUGUAAUUUCCCUUGCGAUGAAGCAAGACUAAAGAAAGGGCUAAAACGAGACACUCGAGCUUGGUCUUGGGCCUAGGCUUAAUUUUUUGCUUUUAAUUAUUAUUUUUUACAAGCCUAUUUAUUGUAACUUUAAUAAGUGUUGGAUACCGUAAGUGCCAAAACUUAGCACGGAUGAAUAUUUAAAUGUCAAAAACUUUCAAAAUGUACACUUAAGUACUAAAAAUGAAGAAGAAAUGAACAAUUAAGUGCUAACGACAAGAAUUUCUUUCCAAACCACUGACAUGGCAUUUUCAGGAGAUAUUUUUACCAACGUGGAAAUUAUUUUAAAAACAAUUAUCCACGUGGCACCAACGUGGUUAUAUAAGCCCCAAAAUGACGUCGUUUUUCCCUCAAAUUUGAUUUGUAAAUUGUCACGGAUUAAAAUGCGGGUGCACCACCUAGGGUUUAAGUUAAUGGACUACUAAGUUUUAAACUUAGCUCGGGCUCUCUUAAGCUCAUAUCAAUUCGCAACUUAGGUUCAAGUUUUUAGCAUGCAAAUGGAUUUUAUCUAAGAGUCGUCACUAAUCAAUUUAUGAUAGGUCGAUUAAAUACCUAAGUAAAAUAAUUGGAGAAUUAUUUUACUAGACUAAGGGUACGGGGACUUGGUUACACUACAUUGCUCUAAUGCUCUUUCAGUACCAUUUCUUUUAAUUUUAAAAAAUGUUUUUUGCAUGCAACUGAUUUAUUUUAACCUAAAUUACUAUCAUGUAAGUAUGGUGACCACACGGAUGCUCAUCCACUGUUAAACAUUCAAAUAAAAUAAAUAAAUAAAUAAAUUGCAUCAAACAAAAUAAUCAAUCAAUUUUUUUUUAGUCUUCUUGAAAUUAAAAGUUUUUUAUAAAACAUGCAUUUUAACUACAUGACCUGAUUUUACUAAUAAACAAAUUAUAAUUAAAUUAUCCUAUUAUGCAAAUUAAUUAACAUGCACCUAAUAUUUUUGUAUUUUGAAAUUUGGAAUUAAUAAAAAUCCUAAUUAAACUAUCUAAAAAAAUGAAUAAUUUUCUAAUUUAUUUUAGAGAUUAAUUUAACUUAAACCCUAUCCUAUUUUAAAAAAUUAUUUUUAGAAAAAUGAGAUAAUUAAAAUGUGCAAACAUCGUCUAAAACCCUAUUUAUAUAAAUAAAUUAUCUAAGUCCAACCCUAACCUAUUUCAAAAAUUAUCUAAAAAUGCACUCCUAAAAAAAUUCUAAUUUACUAAACCUACAUAUCUAAUUUACUAAAUCGACAUGCUUUGAUGUAAAAUUUGAUUUUUUUUAUUUUUAUAUUUUUAGUAUUUUUCCGAGACAAGCAAAUGUCGAAUAAACUAAUCAAAAUAUUUAACAAAUAAAGGAUUGAAAUAAUAAAAAAAAUAACAUGUUAUCUCACAGGUCAAAUUAACGAUUACUCUAAUCUAAACAUCACGAAAGAGAGUUCAAAAUAAUUAAAAAUCUGAUUCGAAAUCUUACCGAUCAAAUUAAUAAUUAUAAUGAUUUAACAAUUAAAAUUCUACAAAAAUGCCCAAAAAUUAAUGUAACUAAAAAAAAUGAUCCAACAUCUUACGGAUCAAAUUAAUAAUUACAAUAAUUUCGACAAAAUCCCUCCGGAUAAUAUCAGAAUAUGCAUAAAAUGAAAAUCACAUUCCUGUACAAUAAUAUUGAAAAUAAAAAAUAAACUAAAAUACCAUGAAAUAAAAUAUAUAUAUAUACAAAUAACAAAAGCCACCUGAAGGGGGACUUGGAAAGAGGGAGCAACGGCGCCGAUCAGUGAGGGGCGGAGCACGGCGGAGGGCAGGCGGGAAGUGCGGCGGCGUCGGACUCCGGUGGCAGGGAAGCGGACGAGCGGAGGUGGUGCAGUGGCGCGGCGUCGGCGAGGGCAGGAGCGCGGUCGUCGGGUGCGGAGGAGUCGGGCGCUGCUGCGUCGGCGACAGAGGAGGAAAACGGCGAGCGGGCUGCUACUCGGCAGAACUCGAAACUUCGGUGAGGAACAGCGGCAGCAAGCAAUUUCAGGUGCAGGCGGCGUGCAGAGGGCUGAUCGCGGCGAAGCGGGUGUAGCAGGAGCAGCAAGCAGCGGUGGCGGAGACGCAGGUUGAUGGCGUCGCGGUGGUGUUCGGGACGUCAGGCGCUGGGUGCGGCGAGCUGCUCGUGGAGGUCCUACAGGCGGCGGUGGCGCGGUGAGCAAAGGGGGGUCGAGCGCUGGAGGGCAGCGGCGGCGAGCAGUGGCGUCGCUGGGAGCUGAUCUGCCGGCGUCGUUGGCGGUGCUGUGCGUCGGGGGUGAGUCCGGCGGAGGUGAUGCUGAUGCGUAGACGGCCGGUGCGGAGGAAGGCAAGCGGAGGCUCGGCUGCUGCGGGCGGGCACCGGGCGGUCGCGGACGGCUGGCGGAGCGGCGGCAGUGGUCGGCGCGAACGGGGAAACCGGCGGACGCCGGCGAGGAGUCUACGAAGAAGAGGAACAGUCCUCUUCUUUUUUUUUUCUUUUUUUCUCUCUCCUCCCUGUCUAUUCACACGUCUCUCUCACUGUACUCACGUCUCCUUCACUCUUUCUUUUUAACUUUCCCUCUUCCCCAACGAAAGAAGGGAGAAAGAAAAAAACUUCUCCUUUAUUUAUUUAUUUGAUGAUCCAGGGAAUCUCGUGCGCCGCUUUGCGGCGAAGUAAACCCUGGGAUGGACCCGGCCCACCACCGCUGACCAGGCCCACAGGUAAAUCGCGCGUAAUGCGACCGGCGAGUCUCGAACCCUUCCCCUAGGGGACGGGGUACCAAGCCUUAACCAUUUCGGCCACCGCGAACGGUGGUCUUUCUUUUAUUUUUUGUGCAUGAAUUUCUCUCCAAUUUUUACUCUGAAAUUUUUUCGAAAAUCGCCCCCUCUGCACGAAAAUUAUGUCUCUCUUUUAUAGUGAUUUUCAGAGAGCCACUUUCCAUGGCAACUUUCGAGUUUUCAUCUUCUGUUGCAUUAAAUUAAACCUGCAAAUUGGAGCAUGAUUUCGCAAUCAGUUCGAUUUUGUUUGGUUCCUUCCAUUUUAUAGAAAUCUUUGUCACUUAUUCACCUGAUUUUUCAAUUAUUUCUGCAUUUAUCAAAAUCUGAAUACUCAUUAGAAUUUCAAAUUUCCAUGCAUAAUAAAUCAAUCAAUUUUCCAUUUUUUUUCAUUUUUCUUUUUUGUUUUGAUGCAUUUUUUUAGGGGUUAAAUUUUUUUUUGGUAAAGAUUUUAGGGGUUAAAAUUAAUCCCUACUUUUUAUGCAAAAAAUCAAUGACUGGAUCGCCAAAAUUUAGGUGUUAACAUAAAUUAAAUAUUAAUUAAAUUAAAUUACGAUGAUGUGGCAUUUCGUUAAAAAAAAAUUAUCCACGUGACACUAAUAUGACUAAAUAGCCUAAAACGACGUUGUUUUGAUCCAAAUUUGAUUUAAUUAAUAUAAAUUUUAAUUAAAAUAAAUUGAAGAACUAAAAUUAUUAUUAAAAAAAAAAAGGGAAUAGGGGAGGCCCUUGCUGUCGCUACCCCACCAUUGCCGAAAAGGGUUGACAAUUGUAGGGCAAGGGUCGAUUGGCCCUCACCUACGGUCAGCCAAGGUUGCGCAACUUGGCCGAGGCCCGAUGACCCCUACCGACCAUCGCCCCACCGUUGCUAACCCUUUAUGACGAUGGUGGGGCAAUGGCAGCGAGAGCUGUAGAGACCCUCGCUAAUUUGCUGCCCCUUAUUAUCUUUCUCUCUCUCUCUCUUUCUUUUUAAGGUUUUUUAAUUUAAUUUAAUUAAUAUUUAUAUUAUAAAUAAUAUUUGGGGCAGAAUGAUGUUGUUUUGAGACAAGCAUUGAGACAUUCUUAUGAGUGAUGUAGACCAGUUUUAUUAUUGAAAUAAUGCCACAUUGAAAAUUCAACAACGUUGGAAUUGUCACUUAACUAUACAUUUUGAAAAUUCUGGUACUUAAGUGUCUACCAUGCCAAAUUUUAACACUUGGAUGUACUUUUGCCCAACAUUAAUCACUGAGAUAAAUCUUUUGGGUUAUUACGCAAUGAUGCAAACUAUGCUAGGGGUGAGGAUAGGUCACUAGGGGAAAAAUUGUUGGCAAGAUCAAGGCCUCUUUAAUUUGAAAAAUAUCAUAAAAGUUUUAAAUAUAUUACAUUUGUGUCAAUCUAAUCUUAACCUUUAAUUGCAACAAUUUAGUCAUAAACUUUUGAUCUAGUGCUAAUUCAAUCUUUCGAACUAAUUUUGAUCAAAAAUUACUUACAUAGACAUCGACUAUCCAAUGUGGUACAACCAGCGCUAGCAUAGAAUAUUUCAAUAAUAUUUUAAUAUUUUUCAAUUUUAUUAUUAUUUUUCAUCUCUCUCUUUAUUUUAUUUUUUUGCCCAUUUCUUCUUCCUUUUGCCAAUAAUCAGCCUCCAGCCCCACUUGGAUGAGGGUUGCUGUUGCCCACCAUAGGUGAGGCCUGACCAGGCAAGAGCGAUCCUUGGCGAGGCUGCCUUGGCCUGGGGGAGGGAAGACCUCGCUCUUGCCCUCAUCCUUGUCAAGGCCAGAUUUGGUGAGGCCAACCCAACUUGGGCAUUGCCUAUGUAUGGCAAAAGGAAGAAGAAAGGAAAACAAUUAGAAAAAAUCGAAAAAUAUUAAAUAAUUAUUAUAAAAUUUUCCAUGAUUGUCCACAUGAGCAAGAUCUGGCCAAAAUUAAUCAGAAUGACUAAAUUAGCAUAAUGAUAAGGUUUAAUAUUAAAUUUGCACAAAUACAAUAGGCUUAUGGCUCUCUUUUUUUAACACUUUUCUCCCAUUCUAAUAUAACCAAAUAAAAAAUAAAUCGGACAAUUCAAGGCCUUCGUCCACUCCAUGGCAUGGUGAGGGGUGAGGGUAGGGACAUCAUUUGAUAUUUGUUUUUUCACGGAAAGUGGCACGGACGUCAAUCUGAUACUCUUCCUUUUGAACCUUUGGUUGACAUCAAUCUGAUGCUCUUUCUUUGAACCUUUGGUUGCUUCCGAACCAUCGGUUUAAAGAGUAUCAGAUAGCAAGCUUCCGAACCAUUGGUUCAAAAGGAGUAUCAGACUGCGAAAGGGUUUCCAAAGGUUCAAAAGAAAGAGUAUCAAAUUGAUGUCUGAGGUGGAUCACCAGGGGAAUAGAAAGUAUAAAUGACGUCCCUGUCUUUUCAUCCCUCACCACGCCAUGGAUCUUACCUCUAUCAUCUCUAUCCUGGUCAACAUCAUCCAAGUGGAUUACUAGGGGAAGUCGAUUUCACCCUUCGAAACCCACCCGGUUGCCACCCGCAUCGCCAUCUACAGCCUUCUCCUACAUUUCUUUUUCGGGCAUGUCGCUAAUCGGGCGCCACUGUCCAGCGGCCGUGCUCCUUCUUGUGAUGGAGGAGUGCACCUCCUCUUCCACUUCACCGGUUUGACAUCGGUGUUUUCGCUCGCGUGGUUGCUGCUCCACGACUGCUUCCACUCCGUCCUAUGGUUCAUGCUGUUCCUGUUGCUUUUUGUGUAUCUAUUGCACGGCCCCAUUCAAAAACUGUCUGUGGUUUUACCGCAAACUCGUUCUCAUGAUUCUCCGUGGGGCGUGGUCUCGUGUAUGGCGUGGUGGAAGAGUGUGGCCACUUUUGCCGUGCGCGGUCGUGGAUCUGCAUUUCAGGCGGGAAAUCUGAGUGCCUUGAUCGUUCUGCUGUUCCUUGCUUGGAAAAACUAGUUAGACCACGUUAAAACAAGUGAUUAGUACUUCAGGAAACUCUGCUAGUUUUGUAGAAGAGGCGCUUGGGGCUUUCUUCUCUUUAUCUGAAGCUAAAAGGAGUUCCCAAGAGUUAGCAUCAAAUUAUCUCCCGACGAUAAUAAGAAAGGAGAACAGGGAACAAGUAUAAAACCACCUGUGUCUUUCCAAGUCCUAGCCUUGAAUGGUCACGCACCUUGGAGCAACUAAAUCUGAUUAAGAUAGGCUAAGCCCUCAAAAGGAAUUGUAAUCUUUUGUUAUCGAAGAGAUCGAAGUUAACCUCAACAAUUGUUACUAGGAGAAGAAUGAUUGAUUCUAGUAGCUAUAUUAAGUAAUGUUAUUUUUGACGUUGAAGCUUCUGAUCUUUAUGUAAAACAUUGCGAGUGUUACAGAUUUCAUUCUUUUUUUGGGGUGAAUUUCUUGGGAAUAUUACCCAAAAAAAUCUUAAUUCUUUUAACAAUUUGCUAAUUUAAUUUUUCCAUCUGGCCACAUGAAUGUACAAUUAGCACCUCCCUGCGGGUGCCGUUCUGCGCGGCCAGACCAGCCGGAAGCCCGUGCUGACGUGGUCUUCGAAGAUCAAAACGGCAGCAUUUUCACAAUUAAAAAAAAAAAAAAAGGAAGAAAUCGUCACUGUGCUCUUGUCUUGCCCAAAUCCUCGAACGCUGCCCCAGUCCAAAGAACUCUAACCUGAAAUCAACUGAGAUCUCGCUCAAAUCUCUUCAAAUCUCAGCUCAAAUCGAACGAUUCUUCCUCAAGCCCGAGUCGUUUUUUUUUCCACAUUUAAGAGAAACCGCAGAUGUUUGUUUUUCUGAACAACCUCAACUCAAACCGCGAAUUUCAGUGGAAGCUGCUUUAUAGCUUGGACUUGGAACUGCUCUAAACAUGAUUUGUAUGAAAAAAAUCAUUCGCAAUGGAAGCCUUGCUGCCGAUGUAAAUCGUGUUUUGACGACUUGUUCAUUAGUUGGGGACAAAUGGUUGUUUCACUCUCACUUGUGUAUCGCUUGGUUGAAGUGGUCUGCUAGCCGUUUGUUAAAAUGCCCAAGCGAACUUUUGUAAAAGAUUUCCCCUCUGGAUCUAGAUAUCUUCUGAACGUACAUCACGUAUCCAAAUCAUAAUGAGCGCUUUUGAUUAAUUCGUUUACUCUCGUUUUAUGAUAUUUGAAUCCGGAAGUGAGAACAACCUAAGGAUGUUUGUUUCUCUGUUUAAUGUGCUAUGGUUUGUGGCCUUAUAUGGUAGUUUCCGCUUGGAGAGAUGGUCUGGAAUCGUUGAUACGCAUGGUGAUUUUCUCGCUGGUAGCACCCCAACUUCUUUUAUGUUCAUGUACCGUGUGUUGUGUUGACAUAUGACCUGUAUAUGUUGAAUGGUUGGAUUGAUAAUGAGCGUAUGUGAACGAUAGUGAUACUUGGUUUUAAAGGUUUAGAAGUGUAAAUCAUAGAUGAUACUCUAGUUAUUUUACUUUGACAAGUGCCCGAGGUUUACCGUAGAGGAGUGUUGGCUGGGUCCACCUUCAUGUGGGGCCCAGCUAGCAUUAAAAAAUAUAAAACAAAAAUGAGAGAGAAGUUGCAAAGAAAGUGGUGCCUUCGUGCGUAUGUGCGCGUGUGCCCAAAGUGAGGAGAGGGAGAAAAAAGAAAAGGAGUGUUGCUUUGUGCAGUUUUUAAUCCAAAUUUGAAGGCUAAACAUUAACGGAAUCGAUUCAAAUUUGAGUAUGUUGUUCGUGAGACCAAGGACUAUGAGUUGAUGAUUUUUAUUCAUUGAGAACCACCUCCAAAUUUUCUAGUGGCGAUUAUGGUUUUCUUGCUACAAAUUUUGUUUGCUCAUCUAUAUAGUGAUGCACGGACAUGAAUGAGUUAUAGAGAUCGACGAAGACGAAAACAGAAAUGAGAUUGUAAUAUUGAUAUUGUGUUUCUAGUGUGUGACUACACUAAAGAAAAAUAAUUUGUAGAUUCUGCUAUUCUUGAUAAUUUGUGGAUGUUUUGGGCGAUCUGUGGUUUUUUCCCGCAUUAGGUUUUCCACGUUAAAUUCUUGGUAUCGUUAUUUGCUUUGUCUACUUAUCAUUUCGGGAUUAUAUUUGCAUAUUGUGAGGUUAUAUAUUGCUGAUUGUUACUGGGGGUUAAGAGAACUUCACUUAGUUUAGUUUCGGAGGAGAAAUUGAUCUUGGCUUGCAUUUGGCUCGUAGUGAAUUAUUGUACCCGAGUUCUCCCAAACAAGGAGUCAAGUUUUGGGAAAGGGUGUAGGAGUGGAUGAACUCUUCUUCUUCUUUUUUGCCUUAACUGCUUUCUCUUUUUCUAUUAGUGGAACUUGCUUCACCGUGUUAUGAGUGACUAGAUGCUCCCCACAAUCACUAAGGAAAAUACUUGAAGUGUGCACUUUCUGAUUGUGAAUGCAUUUGAAUUCUCUUCUAGCAUAUGUUCCCAUUGGAAGCGCUCCUACUGGAAGCAUUCAUCUGAUAGCAUCCAUUCGUCUAUUCAUCAUUUUUGCUUGCUGUCUUGCCUUUUGGAAGUGUCCCUCUAGAUUCUCUUUAAUCUUAUGCUAUCCUCACUUUUUCCCUUGCAUAUGGUAAAAUCACAAAAGGAAAUUCCGGCAUGUCCAAUGGGCAAGGAGUUUGUCCAAAAGUUUUCACUAGAGCAAUGUUGAACAAAAACCAAUGUCGACCCAUAAUGACGAUGAUGGUUGUUUGAUGGACACUGAUGUCAAAUCUCUCAAGGCACAACUGAAACAUGUGAAACAAGAUUUGGCAAACCUGGAAGUGUUGAUAUUUAUAGUAAUAAUUCAUUAUGAGUUUGCCAUAGUGUGUUAUUUUGAACAUGUUUUGCAUUCAUCGACAUGUUUUUACAUGCAUGUACACUGUUUGUGGCAUAAAUGAAGUGAAGGCUUUUUGCAAUCUAAAAAGCACAUAUGUUUGUGGCAAUGUUCUUUAUGAUGUUGGGGUUUUUAAUAGUUCAAAGCGUUAUAGCCCUGUUUUAAAAAAAAAAAGGUUUCUACAACCUCAAUGGUAAGUAUGGAAUUGGGGAUUUAAUUAAGUCAAUUCUUUUCUGCACCUCUCAUAGCUUCGUUGUUGAUGCUGAAGAGAAAAAAUCUCAUUCAAGAUUCUUCUUCUUUUCGCCCAUGAAAUCUGAUAUACAAGUGUAUUCUUAAUAGCUUGACUGUGGAAGAUACACAAGGAAGAAUUAUGUAAAAUCUAGAGCAAUCUUUACUGACAGUAAAUUGUAUUUCUUAUCCUCAGAGCAAUCUGUCCAGAAAAACAACACUAUAUUUGUGCUGACAGUAUAUUGAUCCCCCAACAAAAAGAAAGCAACUAAGUUUGUUGCUGAUGACAAUAUAUUAGUGCUGACAGUAUAUUGAUCCUCCAAUCCAAUGAGCCAUCAUCGAGCCAAAAAACAGAAAAAGAAACCCACGACACUACUUCACUGAACCAACCUAUCAUCGACAAACAAUAUGGGCGAUGAUGCCACUUCAUUGAACUCAUCAGCGACAAACAAAAACACAACCACAACACUACUUCCUAUUACUUUUUCUUGUACGUUGGAGUUGCUUCCUCUCCAUAAUUUUCUUCUUUCUUGAUGGGCCUAUUGCUUUAACUAGAAGUUCAACGACAGCUGGUUGUGAUGUUGAUUCAACCUGUAUUUAUAUAUCAACUCUUUGUCUCUUGUCUUCUCUGGCACUUGUCCUCUUAACUGACAUUAUAAGAUUUCAUUAGUUAACAAAAAAGGAUAUUUUUUGUAGCUUUCUGUUUGGCUAGCGGAUGGAUAUGUGUCAUUUUACAUUCUUUGCUGGUGUAUUAUGGUUUUGUUCAUUUAUCCAUAUGAACUGGGAUAAUAGAUGCCUUGGAUACAUGAGCAUGGCUGCAAUUUCAAAAGCUUUGUUCUAUCACUCAGUGAUCCAAAUCAAAAUGAAAGUUGUCAGCCUUUGCAUCUCUGUCCCCUAUACACCAUUACUGCUUACUAGCUAUUCCAAUGAUAAUAUAGUUUUAGUUUGUCAUUGCGGAACGAGAGUUGUUACAUCAUAUAGUCUUCAUUUUACCUCUGAGAGGUGACAACUAGAUCUUUGCUGUGGAAAAUGUGUCAACUUGCAAUGUAAGAAGUUGUCUCACUGGCUGAUUGGUUUUUGGCCAGGAGCUUGAAUUGUUGCUUCAGUCGGACAUUCAAGUAGCUGGGGCCAAGGUGAGAAAAGAAUGCUGAAAAGUAGAUUUUUCGUCAGGAGGCUUUAGUUCAAUUUAACUGCAUUUUGGUUGACUGUAGAUUUUAGAACCCAACUUUUCCCAUCUUCACGUGCUAAAGAUUUACAGUUUAUGUAUGCAAAGCUAGAUAGAUAGUAUGCUGAUGCUCGAGACAAGUCUGUACAAACAACACACAUCUGUUGUGCUUAUAUGUGGAAGUAAUUAGACCAGCAAACUUCCUGACAGGUUGAUUGAUCAUCAAAUUAUGCAUCCCAUAUUUUAAUACUCUGAUUCAUAACAUAGAGCACACAAGUCUUGCACUUCAGAAAUAUGUUUUUUUUUCUGCUUUUACUGUAGAGAACGACAAUCUUGGAUGUCAACUGUAGCUGUGAGUCCAAUUGACUUGCAUCAGAACGCAAGUUGAAACAUCAAACAGAAACGUGUCCUCCCGACUCCCAAAUUCUUUUCAUCUUGGUAAGUGCCUCCCCAACUCUGCAACUACAUGCACUUUACUUGCGGCUUUUCGAGACCAGCAUUGCACGUCUUUUCUUGAGUACGUGCAACUAUGUGCUCAUUCUUUCCAUUUUUUUUUCCACAGAUUUGCAAUUUUUUUUUUUCAUCUAGUUCAGCAAUAGCAGGGUCUUCAGGUACUUCCACUAUUCCAGCAACCUGUCGUAGAAAUGUUUGCUAUUAGUGCAUUUUGUUUUAAUUAUUACUGAUUGCGGAUGAUGAGUCUAUAUAUAUGAUGUUAAAAAGGAAUAUGGCUAUUCACCACAUUACACGGCAGCAUCUUGUAUCAAUUUGUUGGCUAUAAGUCUGUUUAGUAAGAGAGCACUUCUGUGAUGAAAGCGCACCAUGGGUAAAACUCAUUUGAUAUGAGUUAACAAUGGGCAAGGGUAAGCACCCAGACUUGGGUCCCUUAUCUUCUCACAAAGGUCACAAAAGAACUCACUGGUAUCAUCUUCGAUGAAUGAAGCAUAAAGUGUGAGUUGAUGGAAGUUAAUGGCAAUCUGUGAUGAUUAAGGUUGCAAUGCACACAACCAUAAAAGUCAAACGUGCAAAAUUUAAUACAGACACUGCAUAGGAAGCACAGUUCGGAAGAUCUAAAUUAAGAAAGAGUACAUGCUCGUGGAGGUGAUGUUUCAAAGUGGGCCUUUCAAAAGUGCAUGGAAUGUUGAAGUCGUAGUCACUUUCCAUGCAGCGAAAGACAGAGCGUCAACACUCUUCACGGCAUAUGUCAACAGCGCUCCUUCCUGAUGCAAGAAGAAAAAUGAUGUGCGGGGUGAACAGGUUGUUGCAUGAUAGAGGGCGAUUCAGCACAUGAUUUAUGGAGCAAAAAAGAGCAGCCCAGGUUCAGCCAGCGAUAGAUGCAUGCAUUACGAGCCUUGCAUGCACCAUCCUUCGUAUGACGGUUCCAGCAGCAGAGGAUGAUCGGGCAGAGGAGAAAGAAGAGGCAAUCAAGCCAACCAUGGACCUCACCUGGUAUGUUCUUUUCACAAGCUUUGCACCUGAUUCUGCUUUCGAGCUUCGUGUGGAAGACCAGUGGGUGCUGAUGGUCGAAAUGGUAGAAAACCGAGUCCUUGCUCUCCAGAUCUCGCGAACUUAGAGUUAAAGCCAUGUCCAUGUCGAGGCUGAAUUUGCAAUCGCUGCAGUAGGAGACCAUGGUAAGCAUUAGAGGGUGUCAAAGAAUGGGUCAGUCAAAAUGGGUCCAUGACCCAUUUUUUGACUCAUAUUCUCAGAAGCGUGUCAUACAAGUUUUUCAAACUUAUAAGGGCCAGGCCUAAAUGGAUUUAAAAAGACCUAAAUGUUCGGUGCGAUGACAAAAUUUGGGGCCUCGACGGUGGCGUUGUGGGGCUGGGACAGAGGUGAGACUGUAUCGACUGAGUUGGACAUGCAAUGAGGUAGAGUACUCAUCUUCCUGCUCUCAACACAGCAACUGGUUGAUGGUCAGGCCUCCAAUCAAUGUGAACAACACCACCUUGUUUCUCUCCUGUCCUUGUGCUUCUAGAUCUACUCCGCUUCCCUGCACGCUUUGCACUUCUAGAUCUUCCUUCACUUCUCAGUCUCUCUGUAUUGUGUUAAAAGAGAACCUUGAAGUCGAACUAUUAUUGUGAAUUAAAGAGGUAGCACAUUCAUUUGAGACCCAAUUUGUCUCAAGCCCCAAUUCUAAGCCCAAUAAAAAACCACCCGUGGGCUGUUCUUUGUGAUCGAUAUGGCCAAGGUUACCCCAAAAAGAAAAAUAUAUAUGUGGGCAAAGCGAAGCAGGUUGGAUCGGGUUGGGUUAGGUUGGGUCCAGUGGAGGUUGAAUAUGGGUUUGGAAGCGCAUUGGUUGAUGAGAGCAAGGAUAUUGCUUGUCAUCGAGUACGAUUCAUCAUCCUUCACCUCGUAAAAAUAUCAUAAAAUAGCGAUCCACGUAGAAAAUUAGAAAGAGUAAAGCAAAUAUAGAAAAAAAUAAUAAUUAUAUACGUAUAUGCAUCGUAAAUAAUGGCUACUAAUGAGUUUUAAAUGAGUAGAUAUGAAUUUUCAUAGAUUUAGUUAAAUAUAGACGUGUUUUAGCAAUUCAGGUACAGGUCAAGUUUGGGUCAGUGGAUUUAUAUUGCAUGUAAAAGAAUCAAAACGAAUUAAAUGGGUUGAUUUGAAUCGAACCAUUUUUUGACUCCCAACCUACCUAUUUGACAACCCUAGUAAGCAUUACAUUUAACUCCUCCAAUUAAUCGAGAGAGAGAGAGAGAGAGAGAGAGAGAGAGAGAGAGAGAGAGAGAGAGAGAGAGAGAGGGGGGGUGAUCAUGGAGAGACGAGUGUUGCACCUCUAUGGAAGACUUGGUGCAGCUUUUGUGGAGAAAGAAUAUGCACGCAUGGCAUCCAUAGACUUGCCCCAAGAUCGCUUGUUCGUAGGUUUUGCAGCUCUUGAGCAUUUGUUGGAUGGUCACAUUCUGAGAAUCCUCAUCGGGGCUUAGUUGUGACAAGGCAGAUGAAGCUAUAUUGGACUGUGCAAUAACAAUCGACGCAUCCAAAUGACGAGAAAAAUUUCAUAUAUAAAAGCGAAAUAUUGAUUGGAAUGUGCAUUACUAGAUUGGUGAGGUCACGUAUUUUCUUGUGUCAUGACAAGUUUGUUAGCCAUCGCCUAAGACCCACCACUAGCGAAAGGAAACAAAAGCAAAAAAAAAAAAAAAAAAAGCAAAAAAAGGAAAAAAAAAAAAGGAUGAAAAAUUUAAAAAAAAUUAAAAUGUUGUCAACAUUAGCGCCGGUACGCCACAUGACGACUAGUUGGGACUAGCGUUUUCCAAUCAAAAUUGACUUAAAAGAUUAUUUGAUAAAUUGUCUUAAGUUUGAGGACUAAAUAAGUAAAAUUGCAAGGUUUAGAAUUAUUAUUAUUUUUGCCUAUAAAGUUUAGGGUUGAAUUAGUACAAGUGUAAUAGAUUUAGAAUUUUUUUGAUAUUUUUCCUUAAAAAAAUGGAGGAAAGUAUCAUUCGGAAAUAAUUUGUAACGACAAUGACCUAGUUAAUGUAAUUUCUUUGUAACAAGACUUUUAGUCAUAAGAUGUUUCCACUUAUGCCCUUCUCGUUCCUUCCCUUUUUCACUAAUUUCUCAUCAAUCAAUCAGUCGUGGUCCCUUUCACAUGCCCUUUCCCAUAUCUCUCUCCUCUUUAAAAGUUUCCACAAAUAUUCCUCCUUAAUAACUUUUUUUUCCUCUCUCUCAAAAAGAUGACAUUUGUAUAUUCCUUAUGCUAAAAUUCAAAUACAUUAUACUAAUAAGGAUCUAACCCUCAUUUGAACCCGGUCACAUACUUUUUAUGGGAAGAAAGAAGAAGGAUAUAGAAAUUUUCUUUUUUAUGUCAUAUUUAUUCUCUCCCACUAGACCUCUCUUCAACAACUUCUUAGUUUCCUUUAGUCUCCUUUAUUGACCAGAAAAAACUAGAAAAAACCUCUCUUCAACAACUUCUCAGUUUCCUUUAGUCUCCUUUAUUGACCAGAAAAAACUAGAAAAAACCUCUCCCAGCCAAAACCUCUCUCUCUCUCUCUCUCUCUCAUAUAUAUAGACGCAGGCACUGGGUAAUUUCCAUGACAACGAUUCCAUCUCUCUCUCUGAGAGUAAGUUUCCAAGAGGCUUCGAUGUUAACGUUGCAAUGGGACCAUGGGGAGUCACGUGGUGACCCUUACCAUAUGGAUAUAUGUGGGACCAUAGUGAAAGUUGGGACAAAAAAAGUUCAAGAUAGAACUGAAAUUGAAAUUAAAGUUGGAAUUUUUUUUAGGGAAUUAACCCAUAAAAAUUCACGAUUCCAUCAACAAUCCAAGAUAUCUCAAAUUGAAGAAAAUGCGAUCACUUGUCAAGAUGGGAACCUAUUUUCGUAAUAUUUUACCAAAAAAGGAAAUGUUCAACUGCUUUGAAAGUAUUUUGACAGGAUCUAGUACAUCCAACAAUUACAAAAAUAGGUGCGUUCGUGCUUAAAAUAUGUUGCACUAUAGAUGGGUAUUUAAAGAAAGGGAUGAGCAACUACUAUUGCAAUAUAAAAUUGAUAAGAUUAUAUUGAAAUGGAGAAACAAUAACUAUAUAUUACUGGAUGUUUUUAUUUUGUUGAUUUUGUGAAUAAGACCCGUCAUUGACAUUUGUCAUCCCCCAACUCUAUAAAAAUAGGGAAAACAAAAUCAAGGUCCUCCUGCCUAGAAAAGAUAGCUUUAAGCAUAAACCAAUGUAAACAUGUUAUCAAAAUAUGUCUUCAUCUAUAUACUUGAUAUAAUGGUGAGUAAGUUACAAAAUCAAGAUUCUGAAAUUCAUCAAAAAAGUAAGUGUAUAUAAUAUGUAUUUCCAAACUCAAUUAAACCCUUCGACAAAAAAAAAAAAAAAAAAAAAACUCAGUUAAACUCCACAAAUAUCAUUUUAGACAUAUACGAGUAUCUAAACUCAUAUCAAAAUCCAACUAUAAAAUUUUCUUGUCGAUAACUCUCACAUCCUACCUUAGUUGAAGAAUUUGAAAAAGAUUUGAUAUAGAUAAUGUGAGCAACCACAAUUCGGUGACUAACACAAAUCUCUUCUAAGCAAAUGGGCAUUCGCCAUGCAUAUUAUAAAGUAAUACUACAUGCUCAUUUAUCCAAAUCCAAUAUAUAAUGUAUAGUAAAAUCCAAAUAUGAGCGAUAUCACUUCAACUUGGUUUUAUACUGAUCGGAAAUAUUCAUUCAAAUUUCAAAUACCAAAAGGGUAGUAUACACUCCAUCCGGCUUUAUGCGAUAAAUUUGUUUUAAACUGUAUUUUUUUGUUUUAACAAAAUCAUAUCAUGCAAUGCCUUUCUUAACAUAUAAUUUAUUACUUUUAAAACAUGAGUUUUUACAAAUUUAUAGAAUAUCACAACUUACCCUUAACCAAAAUCCAAAUUGAAAGUUACACCAAUCAAAAAGUUUCAAAAUCCUAUUGAAGGCGAUGCCAUAUUCAAACUUAUGUCUAAAACUUCAGUAGGUGAUGCCAUAUUCUUAAGUCAAAUCGUUCACUUGACAAAGAGCUCUUAACAACUACUUUGCAAACAGAGUCAACCUCAUUUCAGAACUCUAAUUCAAGCGAGCUUACUUUCAACAAAAAAACUCUUUCGAAUUAUGAAGAGACCAUAAAGCCAAAAGAUGGCCCGAGAAGGGCAAAGUCCAUUGCCAAACAUAGUAAUUGGGAAAUUGUUUCCAACAGCAUGCAAAAUUUUAAAAAUUUAUCACGACCAAACCAUAAACCUAAAUCAACUUUCAUGAAGUCUUGCUAUGCAACACCCUAAUUUUUUUUUUUACAACAUAAUUUCACAACUUGAAAACCUCUAAAAUCAACCCAACAACGUAGAAUCCAUACAAAACCUAAUUUAUAGAUUAACUACAAAAACUUGUUUCAUUAGAUAAAUAAAAGUUUCGAAUCCUUACCAAUUGCCAUGAAACAAAUAUAAUCGGGCUUGACCAAGCCUCUCAAAUGUGCAUGCAUUGAGAGUCCCCUUUGACUUGAGAAAAUAUUGGGUAUACUAGGGAGGCUAACUCAACAAAUCACCAAUCCAUUCAUUGGGUGAUACAUGUUGCGUUAGGCUUAUCUUCCAUUAAUUUUCCCCUUUGACUUGAGAAAUUAUUUCCUCUGACUUAUCAUUCAUGAGGAAAUGAAAGGCAUGAGGAGAAUCAGAAAUGCAAUGUGGUCAUAGCAAAACCAAUCGCAUAAUGACAAGUUAACAGGGAAACGAAACACAUUACAGAGAACAUGAAGCAUCCCAGAACGUCUCCUUCUCUUUUGUUGUCUACACUGCAUAAUCUGAAUAAUUAUAAUUUAUGGCUUAAUUACGAAAAUUCCUGCACUUAGAUAAAUAAAAGUUGUUGCUACCAAAUAGAAUUAAUCCGUCUUGUCGAGUUCUCCCAAGCGUGCAUGGAGCGAAAGCCCCCUUUGUUUCCUCUCUCUCUCUCUUUCUCCGUUUCUUUCCUUCUUUUCUUUUCUCUUUUUUUUUUUUGCUCUUCUUGGCCAGGCUCCGUUUUCUCUCCUUCUUUCUUCUCUUGUAAUUUCUCUUGCAAUGAAGCAAGACUAAAGAAAGGGCUAAAACAAAACACUUAGGCUUGGGCUUAGGCUUGGGUAUAAUGUUUUGCUCUUAUUUAUUAUUUUUUGCAAGGUCAUUUCUUGCAAUUUCAUUCAUGAAGAUAAAUACUUUAGGUUAUUAUGUACUGAUGGAUCCUAUGCGGAGUGAGGAUAAGGUCACUCAAAAUUAAAGUUGGACAUAUCACUUUUUAAAGAAAAAUUAUAAAUCUAUUAUAUUUGUGUCAAUUCGAAUUAGUGUUAAUUCAGUCAUUUCGACUAAUUUUAAUCGGAAAUUACUGAUAUGGAUAUUAAUUGUCCUGCAUGGCACGUCUAGCCAUAAUAUAGAUAAUUUUUUAUUUAUAGUAAUUCAAUUUUUUAUUUGUUAUUAUUAUUAUUUUUCUUUUUUUCUUUAUUCUUCCUUGACCAUUGUUGAGCGGGUUGGCCUCGCCUAGGUGAGGGUUGUUGUUGCCCACCACAGGCUAGGCUAGGCCAAGCGAGAGCAAUCCCAAGCAAGGCUGCCUUGGCUUGGGCGAGGCCUUACGAGGGUUAGCCUCGCCUAGGCUAGAUUUGGUGAGGCCAGCUUGCUCGGCUAUUGCCUAUCAUCAGCAAAAGAAGAGAGAAAGGAAAAAAGAAAAAAAAUUAGAGAAAAAUGAGAGAAAAUAAAAAAUAUAUAUUAAAUUAUUAUUAAAAGUUUUCCAUGGCCAUCCAUAUUAGUAUCUAAUCAAAAUUAACUAAAAUGACUAAAUUGAUAUAAUUAUAAAAUUUAAGACUAAAUAAAUAUAAAUGCGAUAGGCUUAUGGCUUUUCUCCCCGGUCAAUAUAACCAAAUAAAAAAUAAAUCAGAAAGUUUAAGGCCUUCGUCCUCUCUAUAGUGUGGUGAGGAGUGAGGGUAGGGGCAUCAUUUGAUAUUUAUUUUUUCAUGGAAAGUGGCACGGACAUCAAGUUAAUAAUCUUCUUUUGACAUCAAUCUAAUACUCUUUAUUUUGGACGUCCAUUCCAAUGAAGGACAUCCAAAUGCCCUUUUUCCAAGUUCCCUUUUCAAAAUUUUAGGGAUGCAACGGGUAUCUUCCUUUAAAGAUAUCCUUAACAUUUUUUAAGGGAGUCAUGGUUCAAUGAAAUACUUUUCCGACUUUAACGAUUCAUCAUCCUACACCGGUUUAAGGACAUAUUUUUCCAACUUUAAUGAUGUGUCGGAUGACGAAUUAUUAAAGUCGGAAAAGUAUGUCCUUUUCUUUUGGACGAGAAAAGUACGUCCUUGAACCAUGACUUCCUUGCACAUAGAUGGAAAGUAUAAAUAAUGUCCCGGUCUUUGCUCCUCACAGCACCAUGGAUCUUCCCUCCAUUGUCUCUGUCCUGAUCAACUUCAUCCAAGUGAAAUUCCAGGGGAAGUCGCCUUCACCCUUUGAAACCCACCCCCUCGCCACCCGUGUCGCCAUUUGCAGCCUCCUCUUGCAUUUCUCUUUGGGGCGUGUCGCUACUCGAGUACCACCGCCUCUCGGCCCUGCUCUUUCCUAUGAUGGAGCAGCGUGCCUCCUCUUCCACUUCACCGGUUUGACAUCGGUGUUUUCGCUCGCGUGGUUGCUGCUCCACGACUCCUUCCACUCCCUCCUCUGGUUUGCGUUGUUCCUAUUGCUUCCCGUGCGUCUGUUACGGGGCCUCAUUCUAAGACUUUGGCUGUGGUUUUACCACAAACUCGUUCUCAUGAUUAUUUGUGCGGGGGGCUCCCGUGUAUGGCACGGUGGAAGAACGCAGCCACAUUUGCCACGCCCGGUCGUGGAUCUGCGUUUCAUGCUGGAAGUUUGAGCGCCGUAGUUGUUCGAGUGACUGCUCCCUGCUUGGAAGAAGUAAUUUUAAUUGUAUGACCACUUUAAAUCAAAUGAUUAGUAUGUUAGGAACCUAAGCUAGUUUUGUAUAAGAUGCACUUGGGGUUUUCUUCUCUUUAUCUGGAGCCAAAGCCGUAAGGAAUCCCCAAGCCUUCGGCUAUCUCCCGAUCAUAAGAAAGGAGAGUAGGGAGCAAGUAAAAACCACCUAUGUAUCUUUCCCGUUCCUAGCCAUGAAUGGUGAUGCACCUUGUAGUGACUAGAAAUUGGGAUCUGUUCUUAUCGAAGAGACUGAAGAUGACCUCAACAAUUGUUAUGACGAGUAGAAUGGUCGUUUCUAGCAGCCAUAUAAGGGGUAGUAAUUGUUCUUGAGGUUAAAGCUCCUGACCUCUUUGAAAACAUUGUUGAGUGUUGCAGAUUUCCUUCUUUUUUCUCAUGAAUUUCUUUGUAGCUUUCUGUUUGGCCAGUGGGUGGAUAUGUGUCGUUUUACAUUUUUAGUUGGUGUACUAUGUUCUUGUUCAUUUAUCCAUGGGAUAAAUUGAUGCCUUGGUGAUGCGAGCGCAACUACAAUUUCAAAAGCUUUGAUCUAACACUAACAUCAUUGAGUGAUCCAAAUCAAAAUGAAAGAUGUCCGCUUUUUCCAUCUCUCUCGCAUAUAAAUCAUUACUGCUUACUAGCUAUUCCAAUGAUAAUAUAGUUGUAGUUUGUCAUUGUAGAAUGUGGGAGUCAUGUAGUCCUCAUUUUACCUCUGCUAGGCGACGGGUAGAUCUUUGCUGUGGCAAAUGCAUUAUGUUGACACCUAAAUUUUUGGCAACCUAUUUAAUCAUUUAUUACAUAAAAAUUAGGGAUUAAUUUUUAACCCCUAAGAAAAAAUAUUAUAAUUCAAUUGCAUAGCAUAUAGAUUUAGGUGCACUUGUUUUAAAUUUGCAUUUUUUACAUUUGUUUACUGGACCGAUAGCGGAUGAGUUGAAUUAGUGAUUUUGAGUACAAAUUGGCUCAAGUCCGUUUUCUAAAAUUGAGAUUUGAAAUGAAGAUUUUUGGAAUUUAAGAAAAUCGGGUUGUAAUCUUAUCUUUAAAAAUCAAUUGAAAAUAUCUAGGAGAUAAGGAAGAUAAGAGGAUUUUUAUGAUUAGGAGGUUAUAGGAAAAUCUUCGGUGUAUAUUGAAAAGUGGAUGAAAUAUUUCACGGAAAUCACAUCUUAUUUUCCUAUAAAAGAGGCCGUGUACGGUGAAGAAGAGGGGGCUUUUUUUAUUAGUUUUCGAAGUCAAAAAUUCACUGAAAAUGAAGGGAAGUUUUCGUGUUUUCGUGCUUUAGGGGUUGUCAAAAGUCAAAGAGAGUUUUUCCUUCUGCUGAAAAAGUGCAACAGUAAAAAGCAGAGAGGAAAGUGACGUGAGGAGGCCAGCAGAGGAGAGAGAAACACUGUGCUUCUCUUCUGUUUGACCCCGUCACCCCUUUGGGGCCCCCCCCCCCCCCCCCCCCCUGCAACUUCCAUCCGCGAAGACCCCCGCGCCCACCGCCGCUCCGCCAGCAUCCCGAUCGGCCACCGACGUUGCCCGCCGGACGCUGCCGUCUUGCCACGCCGACGCCGCCUGGAAGCCGAGGCCAGCCGCGGCCACCUCGCUCGAAGCCCCGCCGGUAUCCGCCCGAGCUCUCCCGUUCGUGCCGCGCCGACCCACGAUUUCGGUGACCCGUUGCCGCCCAACGCCUCCCCGUGCCGCGCCGACCCAAGAUCCUGCUGUUCGUUGCCGCCGGAGACCGUCUUCGCCGCCGCUGCGACCCAAAGCCCAUUGCAGCCAAGCCUGACGCCUCCGCUCGCCUGAGUCGGUCCCGCACCAGCAACCGAACGCUGCUCCCCGGCCUCGCCUGAAUCGCGACACCUGCUGCUCGGAGCCAAAGACCCGCGAUCCACCUGCUCUUCGGAGCCGAAGACCCGUGCGUCGCCCGUCGCCCAGCCUCCAAAGUCCGAGCCCUCGCCUCGCCCCGGUUGAUCCCGAGCUCACUCGACACCUCUGUUGUCCAUACCGACGCGUACACACUCCUGCAGCCGUCUGGGUUCUACUCGCCGGUCCGAGAUCUGCCGAUCGAUCACCUCGCCGCCCUCCGAGUGACCACCCGAACCGGAUCUGGAGCCCUACGCCCGCGACGCACGCCCCAGAGUUCUCUAGCUAGACCUGCCUUCGCAAUCACUGUGAUUUUCAGAUCUCGCGCCCCUUUUGCCUAGAGUGUGCAUGGUCCGGGCAGGCGGUUCUGACUUAGAAUCGGGAAUCGCCCGUUAAAAACCGGUUCCAAAAAAUUGGAAUUGGGAUCCACCCGUUUGUUGCAUGGAUCCACCGGGGAACAGGACCGCCAGUCCGGUUCCCGGAUGGAUCAUGGAACCGAUCUUAACUCCGAUCAUGGAACCGAUCUUAACGCAAAACAAUUUUGGUUUUAAACAUAGAACAGUUGGGUGUUGGAAAGGAGGGGAAGAGGUCUAUGGUUGGGUUUUCAACACAAAACGGUCACAAAACAAUUUUCCGUGGUUGUGGCGGGUGGCGGCUGACGUGAGGGGGCGAACAACAGUGGUGGAGGAGCAAUGGCGGCGACAUCAAUGCUUGGGAAGGAAUUGAAAUGGCGAUAGGAUUAAAAGGAAUCAAGGAAGAGACAAAGAAAGAAAACCGAAGACGAAUGAAGUAAAGAGAUGGAGAUGAGAUCUAAUUUAGGGUUUCUUUUAGUAAUUUUUUUUUUUAAUAUUUAAAAGGUUCCAGUCCGGUCCAAGUGGAUGGAUCUGCCCAUGGAACCAGGAACCGGACCGGUACCCACCGAUUUCAAAAAAUUGAAACCGGGAACCGGACCGGUUCCCUCAAGAACCGUCGGUUCUGGGCGGUUCCGAUCCGAUUUCAGGCGGUUCGGGCGGUUCCCGGUAUUUUGCACACCCCUACUUUUGCCUGUGUCUGAGCAUUGGUCUCUUCACCCGUGCUUCGUCGUUGUCCCUGCUGAAGUUUUGGCGCCGAUCAGCAACUGUUGUUGUGCCCAUACCCAUCGUGCUGCCUUCCUCCCUUUGGUUCUCAAUCUUAGGUAGUUUUAUUUAUUUAUUUAUUUUAUCAAAUUUACUUGUUAUUAAGUAAUUUAGAGGAUUCAGUGUUAUUUUAUGGAUAUUGUAGGCAUUAUCGACAGGAGUUAUCCUUAAAAUUAUUGUAAUUAUUAAUUUGACCCGUAAGAUGUCGGGUCAUUUUUUUAAUUAUAUUAAUUUUUGGGUUUGUUGAUAGCAUCUUAAUUGUUGAAUCAAUAUAAUUAUUAAUUUGAUUCGUAAGAUUUCGGAUCAAAUUUUUAAUUAUUUUGAUUUUUUGUCGUGAUGUUCUGGAUUAAAAUUAAUUGUUAAUUUAGCAGAUUAUUUUUUUUUUUGUUUAUUUUAAUAAUUUAUUUGUUGAAUAUCUUGUUUGUUUAGAUUUAAGGUUUAGUUGAUAAUUGCUUGUUUUGGAAAACCACUAAGAAAAAUCAAAAAAAUAUUUGAAUUAAGAUUCAGUUUGUUUUAGAAUAUUUCUUAUUAUCUUGCAUAUCUAGGAUAGGGAUUUCAGCUCGAAAAAUAUAAAAAAAAAAUGCAUUCAUUUAAGAUUUUAGUUUUUGUUUAAUUUAAGUUGCAUGUUUAAUUACAUGGCAAUUUUAAAUUUCGAAUUUUAUAAAAAAAUAAAAAAAAUAAAAAAUAUCAUGCAUAUGUCAUGUAAAAUUAGGGUAUGCUCCGCACAUUAUUGCAUUAGAUUGCAUGUUAAAUUAAGAUAAUGUCUUAGUUUAAAUUAGGAUUUAAUAUGACUUAAUCAUUAGUUUAAAUAGAUAGAAUUUUAAUAUAACUAUAUCAUUUUUGCAUUUUUAAAAAUAGAAAUAUCAAAUGCACGUCAUUUAGUUUUUAUUAGGUUCAUUUAAUUAGAACUUCCUCGUCAUUCGAUUAAGUCAUUUAAUAAAUGUCGAAUGACAUAUAACUCGCAUACUAAAUUGUAUGUUGCAUGUCAUUUUAGUUAAAAUAAUUUUGUAUGUCAUUGCAUCGCAUUACCCGUUAUUAGAAUUAGGUCAUUUAAUUAAUUUAGAUUGCAUAUUUAAUUGUUGCAUUUCUUUAAUUUCAAAUUUCAUGAAAAAUAUAAAAGAAUUAGAAUGAAUUCAUUUCAUGCUUUAGGAUAGAUUGCAUGCUUAUUUAUGUCAUACAAUUUUGGUCAUGUUAUCAUAUCAUUUCAUGUUAGAAUAGUGACAUGCAUUGCAUAAGUCAUGAUUUUCAUUAAAUAAAUGAAAAUAAAAAAUUAAAAUUGCGUGUUAAUUAGAAAUCAUAUAUAUGAUUGCUGAUAUGAAUUCUAAUUUAACAAUACAGAUACUUUCGUUGUUUCGAGAUAUGUUCUGCAUUAUUUAAUUACUUUCUUGAGUGUUAAAUUGGUGGUAUGCGCACCUGUAAUAUUAGGAAGUUAAAUUAAAAUCAAUUCAAUUACCAAACAUCUUUUUUUGAAAAUGAAAUAGAAAGGUACCGAAAGGGCACUAGGAUAGUUUGGUGUAACUAAGUCCCCGUACCCUUUAGUCUUUGGUUCGCAGGAAUAAAAUAAUGCUCAAUUUAUUUUACUUAGGUGUCUAAUCGACCUACCCUAAAUCGAUUAGUGGCGACUUCUAAAUAAUAAUCUUGUACAUGUUAAAACUUUAAGUCGCGAAUUGGUAUGGGCUUGAGAGAGCCCGAACUAAGCUUAAAUGCUUAGUAAUCCAUUAAAGUUUUAGGUGGUGAACUCGAAAAAUUGGGUUGCGAUACAUUAACUUGCAAUCAAAGACUAUGUUGUCUCCCUGGCUGAUUAACAUUCAAGCUGCCGAGGCCAAGGUAAUUUUUUCUGUAGGCUUUAGUUCAAGAUUACUGAAUUUUGGCAGACUGUAGAUGUUAGAACCGAACUUUUCCCAUCUUCAUGUGCUGUAGAAUUUACGGUUCAUGUAUGCAAAGCUAGAUAGAUAGUAUGCAGAUGCUCGAGACAAUUCUGUACAAACUACACUCAUCUGAUGUUCAUAUUUGUGGAAAUAAUUAGACCAGCUAGCUUCCUCACAAGUUGAUUCAUAAUCAAAUUAGGCAUCCCAAUGUCAACACUUUGAUAAAUGGCGGAGCACAAAAGCCUUGCACUUCAAAAAUAUGAAAUUUGUCUGUUUUUACUGCAGAGAACAACAAUCUUGGAUGUCGACUGUAGUAGUGAGUCCAAUUGACUUGCAUAAAAACGUAAGUUGAAACAUCAAACAGAAGGAUUUUCUCCUGACUCCCGAAUUCUUUUCGUCUUGAUAAGGGCAUCCCCAACUCUGCAACUAAAUGCACUUUGCUUGCAGCUUUUGGAGACCAGCAUUACACAUCUUUUCUUGAGUACCUCCAAUUAUGUGCCCACUUUUUCCUGCAGAAUUUCAACUUUUUCAUCUAGUUCAGGCUGUUCACCAAUAGCAGGGUCUUCAGGUACUUGCACUAUCCUAGCAACAUGUAUUAAACACUAUUUGGUAUUAGCGCAUUUUCUGCUGAUUAUUACUUAUUGUGUAGAUGAGUCUAUAUAUAUGAUGUUAAAAAGGAGCGUGGCUAUUCACCACAUCACAUGGCAGCAUCUUGAAUCCAGUUUUUCUAAAGGCUGUUUAGCAAGAGAGCACUACUGUGAUACAAGCACACCAUGGUAAAACGCAUUUGAUAUGAGUAAUCAAUGGGCAACGGCAUUCAUCAGUCAUAAGCACCCAGAUUUGUGUCCCUUAUGAUACUACAAAGGGCACAAUAGUACUGCUCACUGGUAUUAUCUUUGAUGAACAAAGCAUAAAGUGUGAGUUGAUGGAAUUUAAUGGCAAUCUUUUACUGUAGUGGAAGGCAAUCAGUGAUGAUUAAGAUUGCAUUGCACACAACUGCAAAAGCUGAAGCUGCACAAUUUACCAGACACUUCAUAGUAGCAUGGUUAGGUAGAUUUAAAAUGAGAGAGUAUAUGCUUGCGGAGGUGAUGUUUCAAAGUGCACCCUUUAAAAGUGCAUGGAGUGUUGAAGUCGUCACUUCCGUGCAGUGAAAGACAGAGCAUCCAUGCUCUUCGUGACAUAUGUCAACAGUGCUCCUGAUACGAGGAGAAAAAGGAUGUGCAGGGUGAGCAGGUCGUUGCAUCUGAGGGCAAUUCAGCACAUAAUUUAUGGAGCAGAGAAGAGCAUCUCUGCGCUGCAUGGCGAUAGGCUAAACAUUCGACACAUUCAACACAAGCCUUGCGCGCACCAUCCUUCAUAUGGCAGUUCCAGCGGCAGAGAAUGAUAGUGCAUUGGAGAAAGAAGAGGUAAUCAAGACAACCAUGGACCUCACCUAUAUGUUCCAUUCACAAGCUUCACACCCAAUUUUGCAGUCAAGCUGAGUGUGGAAGACCAGUGGAUGCUGAUGGUCGAAAUGGUAAAAAACCAAGUCCUUUGUGCCUCCAGAAGGACAACUAACUAUUCUGAUGAUAAUAUUGUUUGAGUUUGUCGUUGCAGAAUGACAGAUUGGGUACAUCAUAUAGUCAGCACUUUACCUUUGAGAGGUGAGAACUAGAUCUUUGUUCCAGCGAAUGCAUCAACUUGCUUCAGCAAAUAGGAUUUACAAAGACAGUGACUUCUUUUGUGAUGUAUCCUGUUUGUAUCCAGAAGCUCUUGGAUCUGAAUAAUACAAUCUAAGAUUAUGUUGUCUCAUUGGUUGAUUGGUUUUCAUCCAGGAGCUAGAAUUGUUCCUUCAGUCAGAGAUUCAAGUUAUAGGGCCAAGGUGAGAAAAGAGCGCUGAAAUAUAGAUUUCUUUUUUGGGAGGCUUUAGUCCAAUAUAACCGAAUUUUGGUAUACUGCAGAUGUUAGAACGGAACUUUUCCCAUCUUCAUGAGCUGGAAAAGAAUUUACAGUUCAUGAAUGCAAAGCCAUAUUGAUAGUAUGCUAAAGCUUGAGUCUAGUCUGUACAAACUACACCUGUCUGAUAUUCAUUUUUCGAGGAAAUAAUAAGACCGGCAAGCUUCCUGACGAGUUGAUUCAUAAUCAACUUAUGCAUCCCCAAUUUUAGUGCAUUAAUUCAUAACAUGAAGCAAACAAGUCUCACACUCAAAAAUAGGAUAUUUAUCUGCUUUUGAUGCAGAGAAUAACAAUAUCGGAUGUCGAGUGUUAGCAGUGAUUCUGAUUGACUUGCUUGAGAACGUAAGUUGAACCAUCAAACAGGAAGGUUGUCUCCUGCCUCCCCAAUUCUUUUCUUCUGGAUAAGUGCCUCCCCAAUUCUGCAACUACAUACACUUUGCUUGCAUCUUUUUGAGACCAGCAUUGCCCGUUAUUUUUCUUUUUCAGUACCCUCAGUUGUGUGCUCACUCUCUCUGCUUUUCCUGCAGAAUUGCAAUUUUUUCAUCUAGUUCAGCAAUAGCAAGGUCUUCAGGUACUUCCAUUACUUUAAAAAACAUUUGGUAUUACCAUAUUUUCUGUUGAUUAUAACUUAUUGUGGAGAAUGAGUCUAUAGACGAUGUUAAAGAAAGAAAAAAGAACAGGGCUAUUCACCACAUCACAAGGCAGCAUCUUGUAUCUCUUUGUUGGCUAGUUGUCAGUUUAGUGAGAAAGCACUUCUGUGAUGAAGGCAUACCGUAGGUAAAACGCAUUCGAUAUGAGUAAUCAAUGCACGGGCAUUCAUCGUAGCUGGAAGCACCUAGAUUCAGGUAUUUUUUCUCUCAAAGGUCACAAUAGUACUCACAGGCAUGAUCUUUGAAGGACGAAGCGUAAAGUGUGAGUUGAUGGAGGUGAUGGUGAUCUUUUAUUGUUGGUGGUAAUUGUGGAAGGCAAUCAUGAUUGACAUUAAGACUGCACUGCACAAGAACGUGAAAGUUGAAAGUACAAAAUUUACCAGACAAUGCAUAGGAAGCGUGGGUCAGUAGAUCUAAUACAAGAAAGAGCAUAUGCUCUUGGAGGUGAUGUUUCAAAGUGGGCCUAUUAAAAGUGUAUGGAAUGUUGAAGUCAAAGUUGCAUUUUACGCGGAGAAAGACAGCGUCAAUGCUCUUCACAACAUGCGUUAGUGAGCUUUCCUUCCUGAUAUGGGAAGAAGUGGCUGUGCCAGGGCGAACAGGGUGUUGCAUAACUGAGGGCAAUUCAGCACAUGAUUUAUGGAGCAGAUGAGAGCAGCACUGCUCCAUCGGCAGUGGAUGAUCGUGAAUUGGAGAAAGAAGAGGCAAUCCAGGCAACCAUAGACGUCACCUAGUAUGCUUUGCAGUCGAUUCUGGUUUCAAGCUUCACGUGGAGGGACACCAGUAGAUGCUGAUGGGCGAAAUGGCAAAAAAACUGCGCCUUUCUUGCCCUCCAGGUCUUGUGAACCUAGACUAUAGCCGCACAGUCCAUGUCAAGGCUGAAAUUGCACUCGCUGCAGCGGGAAACUGUAUGGCAGGCAUUACAUUGGAGGUCUACCAAUUGACCGAAAGCAAGAGAGAUGGUGAUCAUGGAGAGACGGGCAUUGCAUCUCUGGGGGGAGAUUUGGCGCAGCUCUCAUGGAGAAAGAAUACACACGUGUACCAUCGGUAGACCUCCUCGCAGGCUUCGCAUUUAUUUGUACUUUUCGUCUCCGAGAUGAUGGGAUGUGAGCAGAUGCUAAUGAGCAAAAUGUUGGAUGGUCCCUCAUCAGGCUUAGAGUUGUGACUGGGUAGACGAAGCAAUAUCGGCCGUGCAGCAACGCUUAACCAUCCGAACAGCAAGAAGGAAGCCUGCUCACACGCUUGGCAACUCCGACAAUCCUCCGCAUCAUCGCCUACUGGGCGGUCAAGUCGGGGCAGCAGGUGAAACGGGAGUCCUAGGGCGGACAGCAUGCCAAAUUCAGUGCAACUGGUGAAAGAAAAAUUGACACGAUUCACGGCAGUGGGCUGAGCUGCUGAGUGAAGACCAGCGCGCGAGACAUUCCAAGGAACUACAACUUCCACUUAGGUUCCGGAGACUCGAUGCAUGAUCGUCAAGGCAAACUAGGAGAUAAAAAAGCGUUUUGUGUGGAGUUAUUGAGUGAUGUCAACACGAAGUAAAUGAGGUGACAUGAAUUGUACCCUACUCUCGUAUUAUUUGAUGUAUUUCAGUGUUCAUUUCUACAUUUUUAUUUUAUUUUGUUUAUGCUUCAACGCAAUAGUUAAUAAAACUAAAGUGGCCCAUGAAAAGUUUUAUGUCUUGUUCAUUUAAAGUAAGCUGCAAUUAUAUGAGGUCUUAAAAGUGCAUUCACCUUGGGCUAGUCUAUACAUUCAUCAGAGUUCUUAUCCAACUUACUCUAAAAGUAACUCACGUAAGACAAUUUUGUGAUUACAAUUUUGUCAUAAUUGUUUAAAAAACCAAAUUCACCUAUUUUUAAUUUUACGAGUUAUUUUUUUUUAAUUUAUUAGUUAAUUGAUUUUUUUUUUUUGUCAAUCUUACUAUAAUCUUAUUCUAACACUCACUCUCAGAUUUUUGCCCUGCCUCCUUGCAGGCGUGGGAGUCGAAACCCACUCCUAAAAUGAAAUCGUCCCCACCCCAAUCCGCGAACCCAGUCGUACCAGUAGUAUGAGCCGAAUCUACUUUUUUCUAGUUGUCAAUUUCUCUAUAAAUGCACAUGUUCUGCAACACCCUUGAUCCGUAAAGUAAUGUGUACAUUUGCCAUUAAAUGCAAUUCGUACAAGUAGUAUGAGCCGAAUCUACUUUUUUCUAGUUGUCAAUUUCUUUAUAAAUGCACAUGUUCUGCAGCACCCUUGAUCCGUAAGCUAUGUCGAUAUGGCUCAUUGAAGCAGCAAUUGUAAUUAAACUUGUAAUUUUAUUUUAAAUCUUUGAAUAGAACUAGAUUUUAUUUUCAAAAACUAAAUAAUUAUCUGCAUUGGUUAUUUUUUUUUUAAAAAAUACAGAUUGAAGUUGUUACAGACCCAGUUCACAUAUACAACCUACAACUUCAACUAAUUAAACUGAAUUUAGAUCCACAAAUAAAAAGUUGGCAUUUUUAUAAACUAUGAAGACUAAGACCAAGGAGAACAUUUCUAGAAAGAGCAAAACAAAAUAGAGAGGUGCUCUUCCGAGUAAUUACAAGUAAACCUAUCCAAAUUAUAAAAUGAACUACAUUUGGAUGAAAUAAAGAUUAUGAUGCAUGCACAUUUUCAUCUAUGGUGAUCAUCUGCUGCUUUUGCUAAAACUUUGAAUUUAUUAUACUAAUCAAAGUAAUGGUUGGUCCAACCUUGAUUUUAAACCGGGUCACAUCCUUUUUCUGAGGCAAAAAAAGAAAGAAGACAAGAUGCUCUCUUUUUUGUCAUAUUUGUUGUCUCCUACUGCGGUGUUUACGUUUUCAAUCUGCUUUAUUGACUCUCUCUCUCUCUCUCUCUCUCUCUCCUCUCUUAGAGAGUUACCAAACGGUCUUAGGGAAACCUUCGUUGUUCACAUUGCAAUGGUUGGACAAUGCGGCGUUACAUGAUGAUCACGUGGCCGCUCAUGGGUAGAAAUGGGACCUUCAUGAAACUUGGGAACUUUUUUAAAACAAAAAAGCAAUUCGAGUAGAAUUGUGAUUAAAAUUAAAAUUUGAGAUUUUUUUAGGAAAUUAGCAAAAUUCAUACUUCCAUCAACAAUCCGAGGUGUCUUAAACCGAAGAAAAUGCAAUCUUUUGUAAGAUAAAAACCUAUUUUUGCAAUAUUUCACCAAGAAAAAAUGCCCGCUGCUCCAAAAGUAUUUCAGUAGGAUUUUGCAUAUCCAACAAUUAUAGAAUAAGUGAGUUCGUGCAUAAAACAUCGUGACAAGAGAAUGCUCAUGUUGUGAUAUAUUAUUUGCAUAAUAAUUGGGUAAUUAUAGAAAGGGAGGAGUGGUCAUUAUUGGAGUAUGGAAUUGGUAAGAUUAUAAUAAUAUAGAGAAACAAUAAUGAUAUAUUGAUGCACGUUUUCAUUUUGUUGACUUUGUGAAUAAGAUAUGUCAUCUAUCUAUUGUCACACCCCAACUCUAUAGAAUAAGGAAAACGACACUACCAUGGUCUUGCCCAAAGGACGCGGCUUCAAAUUAUCAAAACAUAUAUUCAUCUAUAUACUUGAUAAAUAGUGAGUUUGUUACAAAAUCAAAAGCUUUGAAAUUCAUUAAAAAAAAAAAAAGUGUAAGCAUAUCUCGAAACUCAAUUAAACCCCACAAAUAUCAUCCCAAACAUAUACAAAUAUCUAAACUCACAUCCAAAUCCAACUGUAAAAUUUUUUUCGUUGAUAAUGCUCACAUCCUACUUUAGCUAACCUAAAAAAGAUUUAGAAUGAAUAGUGUGAGUAACCAUAGCUUAGUGACUAAUCCAAAUCUCUCCUAAGCAAAUCAAGCAUUUGCUAUGAUAAAGCAAUAACAAAAAUUCAUUUAUCCAAAUCCAAUAUAUUAUGUACAAUAGGAUCAAAAUAUGAGUAAUAUCACUAUAAUGCAACUUUAUACUAAUCAAUUAUAUUCAUUCAAAUUUCAAGUACCAGAAGGGUAGUAAACGCACUAUCCAAAUUUAUGUAACAAAUAUGUUUAAAACAUUACUUUUUCAUUUAAAAAAAAUCAUAUUGUGCAAAGCUUUUAAGAACAUAUAAUAUAUCAAAUCCCAAUCACUUUCAAGACACGAGCCUAUAAAUUUGUAGAGGAUAACAACCACCCCUAAGUAAAAUCCAAAUCAAAUGUUACACUGAUUGAAAAGUUUCAAAGUCCUAUCAAAGAUUAACUAAAUGUCAAACUUACGUGUCAACUAACCUCGACUAAAACUUUAGUAGGCGAUACCAUAUUCUUGAGUCAAAUCAUCCACUUGACAAAAGACCUUUGAACAAUUACAUUGCAAAAAGAGUUUAUCUCAUCUUAAAACUCCAAUUCAAGUGAGCUUACUUUCAACAUAAAACUCUUUCGAAUUACUAAGAGACCAUAAAGUCAAAAGAUGGUCAGAGAAGGGUGAAAUCCAUUACCAAUACAGCAAUUUGAAAACUAUUUCUAGCAAUGUGCAAAAUUUUAAAAAUUUAUCCCAAUCAAAUCUUAAACCUAUAUUGAGUUUCCUAUAUUCCUGUUCUACAAUACCCUAAAUUUAUUUACAACAUAAUUUCAUAGCUUAAUAAUCUCUAGAAUCAACCUAGCAAGAUAUAAUCCAUGCAAAAUCUAAUUUACAAUUUAAUUAUGAAAAUACCUUCAAUUACAUGAAUAAAAGUUUCGAAUCCUUAUUGAUUACCCAAAAACAGAAUUAAUCCGGUGCAUGCAGCAAGAGCCCCCUUUUAUCUCCCGUCUUUUUCUCGGUUUCUCCGGACUCUGCUUUCCUUCUCUCUCUUUCUCUUCUUCUUUUUUUUUUUUUUUGUGUUCUUCUUGGCAGACUCUGUUUUCUUCUUUUUUUUUUUUUUUGUGUUCUUCUUGGCAGACUCUGUUUUCAUCUUUUUUUUCUCUCUUUUCGCUCUAGUAAUUCCCUUACCACGGUAUCAACUGAGGCAAGACUAAAGAAAGGACUUUAACGAGACACUUGGGCUUGGGCUUGGGCUUACUGCUUUGCUCUUAUUUAUUAUUUUUUGCCAGCCCGGUUAGUGAAACUUUACUCGUUCACAGGCCCUUCCUCAUCUCCAGUGGCGGGGUGAAGGCAGGGACAUUGUUUUGGAGAGUGGCAUUAUUAUUUUAAGGUGAAGGCAAGGCCUUCGUUCGUGGUUCUUUUAUAGAACCUUCUAGUUUCAUUCUAGUUUCAUUACAAUAACUUCCAUAAAAGAACCACGAAUGAUGUCCGUAUCUUCACCCCACCCGGCGCCAUGAGUUUUACCUCCAUCGUCUCUAUCCUGAUCAACUUCAUCUAAGUGAAUUACCAGGGGAAAUUGAUUUCGCCCUUCGAAACUCACCCCCUUGCCACCGGUGUUGCCAUCUGCAGCCUGCUCCUGCAUUUCUUGUUGCUGCGUCUCGCCAAUGGAGCAUCGCACCUCCUCAUCCACUUCACUGGUUCGAUAUCGGUGGCUUCGCUUGCGUGGUUACUGCUCCACGAUUCCUCCCACUCCGUCCCCUUUUUGUUCAUGCUGCUCCUGUUGCUUUCCGUGAGUCUCUUGCGCAGCCUCAUUCAAAAACUUUGUAUGUGGCUUUACCGCAGACUCGUUCUCAGGAUUAUCCGUGCGGCGCACACCCGUGUAUGGCAUGGUGGAAGAGCGCAGCCACAUUCCCCACGCCCGGGCGUGGAUCUGCCUUUAUCGCUGGAGGUCCAAGCGCCCUAGUUGUUCGACUGACUGUUCCCUGCUUGGAAACUCUAAUUUUAAUCGUAUGACUACUUUAAAUCAAAUGAUUAGUACUUUAAGGAACCUAAGCUAGUUUUUUAUAAAAUGCACAUGGGGCUUUCUUCUCUUUAUCUGAAUCCAAAUCCAUAACAAAUCCCCAAGCCUUCGGCGUCAAAUUACCUCCCAAUCAUAAGAAAGGAGAGCAGGGAACUAGUAAAAAGUACCUAUGUAUCUUUCCUAUUCCUAGCCAUGAAUGGUGAUGCACCUUGUAGUGACUAGAUCUGUUUAAGAUAGGCUAAGCCCUCAAAAGAUAUUCGGAUCUAUUGUUAUUGAAGAGAUUGAAGAUGACCUCAACAACUGUUAUGACGAGUAGAAUGGUCUUUUCUAGUAGGCAUAUAGGGGUAGUAAUUGUUCUUGAGGUUAUAGCUUCUGACCUCUUUGAAAGCAUUGCUGAAUGUUGCAGAUUUCCUUCUUCUUUUUUUCUGGUGAAUCUCUUUGUAGCUUUCUGUUCUGUUUGGCCAGUGGAUGGAUUUGUGUCAUUUUACAUUCUUUGCUGGUGUGCUAUGGUUUUGUUCAUUUAUCCAUAUGAACUGGGAUAAAUUGAUGCCUUGGAGACGCAAGCACAGCUAAAAUUUCAAAAGCUUUGAUCUAACACUAACAUCAUUGAGUGAUCCAAAUCAAAAUGAAAGAUGCCAGCUUUUUCCAUCUCUCUCGCAUAUACACCAUUGCUGCUUACUAGCUAUUCCGAUGAUAAUAUAAUUGUAGUUUGUCAUUGCAGAAUGUGGGAGUGGCUACAUCAUGUAAUCUUUAUUUUACCUCUUGAGAGGUGACAACUAGAUCUUUGCUGUGGCAAAUGCGUUAACUUGCAAUUUAAGACUACACCAUCUCGCUGGCUCAUUGACAUUCAAGUUGCUGGGGCCAAGGUGAGAAAAGAAUGCUGAAAUGUAGAUUAUUUUUCAGGAGGCUUUAUUUCAAGAUAACUGAAUUUUGGUUGACUACAGAUGUUAGAACCGAAAUUUUCCCGCCCUGCAUGUGCUAAGAAUUUACAGUUCAUGUACACAAAGCUAGAUAGAUAGUAUGCAGAUGCUUGAGACAAGUCUGUACAAACUGCACACAUUUGAUGUUCGUAUCUGAGGAAAUAAUUAGACCAGCAAGCUUCUUGACAAGUUGAUUCAUAAUCAAAUCAUGCAUUCCAAUGUUAGUACUUUGAAAUAUGACAGAGCACACAAGUCUUGCACUUCAAAAAUAUGAUAUUUUUUUUUUUGGUAAAAGGUAAAUAUAUAAAAGGGAAGGACAAAUACAAAAGAUCGGAUCCAUAACCUACACUCUCAGAUCAAGAGUGAAGGGGAGCCGAUGUAAAAGAAAAGCCAGACAAAUAAGGAAGAGGGAACUACAACCGCGGGGAAGACCCACCGCAACAACCAGAACGGAAAGAACGAAGAGAACUAAAACAAAGCGAGCAGAAACACGAUCAUUGAGCAGAAAAAACCGUUGGAUCGAAUCCCCAGCACCUUUGAAGUCUUUUGUUCCUCGGAGAAGGAGAUACCUUCGAAAAAGAGAUAGCUCUAUCUCUAACUGAUUUGAUAAGAUGAUUCUUAAGUGCAGAAAUAGCAACUGUCUCAUCCCGGAAGAUAGCAGCGUUCCUCAUCUUCCAGAUCAAAUGGCAUAAAGCACCGAAAGAGAAACAAACCAUCCUGUGAUAGAAGUCUUUGCCACUGAAAAACUUGGUAGCCCAAGUAGGUAAUUCAUUCCAACUUCUGUUUUUCCAUGGGAUGUUGCAGCUGGCGGCCCAAAAGAAGGCCAGAGGAGCCAAAGUGCGACAACCAAAGAAAAGAUGAUUAACAGAGUCCGGAACUUCAUUACAAAAAACACAAACACAAUAAUCAAUUCUCCCAUAGGAUAAUAGCAACGUCUGAGUAGGAAGACGGUUCUUCGUUAUGAGCCACAAAAUGAAUUGAUAACGAGGUGCGAGGGCAUUAUCCCAAACAAAGGAAGCCCACUGGACAGGAUUCCUUUUUACCCUGAUAAAAUCCCAAGCCGAAGCAACAGAAAACUUACCCGAAGAUUCAUGACACCAAAUGAAUUUGUCGUGCAUAGAUGAUAAGGGCGAGAGGGCAAUUGAUCAUCUUUCUAGGAGACUUUUAAGAGCAGCACCAACCGGAGUAUACAGAUCAGCAGCUACUGCACAGUUCGGAAGACCAAUGGACUCCAUAAACGCUGGAGGAACACACGAAUCCAACGGCCCACAUGAGAGCCAAUAACCGUGCCAUAGCGAAAUGGAGUAACCAUUACCAACAAUCCACCUAAACGACGAACGAAAAUGUGGUCUGAGCUGGAGGAUCUUUUUCCACAUCCAGGAGCACGUCCUCGGAGUAUUGGCAAUCCAGAAAUUCUUCUUUUUCAGAAAUACCGAGUGAAUCCAACGGCACCAUAACGAUUCUUUGUCAGAGAAAAGAAUCCAUAAGUACUUGACCGUGGAAGCCCUAUUGCAUUGCUUAAUGUUACGAUCGCCGAGACCCCCUUCAGCCUUGGGGCAGCAAAUAUCCUCCCAAGCCACUUUGGCUCCUCCUCAGCCCAACGAAGUUCCCUUCCAGAGAAAUUGCCUCAUUAUGCGUUCCACAUCCGCAAGAACCGAUGCAGGAAGAGUGAAUACACUCGUCCAAGAAGCUUGGAUAGAGUGAAGGACAGAACGUAUCAGCUGAAGCCUACCUGCAAAAGAGAGAAAUCUGUGCGUCCAGGAUUGAAUUCUGGCAGUGAUACGGUCUGUCAAUGCAAUACAAUCGGCUCUGUUCAGUCUAGAAGAAAUAAUAGGAACACCAAGGUAUCGGACUGGAAGUUUUCCUUCCUGGAAAUCGAACGCCCAUAGGAUCUUGUUCUGGCUAGAAAGCUCACCGCCAGCCAUGAAAAUUUCACUCUUGCGCUUGUUUGGAAGCAGACCACUCCAGGCAAAGAACAAAUCAAGCCCUGUUUUGAGCAUAACAAUCGAAGGCCAAUCCGCUUGACAGAACAAGAACACAUCGUCAGCAAAGAAAAGAUGGGAGAGCUGAAUUGUUUUACAUCUCCAGUAAUACUUAAAGUCCGGAUUGGAGGUACAAGACAUCAAUAUGCCAGAAAAUACUUCCAUCACCAACGUAAAGAGGUAUGGAGACAUUGGGUCCCCUUGCCUUACACCUCUACCGCCCGGAAAGAACCCAUGAAGGUCACCGUUGAUAGAUAUAGAGAAGGUAGGAGAUCGAACACAAGCCAUAACCAACUUUAUGAAGUGCGGAGGAAACUAAAAAGCCUGCAACACAAGCUGUAAAAAGUCCCAAUCGAGGGUAUCAUACGCCUUAUGAAAAUCUACCUUAAUGGCACACUUGGGCAGAUACGGAGUAAGAUGGAAACCUGCAAAAAGUUCCUGGGCCAAUAAAAUGUUGUCCCUCAUUCUCCUGCCCUUAAUAAAAGCGUUCUGGGAUUGACUAAUCACAUCCCCUAAAACCCCAGCUAUACGAUUAGCUAGAAUCUUAGUGAUCACCUUAUAAAUUGUGUUGCAACAAGCAAUUGGUCUGAAGUCCGUGACUGCAGUGGCAUUAGGGACCUUCGGAACAAGAGCAAUAAUGGUUGCAUUUACUUCUUUCAAAAGCUUAGCAUUCCGGAAGAAGUCAUGCACCGAUUGAAGCACAAUAGAACCAACAGUGUCCCAGCAGGUUUUAAAAAAAUCAACAGGAAAACCAUCAGGGCCCGGGGCCUUACCUUUUGGCAAAGAGAAUAGUGUGUUCUUGAUCUCAGAGUCUAAGAUGGGCACGUCAAGAGCAGCAACUUGAUCAAGGGAGAGAGGGUUACGAAUGUACCGCCGCACCUCCUCUAUAGAUGGCAUGAUCAAGCCUUCCUUCGGGGACAGGAGGUCAGAGAAAUAAUCCACGAAUACCUGGGGAACCAAGAGAGGAUCAGUGACGAUAGUUCCAGCAGGGUCUUUUACCGAAAGAAUUCGGUUUAAGAGGUGUCUUCGUUUCAUAGAUUGAUGGAAAAACUUCAUGUUCCUAUCUCCCUCUUUUAGCCAUUUGACUCUAGACUUCUGCUUGUAGAAUGAUUCUUCAUGAGAUCUCAACUGAACAAAUGUACGAUGACAUUCCUUUUCUUCUUGGGCAAGAGCGACAUCCCCCGGAUUGGCCUGGAGCUGGUUCUGGGCUACCGCCUAAGAGUUCCUCGCAUCAACAACCUUAGCUGAAAUAUCAGAGAAGGCAUCUCGAUUGAGAGAUUUUAGGAGCGACUUCACCCUCUUAAGCUUGGAGACCAGCUGGAACAUAGGAAAUCCAACAACAGGGGAAUUCCAAGCCCUCUGAAUGGUGGCAAUAAAAUCUGGAUGAUGCGUCCAGUAAUUAAAAAAUUUGAAUGGCUUACUCCGAUUAGAAGGCUGCAGCACUCUAACAAUCAUCGGGCAGUGAUCCGAUAUACCAGGAUUCUGGAAAUUAGCCUCCGAGUAAGAGAAGCGAGUAUUCCACUCACCAUUGACGAGAACACGAUCAAUUUUCCUCAAUUUCUUUGCCUCGCCAGAAGAAGUGGACCAAGUAUAUCGGCACCCAACAUACCUUAGGUCACUCAGUUCGGCUUGGGACAGGCAUUGAGAGAAUUCAUCGAAGCAGGGAAUCCAGUUCGUAGCACCUCCAAUACGAUCGGAGGGGUCCUUGAUCGCGUUAAAAUCACCAGCCACAAGCCAGAGGAAAUGCUGGAAGAUAUCGCUAUAAAGACUGAGGUCUUCCCACAGGGGACGACGCCGAGAAAACGAGUGUUCCCCAUAAACAGCAGAUACACAACAGCAUACACCGGAACUAUUAAACUUAAGCAUGCCAUGAAUAACUUGAUCGCUGAUUGAAACAGAAGAAAAAGAGAUCAAGUCUGGGUUCCACCCGACCCAAAUCCUACCACGCGGGGAGAACCCGUAGUUGGAAAUCCAAUUCCAACCCCUAAUAAGGGUGGAAGAGAUGGAAUCAAAAAGAUGAUGAGGCACCUUAGUUUCCAAGAGGCCAAUGAAACAGAGAUUAUUAACACGCACAAACCGCCUAAUUUCAGCCCGCCUAAGGGGAUCCAACAUGCCUCUAAUAUUCCAAAAGCCGAUUAUCAUUCCAAAAAACAACAAAGCCGGAUUACCUCUUCCUGGUGGUCCUCUUCACCGUAGCCGAUGCUUUCGGGACUGCAGUAGGAGGGGAAUCAGGAAGAAGGCGCAGGAGCUGGUCCUGGAGGAUAGGAGCCUUUGUAGGCGGCUUUCCUUUCAAAGUAGGUUUCAGUACAGAUUGAGCCUCAUCAUCAGUAGAAGCACUGUGGAUACUGGAGUUAGAAAUAUCAUCCGAGCUCUCUGAAUUAUUCACCUGAGUAGAAGCUCCUUCACACGAUAGUUGAGGAGAUUCAUUAUGAUAAACUUGGAGAGCAUCCUUGCACUCCAGAAGUUGGCCUUCGUCAGUGGACUGAUAGAGACCAAACGAAACAGCUGCAGCAGCUGCAGCAGCGGCAGCAGCAGCUUUUGCUGCUUUCCUCUUCUGCUUCUUAUUUCUACGCUUCACUUUUAUCCAUUUCUGUUCCUCUGAUAUAGAUUCAGACUCAACAGCAGAAGGCUUGGCCGGAUUGGCCUUAGGUGAUUCCUGGGGGCCUUCCAAGUCUCUCCUAGGUGAACUCGGCUCCCCUAAGUACCCCGCUCUGGGGGAACUCUGCAGCGGCGGCAUUACAUUUGAGUUGUCCAUGCCUAAGGUAGGAUGAACGGCCACUCCUUUACCUUUUUCAGGCAGUGGAGCCUUGUCUUUAGCCUGAGCAUGAUUAGGUUCGGCCUCAACGCUCCCAUCACCAGGCAACUGAUGCUCUGAUUCAUUGGCAUCCACAUUGCAUAUGUGGCCAAAUAUUCUGCAUUUCAUACAGGCGAGGGGCCUCCAUUCGUAUUCAACAUCAACAACUACCAGUUUUCCCCUAAGUUCUAGCUUAAGAGACUCUCGGAUAUCCUAUUGAACUAUGAUUUCAACACAAACACGAGCAAAAGUCAGCAUGUCCAUUUGCUCGGUUCUUUGAUCUACAUAGAGCGGCUUUCCAAGAACACUAGCUAUCUUACUGAUAGAGUGCGCAGACCAGAAGGAACAAGGAAGAUUCCGCAGCCUCACCCAUACCGGCACCGAUUGGAGGGACUCCUUGUUUAACUCAAUUCUCGGCUCCCAUUGCUGCAACAUCAACGGAAUUCUAGCCACAGUAACAGUCCCUCCCUCUAAGAUCUUUCUCCUAAAUUCAGAAUCAGCAAUACGCAGCAAGAACAAUCCCCUGCCAUUGGACAUUACCUGCUGCAGCGCAGGCCCCUAAGCUUUCCUAAGCGAUUCAUCCACAACCUUAAACGGGAGUUUCUUUCCCAAGAAAUACCCCACUAGGCAAUCGUAGAGUUUAGGGUCAGCAGCAUCCAAAUCGGCUUCAUCCAUAUGAAUGACAGAAUCACUGUCAAACUGAACAGGCGUGUAAUCAAGGUCAUAGCCCCUGGUGACACCGCUAGCUACGGCUGCCCAGGUGCGAGCAGGAGGUUUCAUGGAGACACCUCUAGAGUUAUUUCGCUUAGAAUGAGACCGACCCCUACUGAUUCCUCUGCUUCGAGCAGGGCCCGACUGCUGGUGCAAGUCUACAGCUCCAGCCGAAGGAACCGAGGAUUUGCGGGUUUGAUCAUUCCGCGAAUCGAUAUUAGCCGAGGGAUUAACCGUAAUAGGAGGGGAGUGCAUUCGCCUACUCGGUCCUUCAUCACAAGACCGAUCCCUCACAGCCAACGGCUCCAUACAGCAGAAUCGCAGAACAGAACCGAGAAAACCCUAAACCAUCGCUCGGCAGAAAUCCCUCGAAGAGAAGACGUACCAGGCUAAGAUGCAGGGGGGUUUGAAGAGCUAGAAAAAGCGCCUCUUGGCGCGGAAGAUCGGCCCCAACCAACGGUCAACACUCGCGGGGCCAGCAUCAACCGGAAUCGCAGCUACAGUGCCGAAGUCGCCCAAAGAGAGAGCCUUCUCAUUUCCCCUUCCCUCGCUUUUCUAUCAUGCAGAGUACGUCGGUUAAAAAAAAAUGAUAUUUAUCUGCUUUUUCUGCAGAGAACAAUGAUCUUGGAUGUUGACUGUAGCAGUGAGUCCAAUUGACUUGCAUAAGAACGUGAGUCGAAACAUCAAACAGAAAGGUAGGUUCUCCUGACUCCUGAAUUUUUUUCUUCUUGGUAAGUGCCUCCCCAACACUACAACUGCAUGCACUUCACUUGCAGCUUUUAGAGACCAGCAUUGCACAUCUUCUCUUGAGUACCUCCAAUUAUGUGCCCAUUUUUUCCUGCAGAAUUUCAAUUUUUUAAUCUAGUUCAGCAAUAGCAGGGUCUUCAGGUACUUCCACUAUUCCAGCAAUCUGUAUUAAACACUGUUUGGUAUUAGCGCAUUUUCUGUUGAUUAUUACUUAUUGUGGAAUGACUCUAUAUAUAUAUGAUAUUCAAAAGGAACGUGGCAAUUCACCACAUCACAUGGCAGCAUCUUGUAUUCAAUUUUGGCUGAGGUAUGUUUAGCAAGAGAGCACUACUGCAAUAUGAGCACACCAUGAUAAAAUGCAUUGGAUAUGAGUAAUCAAUGGGCGAGGGCAUUCAUCGCAGUCAUAAGCACCCACAUUUGUGUCCCUUAUCUUCUUGCAAAGGGCACAAUAGUACCACUCACUGGUAUCAUCUUUGAUGAACGAAACGUGAAGUGUGAGUUGAUGGAAGUUAAUGGCUAUCUUUUACUGUAGUGGAAGGCAAAAUCUGGGCACACAACUGCAAACUUGCAAAAUUUACCACAGACAUUGCAUAUUAGCAUGGUUAGGUAGAUUUAAAACAAGAAAGAGUACAUGACUGUGGAGGUGAUGUUUCAAAGUGGGCCUUUCAAAAGUGCAUGGAGUGUUGAAGUUGUUGUCACUUCCAUGCAGUGAAAAACAGAGCGUUGACACUCUUCACAACAUAUGUCAACAGUGCUCCUCCUGAUACGAGAAGAAAAAGGAUGUGCAGGGUGAGCAGGUCAGAGAUUCAAGUUGUUGCUAGAAUUGUUGCUUCACUCAGAGAUUCAAGUUGCCUGGGCCAAGGUGAGAAAAGAACGCUGAUAUAUAUUUGUCAUUUUUGGGAGGCUUUAGUCCAAUAUAAUCGAAUUUGGUAGACUGCAGAUGUUAGAACCGAACUUCUCCCAUCUUCAUGUGCUGGAAAAGAUUUUACAGUUCAUGAAUGCAAAGUCAUAUAUAUAAUAUGCAAAAGCUUGAGACUAGUCUGUACAAACUACACACAUCUGAUUCAUUUUUUGAGGAAAUAAUAAGACCGGCAAGCUUCCUGGCAAGUUGAUUCAUAAUCAAAUUAUGCAUCCCUAUGUUAGUAAUCCAACUCAUAACAUACGGUAAACAAGUCUUACACUCAAAGUAAUGAUAUUUAUCUGCUUUUGCUGCAGAAGAUAACAAUAUCAGAUGUCAAGUGUUAGCAGUGAUUCCAUUGACUUGCAUAAGAGCAUAAGUUGAAACAUCAAACAGAAAGGUGGUCUCCUGCCUCCCCAUUUCUUUUCUUCUGGAUAAGCGUGCCUCCCCAAAUCUGCAAUUACAUGCACUUCGUUUGCAGCUUUUUGAGACCAGCACUGCAUGUCUGUUUUUUUAGUAUUGUUCAAUUGUGGGCUCGCUCUGUCCUUUUUUUCCUGUAGAAUUGCAAUUUUUCCAUCUAGUUCAGCAAUAGCUGAGGUAUUCAGGUACUUCCAUUACUUUAAAAAAUUUUGGUAUUACCAUAUUUUCUGUUAAUUAUAACUUAUUGUGGAGAGUCUAUAUAUGAUGUUAAAAAAAGAAAAAAGAACAGGGCUAUUCACCACAUCACGUAGCUGCAUCGUUUUCUGUUUAUUGGCUAAAGUCAGAGCACUUCUGUGAUGAAAGCAUACCGUGGGUAAAACACAUUCAAUGUGAGUAAUCAACGCACAAGGGCAUUCAUCACAGAUGGAAGCACCCAGAUUCAGGUCUUUUUCUCUCAAAGGUUACAAUAGUACUUACCGUCAUCGUCUUCGAUGAAUGUAGCAGAGAGUGUGAGUUGACAGAGGUGAUGGGGAUCUUUCGUUGUUGGUGGUAACCGUGGAAGGCAAUCAUGAUAGACAUUAAGAUUGCACUGCACAAGAACGUGAAAGUCAAAUGUGCAAAAUUUGCCAGACACUGCAUAGGAAGCACAGGUCAGUAGAUCUAAUAUAAGAAAGAGUAUAUGCUCGUGGAGGUGACGUUUCAAAGUGGGCCUUUCAGAAGUGCAUGGAAUGUUGAAGUCUAACUCACAUUCUGCGCACCGAAAGAAUGCUUCAACGCUCUUCACGACAUGUGUCAGUGAGCUUUCCUUCCUGAUAUGGGAAGAAGUGGAUGUGCGGGGUGAAUGGGUUGUUGCAUAACUGAGGGCAAUUCAGCAGAUGAUUUAUGGAGCAGAAAAGAGCAGCACUGCUCGAGGCAGUGAUGGGCUAAACCUAUUGACAUAUUCAUGACAAGCUUUGAGCGCACCAUCCUUCCUAUGACCCAGCUCUAGCGGCAGCAGAUGAUUGUGAGUUGGAGAGAGAAAAGGCAAUCCAGACAAGCAUAGAACUCACCUAGCAUGUUCCAUCAAGCUUCGCACUAAUUUCUGUUUCAUCCUUCUUGUGGAAGGACACCAGUAAAUGCUGAUGGGCGAAAUAGUAAAAAACCAAGCCUUUCUCACCCUUCAGAUCUUGUGAACGUAAGAGUUAUAGCUGCGCAGUCCAUGUCAAGGCUGAAAUUGCAUUAGCUGCAGCAGGAAACCAUAUCGCAGGCAUUACAUUGGAGGUCUACAGAUUGAUUGAGAGCAAGAGAGAUGGUGAUCAUUGAAAGACAGGCAUUGCUUAUCUGGUGUAGAUUUGGCACAGCUCUUGUGAAUUAAGAAUAUGACACUGUGUAGCAUCCAUAGACCUCCUUGCAGGCUUUGCAUUUGAUUCUACUUUUCAUCCCAAGAUGCUAAUGAGCAAAAUGUUGGAUGGUCACAUCCUCAGAAUCUUCAUCAGGCUUAGUUGUGACUAGGCAGACAGCAAUAUUGAACCGUGCUGUAAUGCUCAACUAUCCAAAUGGCAAGAAGGAAAGCCUCGUCACAUGCAUGGAAACCACGACAAUCCUCCUUAUCAUCUGCCUACUAGGCGUUCAAGCGUGGGCAGCAGGUGAAACAGGUGUUCUCGGGCGAAGAGCAUGCUAAAUUCAGCUUGACUAGUGAAAGAAGAUUCAACACGAUUCCCAGCAGUAGGGCUGAGCCGCGGAUCUGAGACCAGCACGCGAGACAUUCCAAGCAAGUGCAGCCUUCUUUGCGAAUCAAUACAUGAUCAGCAAGCAAUGGAGUUAUAGUUGCCGAGUGACAUCAACAAGAAGCAAAUGGGGUGAAAUGAAUCGUACCCAACUACCGUAUUAUUUGGUGUUGCUUUUCAGUGCUAAUUUGUACAAUUUUUUUUUUUUUUUAUCUAUGCAUUAAGGCAAUAGUUAAUAAAACUAAGAUGAAAUCUCAGCAAGAGUUUUGAGUAGAUCUAGCUUUCGUUCCUGAGGAAGCUCCCAGGAAAAGCUUCGUCAAAUAUUCACCUUCCAAAUAGUUCCUUCCUGAUGCGAGAAGAGGGUUGUUGCAUAACUGAGGGCAAUUCAGUCAAUAAAUUUUUGUCAAAAUUAGUCCGAAAGAUUGAAUUAGCAGUAAGUCAAAAAUUUAAGAUUAGAUUGUCAGAAUUAUAAGAUUUAAGAUUAGAUCGACACUCAUGCAAUAAAUUUAGAACUUUUAUGACAUUUUUACCAUUAAAAAAGUCCUUAAUCUGGCCAACUGUUUUUGGGGUCUUGGGCACGUUUCUCAUAUGUUUUGAUUGUGUUAUAUGAUAGUUCGAGUUACGCUAUUAGGAAUACAUUUCUUUCGGUGAGCAUUACAUUUAUCUCCUCUAAUUGCUUGAAAGCAAGAGAGAGAGAGAGAGGGUGAACAUGGAGAGACGGGCGUCGCAUCUCUGUGGGGGAUUUGGCGCAACUUUUGUGGAGAAAGAAUAUGCACGCAUGGCCUCCAUGGAAUUUGGUAUUGUUAAAUUUCGGCAUCGAGUUAAUAACUUUAGAAAACGUGUUAGUUACAACACGUGAUUAGUGGAGUCAUCUAAUCGUAGUCAAAGUUUGUAAACACAAAGUCCCAAUGGCUGAAGAAUGCAAACCCGAUUAAUGGGACGAUUAUCUUGAGAGACUCAAUUGUGAGAUUGCCCUUAUGAAUUACAUUUAAUCCCCGGUGGGCUCUAUACUCUCUCAAGUCUGUAAUCGGCUUUAAAGCGCUAUUAGCCAGGAGAAGGGGGAGGGGGGCCUAGGCAACAUCAAGUCAAGUGAGAGGAUCAUCUUAUGAACUUUUUCCUCUUUUUGGUCGUCAAAAGGGCUUUCAAUCUUCGUUCAAACCAUCAAGCCGUGUCCUGUGAAUCGACAUACGCAUUGUCAAAAGCCUAAAAUCUGCUGCACCAAUCUCUCUGUUGAAGACUGGAAUCUAUGGGAUGGUGGCACCCCCUCCUUGGGAAGCUAACUCCAAUCAGUGGUCAUUAAAUCCGGAUCGAAAUGUCAAACGUCCGAUCGGGUCCUCUCUUUUCCGCAGAUCCUUCCCCGCGUGUGCGCGAUCAUGCUCGUCUGCUGGCUCUUCCCACCAUGUCAAACGGCUUCUGUGUGGUGUGAAACGACUGAACUUUCCUCGUUGUGGGAGCCUCUCUCUCUCUCUCCCUCUCCCUCUCUCUCCCUCUCUUCGUCUUCGGUUUGGAGGCAUGGAAAGCGAUCGGGUGUUAAAAGGUGGAUUCCGUGUUGUUAAAACACUUGACUUCUCCGGUGGUUGAAACGAGUGAGCUUUUCUUUUUCUUUUUGUUCUUCUUGGCCAGACUAUGUUCUCUCUUUCUUUCUGCUCUUGUUAUUUCCCUUGCAAUGAAGCAAGACUGGAGAAAGGGCUAAAACGAGACACUCGGGAUUGGACUUGGGCUUGGGCUUAAUGUUUUGCUCUCAUUUAUUAUUUUUUGCUAGCCCUUUAUUGCAACUUUAAUUAUGUAGAUAAAUCUGUUAGGCUAUUAGGUGCUGAUGGAUACUAUGCGGAUUGCGGAGCGAGGAUAAGGUGACGGGGAAAAAAGUAGGACAAAUCAAGGACUUUUUUUAAUGGGGAAAAUGUUGGAAAAUUCCUAAACCUAUUAUAUUAGUGUCAAUCUAAUACUAAAUAUUUCAAUUGUGUCAAUUUAGUCUUAAAUUUUUUUACCUAAUACCAAUUUAGUCAUUUCAACUAAUUUUGACUAAAAAUUACCAAUAUAAAUGUUGAUUGUCUUACGUGGCAUUGCACAUGGUAAUUUCUAAUUAUAUUUUAAUAUUUUUCAAUUUUAUAUUAUUUUCUCUUUUUUUUUCUCAUUUCUUCUUCCUUUUACCGGUGAUCGACCACCGGCUAUAGCCAAAUGAGCUAGCCUAUUCUAGGCAAGGGUUGCCAUUUCCCGCCACAAGCAAGGCUCGACCUAGCCAGGCCAAGGAGGGCAAGCCCCAAUGAGGCCCUGCAAGGGUCGGCCUACGCCAAAUUUUGGGAGGCCAAUCCACCUAGCCAUCACCUAUGGAUGAUAGUUGGUCACUAACAAAAGCAAGAAGAAAUGAAAAAGAAAAAAAGAGAAAAUAUUAGAAAAAUAAUAAAAAAAUCAAAAUAUUAUUAAAAUUUGUCAAUAUCCAUCCACAUUAGUAAUAUCAUGCCAAAACUAACUAAGAGGACUGAAUCGAUACAAUUAUAAAGUUCAAGACUAAAUUAGCAUUAUUGUAAUAAAAAAUAAACAAUGAAAAAAAUAAAAUUUAGGACUUUAUUUUUUUUUCUUUUUAUAUAUAACCAAAUAAAAAAUAAAUUGGACAUUUCGAGGCUUUCGUCCGCUCCAUGGCGUGGUGAGGGGGUGAAGGUAAGGACAUUUGAUAUUUGUUUUUUCAUGGAAAGUGGCACAAGACAUCAGACAUCACUUUUUUUUUUUUUUGGUUUUUUUGGGUUUGGGCACGGGACAUCAAUUUGAAUACUUUUUCUUUUGGAUGCUUUCGGAUUCAUAGUCAUCAGAUUUUCAAUCAUGACCUUCCCCGUUCCUUCCGCUUUUACUCACCCCUCAUCCCCUGCUGUGCUUGCACGUGGCCUUCCCCCAUUUCUCUCUCUUCUUUAAAAGUUUCCACAAAUAUUCCUUCCCUAUACCUUGUUUCUUCUAUUUUCUCAAAAAAAUGAUAUUUACGAUUUAAUUUGGAUGAAAUAAAGAUUAUGAUGCACACCUAAUUUUCAUCUGCGAUUUAUCAUCUUCAUUCCAUUAAUUUGUACGUUUCUUUUGCUAAAAUUUUAAAUUUAUUAUACAAAUCAAAGUCCUAUCAUAAUUUGAAUUGGUUCAAGUCCUUUUUUUCGAGGCAAAAGAAUAAGAAUUCUCUCUUUUUAUCAUAUUUAUUCUCUUCUACUAUGCGUAUGCAUGGACACAUAAGCCACUCUUCAAAAACUUCCUGAGUCCCCAUUAUUGACUACACCUCUCUCUCUCUCGCUCUCUCUCUCAUCAAUCUCAUUUAUUGAAUUAGACAAAGCCAAAUACUCUCUCUCUCUCUCUCUCUCUCUCUCUCUCUCUCUCUCUCUCUCUCUCUCUCUCUCUCUUAGGGUCUUAGGGGAGGCUUCGAUGCGACCACAACAAUGGUUGGACCAUGUGGUAUCAAAGGAUCCUAUGUCUAGGUGUGCGCGUAUGAGAUCUUAAUUAAAGUUGCAAAUCUUUUUAAAAGAAAAUCAAGGCAGAAUUAUAUUGAGAUUAAAGUUGGGCAUCUUUUCAGGAAAUUAGCCCAUAAAAAGUCAUGCUUCCAUCAACAAUAGAUGGCGUCUUAAACCUAUUUUCGCAAUAUUUCAUCAAAAAGAUAUCCAGCUACUUCAAAAGUAUUUUAGGAGGAUUUAAUAUCUGCAACAAUCAUAGAAAUAGAUGAUUUCGUGCUUAAAACAUGGCAAGAAACAAAUGUUCAUGUCGCAAUAUAUAUUGCGAACUAUGCUAGGGGUGAGGAUAGGUCGAGGGGGGAUGUUGGCCAGAUCAAGGCCUCUUUAAUGAGGAAAAAUGCCAGAAAAGUUUUAAAUAUAUUGUAUUUGUGUCAAUCUAAUCUUAAACAUUUAAAUUAUAACAAUUUGAUCGUAAAUUUUUGCUAAUUCAAUCCUUCAAACCAAUUUUAACUGAAAAUUAUUGAUCCAGAUGCUGGUUAUUCAACGUGACUCAGCAGACGCUAGUUAAACCUCAUUGCAGGCUUCGCACUUGAUUCUACUUUUCGUCUCCAAGAUGAUGGGACGUGAGCAGAUGCUAAUGAGCAAAACGUUGGAUGGUCGCAUUCUCAGAUUCCUCAUCAGGCUUAGAGUUGUGACUAGGUAGACGAAGCAAUAUCGGGCUGUGCAGCAACGCUUAACCAUCCAAACGGCAAGAAGGAAGCCUGCUCACACGCAUGGCAACUCCGACAAUCCUCCGCAUCAUCGCCUACUGGGCGGUCAAGUCGGGGCAGCGGGUGAAACGGGAGUCCUAGGGCGGACAGCAUGCCAAAUUCAGUUGCAACUGGUGAAAGAAAAAUUGACAAGAUUCACGGCAGUGGGCUGAGCCACCAAGCGAAGACCAGCACGCGAGACAUUCCAAGCAACUACAACUUCCGCUUAGGUUCCGGAGACUCAAUGCAUGAUCGCCAAGGCAAAUUAGGAGAUAAAAAAGCGUUUUGAAUGGAGUUAUAGUUGAGUGAUGUCAACGCGAAGUAAAUGAGGUGACAUGAAUUGUACCCUAUGUUAGAAAUUUCCUAUAAUAUGGGCUUACAUUAAUUAAUUGAUUUUCUAUUUUAAAUAAUCGGGUUAAUGGAUAUUCCAAUAUUUGUUAAACCCUAAAGUGAUUUGAUUGAAUUGGGUAUUGGCAUCUAUUAUUAACGGGCCUAGUUGAGCAGCAAAGUAUAGGCAAUUGUGUUUGACUGAAGCCCGUAAUGGGAAGGGCCUAGUUGACACGCUGUUGAUUAGGGUUUGCUAGGUCCCCUCUCUAGCCUAUAAAAUGGUAGGUUAUACCUAUCAGUUGCUUUAAUCCCAUUGAAAGCUGCUAUAUCGAAAUAGGACAUAGAGAGGAAGAUAUGGUAUUCCAAUAGAUCCCUGAUUAUCAAAGUGAUCUAGUUUUCUUCAAGUAAAGCAAUGGCUCAAACAGGUACACUUUAAUUCCGCUGAAUUUAUUGAUCUUGGUGUUUUACAAUCAUGUAUGGAUCCGUUUGUUCUUAAUUGAUUAAAUAAUAUUCUACAUGUGGUAUCAGAGCUAAUCAUAUAUGAUUGUAGAACCCAAAUUUUCUCUUGUUAUGGAAAAAUUCGAAACCCUCCUCUUUGAGCCGAAUAUGGGCAUUAUUUUUUCGUGUAGAUUUUUUGCUUGAUUAAUCCUAUAACCAUAGGGCUUUUAUUCUACAUGUUGAGAUCUUUCCAACCAUAUAUAAUUUGCAUAAUUUCGUUGAGACUUGAGAGAGAAUUUUAGAUUUGAAAUUCUAGGGUUUAUACGUGAAAAAGUUCUAGAAUUUGCAAAUUAUUUACAAUUGAUUGAUGUUCGAUGCAAAUCGUUGUAUGGGUAUUGUUAUAUAUUUGUUUUAGUAUCUUUUGUUGUAUUAAAUUGAGUUUUUAGGGCUUAAAUUUAAGAAAACCGAAUUUUCGGCCAUGAGAGGUUUAGAUCCGAAACUUUGAAGCUUGCAUGUGGUGGAUUUAGUUGAUCUUUCUUAGUUUAAUUAAAUCCAGUUAAUUAAAUUGAUGUUAUAAGCAAAACCCAUGAGGAAAUUUUAUCAAAAACCAUGUUAAUUUGUGCCUUCGGAGCUUCGGGUCGAAACCGGGUCGUAUGACCCGUUUUUCUGCAAAUUCGUGACCCGGCUGGAGGAUGAAGAAGACCUCCAGCCAGGCUUAGGCCUGAAUAUGGGCUUCAGCCCAUAUUUUUUUAAAUUUCGUAGCCCAUUUCAUGGGCCAAUUUUAAAUUAAAGGGGAGAUGGGCUUCUCCAUACAUGGGGCCAUUUUCUAUUUAAAAGGAGUGGGCCGCAUGAGGGUUUAAGACUCGCGGGUUUGGCCCGCGGUCUGAUUAGGGCUGCUCGCGGGUCUCCUAGGCCCGCGGGAAGUCCGAAAUAUUUAAAUAAUAUAAUAAUAAUAUAAUAAUAAAAAAAUAUUAAAAAAAAUUAAAAAAAGAAAUUGUGGCAAUAAAUUGUUGUUUGAAAAAGUGCAAUAUGAUCAUUGGAAGCACAUGUUGUAAAGUGUUUCAUAUUGUUUGAUGAAUUUUGGGCAUAAAUUCCCUAUUGAUAAAAGAUUAAUAUAUACAAUUACUCGCCCAAAGGGAGUUAUUGUGUAAAUUAAUUUGGAAAAAUAGCAUGAAGUUUAUUCCCAUAUUUAAAAGAUGGGGAUGUAUAAUUGAAAAAUAUUUAUUUGCCCAAAGGGGAUAAAUGUUUUGAAAAUUAUAUGUAAUUCCCCUCUAUGUUGAUAUUAUGGAGAUGUAUGAUUUAAAGGAUUUGUCUGCCCAAAGGGGAUGGAUCCUUGACAAUUAUAUGUAAUUCUCCUUGUUUUUAUAAAUUUCAUGCUAGGAAAAAUAAUGGUGCAUUAUACACUCUGCCCAAAGGGGAGUUUAUGAUGUACUGAUUAUUUUUGUUGAGUUGCUUAUUGCCCAUAAUUGAUCAUAUUGCAUUGUGUGUGUUAAACAGUUACCUUUGCUGUAAAUAACAACAAUGCCACGGUGGAAAUGUUAAUUGGAUCAAACUUUAAGAGAUGGAAGCAAGAUAUAGAGAUUGCUUUGGGCAUCGUUGAUAUGGACUUGGCUCUACGUGAGGAUGAACCUGCCAGGCCCAAUGAUCAAAGUACUGCAGAUCAAAGGGCCCAUUAUGCUAGAUGGGAAAAAUCUAAUCGACUGAGCCUCAUUGCUAUGAAGAGGUCUAUUGUUGAGCAUCUGAUUAGUGGUUUGCCGGAAGAUACGAAUGCCAGACAGUUCCUUGAAGCAGUGGGAGAAAGAUAUAGAGUCUCAGAUAAGGCUGAAGCUGGGAACUUGCUGAGUGAGUUAACGAACAUGAGGUAUGAUGCUGCUAUGGGUGUUAGAGAAUUUAUACUGAAGAUGGUCCACAUUCGGUCCAAACUUAAGGCUCAUGAAAUUGUUCUUUCUGAAAAUUAUAUUGUGCAUCAAGCCUUAAAUGUUUUGCAAGCUGAAUUUAGCCAGAUUAAGACUGCUUAUAAUGCUCAGAAUGAGACAUGGAGUGUUAAUGCCUUGAUUACUAAAUGUGUGACUGAGGAGAGAAAUUAAAGAAGGAAAAGUAUUAGUCUGCCCACUUAACUACCAAUGCCAAGUCGAGUUCGUAUAGAGGCAAAUGGAAGCCUAAGGGGUCAAAUGCUCAUGGCCCAAAGAAAUGGCAAGACUUUAGGAAAAUUGAGAAUUAUGGGAGAAAUGGAGAUAAGGAUAUUAAAUGUUUUCACUGUAAGAAGCAGGGUCACAAGAGAGCCAAUUGCUACAAAUUUCGAGCUUGGCUAAAAACAAGAAAAGAAAGUCACCAAGGGUCUCACAAAUCUAAGGAGUCCAAGUCUGAGGGAGUCAAAGCUUAAAGUUGGAAACAAUACUGGAGUUGAUGUGGAGCGCAUAGGGACAGUUGUUUUGAAUUUAGAUUCUGGUUUUCAGCUUGUCUUGAACAAUGUCUUUUAUGUUCCUAAUUUUAGGAGAAACUUAGUAUCUCUUUCUUCGCUUGACAAAGCUGGAUAUUGUCUUCAUUUUACGAAUAAAAGAGUGGAUUUGAGUUAUGAUUCCAGAAUUAUUGGGAAUUGUGUUUUGUUUGAUGGAUUAUAUCGAUUAUCCUUAUCUCCCGAUAGACCAUAUUGCUCUUUCAAUGUCGAGAAUGUUGUUGCUAAGAGAUCUUUGAUGAAAGAUAGAUCUUCAUUGCUAUGGCAUAAGCGAUUGGGGCAUAUCUCAAAAGAACGGGUAAAGCGACUUAUCGUGGCUGAUAUUCUUCCUCCUCUUGACUCAGAUGAUAUUGAGACUUGUAUUGAUUGUGUAAGGGGAAAAUUAACUAAAACAAAGAAGAAAGGUGCUACUCGCAGUCAAAGUCUAUUGGAGAUAAUUCAUACUGAUAUUAGUGGGCCAUACUCAACCACCUUGUGUGGAAAUAAAUACUUCAUCACGUUCAUUGAUGAUUUCUCCCAUUAUUGUUAUCUUUAUCUAAUUAAGGAGAAGACUGAUGCUCUUGACAUGUUUAAAGUGUUUCGUACUAAAGUUGAGAAACAAUUGGGAAAAAUUAUCAAGAUUGUCAGAUCUGAUCGUGGUGGUGAGUAUUAUGGGCGAUAUACUGAGGCUGGACAACAAAAGGUACUAUUUGCAAAAUAUUUGCAGGACUGUGGUAUUGUUGCUCAAUAUACAAUGCCUGGGAGUCCUGAGCAAAAUGGUGUAGCUGAACGUAGAAAUCGCACACUCAUGGAGAUGAAACGAAGUAUGAUGGGCAGUUCUAAUUUGCCUGAAUACUUAUGGGGUGAUGCGAUUAAAACGGCAACUUAUAUAUUGAAUCGUGUAUCUAGUAAAUCGGUGCCGAAAACACCUUUUGAAUUAUGGACUGGGAGGAAACCUAGCUUGAAUCAUUUUCGAGUUUGGGGUUGUCCUGCAGAGGUGAAAAUUUAUGAUCCUUCUCAGAAGAAGACCGAAUCCAGAACUACUAGAUGUUAUUUUAUUGGAUAUCCUAAUCAUUCUAAAGGGUAUAGGUUCUAUUGUCCUUCUCGCGGCACUAGAAUCGUUGAAUCUCAAACUGCCAAAUUCCUGGAAUUAGAUGUUGCCGAAAAGAGUUCUUCUCAAUCUUUCGAAAUGGAAGAACCAAAUAAAACGGUCUCUAUUCCAUUGCCCAUCUUACAUGAUGAUCCUAUGCGAGAUCCCAGCAGAUUGAAAAUUCAACAGGAAGCAAAUACUGAAAAUAUGACGGUAGAUCCUCCCAUUACAAAUGAAAUUCCCCAGAUGAAUGAUGUAGCUCCAGAAAUGCCUGUGCGAAGAUCACAGCGACAAAGAAGACCAACGCUUUUAAAUAAUUAUCAUGUCUAUCUUGGAGAAGCUGAUUUUGACGUUGGAAGUGUAGUUGAUCCGAUGACCUUCAAAGAAGCUCUUAAUAGUGAUCAAGUAGAUAAAUGGUUAGGAGCGAUGAAUGACGAGAUGAUGUCCAUGUCAACUAAUCAAGUAUGGAAACUUGUUGAUUUACCUGAUGGGCAUAAACCAAUCGGCUGCAAAUGGGUAUUCAAAACCAAGAAAGACAAUAAGGGCAACAUCGAGAGAUUCAAAGCAAGGUUAGUCGCAAAAGGGUACACACAGAGAAAAUGUAUUGAUUAUAAUGAAGUCUUUUCCCCAGUAUCUACUAAAGACUCUUUUCGGAUAAUCAUGGCUUUGGUGGCUCAUUUUGAUUUAGAGCUUCACCAAAUGGAUGUCAAGACAGCUUUUCUAAAUGGAGAUCUGGAUGAAGAAGUAUAUAUGCAGCAACCUGAAGGGUUCAAAGAAGCCGGAAAGGAGCAUAUGGUGUGCAAACUUCAAAGAUCCAUCUAUGGUCAUCUAUGGUCUCAAACAAGCAUCACGUCAGUGGUACUUAAAAUUUCACAAAGUUGUGAGAUCAUUUGGCUUUGAAGAAAAUAAGUUUGAUCAAUGCAUCUACAUGAAAGUAAGUGGGAGUAAAUAUAUUUUCUUAGUACUUUAUGUAGAUGACAUUUUACUUGCUAGCAGUGAUAUUGAUCUAUUGAAUGACACCAAAAAUUUUCUAUCUACAAAGUUUGAUAUGAAAGAUCUUGGGGAAGCCUCUUUUGUUCAAGGCAUUGAGAUUCAUCGUGACAGAUCUAAGAAGGUUCUGGGAUUAUCUCAGAAAAGUUAUAUAGAUCGUGUUUUGAAAAGAUUCAAUAUGCAGAUCUAUAAGUCAGGUGAAGCUCCUGUUGUGAAAGGAGAUAAAUUGAGCAUAAAUCAAUGCCCCAAGAAUGAUGUUGAAAAGGAAGUCAUGAAAAAUGUUCCAUAUGCUAGUGCAGUUGGCAGUCUUAUGUAUGCACAAGUAUGUACCAGACCUGAUAUUGCUUUUGCUGUGAAUACUCUUGGAAGAUAUCUGUCAAAUCCAGGUCAAGAACAUUGGGUUGCAGCUAAGAAGGUGAUGAGAUAUCUACAACGAACAAAGGAUUUCAUGCCCGUUUAUAGCAGAGUUGAGGACCUAAAAGUGAUUGGAUAUUCAGAUGCUGAUUUUGCUAGUUGUUCAGAUGAUAGAAAAUCAACUUCUGGAUAUAUUUUUAUGAUGGCUGGAGGUGCUAUUUCUUGGAAGAGCACAAAACAAACAUUGAUUACGAACUCUACAAUGUAUGCUGAGUUUGUAGCGUGCUAUGGCGCGUCGGUUCAAGCAGUUUGGCUCAGAAAUUUGAUCUCAGAAUUGCGUGUUGUGGACUCUAUUGCUAGACCUAUGGUGAUCUACUGUGACAACAUUGCAGCUGUGUUUUAUUCCAAGCAUGACAAGAUUAGUAAUGCGUCCAAACACAUGGAGAUCAAAUAUUAUACUGUUAAGGACUUGGUAAAAAAUGGAGACGUUGUAAUUGAAAAUAUCAUAACUGAGUCCAUGUUGGCUGAUCCUCUAACAAAAGGCUUACGACCCAUUUUGUUUAAAGAACAUGUAAAGAAUAUGGGUGUUUUAGAAUCUUUUGAUUUCUUUUGUUAGUGGGAGUUAUAUAGUUUGUAUUUCUGGAUAUUAUAGUUAUAUGCAGACUGAUAAUGCUUUUAUGAUGUCUAUUAAAGCAUUUAUUUUCGAUGAUUGUUGUUAUUGAUUCUAUUGUUAUCCUUUUUCCUGUUGACUGAGAAAUGGAAAUAUAAAACAGUAUCUUUAAACAAAUUUUAGUUUAAAGAUAACUGGAUGUCACUAAUUAUGAGAUCUCAUGUUGGAUUGUGACAUAAUUGUGCAAUUUCAUGUUGUUUAGAAAUCGCACUGAGGCAAUUUCAUGUUGUUUAGAAAUUGCGCUAAUGCAGUUUCAUGUCGUUGAGAAAUUGCAUUGAGGACCGAUAAGAAAUAGUGUAUAUCUUGAUCACAUGUUGGCACUAUUUCUUACUACACUACUAGGCCCAUGAUCCAUGAAAAUAUAAUACUUAUUAUAUGUGAUUAUGGAAGGUCUUGUGUUGUGGUAUUUUCUUAACACAUUGAUCUCCAUAGUCCUAUAUUGAGGUUAUAUAGGAUUGGAUUGAUAUUGAGAUGCCAUUAUUGGAAUAUUAUUUUUUAAAAGUUGUGGCCACAUAAAACAAAAUUUUAGUUAUUAACCCGAUAGUGUCGUUUUCAAAAUAAAAUCUUUUUCAAAAUAAAAUAAGUUAAUUAAUGUAGCCCAAGUGGGAGAAUGUUAGAAAUUUCCUAUAAUAUGGGCUUACAUUAAUUAAUUGAUUUUCUAUUUUAAAUAAUCGGGUUAAUGGAUAUUCCAAUAUUUGUUAAACCCUAAAGUGAUCUGAUUGAAUUGGGUAUUGGCAUCUAUUAUUAACGGGCCUAGUUGAGCAGCAAAGUGUAGGCAAUUGUGUUUGACUGAAGCCCGUAAUGGGAAGGGCCCAGUUGACACGCUGUUGAUUAGGGUUUGCUAGGUCCCCUCUCUAGCCUAUAAAAUGGUAGGUUAUACCUAUCAGUUGUUUUAAUCCCAUUGAAAGCUGCUAUAUCGAAAUAGGACAUAGAGAGGAAGAUAUGGUAUUCCAAUAGAUCCCUGAUUAUCAAAGUGAUCUAGUUUUCUUCAAGUAAAGCAAUGGCUCAAACAGGUACACUUUAAUUCCGCUGAAUUUAUUGAUCUUGGUGUUUUACAAUCAUGUAUGGAUCCGUUUGUUCUUAAUUGAUUAAAUAAUAUUCUACACCCUACUCCCAUAUUGUUUGAUGUUGUAUUUCAGUGUUCAUUUCUACAUUUUUAUUUUAUUUUAUUUAUGCUUGAACGCAAUAGUUAAUAAAACUAAAGUGGCCCAUGGAAAGUUUUGUGUCUUGUUGAUUUAAAGUCAGCUGCAAUUAUAUGAGGUCUUAAAAGUGCAUUCACCCUGAGUUAGUCUAUACAUUCAUCAGAGAGUUCUUAUCCAACUUACGCUAAAAGUAAUUUACGUAAGACAAUUUUGCAAUAACAGUUUUGUCGUAAUUGUUUAAAAAACCAAAUUCACCUAUUUUUAAUUUUACGAGUUAUUUUUUUAAUUUAUUAGUCGAUUGCAUUUACAUGUAAAAGUAAUGUUUACAUUUUCCAUUAAAUACAAUUCAUACAAAUAGUAUGAGCCGAAUCUACCUUUUUUUUUAGUUAUCAAUUUCUCUAUAAAUGCACAUGUCCUGCAGCACCUUUGAUUUGUAAGCUAUGUCGAUGUGGCUCAUUGAAGCAGAAAUUGUAAUCAAACUUGUAAUUUUCUUUUAAAUCUUUGAAUAGAACUCGAUUUUAUUUUCAAAAACUAAAUAAUUAUCUGUAUUGGUUAUUUAAAAAAAAAAAUACAGAUUGAAGUUGUUACAAACCCAAUUCACAUGUACAACCUACAACUUCAACUAAUUAAAUUGAAUUUAGAUCCACGGAUAAAAAGUUGGCAUUUAUACAAACAAUAACAAAGAUUCAUCUAUCCAAAUCCAAUAUAUAAUGUACAAUAAAAUCAAAAUAUGAGGAAUAUCACUUUAACGCAACUUUAUACUAAUCAAUUAUAUUCAUUCAAAAUUUAAAUACCAAAAGGGUGGUACACGCUCCAUUCGCUUUUAUGCAACAAGUAUGUCUUAAACAUUACUUUUUCAUUUAAAAAAAAUCAUAUGGUGCAAUGCUUUUCACAACUUAUAAUAUAUUAAUUCCCAAUCACUUUCAAGACACGAGCUUACAAAUUUGUAGAGGAUAACAACCACCCCUAAAUAAAAUCCAAAUUGAAAGUUGCGCCGCUUAAAAAGUUUCAAAGUCAUAUAAAAAAAGUAACUAAAUGUCAAACUUAUAUGUGAACUAACCUCAACUAAAAUUUUAGUAGGCGAUACCAUAUUCUUGAGUCAAAUUGUCAAAAGAUCUUCGAACAAUUACUUUGCAAACAUAGUCGACCUCAUCUUAAAACUCCAAUUCAAGUGAGCUUACUUUUAGUAGAAAACUCUUUUGAAUUACUAAGAGACCAUAAAGCCAAAAGAUGAUUGGAGAAGGGCAAAAUCCAUUGCCAAAUACAGUAAUUCAAAAACUAUAUUUAGCAGCAUGCAAAAUUUUAAAAAUUUAUCCCAAUCAAAUCGCAAACCUAAAUUGACUUUCCUGAAGUCCUACUUUGCACUACCCUAAAAUUUCUUUACAACAUAAUUUCAUAGCUUAAAAACCUCUAAAAUCAACCUAGCAACAUAGAAUCCAUACCAAACCUAAUUUAUAAUUUAAUUACGAAAGCUCCUUCAAUUAGAUAAAUAAAAGUUUCAAAUCCUUACCAAUUGCUAAGAAACAGAAUUAAUCCGGUGCAUAAAGCAAGAGCUCCCUUUGUCUCCUCUGUCUUUUUCUUGGUUUCUCCAGACUCUGCUUUCCUUCUCUUCUUUUUUUUUUUUUCCCUUCGCGUUCUUCUUGGCCAGACUGUUUUCAAUUUUUUCUCUCUUUUUGCUCUAGUAAUUCCCUUACCACCGCAUAACGAGACACUUGGGCUUGGGCUUCGUGUUUUGCUCUUACUUAUUAUUUUUUGCCAGCCCGGUUAUUGGAACUUUAUCCUUGCCCAUCCAGCUUAUUACGUAUUGAUAUCAGUAUGCGGACACACUGCCGAGAAAAGAGAAAGGAGAAUUCAAUCAGCACCGAACAAAGUCUUUUUUUCUAACACCAGAUAAAGUAAGGAAAAAUGUCAUAAAUGGCCCAUGAACUUUCAUCUAAUGUUCAAUUUCAUCCAUGAGAUUUCGAUUUGCUCAAUUUAGUUCCUAACCUUUCAUCUAAUGUUCAAUUUCAUCCAUAAACUUUCGAUUUGCUUAAUUUGGUUCUUGAACUUUCAUCUAAUGUUCCAUCUAGUCCCUAACUAUUUGAAAAUUGACCAAUUUCCCUUUUCUUUUUAAUACCAAACUGUUUUUUUUAUAAAUAAAAAAAAAUACCAAAUUAUUUUUUUUUGGUCGAAAAAAUACCACAUUUAUGCAAAGUAAUAAAGGUCAAUAUUUCUUUCCUUUCUCCAUAUUAAAAACAAAUGGAAAAGGGGACAGUAAUAAUAAACAAAGAUAAAUCUUGCAUUUUGAUUUCUUUUUUGUAUAUGCAGAUUACUUGAAUAAUGUACAAAAGCUGAUCAAAUUGAAUAUUAAAUGAAAGUUCAGGAAUUAAAUUGAGCAAAUUCAAAACUUAAGAAUGAAAUUAAACAUUAAAUGAAAGUUCAGGGAUUAUUUAUGACAUUUUCCUAAGUAAAUAGGAAAGUUCGAAGUCCUUCCUCCAAUCCGUGGUGGGGGUGAAGAUAUGGAGGUCAAUGCGCAGGUAUAAGAGGACAAUUGGAAAAGAGAGGCGGGGGAGAAGAGGACGAAGGGUCCGCGCAGGUCUAAGGGGACAACACCUUUAUUAACCACAUUGUUAGCCUAACCUUUUCCUCUUCUUUAUCCCCUUCUCUUUUCCGAUUGUCCUCUUAGACCUGCGCAUUGACCUCCAUACAUAAAAGAGGCAUGAAAGAACGGCGAUGUCGCUACCUUCACCUCACCCGGCGCCAUGGAUUUUUUCUCCAUCAUCUCUAUCCUGAUCAACUUCAUCCAAGUGAAAUUCCAGGGGAAGUUAAUCUCGCCCUUCGAAACUCACCCCCUUGCCACCUGCGUUGCCAUCUGCAGCCUGCUCCUGCAUUUCUUGUUGCUGCGUCUCGCCAAUGGAGCAUCGCAGCUCCUCAUCGACUUCACUGGUUCGAUAUCGGUGGCUUCACUUGCGUGGUUGCUGCUCCACGACUUCUUCCACUCUGUCUUGUUGGUGCUGCUCCUGUUGCUUUCCGUGAGUUUGUUGCGCCACCUCAUUCAAAAACUUUGGCUGUGGCUUUACAGCAACCUCAUUCAAAACCUUUGGCUGUGGCUAUACGGCGAAUUCGUCCUCAUGAUCAUCUGUGCGGCGCGGUCUCCUGUAUGGCGUGUUGUAAGAGUGCAGCCACAUUCGCAGCCCCCUUUCCGGCCGCAAGUCUGAGCGCCAUAGUUGUUCUGUUCCCUGCUUGGAUAAAGUAAUCUGACCACUUUAAAACGAAUGAAUAAGUACUUUAGGAAAGCUAGCUAGUUUUGUUUAGGAGGCACUUGGGGCAACUAAAUCAGAUUAAGAUAGGCUAAGCCCUCAAAGGAAAUUGUGAUCUAUUUUUAUCGAAGAGAUUGAAGACGACCUCAACAAUUGUUACCAAGAGAAGAAUAGUCGUUUCUUUAGGCAUAUAAGAGGUAGUAAUUGUUCUUGAGGUUAAAGCUCUGACCUCUUUCAAAGCAUUGCUGAGUGUUGCAGAUUUCCUUCUUUUGCUGGUGAAUCUCUUUGUAGCUUUCAGUUUGGCCAGCGGAUGGAUAUGUGUCAUUUUACGUUCGUUGCUGGUGUACUAUGGUUUUGCUCAUUUAUCCAUAUGAACUGGGACAAAUAGAUGCCUUGGCAACGUGGGCACAGCUACAAUUUCAAAAGCUUUGAUCUAACACUAACAUCAUUGAGUGAUCCAAAUCAAAAUGAAAGAUGUCAGCUCUUUCAUCUCUGUUCCAUAUACACCAUUACUGCUUACUAGCUAUUCCGAUGAUAGUAUAGUUGUAGUUUGUCAUCGCAGAAUAUGGGAAUCGUUACAUCAUAGUCUCUAUUUGACCUCCCAGAGGUGACAACUAGAUCUUUGCUGUGGCAAAUGUAACUUGCAAUCUAAGACUACGUUGUCUCGCUGGCGGAUUGGUUUUUGGCCAGGAGCUUGAAUUGUUGCUUCAGUUGGACAUUCAAGUUUCUGGGGCCAAGGUGAGAAAAGAAAGCUGAAAUGUAGAUUUUUUUUGGCUGGCUUUUACUCAAGAUUACUGAAUUCUGGUUGACUGUAGAUGUUAGAACCUAACUUUUCCCAAUCUUCAUGUGCUAAAGAAUUUAUAGUUCAUGUAUGCAAAGCUAGAUAGGUAGUAUGCAGAUGCACGAGACAAGUCUGUAUAAACUACACCCAUCUGAUGUUGGUAUCUGAGGAAAUAAUUAGACCGGCAAGCUUCCUGCCAAGUUGAUUCACAAUCAAAUUAUGCAUUCCAGUGUCAACACUUCAUUUCAUUACAUAGAGCACUCAAGUCUGGCACUUAAAUAAUAUGAAUUCGUCUGUUUUUACUGCAGAGAGCUACAAUCUUGGAUAUCGACUGUGGCAGUGAGUCCAAUUGACUUGCAUGGGAGCGUAAGUUGAAACGUCAAACAGAAAGGAAAUUCUUUUUGUCUUGGUAAGUGCCUCCCAAACUCUGCAACUAAAUGUACUUACAUUUGCGGCUUUUGGAGACCAACAUUGCCCGUCUUUUCUUGAGUACCUCCAAUUGUGUGCUCAUUCUUUCCACUUUUUCCUACAGAAAUGCAAUAUUUUCAUCGAGUUCAGAGUAGCAGGUCUUCAGGUACUUACACUAUUCCAGCAACCUGUAUUAAAAAAUGUUUGGUAUUGGAGCAUUUUCUGUUGAUUAUUACUUAUUAUGGAGGAUGAGUCUAUAUAUAUGAUGUUAAAAAAGGAACAUGGCUAUUCUCCACAUCACAUGGUAUCGUAUCCAUUUGUUGCCUAAAGUCUGUUUAGUAAGAUAGCACUUGUGAUGGAAGCGCACGGUGGGCAAUACACAUUUGAUAUGAGUAGUCAAUUGGCAGGGGCAUUCUUUGCAGACAUAAGCACCCAGAUUCAGGUUCCUUAUCUUCUCACAAAGGUCACAAUAGUACUCACUGGUAUCAUCUUUGAUGAACAAAGCGUAAAGUGUGAGUUGAUGAAAGUUAAUGGCAAUCUUUUACUGUAGUGGAAGGCAAUCUGUGAUCACUAAGAUUGCACUGCACACAACCAUAAAAAUCUAACCUGCAAAAUUUACCAGAGACGCUGCAUAGGAAGCACAGUUCUGGAGACUAAAAUAAGAAAGAGUAUAUGCUCGUGGAGGUGAUGAUUCAAAGUGGGCCUUUCAAAAGUGCAUGAAAUGUUGAAGUCGUUGUCACAUUCCAUGCAGUGAAAGACAGAGCAUUGACACUCUUCACGAGAUAUGUCAACAACGCUCCUUCCUAAUAUGAGAAGAAAAAGGAUGUGUGGGCUGGACAGGUUGUUGCAUAACUGAGGGCAAAAUGGACCAGAAAAGAGCAGCUCUGCUCCAGCCAGCAUCAGGUUAAACAUCUGACGCUUUCAUCACAAGCCUUGCAUGGACCAUCCUUCAUAUGACAGUUCCGGCAGCAGAAGAUGAUCGUCCAGGGGAGAAAAAAGAGGCAAUCAAGACAACCAUAGACCUUACCUGGUAUGUCUUCUUCACAAGCUUUGCACCUGAUUCUGCUUUUGAGUUUCGUAUGGAAGACCAGUUAAUGCUGAUGGUCAAAAUUGUAAAAAGCGAAGUCCUUGCCCUCCAGGUAUUCCGAAUAUGUUAAAGCUGUGCAGUCCAUGUUGAGGCUGAAUUUGCAUUCAUUGCAGUAGGAAACCAUGGCAGACGUUACAUUUAGCUCCUCCAAUUGAUCGAAAGCGAGAGGGUGAUCAUGGGGAGACAGGUGUUGCAUCUCUGGGGGAGAUUUGGUGCAGCUUUUGUGGAGAAAGUAUUUGCAUGCAUAGCAUCCAUAGACAUCCCCCAAGAUUGCUUGCUCGCAGGCUUUGCAUUUGAUUCUAUUUUUCAUCCCGAGGUGAUGGGAUGUGAGCAGAUGCUCAUCAGCAUUUGUUGGAUGGCCACAUUCUGAGAAUCCUCAUUGGGAGGACAAGCAAUAUUGGCCCGUGCAGUAAGAAUUGACGGAUCCGACUGGCAAGAGAAGGUUUUUAUAUAUAAACGCAAAAUAUUGAUUGAAAUAUAUUUAUCACUAGACUGGUGAGGUCACGUAUUUCCUUGUGACCAAGUUUGUUUGGAAUAUAAACGAGCCUUGAUAAGCCAUUCCCUCUUGUGUCCAUCCAUCGAUCACAGGUAUUAGACUUAGUGUUCCAGACAAUGAGUGACUAAGUUUGUUAGGCAAUAAAAUGAUAGUGCAGCUUCAAGAUGAGUAUUUGUAGAUACCUUUUAUUGAUUUAGAGUGCGUAAAACGAGCAAUUUUUCAAGAACAGAUCAGAGAAAGCAUAUAACCUUGGAGCAUAAUCAUAUGUCAUUACUCGAAGAGCUAAACAGAAAUGUGGGAUGUGAUUUGAGGACUGAACCGAUGAUUUAGAUGCAGAUGGUAAUAAAUUAUUUUCUCUGGACUCUGAAGGUUAGCCAUUUUGUAUGAGAUGUGCAGGAUUGCAGUUAUCAUAAAGCAAAUCAAAUUAUGUUGGCAAAAAAUUUGGUACCGUCAUCUCCAAUGAAAGCAAAAUGUGUGAUAAAUGUUGUGGGCCAUGGAUACUGGAAAGAGCAAUAGAUGAUUUAUCUUCAGUGAAAGCAUAUGUCACAGACAACGGUAUCUUUCUCUUCUCGGUUAACCAUUCUUCCUUAGGGCAAUUGUUUCUAUCUACUCAAUUAUGUAUGCUACCCUUUAAUCCAUAGGAACUUCUCAUAAGUUGCAGGGUUUGGUUGCCCAAAAGUGACUUGGCUUCACCAAAACUCCUCUUCUCUAGAAGCCUGGCUGGCAAGGCAUCCCACUGGCAGUAGGUUGCUCAACCUCGCCUUGCUUUUGUGACAUGCUGUCUGGCCCCUCUGCAUUACAGUGUCAAGGGUGAGUUCCAUGUGUCAGUUUGUGGAUCGCGGUCUCACACACAAAUCCCUACAGAUUCCUGUAGGAGGUCCAAAUUAUAUCUAUUUUAAUUUUCAUGUGGGUUCAUUCAUCAUUUGAUUUGACCUUGGAAGUUGAUUUUCUUCUUAUUAAUUUACAAGCCUAAAUGCUUACUGUGAAAAGCGAUUCCCAGGAGAGUGUCAUGAUGCUAAGUCAAAUAAUGAAGCUAAGUAGGUGAUCCACUGGAUAACUUAAGAUGGCAGGACUGUUGAAUGCUUCUGCUUAUUUGGUGGCAGAUACUUAAAAUUGUUACGUUCAAUGAAAGGGCAAAUGUUAUUGAAAAGACCGAAAAUACGUCGACAAUUAUUGCGAUGAGAAGAAUGGGGAGAUGUUUCAUUGUUUGUUUCAAGGUUACUUAAGAUCCUACUAGACCAAACGAUUUGGAAGUUUUUUCUCUACUGAAGAGAGAAAAAGAGGGAUAUUCAUGAAAAAUGGCACUUUUACUAGCAUUUUCAGAUACCAGCACCUUAUUAUCACAUUGCCACAUGUCAAACGUUGUCAUGUGGUCAUUACUAGUUGCCAAAAUAAAGUCAAAAUUGUUCUUGAGGUUAAAGCUUCUGAAUUCUUUGAAAAUAUUGUGUGCGUCACAGUUUUGCUUUUCCUUUUCUGGCGAAUCUCUUGGUGACUUUCUGUUUGGCCCGUGGAUCUAUAUGUGUUAUUUUACAGACUCUUUGCUGUUAUACAACGGUUUUGCUUAUUUAUACAUAAGAACUGGGAUAAAUAGAUGCCUUGGAGAUGGGAGCACCGCUGCAAUAUCAGAGCUUUCUUCUAUCAUCAUAGAGUUAGCAGAAUCAAAAUGAGUAAUGUCAGUUUUUUCAUCUGUCUUGUAUGCACAGGUAAUGCUUACUAACUGUUCUGAUGAUAACAAUUUUAGAGUAUGUCAUUGCAGAACGACACGGUGAUUGCAUCAUAUAGUCCUCAUUUUACCUCCGAGAGGUGACAACUAGAUCCUUGUCGCGGCAAAUGCGUCAACUUGCUUCAGCAAAUAAGAUUUAUAAAGACAAACUUCGUCUGUGGUGUAUCCUGCGUAUAUCCAGAAGCUCUUGGAUCUGAAUAAUGCAAUGACUAUGUUGUCUCCCUGGCUAAUUUGGGUUUUGGAAAGGAGCAUGAAUUGUUGCUUCAGUUGGAGAUUCAAGUUGCUAGGGCCAAGGUGAGAAAAGAACGCUUGAUUUCUUUUGUGGGAGGCUUUAGUUCAAUAUAACUGAAUUUUGGUAGACUGCAGAUGUUAGAACGGAAUUUUCCUAUCUUAUUGUGCUAGAAAAUAAGUUACAGUUCAUGAAUGCAAAGCUAGAUAGAUUGUAUGCAAAACCUCGAGGCUAGUGUGAACAAACUACACAAUCCUGAUAUUCUUUUUCAAGGAAUUAAUAAGACCAGCAAGCUUGCUAACAAGUUUAUUCAUAAUCAAAUUAUGCAUCACAUUGUUAAUACUCCUAUUCAUAACACAGAGCACACAAGUCUUACACUCAAAAAUAUGAUAUUUGUCUGCUUUUGCUGCAGAAGAUAACAAUUUCAGAUGUCAAGUGUUGGCAGUGAUUCCAAUUGACUUGCGUAAGAGCGUUAGUUGAAACAUCAAACAAAAAGGUGGUCUCCUGCCUCCCUAAUUCUUUCCUUGUGGAUAAGAAUCUCCCCAACUCUUUAACUUCAUGCACUUUGCUUGCGGCUUUUUGAGACUUGCAUUGCAAGCGUUUUUGUGAGUACCUCCAAUUGUGUGCUCGAUCUAUCCACCUUUUCCUGCAGAAAUGCAUCUAGUUCAGCAAAAUCAAGGCUUCAGGUGCUUCCAUUACUUUAAAAAAUAUUUGUUAUUGCCAUAUUUUCUGUUGAUUAUAACUUAUUGUGAAGAUUGAGUCUGUAUAUGAUAUAACAAAAGAAAAAAGAACAGGGUUAUUCACCACAUCACAUGGCAGUAUCUUGUGGCCGUUUGUUGGCUAAAGUCAGUUUAGUGAGAGAGCAUUUCUGUGAUGAAAGCAUACCGUGGGUAAGACGCACUUGAUAUGAGUAAUCAAUGGGCAAGGGCAUUCAUCACAGACGGAAGCACCCAGUUUCAGGUCCGUUUCUCUCAAAGGUUACAAUAGUACUCACUGGCAUCGUCUUCAAUUAACGUAGUGUAGAGUGUGAGUUGAUGGAGGUGAUGGCGAUCUUUAUUGUUGGUGUUAACCGUGGAAGGCAAUCAUGGUUGACAUAAAGAUUGCACUACACAAGAAUGUGAAAGCCGAAUGUGCAAAAUUUACCGGACACUGCAUAGGAAGCAUGGUUCGGCAGAUCUGAUAUAAGAGAGUAUAUGCUCAAGAAGCUGAUGUUUCAAAGUGGGCCUUUCAAAAGUGCAUGGAAUGUUGAAGUCGAAGUUGCAUUCUGCAUAGUGAAAGACGGCGUCAACGCUCUUCAGGACAUGCGUCAGUGAGCCUUCCUUCCUGAUACGGGAAGAAGUGGAUGUGCCAGGGUGAACAGGGUGUUGCAUAACUGAGGGCAAUUCAGCACAUGAUUUACGGAGCAGAAAAGAGCAGCUCUGCUCCAGGCAGGCAUGGGCUAAACCUUUAACAUAUUAAUCACGAGCCUUGCUCGCACCAUCCUUCAUUCGACCCUGCUCCAGUGGCAACGGAUGAUAGUGAAUUGGAGAAAGAAGAGGCAAACCAGACAAGCGUAGACCCCACCUAGUAUGCUGCUCUAUUCUCAGCUUUACACCCAGAUUCUGGUUUCAAGCUUCACGUGGAAGGACACCAGUAGAUGCUGAUGGGCGAAAUGGUUAAAAAGGGAAAAAGAAAAAAACUGAGCCUUUCUCGGCCUUCAGAUGUUGUGAACAUAGAGUUAUAGCCACGCAGUCCACGUCAAGGCUGAAAUUGCAUUCGCUGCAAGGGGGAAACCAGAUGGCAGGCAUUACAUUGGAGGUCUACCGAUUGAUCGAAAGCAAGAAAAAGGGUUGAUUAUGAAGGGAGGGGUGUCGCUUCUCUGGGGUAGAUUCGGUGCAGCUCUCCUGAACGAAGAAUAUGCGCCGUGUAGCAUCCAUAGACCUCCUCGCAGGCUUUGCAUUUGAUUCUACUUUUCGUGCCAAAAUGGAGGGAUGUGAGCAGAUGCGAAUGAGCAAGAUGCAGGAUGGAUUCUCAGAAUCCCCAUCAGGCUUAGUUGUGACUAGGCAGACGAAGCAAUAUCCGGCCAUGCACUAACGCUCAACCAUCCGAAUGGCAAGAAGGAAGCCUGUUCACACACAUGGUAACUCCGAUGAUCCUCCUCAUCGUUGGCAGCUGGGCAGUCAAGGCGGGGCAGUGGGUGAGACAGGUGUCCUAGUGUGGACAGCAUGCUAAAUUCGGCAUGACUCGUAAAAGAAGAAACGGCGCGAUUCACAGUGGUGAGCUGAGCUGCGGAUUGGAGAUCAGCACGCAUGACAUUCCAAGCAAGUACAGGCUUCUUCGCUCAGGUUUCGCAGAAUCAAUACAUGAUCACCAAGGAAAAUUAGGAAAUAAAAAUGCGUUUUGAAUGGAGUUAUAGUUGUUAUCAACACGAAGUAAAUGUGGUGAAAUUAAUUGAGUUAAUGCCUUGAAAAACCCCAAACUGAUACACCUAUAACAAAUUUAUGCUAAAAUAAUUUUUUGAUCAUAAAAAACUUCAAACCGGUACACAUUUGACAAAUUUACCCCAAAUCUGUAUAUUUGUGACAAAUUUACCCUCUGUUGAUUUCCGUUAAAUUUUACUAUCGAAUUACUAAAUUAAAGGACACGUGAAAGUUGACUGGUGUAUCGAUUUGUAAAAUUUUUUCUCUGUUUGUCGCAGUUAUACAAUUUUUGUAAUAUUUUGUAGUAUUAUUCCAAUUUAACGGAUGACAUAUUUAUCACAAAUGUGUCAGUUUCAGGUUUUUGGUGAUCGAAUAAAUUAAUUUAGGAUAAAUUUGUCACAAGCAUAUCAGUUUGGGAUUAUUUAUGAUCGGUUAUGGUAAAUUUGUCACAGGUGUACUAGUUUAUAAUUUUUCAUGGUCAAAAAAUUAAUUUAAGAUAAAUUUGUCAUAUGUGUAUCAGUUUGGAGCUUUUCAGGAUAUUAACCCAAAUUAAUUUUACCGCACUCCCACAUCAUUUGAUGUUGUGUUUCAGUGCUAAUUUGUACAAUUUUUUUUAAUGCUUUAAUGCAAUGGUUAACGAAACUAAAGUAGCCCAUGAAAAGUUUCAUAUCUUGUUCAUUUAAAGUCAGCUGCAACAAUCUGACCAAAAAAUUAAAAUCAGCCACAACUAUAAUUAAUUUUCCAUAAAUUAACCAAUAAAUAAAACUCCAAACAUUGGUUAAGAUCAUAAAGGUGCAUCACCUUGGGCUAGUCUAUACAUUUAUUAGAAAUUCUUAUCCAACUUACUAUGAAUGUUACUUACUUAACACAAUAUUGCAAUGACUUUUUUAUAAAUUACUAAAGUGGAAUUAACUUGACAUGACUUUAUAGUUUAUAAAACUAAAUUCACCUUAUAUGUAAAAGUAAAGCUUACAUAUGCUGGGUCAUGUCAUUUUUCUGAGGGAAAAAAAAACUCUCUCUCUCUCUCUAUGAGAGUUUCCAAAGGGUCUCAAGGGAGGCUUCGAUGUUCACACAAAUAUGGCUGGGCCAUGCGGUAUUACAUGAUAAUCUUAUGUCUACUCGUGGGCAAAAAUGGGACUACCGUGAAAGUUGGGGUUUUUUUAAACAAAAAAAAAACAAUUCGAGGCAAAAUUAAGAUUUUCCUGAAGUUUUGCUCUGCGACACUUUAAAUUUCUUUACAACAUUAUUUCACAAUUUAAAAACCUCUAGAAUCAGUCCAACAACGUAAAAUCCAUACAAAACCUAAUUUACAGUUUAACUAAGAAAACUUCUUCAAUUAGAUAAAUAAAAGUUUAAAAUCCUAACCAAUUACUAAGAAAUAUAAAUAAUCCGGCUUGACCCAGCCUCUCAAACGUGCAUGUAGCGAGAGCCCCUCGUCUCAUCUUGGCCAGACUCUGUUCUCUCUCUCUCUCUCUCUCUCUCCAUUUGCUCUAGUUAUUCCUUCGCAAUGGCAUCAACUGAAGCAAGACCAAAGAAAGUGCUAAACGAGACACUUGGGCUUGGGCUUAAUGUUUUGCUCUUAUUUAUAAUUUUUUGCCAGCCUGGUUAUUGCAACUUUAAUAGGAAAGUUCAAAGGCGUUCCUCCACUCCAGUGGUGAAGGCAGGGACAGCAGACUGGCAUAAAAGACGACAGCCUGAAACUGGAGGGAUCAUUGUCAAUUUGGAGUCUGCUCCGGUUUCAGACAGUCGUCCUUUAUGCCACUAUGCAUAAAAAGAACCUCAACAAUUGUUACUAGAAGAAGAACGGUCAAUUGUAGUAGCUAUAUUAAUCAAAUAUUAUUCUUGACAUUGAAGCUUCUAACCACUUUGAAAACAUUAUGAGUGUUAUAGACUUCCUUCUUUUUCCAAUAAAUUUCUCGAGAAAAUUACAAAAAAAAAAAAAAAAUCUUAACUCUUUUAAUGAUUUGUUUCUCAGCUAAUUUAGCUUGAAAAGUGCUUAUGUGAAUGUCAAAUAAGCAACUCCCAUCCUACUUGGCCGGAUUGGCAAAAGGCCGACGCUAACAUAAUCACUAGAGAUCAAAACGGCGGCGUUUUCCACAAUAAUUUUAAAAGAAAAAAAUCAUCGCUGAGCUAUUUUCUUAUCCAAAUCCUCAAACGCUCACCGACCCCUCGUCCAAAGAAUUCUAACCUGAAUUCAAUGAGAUCUCACUCAAAUCUCUUCAAAUCUCAACUCAAAUCGAACCAUUCUUGCUUGAACCUGAGUCGUUUCUUUCCACAAUUAGGAGAAAAUGCAGAUGUUUUCUCCCAUCCCAAAAGAGUUAUUUUAUAGUAUAAGUUUAUAACCCCAUAACUGCUUUGCUUAAUUAGAGCAGAUUCUAAAUGUGAGGCUAUAAUGGUAAACAUGGGAUAAGACAUCAAAAUUUGAGAUUUUGCUCAUACAGAAUAUUAAUAGAUAAAAUAGAAAUACGAAUAAUCUGCAGCAUUAAUUUUUUUUACUUUUGAGAAUACUUUUAUCCCGAUAAAAAGGAAAUUGAAAAUUCUCAAUACGAAUAGAAAUUUUAAAAUCAAGCUUUAUCGUAUGCCAAUUUGAACAUUUUGACAGUAACCGGUGCUAUUUUCCCUUUUGACCGAACCAUUUUUUACGCGACCUUUCUCGUUCUAAAGGAUGCAUUUGCAAAACUGAAAUUGAUUCCCAAAGGAGCAUGGAAAAAAGCGUUUUCCGAAGGAUUUCAUCAAUAUACGAAAAUCGACGGUCGCGAUUGUUUUGGCGUAGGAACCAAAACUAGAGACAGCUUAUACGGUGGCAUGGUAUGGGAAGUCGCCACGUGGCGCGCCGUGGAGCUUGGCCUUUCAGCUUCUCUGCUGGGGCACUUCCGACUCUGAUAGAGAGAGAGAGAGUGGUCGCCGGACGCUGGUGGUUGGCGACGGCGGAAGAGAGGAUGGCCGUGGCGGCGAGCCUCUGCAACCGCAUCCCCUCUCCGUUCCUCGGCGGCUUCCCUCCUCCUCCUCCUCCUCCUCCUCAUCCCCUCGCCGUCGGUCUCUCUCUCUCUCUCUUCGUUUCUAGAGUUUCGAGCUGACUGCGCGUCUUCCAUGGAGUUCGCUUUUUACUGUCUUCAUGUUGCGGAAUCUUCUUGAACGAAUCCGAAUGUUUUGCCAGAAAAGCUGAUUCCUUUCUUGUGUUUCGCGCGCCUGCUUCUUCAAUCUCACGACGAUUUCUCAUUUUCUCCUUCUUCUUCUUCUGCACCUGCGUUUUUGAAUGGAGGAGUUGUCGGUUGAUGAUCGGAGAAUGUGAUGCUGUCGCCCAAAUCCAAACCCCUCGCUCGCUCGCGCAGUCGCCCGAAUCUCCCCCGAACCUCAACUCAAAUCUCCCCCAAACCAUAGGAAGCACAGUUCGGAAGAUCAAAAUUAAGAAAGAGUAGAUGCUCGUGGAGGAGAUGUUUCGAAGUGGGCCUUUCAAAAGUGCAUGGAAUGUUGAAGUCGUAGUCACUUUCCAUGCAGCGAAAGACAGAGCGUCUACACUCUUCACGGCAAAUGUCGACAGCGCUCCUUCUGAUGCAAGAAGAAAAAGGAUGUGCGGGGUAAUUUAUCGAAAAACAAUUACGUAUAAUAUGAUGCACCGUAAGCUAUGUGGAUAAGGUUCACCAAAGUAGUAGUUACAAUUAAACUUGUAUUUUUAUUAUCUUUGAAUAAAACUCAAUUUCAGUUUAAAAAAUUUAAUAAUUGUCCACAUUGUUUAUCUUGAAAACAAAAUAUAGAUCUAAGUUGUUAUAGACCUAGUUCACAUAUACAACCUAUGGCUUCCGCUAGUUAGACUAAAUUUAGAUGCAUAGGUCAAAAGUUGGCAUUUGUAUAAAUUAUGGCGACUAAGAUCCAUGAGAACAUUUCAAGAAAGGACAAACAAAAUAGGGAGGUACUCUUUCGAGUAAUUAUAAGUAAACCAAUUGAAAUGUUAGAAAGAACUACAUUUGAAAAAAGGAAAACCAGAGCAGUGUAGAGCUCAUAUAAAAAGGUUCUUGGAAACCAUUCUACUCUAACCUAACUUUACUAGGAACUAUAAUAGUAAGAUUGUGAACUAAGUAGUCCUAACAAUGACACACGACACACAACAUAUCAUUUUUCAAAAAAUAGAGAAUUUCCACAUGUCAUGACAUGUUGUAUAUAAAAUGAUAACUUUUUCUUCAUUAUUUUGAUUUGAUAAAUUCAAUUGCAUUCCAUUCCAAUAAUCCAUAAAAGUUGAAGGAAGAAAAAUCAAACAAUCCACAUUCCACUAUUAAAUUUAAUAUUUAACAAAAAGUAGAAAAAUAAUAAUAAUACACGUUCCACCAUCAAAUAUAACAAGAAGUCUUUCUUUCCCCAUUUUUUUUUUUUUUUUAUAUAUAUAUUUACAUUUUGACCUAUCAUUUAUUGAAAAUUUUGAAAUUAACCUCAUGCAUAUCAAAAUCACGUGUCGAAAUUCCAUACUCACAUGUCAAGAGACUUGACCAUGUGUCGGAUUUUUCGACACUCAUUCAUCACGUGUUGGAACGUAUCGGAGUGUCAAACACAACACGAAGGCUUCAAUAUUUCUUAAAUUGUGAACCAAAUUCUAGUAGUACAAUUGCUUUUGCUGCCAAUGUCAUCUCAGUAGCAGAAAAGCCAUGGAAAGAUCGGGAGGUACAUUACAUACUUCAAAACACCAACUUACCCGAAACAAAUAAAUUGCAACGAAUAUCAGAACUUCUGGAUCAAAUUAUUCCCUCCGACUUAUCAUUCACGAGGAAAGGAAAGGCAUGAGGAGAAUCAGAAACGCAAUGUGGUCAUAGCAAAACCAAUCGCAUAAUGACAAGUUAACAGGGAACAUGCAAGAGCAAUUUAGCAUAAAUAUUGCAGUACUUUCGGCUAGUUUCGGGAAACGAAACACAUUCCAGAGAACAUGAAGCAUCCCAGAACGUCUUAUUCUCUUUUGUUGUCUACACUGCAUAAUCUGAAUAAUCAUAAUUUACGGCUUAAUUACGAAAAUUCCUGCACUUAGAUAAAUAAAAGUUGUUGCUACCAGCUAGAAUUAAUCCGUCUUGUCGAGUUCUCCCAAGCGUGCAUGGAGGGAAAGCCCCCUUUGUUUCCUCUCUCUCUUUUUCACCGUUUCUUUCCUUCUUUUCUUUUCUUUUCUUUUUUGUUCUUCUUGGCUAGGCUCCGUUUUCUCUCCUUCUUUCUGCUCUUGUAAUUUCCCUUGCAAUGAAGCAAGACUAAAGAAAGGGCUAAAACGAAACACUUAGGCUUGGGCUUAGGCUUGGGCUUAAUGUUUUGCUCUUAUUUAUUAUUUUUUGCAAGCCCGUUUCUUGCAACUUUAUUCAUGAAGAUAAAUAUAUUAGGGUAUUAUGUGCUGAUGGAUCCUAUGCGAAGUGAGGAUAAGGUCACUCGAAAUUAAAGUUGGGCAUAUAACUUUUUUAUGAAAAAUCAUAAAUCUAUUAUAUUUAUGUCAAUUCAGUCAUUUUGACUAAUUUUCAUUAGAAAUUACUGAUAUGGACAUUAGUUGUCCUGCAUGGCACACCUUGCCCUAAUAUGGAUAAUUUUUUUAUAGUAAUUCAAUUUUUUUAUUUGUUAUUCUUUUUAUUCUUUUUUUUCUCUCUUUUUUCUCAUCACCCAGUUCUUCCAUCACCAUGUUCCAAGACAUGGAUUUUUCUUCUCUUGCAUGAGAAAACUCGAAACUUUCAUUCCCUGCUCUAGAAGAAUUCAUCGAUCCACAAGGCAGAUAUCGACAUGCUCCCAAAAUACCUACCUCCACUGAUGUAGACGAACAUGGAAAACAAAAAAGGACUCAUGUUACUGAAGCCAUCUUGAAUUGGCAAUUGGAGACUUUGUUGGCACACAACAAUGCGUUCAAAAUCACCUAGGUGAGGGUCGCCGUUGCCCACCAUAGGCUAGGCUAGGCUAGGCCAAGUGAGAUCGAUCCUAAGAAAGACUGCCUUGGCUUGGGCAAGGCCUUACGAGGGUUAGCCUCGCCUAGGCCAAAUUUGGUGAGGCUAGCUCGCUCGGCUAUUGCCUAUGAUUAGCAAAAGGAGGAAGAAAGGAAAAGAAAAAAAGAAAAAAAUUAGAGAAAAUAAAAAAUAUAUAUUAAAUUAUUAUUAAAAUUUUUCCAUGGCCAUCCAAUCAGUAUUUAGUCAAAAUUAACCAAAAUAAUUAAAUUUAUACAAUUAUAAGGUUUAAGACUAAAUUAAUAUAAAUGCGAUAAGCUUAUGGCUUUUCUCCCUUGUCAAUAUAAACAUUUGAUAUUUAUUUUUUUCAUGGAAAGUGACACGGAUAUCAAUUUAAUAAUCUUUCUUUUGACAUCAAUCUAAUACUCUUUAUUUUUUAACGUCCCCCAUGCAUUCACGUGCUUCAAAGUUGUGUCUCGACUUUUUUUAUUUUACUUCUUCGAGAAAAUAUUAUAUAAACUUAUAAGUAAUCCGAUGGAUGGAAGAAAUCAAUUAAAAUACGUUAUUAGUCUUUUUCAGUCCUAAUUUAUAUUGAUUACAUAUAUCCGUGAAAUGUAAUUAUUUGAUCUAGCAAACUUAGUUUAUGUAAUACUUGCCCGCGGGAUAAUUAUAAAAAGGGUUUUAAAUCUAUUGUACUUAUGAUAAUUUAGUUUUAAACCUUUGAAUUUGACUAAUUAAGUCCUCAACUUUUUGACAAUUUGUCAAUUCAGUUCUAAAUAUUUCAAUCGGGUCACUUUAGCUCUAGUCAUUUUGAUAGUCACAUCGACGUUGCCUAAACCUCGAUGUCAACGAUUUCCAAUUAAAAUGGUCCAAAAGGAUUAAAUUGGUCAAUCGUAAAAAAAUUUAUGACUCUAUUAAUACAAUAUAAAGGCUUAUGACUUAAUUGACACAAAUUUAAUAAGUUUGAACUUUUUUUUUUUUUUGGGUAACUUCUCCCUUGCCCGUACUUCUUACAUAUUCUUCUCCCUCGAGAUAACCUUAAAAAUGUUAACGAUUAAAUAAGUGUAAGUAUCAGCUCUCCAACAACUUAGUGUCGUUGGCAAAAAAUAAUAAAAUACUAACUAAAAAAGUGAGUGUGACCGAACUACAUAGCUUUUGGAUCUUAGGCAGCUUUUUCCGUGUUGGCAUCUUAUUUUAAGUUUUGCGGCUAUAAAUAAUUCAGACGGUAUCUUCUUUACCAAAAAAAUAAUAAUUCAGACGGUAUCUUGACCCAUUGGAGUCGCCUGGAGACAUCACAUGCUCUUCUGUAAGGGCAGCACGCUUGUGAGCUGAGAGAAAGAUCCAAUCUCUAGGCCUCGAACGCGGAACAGUACUGAGAAUAUUUCUCCCGCUUAUAUCUUCUUCUGCUCAUGAUUAGAGAAAUAUUCCUACAUCUAUAUCUUUUACGAAUAGGUUAUAAAUUAUCAAAAUUACGGGAAAAAUACCAAAAUAAUCCUAAACUUUUUGCAUUGGUACCCAAUUCAGUCAUAAACUUUUUAAUUGGAUCAUUUUAGUCUCAAAUAUUUUUGUAUUGAUACCAAUUCAAUUUAUCCGGCUAAUUUAAACCGUAAAUUGUUGACGUAGCUGCCAGCGGUCUUAUGUGGCGCCAUGUGGACAUUUAUAUAUUUUUAUAUUUUUUUCAGAUUUUUUAAAUUAUUAUUUUCCUUUCUUCCUUUUUUUCUUUUUUUCUUUUUUUUCCUUUUCUUUUCUCCUUACUCCUUGGUCCGCGAGGUCACUGGCCAGCCGACCAUCAUCAGCCAUAGGUUGGUUGGGGCGAGGGGCCUCGCACCCUCCCUAGCCCCCGCCCAAAUCUAGGCGAGGGCCUCUGUGCCCUCGUUGGCCACAGACGAGGGUGCAGCUAGGGGUGAGCAUGGUCCGGGUUGGUCCGGGCCACCCCCUAACCCUAGGACUAACCCGUAUAGUGUCGGUCCUCAAUUUUUAGGACCGAUGACCGACCCUAUUGAGCCUGGGACCAAGGACUGGACCGACCCAAUGGGUUCGGUCCGGUUCCAGGGUUAACCCGGAACCGAUCGAUAAUUUUUUUCAUCUUUUUUUUCAUACUUCCUAAAAAAGUAAACCUACAAAAGUAUCUCAAUCAAUGUAUGAAAUUAACAAUGUGGCAUAUAAGACGAAAAGAAGUAUCUCAAUAAUUUUUUUUCGUCUUGUAUAUACAUAACUAGAUCUAAUGAAUUUUUUUCAUCAUGCAUAUACAUAACUAGAUCAAACACAAAGCUUCCCAGGUUCUUUUCCAACAGUAGAUAAGCCACUAGGAUAGAAGGAAAAAACAGGCCUAACGUCUAUCUAAAUGCCCGCAUUCCAAAAUUGCAAGAGCCAAAGUGAUUUGAAUAGAAUAUACAGCGCAAGUCCCCCUGUUGUAAGUGAGAAACUUAAAAAACAAACAGAAAAAUGCGUUCCCAAGUGAGUAAUUAAAACAGAUAAAAAUGCCAAGGAAUGUACCUCCAUUGAGAGCCAACCUAUUGAUCAGCAAAGUAAUUCAAUUGCUGCACUGGAAAAGACAACGGAAUUUACAUCAUAUGGGCCUGACUAUGAUGAAGUUGAUUGUUCUUCUCAAGACGUCUAGCAUUGGGAAUGUUUGACAAUGGCGUUCAUGUUCACCCAUCAUCAAAUGCUUUUCAGAAAAUCCUUUGCAGAGCAAAGGAGAAGAUACUUCAGGUAGCUUUCAUACACUUGCAGCCAUGUUCCUCAGUCAGCAAGCCGUCCCUCCGUUAUUUGCAUGUAAGAAGCAGAGCAAAUAAACCAAAUAUGUAAUCGACCUGUGGUGAUAAUCUGAGUACACAGCUCAACCCAAAUAUUCUCCACUACUGAUUCAAAUACCAUCCACUUCAAGCUAUGCCUCUUCUUUGAAAUAUCUAUGGUGAAUAGGACAUUGUAAGGAUUAGAUUGUGAAAAAAGAAGGUGUAUAACAGAAAACUAGGAUCUCUCUCUCAAAGCACAUACACAAUAGGCUAAUCAGGAUUUAUGACAUAAUAUACUUCAUUACAAAGUAAAGUUAUUGCUAUUAACAUCUAUUUAAUUCAAUAUCAUCCUUAGACUGCUUAAUCAUUUGUAUGAAUUUCACCUAUUUGAAUAACAUUAGGCACCAAAAGCACUAACAAACGAGUAUACAUACCAGUUAAAUACACAGACUUCGUACCGAACCUAGAUAUAUGAGGAUCAAAAUCCACCUUCCACCUGUCCAAAUAUUUGCUGUCUUGGCAGGUUCGAUAUAGUGAACUGUCUCCCAGAUUUAAAACAACUUCAUUAAUGGGACAUGAGACUCAGUGAGAUGACGAUUGGAAGGAAACUUGGCAGUAAUCUGAUUUACUCUGCAUCACAUUUCAGAUGAAAAAGUGGACAGAUCUCAGAGACAAUGGAGAGUUCUUCUAGAAAAGGAAGAAGUUCCAUCUGUCACGAGAUAUUUGACCCAAAAUUCCAUCGUUGCUACAUCUGCAGAAAAACCCCUUUCAACCAUUUCACCGACAAGUUGCGUGGCUCUAGUAUUUUUGUUAUCUCUUAGUAGUCUUUUGGAUGAUUGUGUUAUAAGUGACCCCAUCUGGGAGGUCAUAGGGACUAAUACCCAGCCAAACCAAUCACGUACACGAAGCAAACAUGGAAAAAAAAAAUCAACACAAAAUCAAGAGCAUACAUGAGGUUGAAGAUCUCAAAUGAAGCACAAAGUAGAACUCACUAGCCAAGUUGUGUUCGGAAAGCAAGGGCAAGCCGAGCGUUAGGGUUUCUAAUUAGGGCUUCUACUUUUCCUUCUAAUUUACUCGGCGAUAAGCGAGGUGACCGGCGCGAGUGGCGAGCGGCAAGUGCGAGCAUCGAGUGGGGCGAGCGUCAACUAGCGAGCGGCAAGAGUUGAGCGAGGCCAGCGGCGAGCGGCGAGCGUUAAGCAAGGCUAGCGGUGAGUGGCGAGUGGCGAGGGUUGAGCGAGGCUAGCAACGAUAGCAAAGGGCGAAUAGCAAGCGGCGAGCGGCGCGAGCGGCUCGGGCAACCAGAGGCGAGCAAGGAUGUCGCUACUUUUGAUUUUGGCAAAUUUGAAGAACAAAUAAGACAAAAUGGAAGAGAACAUACUUUGGAGAAGGAAGCCGCGAGGAGAUUUACAGCGUAGACUUUGCAGUUUGGACCGUUUGGACGUUGCGAGUCCGUGACUGUGANNNNNNNNNNNNNNNNNNNNNNNNNNNNNNNNNNNNNNNNNNNNNNNNNNNNNNNNNNNNNNNNNNNNNNNNNNNNNNNNNNNNNNNNNNNNNNNNNNNNNCGGCAUAAACUUCACGCCUUUUGGAUGCUGUUUGUUCGUGACAGUGAGCUGAGGAGUCAACAACUUCAACAUAAUUUUACUUAGGUUUGACCGUUUGAAUAUAUAAAAGAAUUAUUCCUUACCAAAAAAAUAUAUAAAAGAAUUAUAAAUAAUAUUAUAUAAAUAAUAUACAGAGUUGGUCCGGGUUGGACCGACCCAAAACUCUUAGGACCGAGGACCAACCCGCACAGUGUUGGUCCUGAAAUUUCAGGACCAAAGAUCGACCCAGUCCCCUUGGGAACCGGACCAGGACCGGCAGGGUUGGGCCGGUCCAGGAUCGGUCCAGGGUCGACCCUAAACCGCUGCUCACCCCUAGGCGCAGCAGCCCUCACUCUUGGCAGGCGAGGGUGCAGCGGCCCUAGCCCAGAUCCAAGCGAGGGCACGACGUCACAGGCGAGGCCGCCGUGGCCCUUGCCUGGAUCUAGGCGAAGGCCCAAUGGCCUCGCUCGUGGCGAGCAAGGGCCAUGAAGGCCUCACCUAUGGCGCCGUGCCCUUGCCUGGAUCUGGGCGAGGGCUGAUGCACCCUUGCCUGCCACAGGCGAGGGCUGUCGUGCCCUUGCCUGUGGCCGAGGAGGGCGCAAAGGCCCUCGCCGACCAAUAGGUGAGGGUUUGGACCCUCGCUUGGAUUUGGGCGAUGGUUAACGCCCUCACUUGUGGCCGAUGAGGGUGCGGCGGCCCUUGCUAGUGGCAGGUGAGGGCGCGGGGCCCCUCGCCUUGACUAGCCUGUGGCCGGCAAUGGUCGGCCGGUUGACGACCUCAUCCGCCAAGGGGUAAGGAGAAAAGAAAAAAAAAGAGAAAAAAAUAAUUUAAAAAAUUUGAAAAAGAAUUAUAAAAUUUGUUCAGGUGGCGCCACAUAAGACCAUGAAUGGUGAUGCACCUUGCAGUGACUAGAAAUUGGGAUAUGUUGUUAUCGAAGAGAUUGAAGAUGACCUCAACAAUUGUUACAACGAGUAGAAUGGUCGUUUCUAGCAGCCAUAUAAGGGGUAGUAAUUGUUCUUGAGGUUAAAGCUCCUGACCUCUUUGAAAACAUUGUUGAGUGUUGCAGAUUUCCUUCUUUUUUCUCGUGAAUUUCUUUGUAGCUUUCUGUUUGGCCAGUGGGUGGAUAUGUGUCGUUUUACAUUCUUUGCUGGUGUACUAUGUUCUUGUUCAUUUAUCCAUGGGAUAACUUGAUGCCUUGGUGAUGCGAGCACAGCUACAAUUUCAAAAGCUUUGAUCUAACACUAACAUCAUCGAGUGAUUCAAAUCAAAAUGAAACAUGUCAGCUUUUUCCAUCUCUCGCAUAUACACCAUUAUUGCUUACUAGCUAUUCCGAUGAUAAUAUAGGUGGUCUGUCAUUGCAGAAUGUGGGAGUCGUUACAUCAUGUAGUCUUCAUUUUCCCUCUGCGAGGCAACAGCUAGAUCUUUGCUGUGGCAAAUGCAUUAAGUUGCAAUCAAAGACUAUGUUGUCUCCCUGGCUGAUUAAAAUUCAAGCUGCCGAGGCCAAGGUAAGAAAAGAACGCUGAAAUGUUGAUUUUUUUUUUUUUUUUCUGCUGUAGGCUUUAGUUCAAGAUUACUGAAUUUUGGCAGACUGUAGAUGUUAGAACCGAACUUUUCCCAUCUUCAUUUGCUGUAGAAUUUACAGUUCAUGUAUGCAAAGCUAGAUAGAUAGUAUGCAGAUGCUCGAGACAAUUCUGUACAAACUACACUCAUCUGAUGUUCAUAUUUGUGGAAAUAAUUAGACCAGCUAGCUUCCUGACAAGUUGAUUCAUAAUCAAAUUAGGCAUCCCAAUGUUAAUACUUUGAUAAAUGACAGAGCACAAAAGGCUUGCACUUCAAAAAUAUGAUAUUUGUCUGUUUUUACUGCAGAGAACAACAAUCUUGGAUGUCGACGUAGCAGUGAGUCCAAUUGACUUGCAUAAAAACGUAAGUCGAAACAUCAAACAGAAGGGUGUUCUCGUGACUCCCAAAUUCUUUUCGUCUUGAUAAGGGCAUCCCCAACUCUGCAACUAAAUGCACUUCGCUUGCGGCUUUCGGAGACCAGCAUUACACGUCUUUUCUUGAGUACCUCCAAUUAUGUGCCCACUUUUUCCUGCAGAAUUUCAACUUUUUCAUCUAGUUCAGGCUGUUCAGCAAAAGCAGGGUCUUCAGUUAUUUGCACUAUUCUAGCAACUUGUAUUAAACACUGUUUGGUAUUAGCGCAUUUUCUGCUGAUUAUUACUUAUUGUGUAGAUGAGUCUAUAUAUAUGAUGUUAAAAAGGAGCAUGGCUAUUCACCACAUCACAUGGCAGCAUCUUGUAUCCAGUUUUGGCUAAAGGCUGUUUAGCAAGAGAGCACUACUGUGAUACAAGUGCACCAUGGUAAAACACAUUUGAUAUGAGUAAUCAAUGGGCAAGGGCAUUCAUCAGUCAUAAGCACCCAGAAUUGUGUUCCUUAUGAUAUUACGAAGGGCACAAUGGUACUGCUCACUGGUAUUAUCUUCGAUGAACAAAGCAUAAAGUGUGAGUUGAUGGAAUUUAAUGGAAAUUUUUUACUGUAGUGGAAGGCAAUCAGUGAUGAUUAAGAUUGCAUUGCACACAACUGCAAAAGCCGAAGCUGCACAAUUUACCACAGACACUUCAUAGUAGCAUGGUUAGGUAGAUUUAAAAUGAGAAAGAGUAUAUGCUUGCGGAGGUGAUGUUUCAAAGUGGGCCCUUUAAAAGUGCAUGGAGUGUUGAAGUCGUCACUUCCGUGCAGUGAAAGACAGAACAUCCAUGCUCUUCGUGACAUAUGUCAACAGUGCUCCUCAUACGAGAAGAGAAAGGAUGUGCAGGGUGAGCAGGCCGUUGCAUCUGAGGGCAAUUCAGCACAUAAUUUAUGGAGCAGAGAAGAGCAUCUCUGUGCUGCAUGGCAAUACGCUAAACAUUUGACACAUUCGACACAAGCCUUGCACGCACCAUCCUUCUAUGGCAGUUCCAGUGGCGGAGAAUGAUAGUGCAGUGGAGAAAGAAGAGGCAAUCAAGACAACCGUGGACCUCACCUAUAUGUUCCAUUCACAAGCUUCACACCCAAUUUUGCAGUCAAGCUGUGUGUGGAAGACCAGUGGAUGCUGAUGGUCGAAAUGGUAAAAAACCGAGUCCUUUGUGCCUCCAGAAGGACAACUAGCUAUUCUGAUGAUAAUAUUGUUUGUGUUUGUCGUUACAGAAUGACAGAUUGGUUACGUCAUAUAGUCAGCACUUUACCUUUGAGAGGUGAGAACUAGAUCUUUGUUCCGGCGAAUGCAUCAACUUGCUUCAGCAAAUAAGAUUUAUAAAGACAGCGACUUCUUUUGUGAUGUAUCCUGUUUGUAUCCAGAAGCUCUUAGAUCUGAAUAAUGCAAGCUAAGACUAUGUUGUCUCACUGGUUGAUUGGUUUUCACCCAGGAGCUAGAAUUGUUGCUUCAGUCAGAGAUUCAAGUUGCCAGGGCCAAGGUGAGAAAAGAAUGCUGAAAUAUAGAUUUCUUUUUUGGGAGGCUUUAGUCCAAUAUAACCGAAUUUUGGUAGACUGCAGAUGUUAGAACAGAACUUUUCCCAUCUUCAUGUGCUGGAAAAGAAUUUACAGUUCAUGAAUGCAAAGCCAUAUUGAUAGGAUGCAAAAGCUUGAGUCUAGUCUGUUCAAACUACACCUGUCUGAUAUUCAUUUUCGAGGAAAUAAUAAGACCGGCAAGCUUCCUGACGAGUUGAUUCACAAUCAACUCAUGCAUCCCAAUUUUAGUGCAUUAAUUCAUAACAUGAAGCAAACAAGUCUCAUACCCAAAAAUAUGAUAUUUAUCUGCUUUUGAUGCAGAGAAUAACAAUAUCAGAUGUCGAGUGUUAGUAGUGAUUCUGAUUGACUUGCUUGAGAACGUAAGUUGAACUAUCAAACAGGAAGGCUGUCUCCUGCCUCCCCAAUUCUUUUCCUUCUGGAUAGUGCCUCCCCAACUCUGCAACUACAUGCACUUGCUUGCAUCUUUUUGAGACCAGCAUUGGCCCGUUAUUUUUUUUUUUUUGGUAAAUACCAUAUUUUCUGUUGAUUAUAACUUAUUGUGGAGAAUGAGUCUAUCUAUGAUGUUAAAGAAAGAAGAAGAACAGGGCUAUUCACCACAUCACAAGGCAGCAUCUUGUAUCUCUUUGUUGGCUAAUUGUCAGUUUUGUGAGAAAGCACUUCUUUGAUGAAAGCAUACCAUGGGUAAAACGCAUUAGAUAUGAGUAAUCAAUGCACAGGGGCAUUCAUCAGAGCUGGAAGCACCUAGAUUCAGUCUUUUUUCUCUCAAAGGUCACAAUAGUACUCACCGGCAUGAUCUUUGAUGGACGAAGUGUAUAGUGUGAGUUGAUGGAGGUGAUGGUGAUAUUUUAUUUUCGGUGGUAAUUGUGGAAGGCAAUCAUGAUUGACAUUAAGACUGCACUGCACAAGAAUGUGAAAGUUGAAAGUGCAAAAUUUACCAGACAAUGCAUAGGAAGUGCACAUCAGUAGAUCUAAUAUAAGAAAGAGCAUAUGCUCUUGGAGGUGAUGUUUCAAAGUGGGCCUAUUAAAAGUGCAUGGAAUGUUGAAGUCAAAGUUGCAUUUUACGCAGAGAAAGACAGUGUCAAUGCUCUUCACGACAUGCGUUAGUGAGCGUUCCUUCCUGAUAUGGGAAGAAGUGGCUGUGCCAGGGCGAACGGGGUGUUGCAUAACUGAGGGCAAUUCAGCACAUGAUUUAUGGAGCAGAUGAGAGUAGAACUGCUCCAUCGGCAGUGGAUGAUCGUGAAUUGGAGAAAGAAGAGGCAAUCCAGGCAACCAUAGACGUCACCUAGUAUGCUUUGCACUCGAGCUUCACGUGGAGGGACGCCAGUAGAUGCUGAUGGGCGAAAUGGCAAAAAAACUGCACCUUUCUUGCCCUCCAGGUCUUGUGAACCUAGACUAUAGCCGCACAGUCCAUGUCAAGGCUGAAAUUGCACUCGCUGCAGUGGGAGACUAUAUGGCAGGCAUUACAUUGGAGGUCUACCAAUUGACCGAAGGCAAGAGAGAUGGUGAUCAUGGAGAGACGAGCAUUGCAUCUCUGGGGGGAGAUUUGGCCCAGUUCUCAUGGAGAAAGAACACACACGUGUACCAUCGAUAGACCUCCUCGCAGGCUUCGCAUUUGAUUCUACUUUUCGUCUCCAAGAUGAUGGGAUGUGAGCAGAUGCUAAUGAGCAAAACGUUGGAUGGUCGCAUUCUCAGAUUCCUCAUCAGGCUUAGAGUUGUGACUAGGUAGACGAAGCAAUAUCAGGCCGUGCAGCAACGCUUAACCAUCCGAACAGCAAGAAGGAAGCCCGCUCACACGCAUGGCAACUCCGACGAUCCUCCACAUCAUCGCCUACUGGGCGGUCAAGUCGGGGCAGCGGGUGAAACGGGGGUCCUAGGGCGGACAGCAUGCCAAAUUCAGUGCAACUGGUGAAAGAGAAAUUGACACGAUUCACGGCAGCGGGCUGAGCCACGGAGCGAAGACCAGCACGCGAGACAUUCCAAGCAACUACAACUUCCGCUUAGGUUCCGGAGACUCAAUGCAUGAUCGCCAAGGCAAAUUAGGAGAUAAAAAAAACGUUUUAAAUGGAGUUAUAGUUGCGUGAUGUCAACAUGAAGUAAAUGAGGUGACAUGAAUUGUACCCUACUCCCGUAUUAUUUGAUGUUGUAUUUCAGUGUUCAUUUCUACAUUUUUAUUUUAUUUUAUUUUAUUUAUGCUUCAACGCAAUAGUUAAUAAAACUAAAGUGGCCCAUGAAAAGUUUUAUAUCUUGUUCAUUUAAAGUCAGCUGCAAUUAUAUGAGGUCUUAAAAGUGCAUUCACCUUGGGCUAGUCUAUACAUUCGUCAGAGAGUUCUUAUCUAACUUACUCUAAAAGUUACUUACGUAAGACAAUUUUGUGAUAACAGUUUUGUCAUAAUUGUUUAAAAAACCAAAUUCACCUUCUUCUUUUUUUAAAAAAAUUUUACAAGUUAUUUUUUUUAAUUUAUUAGUUGAUUGCAUUUACAUGUAAAAGUAAUGUUUACAUUUGCCAUUAAAUGCAAUUUGUACAAGUAGUAUGAGCCGAAUCUACUUUUUUCUAGUUAUCAAUUUCUCUAUGAAUGCACAUGUUCUGCACCACCCUUGAUAUGUAAACUAGGUCGAUAUGGCUCAUUGAAGCAGCAAUUGUAAUUAAACUUGUAAUUUUCUUUUAAAUCUUUGAAUGGAACUCGAUUUUAUUUUCAAAAACUAAAUAAUUAUCCGCAUUGGUUAUUUUAAAAAAAAAUGCAGAUUGAAGUUGUUACAGACUCUAUUCACAUAUACAACCUACAACUUCAACUAAUUAAACUGAAUUUAGAUCCAUAGAUAAAAGGUUGACAUUUGUAUAAACUAUGAAGACUAAGACCAAGGAGAACAUUUCUAGAAAGAGCAAAACAAAAGAGAGAGGUGCUCUUUCGAGUAAUUACAAGUAAAUCUAUCCAAAUUAUAGAAUGAACUACAUUUGGAUGAAAUAAAGAUUAUGAUGCAUGCACAUUUUUCAUCUAUGGUGAUCAUAUGCUCCUUUUGUUAAAAUUUAGAAUUUAUUAUACUAAUCAAAGUAAUGGUUGGUUCAACCUUGAUUUUAAACCAGGUCACAUCCUUUUUCUGAGGCAAAAAAGUAAGAAGACAAGAUGCUCUCUUUUUUAUCAUAUUUAUUCUCUCCUACUAGGGUGUUUACGUGUAUAUAUAAACCUCUUUUCAAUCUCCUUUAUUGACUCUUACCACUUUUCAAUCUCUUUUAUUGACUCUCUCUCUCUCUCUCUCUCUCUCUCUCUCAUAGAGAGUUACCAAAGGGUCUUAAGGGAACCUUCGGCGUUCACAUUGCAAUGGUUGGACUGUGUGGCGUUACAUGAUGAUCGUAUGGCCACUCAUGGGUAGAAAUGGGGCCUUCAUGAAAGUUGGGAACGUUUUUAAAACAAAAAAUCAAUUUGAGUAGAAUUGCGAUUAAAAUUAAAAUUUGAGAUUUUUUUUUAUAGAAAAUUAGCAAAAUUCAUACUUCCAUCAACAAUCCAAGGUGUCUUAAACCGAAGAAAAUGCAAUAUUUUGUAAGAUAAAAACCUAUUUUUGCAGUAUUUCACCAAGAAAAAAUGUCCGUUGCUCCAAAAGUAUUUUAGUAGGAUUUCAUAUAUCCAAAAAUUAUAGAAAUAGGUAAGUUCGUGCAUAAAAAAUGGUGACACGAGGAUGCUCAUGUUUCGAUAUAUUAUUUGCACAAUAGAUGGGUAAUUAUAGAAAGGGAAGGGCGGCUAUUAUUGCAGUAUGGAAUUGGUAAGAUUUUAAUGAUAUAGAGAAACAAUAAUGUUAUAUUGAUGCAUGUUUUGAUUUUAUUGACCUUGUGAAUAAGAUAGGUCAUUUAUCUAUUAUCACACCCCAACUCUGUAAAAUAAGGAAAACGACACUAUCAUGGUCUUACCCAGAGGAUGCAGCUUCAAAUUAUCAAAAUAUAUAUUCAUCUAUAUACUUGAUAAAUAGUGAAUUGGUUACAAAAUCAAGAGUUUUGAAAUUCAUUAAAAAGAAAAAAGUAUGAGUGUAUCUCCAAACUCAAUUAAACCCCACAAAUAUCAUCCCAGACAUAUACAAGUAUCUAAACUCACAUCCAAAUCCAACUUUAAUUUUUUUUUUUGCCAAUAACACUCAUGUCCUACUUUAGCUUACCUAAAAAAGAUUUAGAAUGAAUAGUGUGAGUAACCAAAGCUUAGUGACUAAUUUAAAUCUCUCCUAAGCAAAUCAAGCAUCUACUGUGAUAAAACAAUACAAAAGAUUCAUUUAUCCAAAUCCAAUAUAUUAUGUAUGAUAGAAUCAAAAUAUGAGUAAUUUCACUAUAAUGCAACUUUAUAUUAAUCAAUUAUAUUCAUUCAAAUUUCAAAUACCAAAAGGGUAGUAAACGCUCCAUCCGAUUUUAUGCAACAAAUAUGUUUUAAACAUUACUUUUUCAUUUUAAAAAAAUCAUAUUGUGCAAUGCUUUUCAGAACUUAUAGUAUACCAAAUCUCGAUCACUUUCAAGACAUGAGCUUAUAAAUUUGUAGAGAAUAACAACCACCCCUAAAUAAAAUCCAAAUCGAAAGUUAUGCCGCUCAAAAAGUUUCAAAGUCCUAUCAAAGAUUAACUAAAUGUCAAACUUACGUGUCAACUAACCUCGACUAAAACUUUAGUAGGCGAUACCAUAUUCUUGAGUCAAAUCAACCACUUGACAAAAGACCUUUGAACAAUUACUUUGCAAAUAGAGUCGAUCUCAUUUAAAACUCCAAUUCAAGUGAGCUUACUUUCAAUAGAAAACUCUUUCGAAUUACUAAGAGACCAUAAAGCCAAAAGAUGGUCGGAGAAGGGUGAAAUCCAUUGCCAAAUACAGUUUUGAAAACUAUUUCUAGCAAUGUGCAAAAUUUUAAAAAUUUAUCCCAAUCAAAUCAUAAACCUAUAUUGACUUUCCUAAAGUCCUAUUAUGCAAUACCCUAAAAUUUCUUUACAACAUAAUUUUAUAGUUUAAAAAUCUCUAUCAACCUAGCAACAUAGAAUCUGCACAAAACCUAAUUUACGAUUUAAUUAUGAAAACUCCUUUAAUUAUAUAAAUAAAAGUUUUGAAUCUUUAACGAUUGCCAAGAAACUGAAUUAAUCCGGUGCAUGCAGCAAGAGCCCCCUUUUUGUCUCCUCUGUCUUUUUCUCGAUUUCUCCGGACUCUGCUUUCCUUCUCUCUCUCUCUCUCUCUUUUCGUGUUCUUCUCUCUUUUCGUGUUCUUCUUGGCAGACUCUGUUUUCAUCUUUUUUCUCUCUUUUCGCUCUAGUAAUUCCCUUACCAAAGAAAGGACUUUAACGAGACACUUGGGCUUGGGCUUGGGCUUACUGUUUUGCUCUUAUUUAUUAUUGUUUGCCAGCCCGGUUAUUGGAACUUUAUUCUUGCCCAUGAAAGUCCCUGCUUUCAUUCCUGCUUCUAGCACUACCAAGGAUUCUCGUCCCUCGAUUCAUUUUUCAAGCAUAACCUGCGAUUCAUUUUUCUAGCAUAACCUGCUUUCAAGAGACGAGAAUCCUUUGCCCUGCGAUUCAUUUUUCAAGCAUAACCUGCUUUCAAGAGACGAGAAUCCUUUGCCCUGCGAUUCAUUUUUCAAGCAUAACCUGCGAUUCAUUUUUCUAGCAUAACCUGCUUUCAAGAGACGAGAAUCCUUUGCCCUGCGAUUCAUUUUUCAAGCAUAACCUGCGAUUCAUUAUUCAAGCAUAACCUGCGAUUUUUUUUCAAGCAUAACCUGCUUUCAAGAGACGAGAAUCCUUUGCCCUGCUUUCAAUUGAGAGGCAAUUGAAAGGAUUCCUGCUUUCAUUCCUGCUUCUAAACUCUACAAAGGAUUCUCCUCCCUGCUUUCGUUCCUGCUUCUAAACACUACAAAGGAUUCUCGUCCCUGCUUUCAAGGAUUCUCUUGCAUUAACUCUUGCAUAAAAGAACCACAAACGAUGUCCCUACCUUCACCCACCCCGCGCCAUGGAUUUUACCUCCAUCGUCUCUAUCCUGAUCAACUUCCUCCAAGUGAAAUUCCAGGGGAAGUUGACUUCGCCCUUUGAAACUCACCCCGUUGCCACUGGAGUUGCCAUCUGCAGCCUGCUCCUGCAUUUUCUGUUGAUGCAUCUCGCUAAUCGGGCACCCCCGUCUAGCGGCCGUGCUCCUCCUUGUGAUGGAGCAUGGCACCUCCUCAUCGACUUCACUGGUUCGAUAUCGGUGGCUUCACUCGCGUGGUUGCUGUUCCACGACUCCUCCCACUCCAUCCUUUGGUUGUUUGCACUGCUCUUGUCUCUUUCUGUGAGUCUGUUGCGCGGCCUCUUUCAAAAACUAUGUCUGUGGCUUUACCGCAGACUCGUUCUCGUGAUUAUCCGUGUGGCACACUCCCCUGUAUGGCAUGGUGGAAGAGCGCAGCCACAUCCGCCGCACCCGGGUGUGGAUCUGUGUUUGUUGCUGGAAGUCUGAGCGGCCUAGUCGUUCGACUGAUUGUUCCCUACUUGGAUAAAGUAAUCUAACUAUAUCUGAAUCCAUAAGAGAAUCGCAAGCCUUCAGCAUCAAAUUAUCUCCAGACCAUAAGAAAGGAGAGCAGGGAACAAGUAAAAACCAUUUGUUAUCGAAGAGAUCAAAGACGACCUCAACAAUUGUUACCAAGAGAAGAAUAGUCGCUUGUAUAGCCAUAUAAGGGGUAGUAAUUGUUCUUGAGGUUAAAGCUUCUGACCUCUUGGAAAGCAUUGCUGAGUGUUGCAGAUUUCCUUCUAUUUUUGGUGUAUCUCUUUUUAGCUUUCUGUUUGGCCAGUGGAUCCAUAUGUGUCAUUUUACAUUCUUUGCUGGUGUACUAUGGUUUUGCUCAUAUAUCCAUAUGAACUGCGACAAAUAGAUGCCUUGGCAACGUGGGCACAGCUACAAUCUCAAAAGCUUUGAUCUAACAUUAACAUCAUUGAGUGAUCAAACCAAAAUGAAAGAUGUCAACCUUUUCAUCUCUGUUCCAUACACACCAUUACUACUUACUAGCUAUUCCGAUGAUAAUAUAGUUGUAGUUUGUCAUUGCAGAAUGUGGGAAUCGUUACAACAUAGUCUCUAUUUGACCUCCAAGAGGUGACAACUAGAUCUUUGCUGUCGCAAAUGCUUUAACUUGCAAUCUAAGACUACGUUGUCUCGCUGGCUGAUUGGUUUUUGGCCAGGAGCAUGAAUUGUUGCUUCAGUGGGAGAUUCAAUUUAGGGCCAAGGUGCGAAAAGAACGCUUGAUUUCUUUUUUUGGGAGGCUUUAGUUCAACAUAGCUGAAUUUUGGUAGACUGCAGAUGUUAGAACCAAACAUUUCCCAUCUUCAUGUGCUAGAAAAGAAUUUACAGUUCAUGAAUGCAAAGCUCGGUAGAUAGUAUGCAAAAGCUCGUGGCUAGUCUGCACAAACUACAUAAACCUUAUCUUCAUUUUCAAGGAAUUAACAAGACCGGCGAGCUUCCUAACAAGUUUAUUCAUAAUCAAAUUAUGCAUCCCAAUGUUAAUACUCCUAUUCAUAACACAGAGCACACAAGUCUUACACUAAAAAAUAUGAUAUUUAUCUGCUUUUGCUCAGAAGAUAAAUAUAUCGGAUGUCAAGUGUUGGCAGGGAUUCCAAUUGACUUGCGUAAGAGGUAAGUUGAAACAUCAAACAAAAAGGCGGUCUUCUGCCUCCCCAAUUCUUUCCUUCUGGAUAAGAGCCUCCCCAAUUCUUUCCUUCUGGAUAAGAGCCUCCCCAACUCUUCAACUACAUGCACUUCGCUGGCAGCUUUUUGAGACCAGCAUUGCAGGUCUUCUUUUGAGUACCUCCAAUUGUGGGCUCAUUCUGUCCACUUUUUCCUGCAGAAAUAAGUCUAGUUCAGCAAAAUCGAGGCUUCAGGUGCUUCCAUUACUUUAAAAAAAAUUUGUCAUUGCCAUAUUUUCUGUUGAUUAUAACUGAUUGUGGAGAUUGAGUCUGUAUAUGAUAUAACAAAAGAAAAAAGAACAGGGUUAUUCACCACAUCACAUGGCCGUAUCUUGUGGCCGUUUGUUGGGUAAAGUCAGUUUAGUGAGAGAGCAUUUCUGCGAUGAAAGCAUACAGUGGGUAAGACGCAUUUGAUAUGUGUAAUCAAUGGGCAAGGGCAUUCAUCACAGACGGAAGCAUCCAGUUUCAGGUCUGUUUCUCUCAAAGGUUACAAUAGUACUCACUGGUAUCGUCUUCAAUUAACAUAGCGUAGAGUGUGAGUUGAUGGGAGGUGAUGGUGAUCUUUAUUGUUGGUGUUAACCGUGGAAGGCAAUCGUGGUUGACAUAAAGAUUGCACUACACAAGAACGUGAAAGUCGAAUGUGCAAAAUUUACCAGACACUGCAUAGGAAGCACGGAUCGGCAGAUCUAAUAUAAGAAAGAGUAUGUGCUCGAGAAGCUGAUAUUUCAAAGUGGGCCUUUCAAAAGUGCAUGGAAUGUUGAAGUUGAAGUCGCAUUCUGCAUAGUGAAAGACGGCGUCAACGCUCUUCAGGACAUGCGUCAGUGAGCCUUCCUUCCUGAUACGGGAAGAAGUGGAUGUGCCAGGGUGAACGGGGUGUUGCAUAACUGAGGGCAAUUCAGCACAUGAUUUACGGAGCAGAAAAGAGCACCUAUGCUCCUGGCAGGCAUGGGCUAUACCUUUAACAUAUUAAUCACGACCCUUGCUCGCAGUAUCCUUCAUUCGACCCAGCUCCAGCGGCAGCGGAUGAUAGUGAAUUGGAGAUAUAAGAGGCAAUCCAGGCAAGCAUAGACCCCACCUAGUAUGCUGCUCUAUUCUCAGCUUUUCACCCAGAUUCUGGUUUCAAGCUUCACGUGGAAGGACACCAGUAGAUGCUGAUGGGCGAAAUGGUUAAAAAAAAAAAAACUGAGCCUUUCUCGCCCUCCAGAUCUUGUGAACAUAGAGUUAUAGCCACGCAGUCCACGUCAAGGCUGAAAUUGCAUUCGCUGCAGGGGAAAACCAGAUGGCAGGCAUUACAUUGGAGGUCUACCGAUUGAUCGAAAGCAAGAAAAAGGGUUGAUUAUGAAGAGAGGGGUGUUGCUUCUCUGGGGAAGAUUCGGUGCAGCUCUCGUGAAUGAAGAAUAUGCGCCAUGUGGCAUCCAUAGACCUCCUUGCAGGCUUUGCAUUUGAUUCUACUUUUCAUCCCAAAAUGGAGGGAUGUGAGCAGAUGCUAAUGAGCAAAAUGCAGGAUGGAUUCUCAGAAUCCUCGUCAGGCUUAGUUGUGACUAGGCAGACAAAGCAAUAUCCAGCCGUGCACAAACGCUCAACCGUCCGAAUGGCAAGAAGGAAGCCUGCUCACACGCAUGGCAACUCCGAUGAUCCUCCUCAUUGUUGGCAGCUAGGCAGUCAAGUCGGGGCAGCGGGUGAGACGGGUGUCCUAGUGUGGACAGCAUGCUAAAUUCGGCAUGACUCGUAAAAGAAGAAACGACACGAUUCAGAGUGGUGAGCUGAGCUGCGGAUUGGAGAUCGCAUGACAUUCCAAGCAAGUACAGGCUUCUUUGCUCAGGUUUCAGAGAUUCAAUACAUGAUCACCAAGGCAAAUUAGGGUAUAAAAAUGCGUUUUGAAUGGAGUUAUACUUAUUUUUAUUUUAUCUUUUGGUCAGUAGAGUUAUACUUGUUAUCAACACGAAGUAAAUGUGGUGAAAUUAAUUUGGUUAAUGCCUUAAAAAAUCUCAAAGUAGUACACAUGUGAUAAAUUUAUCCUAAACUAAACUACACAUUUGACAAAUUUACCUCAAACUGAUAUAUUUGUGACAAAUUUACCAUUUAUCGGUUUCUGUUAAAUUUUACUGUCGAAUUACUAAAUUAAAAGAUACGUGAUAGUUGACUGGUGUACUAGUUUGGGAUUUUACUCCGUUUAUAAUAGUUAUAUAGUUUUUGUAAUUUUUUGUAGCAUUAAUCCAAUUUAACGGAGGGUGUACCAAUUCAGGGUUUUUGACGGCCGAAUAAAUUAAUUUUGAGUAAAUUUGUUAUAAGUAUACCAUUUUGAGAUUUUUUUUUUUUUAUAAUCAAUUGGGGUAAAUUUGUCAUAGGUGUAUUAGUUUAGAGUUUUUUAUGGUAAAAAAAAUUAGUUUUGGAUAAAUUUGUUACACAUGUAUCAGUUUGGAGUUUUUCAAGGUAUUAAUCUAAAUUAAUUUUACCCCACUCCCUCGUCAUUUGAUGUUGUGUUUCAAUGCUAAAUUGGGCACCCAACUCGUGAAAGAAGAUUUGACACGAUUCACAGCAGUAGGGAUGAGCUGCGGAUUGGAGACCAGCACGUGAGACAUUCCAAGUAAACCUUCCAUUCAGGUUCCGGAGAUUCAAUGCAUGAUCACCAAGGCAAAUUAGGAAAUAAAAAAGCGUUUUGAAUGGAGUUAUAUCUGUUGAGUGAUAUCAACACGAAGGAAAUGGGGUGACAUGAAUUGUACCCCGCUUCCAUAUUAUUUGAUGUUCUAUUUUAGUGUUCAUUUGUACAUUUUAUUUUAUUUUAUUUAUGCUUAACGCAAUAGUUAAUAAAACUAAAGUGGCCCAUGAAAAGUUUCAUAUCUUGUUCAUUUAAAGUCAGCUGCAAUUAGGAGGUGACAAAAGUGCAUUCACCUCGGGCUACUCUAUACAUUCAUCAGAAAGUUCUUAUCCAACUUAUAGUAAAAAUAAUUUACGCAAGACAAGAUUGCGAUGACAGUUUUGUCAUAAUUGUUUAAAAAACUAAAUUCACCUAUUUUUAACUUUAUGAAUUAUUUUUUUAAUUUAUUAGUUGAUUACAUUUUUAUGUAAAAGUAAUAUUUACAUUUGCUAUUAAAUACAAUUUGUACAAAUAGUAUGAGUCGAAUCUACUAUUUUCUAGUUAUCAAUUUCUCUAUAUAAGCUAUGUCAGUACGGCUCAUUGAAGCAGCAAUUGUAAUUAAACUUGUAAUUUUCAUUAAAUAGAACUCAAUUUCAUUUUCAAAAGCUAAAUAAUUAUUUGCAUUGGUUAUCCUUUAAAAAAAUAUAUGGAUUGUAGUUGUCAUAGACCCAGUUCAUAUAUAUAACCUACAACUAGUUAAACUGAAUUUAGAUCCACAUAUAAAAAGUUGGCAUUUGUAUAAACUAUGAAGACUAAGACCUAGGAGAACAUUUCUAGAAAGAGCAAAACAAAACAGAGAGGUGCUCUUCUGAGUAAUUACAAGUAAACCUGUCAAAAUGAUAUGAUGAAUGGCAUUUGGAUGAUCAUCUAUGGUGAUCAUCUUCCUUUCACUAAUUUGUAUGCUCUUUUUGUUAAAACCUUGAAUUUACUAUACUAAUCAAAGUAAUGAUUGGUCCAAUCCUGAUUUUGAACCAAGUCACACCCUUUUUCUGAGGCAAAAAAGAAAGAAGACAGAAUUCUCUUUUUUGUCACAUUUAUGCCCUACUACUAGGGGUGUUUGCGUGUAUUUAUAAACCUCUUUUCAAUAAAUUUUUCAAUUUUUCAAUCUCCUCUCUCUCUCUCUCUCUCUCUCUCUCUCUCUCUCUCUCUCUCUCUCUCUCUCUCUCUCUCUCUCUCUCUCUCUCUCUCUCUCUCUCUCUCUCUGAGGGAGUUUCCAAAGGGUCUCAGGGGAAAAUUCAGUGUUCACAUUGCAAUGGUUGGACCAUGCCGCAUUACAUGAUGAUCCUAUGGCCACUCAUGGGUAGAAAUGGGACCUUCAUGAAAGUUGAGAAUUUAAAAAAAAAAAAAUCGAAGUAGAAUUGAGAUUAAAAUUAAUUUUUAAGAUUUUUUAGGAAAUUUGCCCAUAAUAAUUCAUGCUUCCAUCAACAAUCCAAAGCGUCUCAAACCGAAGAAAAUGCAAUCUUUUGUUAAGAUGGAAACCUAUUUCUACAAUAUUUCACCCAAAAAAAAUGUCCGCUACUUUAGAAGUAUUUUACUAGGAUUUUGUAUAUCCAACAAUUAUAGAAUAAGUGAAUUCGUGCAUAAAACAUAGUGACAAGAGAAUGCUCAUGUCAUGAUAUAUUAUUUGCAUAAUAAAUGCGUAAUUAGAGAAAGGGAGGAGUGGCCAUUAUUGUAGUAAGAAAUUGGUAAAAUUAUAAUGAUAUAGAGAAAUAAUAACGAUGUAUUGAUGUAUAUUUUCAUUUUUUUGAUUUUGUGAAUAAGAUUUGUCCUUUAUAUAUUGUCACACCCCAACUCUAUAAAAUAAGGAAAACGACACCACCAUGCUCUUACCCAAAGGACACAACUUCAAAUUAUCAAAAUAUAUAUUCAUCUAUAUACUUGACAAAUAGUCGUUUGGUUACAAAAUUUUAAGAGUUCUAAAAUUCAUUAAAAAAAAAGUGGGUGUAUCUCCAAACUCAAUUAAACCCCAAAAAUAUCAUUCUAGACAUAUACAAGUAUCUAAACUCGCAUCUCAAUCCCACUGUAAAAAAAUUUCCGCUAAUUAUGCUCACGUCCUACUUAGCUUACUUGAAAAGAAUUUGGAAUGAAUAGUGUGAGCAAUCACAGUUUUUCAUUGCUAACCCAAAUCUCUCAUAAAUAGAUCAAGCAUCCGCUAUAAUAAAGUAAUACCAGAGAUUCAUUUACCCAAAUCCAAUAUAUAAUGUACAAUAAAAUCCAAAUAUUAGUAAUAUCACCUCAACGCAACUUUAUACUAAUCAAUUAUAUUCAUUCAAAUUUCAAAUAUCAAGAGUAGUAAAUGCUCCAUCCAGCUUUAUGUAACAAAUAUGUCUUAAGCAUUACUUUUUCUAUUUUAACAAAAUCAUAUUGUGGAAUGUCUUGCACAGCUUAUAAUAUAUCAAAUCUUCAAGAUAUGAACUUACCAAUUUAUAGAGGAUAACAACCCCUAAAUAAAAUCCAAGUUGAAAGUCACACCGACUCGAAAAGCUUCAAAGUCCUAUUAAAGAGUAACUAAAUGACAAACUUACAUGUCUCCUAACCUUGACUAAAACUUUAGUAGAUAAUGCCAUAUUCUUGAGUCAAAUCAUCCACUUGGCAAAAGACCUCUGAACACCUACUUUGCAAAUAGAGUCGACCUCUUAUCUCGGAACUUCAAUUCAAGUGAAUUUACUUUCAAUUGAAAACUCUUUCAAAUUACUAAGAGACCAUAAAGCCAAAAGAUGACCGGAGAAAGAUGAAAUCCAUUGCUAAACACAGCUAUGUGAAAACUAUUUCUAGUAGAGCGCAAAAUUUUAGAAAUUUAUUCCAAUUAAAUCAUAAUCCUAAAUUGACUUUCCUAAAGCCUUGUUUUGAGACACCCUAAAAAAUUUUCAAAACAUAAAUUUUACAACUGAAAAACCUUUAUAAUCAACUCAGCAACGUAGAAUCCAUUUAAAACCUAAUUUAUAGUUUAAUUACGAAAACUUCUUCAAUUAGAUAAAUAAAGUUUUGAAACCUCACCGAUUGCUAGGAACAGAAAUAAUCCACCUUAAUCAAGUCUCUCGAGCGGGCAUGCAGCAAGAGCCUACUUUGCCUCCUCUUUCUAUUUUUGUCCGUUUCUCCGAGCCCUGCUUGCCUUCUUUUCUUUCCUUUUCCUUUUCUUUUUUUUUUCUUGGCCAGACCCUGUUUCACUCUUUCUGCGCCCGUGAAUUCCCUGGGAGCGGCAUGAACUGAAGCAUGACUGAAGAAAGGGCUUACGCGAGACACUUGGGCUUGGGCUUAAUGUUUUGCUCUCGUUUAUCAUUUUUUGCCAAAGCUCGGUUACAGCAAAAAUCUGUAUAGGUUAUUAACUUAUUACGGAUGGAUGCAAAUUAUGCGGAGCGAGAAUAAUGUCACCCUAUCCCAUGAUAAGAAAUUUAGGAGAGAUAAGGACGUUUAAUUUCAAGCGCGAAGUUCGAAACCCUACAUCCUGCUGACAGAGAUAGAAAAAAUUCUCUUCUUAAUUUUUUUUUUAACACAAGAAAAAAUUAAUCGGAAAGUUUAAAGGCCUUCCUCCACUCCACGACGUGAUGAGGGGUGAAGUCAGGAACAUCAUCGAAAUAUUUUAUGGAAAAAUAAGUACCGUGGAAUAAGGAUAUUAUUUAUAUAUCAUAUAUUUUCAUGGAAAGAUCUCUCAAUUCGACUCGGAUAAGGAAUGAUGAUAUGGGUCCCAUCCGAGAUUUCAUUUCUCAGAUAUAUUAUCUGAGAAAUGACACCUUGGAUGGGACCCAUAUCAUAUACUUUCUGAGGAACGACACCUUGGAUGGGACCCAUAUCAUCAUUCCUUAUAUAUAUGAUAUAUACGCGAUGCUCCUGUCUUCACCCCUCCCCGCACCAUGGAUUUUACCACCAUUGUCUCUAUCCUCAUCAACAUCAUCCAAGUGCAAUACCAGGGGAAGUCGAUUUCACCCUUGGAAACCCACCCAGUCGCCACCCGCAUCGCCAUCUGCAGCCUCCUCCUGCAUUUCUCUUUGGGGCGUGUCGCUAAUCGGGCACCACCGUCUCGCGGCCCUGCUCCUUCUUGUGAUGGAGCAGCCCACCUCCUCUUCCACUUCACCGGUUUGAUAUCGGUGUUUUCGCUCGCGUGGUUGCUGCUCCACGACUCCUUCCACUCCCUCCUCUGGUUCGUGCUGUUCCUGUUGCUUUCCGUGCGUCUGUUUCGGGGCCUCAUUCAAAACCUUUGGCUGUGGUUUUACCGCAAACUCGUUCUCAUGAUUAUCCGUGCGGGGGGCUCCCGUGUAUGGCACGGUGGAAGAGCACAGCCACAUUUGCCACGCCCGGUUGUGGAUCUGCGCUUCAUGCUGGAAGUUUGAGCGUCGUAGUUGUUCGACUGACUGCUCCCCGCUUGGAAGAAGUAAUUUUAAUUGUGUGAUCACUUUAAAUCAAAUGAUUAGUACUUUAGGAAGCUAAGCCAGUUUUAUGUAAGAGGCACUUGGGGCUUUCUUCUCUUUAUCUGAAGCCAUAGCCAUGAGGAAUCCCCAAGCCUUCGGCAUCAAAUUAUCUCCCGAUCAUAAGAAAGAAAAGCAGGGAACAAGUCAAAACCACCAAUGUAUCUUUCCUGUUCCUAGCCAUGAACGGUGAUGGACCUUGUAGUGACUAGAUCUAAUUAAGAUAGGCUAAGCUCUCAAAAGAAAUUAGGAUCUAUUGUUAUUGAAGAGAUUGAAGAUGACCUCAACAACUGUUACGACAAGUAGAAUGGUCUUUUCUAGUAGGCAUAUAGGGGGUAGUACUUGUUCUUGAGGUUAUAGCUUCUGACCUCUUUCAAAGCAUUGCUGAAUGUUGCAGAUUUCCUUCUUUUUUUCUGGGGAAUCUCUUUGUAGCUUUCUGUUUGGCCAGUGGAUGGAUUUGUGUCAUUUUACAUUCUUUGCUGGUGUGCUAUGGUUUUGCUCAUUUAUCCAUAUGAACUGGGAUAAAUUGAUGCCUUGGAGACGCAAGCACAGCUAAAAUUUCAAAAGUUUUGAUCUAACACUAACAUCAUUGAGUGAUCCAAAUCAAAAUGAAAGAUGUCAGCUUUUUCCAUCUCUCUCGCAUAUACACCAUUACUGCUUAAUAGCUAUUCCGAUGAUAAUAUAAUUGUACUUUGUCAUUGCAGAAUGUGGGAGUGGUUACAUCAUAUAAUCUUUAUUUUACCUCUUGAGAGGUGACAACUAGAUCUUUGCUGUGGCAAAUGUGUUAACUUGCAAUUUAAGACUACGCCAUCUCGCUGGCUCAUUGACAUUCAAGUUGCUGGGCCAAGGUGAGAAAAGAAUACUGAAAUGUCGAUUAUUUUUCAGGAGGCUUUAUUUCAAGAUAACUGAAUUUUGGUUGACUACAGAUGUUAGAACCGAAAUUUACCACCCUGCAUGUGCUAAGAAUUUACAGUUCAUGUGUGCAAAGCUAGAUAGAUAGUAUGCAGAUGCUCGAGACAAGUCUGUACAAACUACACACAUUUGAUGUUCGUAUCUGAGGAAAUAAUUAGACCAGCAAGCUUCUUGACAAUUUGAUUCAUUAUCAAAUCAUGCAUUCCAAUGUUUGUACUUUGAAAUAUGAUAGAGCACACAAGUCUUGCACUUCAAAAAUAUGAUAUUUAUCUGCUUUUUCUGCAGAGAACAAUGAUCUUGGAUGUUGACUGUAGCAGUGAGUCCAAUUGACUUGCAUAAGAACGUGACUUGAAACAUCAAUCAGAAAGGUAGGUUCUCCUGACUCCUGAAUUUUUUUCUUCUUGGUAAGUGCCUCCCCAACACUACAACUGCAUGCACUUCACUUGCAGCUUUUAGAGACCAGCAUUGCACAUCUUUUCUUGAGUACCUCCAAUUAUGUGCCCAUUUUUUCCUGCAGAAUUUUAAUUUUUUAAUCUAGUUCAGCAAUAGCAGGGUCUUCAGGUACUUCCACUAUUCCAGCAAUCUGUAUUAAACACUGCUUGGUAUUAGCACAUUUUCUGUUGAUUAUUACUUAUUGUGGAGAUGAGUCUAUAUAUAUGAUAUUAAAAAGGAACGUGACAAUUCACCACAUCACAUGGCAGCAUCUUGUAUUCAAUUUUAGCUUAAGUAUGUUUAGCAAGAGAGCACUACUGCAAUACGAGCGCACCAUGAUAAAAUGCAUUGGAUCUGAGUAAUCAAUGGGCGAGGGCAUUCAUCGCAGUCAUAACCACCCACAUUUGUGUCCCUUAUCUUCUUGCAAAGGGCACAAUAGUACCACUCACUGGUAUCAUCUUUGAUGAACGAAACGUGAAGUGUGAGUUGAUGGAAGUUAACGACUAUCUUUUACUGUAGUGGAAGGCAAUCUGUGCACACAACUGCAAUAGCCAAAGCUGCAAAAUUUACCACAAACAUUGCAUAUUAGCAUGGUUAGGUAGAUUUAAAACAAGAAAGAGUAUAUGAUUGUGGAGGUGAUGUUUCAAAGUGAGCCUUUCAAAAGUGCAUGGAGUGUUGAAGUCAUUGUCAUUUCCGUGCAGUGAAAGACAGAGCGUCAACACUCUUCACGACAUAUGUCAACAGUGCUCCUCCUGAUACGAGAAGAAAAAGGAUGUGCAGGGUGAGCAGGUCAGAGAUUCAAGUUGUUGCUAGAAUUGUUGCUUCACUCAGAGAUUCAAGUUGCCUGGGCCAAGGUAAGAAAAGAACACUGAAAUAUAGCUUCCCAAUAUAACCGAAUUUGGUAAACUGCAGAUGUUAGAACCGAACUUCUCCCAUCUUUAUGUGCUGGAAAAGAUUUUACAGUUCAUGAAUGCAAAGUCAUAUAUAUAAUAUGCAAAAGCUUGAGACUAGUCUGUACAAACUACACACAUCUGAUUCAUUUUUUGAGGAAAUAAUAAGACCAGCAAGCUUCCUGGCAAGUUGAUUCAUAAUCAAAUUAUGCAUCCCUAUGUUAGUAAUCCAACUCAUAACAUAGGGUAAACAAGUCUUACAUUCAAAGUUAUGAUAUUUAUAUGCUUUUGCUGCAGAAGAUAACAAUAUCAGAUGUCAAGUGUUAGCAGUGAUUCCAUUGACUUGCAUAAGAGCAUAAGUUGAAACAUCAAACAGAAAGGUGGUCUCCUGCCUCCCCAUUUCUUUUCUUCUGGAUAAGCGUGCCUCCCCAAAUCUGCAAUUACAUGCACUUCGUUUGCAGCUUUUUGAGACCAGCACUGCAUGUCUGCUUUUUUAGUAUUGUUCAAUUGUGGGUUCGCUCUGUCCUUUUUUUCCUGCAGAAUUGCAAUUUUUCCAUCUAGUUCAGCAAUAGCCGGGGGUAUUCAGGUACUUCCAUUACUUUAAAAAAAUUUGGUAUUACCAUAUUUUCUGUUAGUUAUAACUUAUUGUGGAGGGAGUCUAUAUAUGAUGUUAAAAGAAGAAAAAGGAACAGGGCUAUUCACCACAUCACGUAGCUGCAUUGUGUAGCUGUUUGUUGGCUAAAGUCAGAGCACUUCUGUGAUGAAAGCAUACCGUGGGUAAAACACAUUCGAUAUGAGUAAUCAAUGCGCAAGGGCAUUCAUCACAGAUGGAAGCACCCAGAUUCAGGUCUUUUUCUCUCAAAGGUUACAGUAGUACUUACCGUCAUCGUCUUCAAUGAACAUAGCGUAGAGUGUGAGUUGACAGAGGUGAUGGCGAUCUUUCAUUGUUGGUGGUAACCGUGGAAAGCAAUCAUGAUAGACAUUAAGAUUGCAGUGCACAAGAACGUGAAAAUCAAAUGUGCAAAAUUUGCCAGACACUGCAUAGGAAGCACGGGUCAGUAGAUUUUUGUGGAGGUGACGUUUCAAAGUGGGCCUUUCAGAAGUGCAUGGAAUGUUGGAGUCUAACUCACAUUCUGCGCAGCGAAAGAAAGCUUCAACGCUCUUCACGACAUGCGUCAGUGAGCUUUCCUUCCUGAUAUGGGAAGAAGUGGAUGUGCAGGGUGAAUGGGUUGUUGCAUAACUGAGGGCAAUUCAGCACAUGAUUUAUGGAGCAGAAAAGAGCAGCACUGCUCGAGGCAAUGAUGGGCUAAACCUAUUGACAUAUUCAUGACAAGCCUUGAGCGCACCAUCCUUCCUAUGACCCAGCUCCAGCGGCGGCAGAUGAUUGUGAAUUGGAGAAAGAAAAAGCAAUCCAGACAAGCAUAGAACUCACCUAGCAUGUUCCAUCAAGCUUCGCACUAAUUUCUGUUUCAUCCUUCUUGUGGAAGGACACCAGUAAAUGCUGAUGGGCGAAAUGGUAAAAAAACAAGCCUUUCUCACCCUUCAGAUCUUGUGAACGUAGAGUUAUAGCUGUGCAGUCCAUGUCAAGGCUGAAAUUGCAUUAGCUGCAGCAGGAAACCAUAUCGCAGGCAUUACAUUGGAGGUCUACAGAUUGAUUGAAAGCAAGAGAGAUGGUGAUCAUUGAAAGACAGGCAUUGCUUAUUUGGUGUAGAUUUGGCACAGCUCUUGUGAAUUAAGAAUAUGCACUAUGUAGCAUCCAUAGACCUCCUUGCAGGCUUUGCAUUCGAUUCUACCUUUCAUCCCAAGAUGCUAAUGAGCAAAAUGUUGGAUGGUCACAUACUCAGAAUCUUCAUCAGGCUUAGUUGUGACUAGGCAGACAGCAAUAUUGGACCGUGCUGUAAUGCUCAACAAUCCGAAUGGCAAGAAGGAAAGCCUCGUCACAUGCAUGGCAACCGUGACGAUCCUCCUUCUCAUCUGCCUACUAGGCAUUCAAGCGGGGGCAGCAGGUGAAACGGGUGUUCUCGGGUGAAGAGCAUGCUAAAUUCAGCUUGACUAGUGAAAGAAGAUUCGACACGAUUCCCAGCAGUAGGGCUGAGCCGCGGAUCUGAGACCAGCGCGCAAGACAUUCCAAGCAAGUGCAGCCUUCUUUGCGAAUCAAUACAUGACCAGCAAGGCAAUGGAGUUAUAGUUGCUGAGUGACAUCAACAAGAAGCAAAUGGGGUGAAAUGAGUCGUACCCAACUACCGUAUUAUUUGGUGUUGUAUUUCAGUGCUAAUUUGUACAAUUUUUUUUUAAUCUAUGCAUUAAGGCAAUAGUUAAUAAAACGAAAAUGAAAUCUCAGCAAGAGUUUUGGGCAGAUCUAGCUUUCGUUCCUGAGGAAGCUCCCAGGAAAAGCUUCGUCAAAUAUUUACCUUCCAAAUAGUUCCUUCCUAAUGCGAGAAGAGGGUUGUUGCAUAACUGAGGGCAAUUCAGUCAAUAAUUUUUGGUCAAAAUCAGUCUGAAAGAUUGAAUUAGCACUAGGUCAAAAGUUUGAGAUUAGAUUGUCAGAAUUAUAAAGUUUAUGAUUAGAUCGACACUAAUGCAAUAAAUUUAGAACUUUUAUGACAUUUUUUCCAUUAAAAAAGUCCUUAAUCUGGCCAACUGUUUUAGGGGUCAUCCUGGGCACGUUUCUCAUAUGUUUUGAUUGUGUUAUUUGAUAGUUCGAGUUACGGUAUUAGGAAUACAUUUCUUUCGGUGAGCAUUACAUUUAUCUCCUCUAAUUGCUUGAAAGCAAGAGAGAGAGAGGGUGAUCAUGGAGAGAUGGGCGUUGCAUCUCUGUGGGGGAUUCGGCGCAACUUUUGUGGAGAAAGAAUAUGCACGCAUGGUCUCCAUGGAAUUUGGUGUUGUUAAAUUUCGGUAUCGAGUUAAUGACUUUAUAAAACGUGUUACAACACGUGAUUUAUGGAGUCAUCUAAUCGUACUCAAAGUUUGUAAACACAAAGUCCUGGUGGCCGAAGAAUGCAAACCCGAUUAAUGGGACGAUUAUCUUGAGAGACUCAAUCAUGAGAUUGCCCUUAUGAAUUACACUUAAUCCCCGGCGGGCUCUAUACUCUCUCAAGUCUGUAAUCGGCUUUAAAGCGCUAUUAGCCAGUAGAAGGGGAAGGGGGGUCUAGGCAACAUCAAGUCAACUGAGAGAAUCAUCUUAUGAACUUUUUCCUCUUUUUGGUCGUCAAAAGGGCUUUUAAUCUUCAUUCAAACCAUCAAGCCAUGUCCUGUGAAUCGAGCUACGCAUUGUCAAAAGCCUAAAAUCUGCUGCACUAAUCUAUCUGUUGAAGACUGGAAUCCAUGGUGGCACCCCCUCCUUGGGAAGCUAACUCCAAUCAGUGGUCAUUAAAUCCGGAUCGAAAUGUCAAACGUCCAAUCGGGUCCUCUCUUUUCGGCAGAUCCUUCCCCGCGUGUGCGUGAUCAUGCUCGUCUGCUGGCUCUUCCCACCAUGUCAAACGGCUUCUGUGUGGUGUGAAACGAGUGAACUUUCCUCGUCGUGGGAGCCUCUCUCUCCCUCUCCCUCUCUUCGUCUUCGGUUUCGAGGCAUGGAGAGCGAUCGGGUGUUAAAAGGUGGAUUCCGUGUUGUUAAACACUUGACUUCUCCGGUGGUUGAAACGAGUGAGCUUUUCUUUCUCGUUUUGUUCUUCUUGGCCAGACUCUGUUCUCUCUUUCUUUCCGCUCUCGUAAUUUCCCUUGCAAUGAAGCAAGACUAAAGAAAGAACUAAAACGAGACAAUCGGGCUUGGACUUGGACUUAGGCUUGGGCUUAAUGUUUCGCUCUCAUUUAUUAUUUUUUGCUAGCCCUUUUAUUGCAACUUCAAUCAUGGAGAUAAAUCUUUUAGGCUAUUACGUGCUGAUGGAUACUAAACGGAGUGCGGAGCGAGGAUAAGGUCACGGGGAAAAAAAUUAGGAAAGAUCAAGGACUUUUUUUUUUAAUGGGAAAAAUGUUAGAAAAUUCAUAAAUCUAUUAUAUUAGUGUCAAUCUAAUUCUAAACAUUUUAAUUGUGUCAAUUUAGUCUUAUUUUUUUUUAUCUAAUACAAAUUCAGUCAUUCCAACUAAUUUUGACUAACUGACAAAAAAAAAAACUAAUUUUAACUAGAAAUUACUGAUAUUGAUGUUGAUUGUUUUACCUGGCAUGAUUAGUGUUGACACAACAAUUUCUAAUUAUAUUUUAAUAUUUUUCAAAUUUUUAUUAUUUUAUCUUAUUUUUUCCUUCUUUUUUUCUCCUUUCUUCAUCUUUUUAUUGGUGACCGACCACUAGCCAUAGCUAGAUGAGCUAGCCUCUCCAAGGCAAGGGUCGCCAUUGCUCGCCACAAGCGAGGCUUGACUUAGCCAAGCCAGGGACGACAAGCCCCGAUGAGGCCUUGCAAGGGUCAGCCUAGGCUAGAUUUGGGGAGGCCAAUCCACCUAGCCAUCACCUAUGGACAAUAGUCGGUCAUCGACAAAAGCAAGAAGAAAGGAAAAAAAAAAAAAAGAGAGAAAGAAAGAGAAAAAUAUUAUAAAAAAUGAUGAAAAAUCGAAAAAUAUUAAAAUAUUAUUAAAAAUUGUUAAUGUCCGUCCACAUCAGUAAUACCAUGUCAAAACUAACUAAGAGGACUAAAUCGAUACAAUUAUAAAGUUCAAGACUAAAUUAAUAUCAAUGUAAUAAAAAUAAACAAUAAAAUAUAAAAUUUAGGACUUUGCUUUUUUUCCUUUUUAUAUAUAACCAAAUAAAAAAUAAAUCGGACAUUUCAAGGCUUUCGUCCACUCCAUGGUGUGGUGAGGGGGUGAGGGUAAGGACAUCAUUUGAUAUUUGCUUUUUCAUGGAAAGUGGCACAGAACAUCAGUUUUUUUCUUCUUCUUCUUCUUUGGGUUUGGGCAUGGGACAUCAAUUUGAAUUAUUUUCUUUUGGAUCCUCUUUCUUUUCGGGUCCAACCCUGCUUCAACUCAGGGUCGGGUCCGACCCUGCUUCAACCUCGCACCACCCAAAAUGUAGAAUAUUCAAAUUGACCCGAAAGAAAAAGCGUAUAAAACGACAGUCCCAGUCUUUUCAUCCCUCACCUCGCCAUGCGCCAUGGAUCUUUCCUCCAUUGUCUCUAUCCUGGUCAACUUCAUCCAAGUUGGAAUACCAGGGAAAGUUGACUUCACCCUUUGAAACCCACCCCAUUGCCACUUGCGUCGCCAUCUGCAGCCUCCUCCUGCAUUUCUCUUUGGGGCGUGUCACUAGUCAGGCACCACCGCCUCGCGGGCGUGCUCCUCCUUGUGAUGGAGCAACACACCUCCUCUUCCACUUCAUCGGUUUGACAUCGAUGUUUUCACUCGCGUGGUUGCUGCUCCACGACUCCUUCCACUCCUUCCUCCGGCUCGUGUUGUUCUUGUUGCUUUCCGCGUGUCUGUUGCACGGCUCCAUUCAAAAACUUUGGCUGUGGUUUUACCGCAAAUUUGUUCACAUGAUUAUCUGUGCGGUGCGCUCCCAUGUAUGGCAUGGUGGAAGAGUGCAACCACAUUUGCCGUGCCCAGCUAUGGAUCUACAUUUCAUGCCAGAAGUCUGGGUGCCGUUGUUUAACUGUUCCCUACUAAUUUAAUUGUAUCACCACUUUAAGACAAUUUAUUAGUACUUUUGGAAGCUAAGUUAGUUUUGUAUAAGAGGGACUUGAGGCUUUCUUCUCUUUAUGGGAAGCCUUAAGGAGUCCCCAAGCCUUUGGCAUCAAAUUAUCUCCCGACCAUAAUAAGAAAGGAGAUUGGGGAACAGGUACAAAACCACCUUUGUAUCUUUCCUAUUCCUAGCCAUGAAUGGUCAUGCACCUUGUAGCAAUUAAAUCCGCUGAAGAUAGGCUAAACCCUCGGAAAAAAUUGGGAUCUAUUUGUUGUCGAAGAGAUCGAAGAUAACCUCAACAAUUAUUAUGAUAAGUAGAAUGAUUGAUUCUAUUAGCCAUAUUAAGUAGAUAUUGUUCUUGAGAAGAAAGCUUCUGCCCUCUUUUAAUACAAUGCGAGUGUUGCAGAUUUCUUUCUUUUUCUAAUGAAUUUUUUGGGAAAAUUGCCAAAAAUAUCUUAAGUCUUUUAAUAAUUUGUCAAUUUAGUUUUACAGCUAAUUCAACCCAAAAAAAUGCUUAUGUGAAUGUCCAAUCAGCGGCACCCGACUUACUUGGCCAAACCGGCUGAAGGCCAGCACUGAUGUGGUCACCGGAGAUCAAAAUGGCGACGUUUUCCACAAUAAUUAAAAAAUAAAUAAAUAAAGAAAUCGUGGCUGUGCUCUUUUCUUGUCCAAAUCCUCAAACGCUCGCCCAACGCCCCAGUCCAAAGAACUCUAACCCGAAAUUAACUGAAAUCUUGCUGAAAUCUCUUCAAAUCUCAACUCAAAUCGAAUGAUUUUUUGCUCAAGCCCGAGUCGUUUCUUUCCACAUUUUAAGAGAAAACGCGUAUGUUUUGUUUUUGCAAAACCCUUGCUCGCUCGCGCAGUCGCCCAAAUCUCCCCCAAACCUCAACUCAAAUUGCGAAUGGAAGCCUUGCUAGAUGUAGAUGUGUUUUGACGACUUGUUCAUUAGUUGGGGACAGAUGGUUGUUUCACUCUCACACCUAUAUCCCUUGGUUGAAGUGUCUACUGUCUGUUAGCAGUUUGUAAAAAUGCCCAAGCGAACUUUUGUGAAAAUUUCCCUCUGGAUCUACAUCUCUGAACGUUCAUUGCGUAUUCAAAUCGUAAUGAGCACUUUUGAUUCAUUCAUUUACUCUCGGUUUAUGAUAUUUGAAUCCAAAGGUAAUAACAACGGAAGGAUGUUCGCUUCUCUGUUUGAUGUGCUAUGUCUUGGGGCCUUACAUGGCUGUUCCCGCUGUGAGACAUUGUCUGGAAUCGUUGAUACACAAGGUGGUUUUCUGAUGAACUUCACGCUGGUCGCACCCAAACUUCUUUAAUGUUCAUGUACCAUGUGUCUCGGUGAUCUAUGACCUGUGUCGGUAGAGCUAUAAUAGUCGGAUUGUAAACCAAAUUCUAGUGGUACAAUUGCUUUAGCUGCUACUGUCACCAGUAGUAAAAAAGCCAUGGAAAGGUCGAGAGGUACAUUACAUACUUCAAUACACCAACUUACCCAAAACAAGUAAAUUGCUACGAAUAUCAAAACUCCUGGAUCAAAGGCAAGAAGAGAAUCAGAAAACGCUAUGUGGCCAUAGUAAACCUAAUUGCAAGUUAACAAGGAACAUGCGAGAGCAAUUUAGCAAAAAUGUUGCAGUGCUAGUUGAGAUAGCUAGUAUAAUCACCUAGAGGGGGGUGAAUAGGUGCACAAACAAAUUUUCAAGAUACGGAAGCGAUUUUAGGCAAUCGAUAGAAAGGAAAAUAUGAUCAAAGUAAAAUAAAGGUUAGGGAAUAGAGAAAUAAACACAAGAUUUAUAGUAGUUCGGCUUAUUCCAAGCCUACGUCCACUCUUCCGCACUGACAGCCCACCGGCUGGAUUUCACUAUGAACAAGAGAGAAGUUACAACACAUUUUUUCCUUGAUUCCAUAGUGUAGAUGUUCUACCACACUUCCUCAAGGUUUCUCACGAAUAUAGACUCUAUUUUGUUUACACGAUUAUGCUCAACAAAUGAAUUGACUAGAAAUAAUGAGCUUCAGACUUUGGAAUUCUUCUAUCGUGCACACUUUCGAACAACUAGAACGUCUUCCUUAUAUACUCCUUCAUGCCAUCAUACCCGUUGGCACUUACCAAAGGAAUUCCUCCAAUCUACCCGUUGGACGGAAUCAAUUAGGAAGAUCAUUCGAGCUAUUAAAGGAACAUGUCGAUAGCCCAUCAAUCAUGUUCGCCCAUACAAUCAGGAUCUCGGUUUCCAUAAGUAGAACCUUCCAAGUAUACUUCGCCAAUCAUCGGAUCCUUAAUAUUCGAAUCAAUUGUGAUCAAAUAAAGAAUUCCGUUAUGUCAUAUCCAGCCAAGAGAUCUUCUCCAGUCGAUAAGGCCACAUCCUUAAUGAAACAUCUAGUUCUUGAUAGCCUUUCUUCAACGGAUUAUAGACUGUCAAUGAGGAUAGACUUUGAGUCUUGAGUCUGGCUGUCCGGAGGUCUUCAGACUUUAAAUAGCAGAGUCUGCAAUCCUUCAGACUAGCCUGAUGGAAACGUUUUGUCAACUUCAAAACAUUUCAAGAGGAAUUUCUCCAACAAUCUCCUCCUUUUUUAUGGUGACAAAACUUUCCUGCAGAUUUGGAAAACUUUGACCUACAAAACAUUUCUCAAACACAUAUGCAUAUCUUAUAGAUAAAAUGGCUAAAUGAAUAACACUAGAUCUGCAACCACAGAAAAUAGGUUAGUCCAGUAUGCAAUAAAGCCAUCCAUAAGACAUCAAUAGUAGUUAAUAAUAAGCAGUCAAAUCCAAAUCCCAGAUUUAGUCCACAUCCAAACACAAGUCAAGUCAAAACAAACCACAAACAGAACAAGCCAAAAGUUCAAAUUUAAGUUCAAAGUUUUUCAAGUCUCGCAACUCUCCCCCUUUUUGUCAGCAUAAAAAAGAUUGAUAUGAAAAUGAAGUCAAGGAUUCUUGGGAAUACGAACAAGCUGAAAAUCUCCCAUCGACUGAACGAUGCCUUCCAGCCUUUUAAAGUCUUCCUUCAGCUGAGCAACAUCCUCACCCUUAGCAUUAGCCUGAAUCUGAAGAGAAAGGGCUUGGAUUUGAUCAUUUAAUGAACCCGAAGAGACUUGUCCUGCAUUCUGCAAGUUCUGAACUUCACAUCCCAAUGCAUAUAUCUGACCUUGCAUCUCCAAGAGAAUAUCCAUCACUCUGCGAAAGUCUGCUGAAUUUUCGGUCUGCGUACUGGCAUUAACACGAUCUGAUGGAGUAAAUGCAGACGAUGGUAGAUCAGCAUAAUCACGCAGAUUUGGCGAAGAAACCUCAUGACCUUCCUCAGGAAACUGAGAGGCAAAAACCUCCUCUGGAUCUGCUGGGGAUCGACUGACUCCCUCACUGGUUGCAGGAUUUAAGGUCAUUCCUAGUUUCUCUUGGUCUCCCCCUGUGUCCAUGCCUUUAGGUGGAGAGUGCUCCUCAUGUUCUCCUUCUUCUUGAUCUCUUUUCUCUUAUUCUUCUUUUUCAACUCUCUCUUGCUUAGCAUCUCUUUCUUCUUCUUCUUCUUCUCUUUCCUCUGCCUCUUUUUCCUCUGCCUCUUUCUCUGCUCUUUCUUCUGUCUACUCUUUUGAUUCUUUCUCUAGAACAGAUUGAUUGAGAUUCUUCAAAGCAGAGAUAGUGAUGUUAUCCUCAUCAUCUUCAUCCUCAACGAGGAGAGCUAUUCUUCUCUUGGAUGGAGCAUCCAUGGGCUCCUUACCUUUCCUUUUUCUUGCAGAAGAGAAUUGAUGAGAUUUGACUAGAGUCUUCUCGUUAAAUUUCUCCAAUGCCUUGCUUAGUUCCUUCAGACGCAUCUUGGUCACCAUUUUCAGUCCUACCACCAUAUGAUCGCACGAUCGAGCACAAAGAAUUUGCGGAGGCUGAAUGUUUAGAUGUCUGAAUAACUUCGUUACAAAACCUGGAUAAGGAAGUUGUCCUAUGUCUUUCAUCACAGCUUUAUACAUAUGGAACAUAAUAGUGUGAGGAAGUGAAAACCUUUUCCCAGUGAUGAUGGCAUACAUUAGCUUUGCCUCUGAACUUGAGACAUCAGUCUUGGAAGUUGAUUUCGGUCUGAGGCAAUUAAUUACAAUUUUGUGCAGCAAGAUGUUAAAUGCACUGAUCCUUGAAUAUGAAAUAUUUCCCUCUGUUCUCCUGUCUUUAACAAAUUCCAGAGUAGUACGAGCAAUAGAAACUUUGAUCCGUUGAUACCUUCCUCUCUCAACUCCUAACACAUCUGCCAGCAUAUCCAUAUCCACAACAAAGUCUUGAUCUUUGACACUGAAGGAGAAUCUAUUCGAAUCCAAGAAACUAAGAUUUGAAUAGAAAUAUGCAGAUAGUUGAGGAUAGGCUUCUGUGGAGUCAGAGCAGAAUUUCUCAAGUUGAAGAUGACCAAACUUUUCCCUUAAGUUCACAUUUACUUACAGCAUCCAGAAAGUCAAAAUCCACACUCCUAGGGUUUAUCACCCCUCGAUUCAGCAAUUUUGAGUAUAGAUCCAUAUGUUCCUUCGAUCUAAACAACUCUCCCAUUUUUCCUUGAUUUUCCGCCGCAAUUCCCAUUCUUGGCCGAAAUUCGCUGUAUAAUUUGUCAUCAUCAUUUCCAUCCACCGGAUUAACUCCCCAAUCUCGAGGGUCACUUGGGAUAUUCGCAAGGGAUUCUUCUGCCACACCCUUACGAGCAAUUCCCAAACUUUCCAUUUUUCACAAAAAGAUAUAUUCAUUUCCAUAUCCUUUGUCCUUAAGAAAAUCAUCCACAUAGUUCAACGAAGUACCAGUCCCUUUUAAAGCACGAUACAGCUGAUAAAUAAAAGAGGGCCUUUGAACUCUUACAGGGUCUGCAUCUUCAAUGAUUUCUUCAUUUUGAUGAUGAUUAACAUCUUGAGGACUAGAUGGAGGAGAAUGACGCUGCUGAGAAUGUUGUGGGCUCUGCUGCUGAUUUGGAGACACUUCUUCUUCAGUGAGAUCGAAGUGCGUAGGCCCCUCACUCAUUCGUCAUGGUCCCCUGCUUCCGAUCCUCGAAGACUUUCUUGAAGACGACAUCUUUCUUAGUCUUUGAAAGAUUCCUUGCUUGACUUUCCCAAAAAAGAUGACAACUUUUUCGAAGAUUAAACAAGAGAAGAAAACAGGAAUGGAAGAUUGGUGCUUUUUAGGGUUUUGGAGUUAAGCGAGGAGAAACCGAUUAUAUAUAAGACAAUCGUAAGGAGGGGAUACCAACCAGCGUAAUGGUAAGUGAAAAUAUGCCUUUUUUAAAAAAUAAAUUUUUAAAAAAAUAACUGCCCUUUUUCGAAAAAUAGUCACAUCAAAAUAACUUCUUUUUCUAAAGGAAACGAUGCAAUAAUUUUGUCAAUUAAAGAUAGCGAUUGAGAUAACAAUAAUCAACACGGUUGAUCAACGUACCUUUUCAAAAUGAGAUUAGAGAGAGAAUAACUUAUAGACAAAGUCUUGCAGUCAAAGUCUUAUAGUCUGAUUCUGAGAGUCUCUAGACUUUAACUUCUUCAAACUUCAAAAUGUUGAGUCUUGAACGGAUAAUUUCAAAUUGAUUUUUCUUCAAAGGCUUUAUAAAUACAUCCGCCAGUUGGUUCUUUGAGUCAACAAACUGAAUCGAAAUUUCUCCAUUUUGAACAUGAUCUCUAAUGAAGUGAUGUCGAAUCUCUAUAUGCUUUGCUCUUGAGUGAAGAAUUGGAUUUUUGGUGAGAUUGAUUGCGCUGGUGUUGUCACAUUUAAUCUCCGUGCAUGAAUCUUCAAUUCUGAAGUCUCUUAGCUGUUGUUUUAUCCAUAGAAUUUGUGAACAGCAACUUCCAAGAGCUACAUAUUAUGCUUCUGCUGUAGAGAGAGCUACUAUACUUUGCUUUCUUGAAAACCAAGACACUGCCCUGCCUCCAAGUAGUUGACAGGUACCUGAGGUGCUCUUUCUAUCAACUCUGCAUCUGGCUAAGUCUGCGUCUGAGUAUCCAAGAAGAGUAAAGUCUCCCCUUUUAGGAUACUAGAGACCGAAGCUUGAAGUUGAUGCAAUGUAUUUGAUAAUAGUCUUUGCAGCAUUUAAAUGUGAUUCUUUAGGGUUUGCUUAAAAUCUGGCAAAAAUGCAAACACUAAACAAAAUAUCAGGUCUAGAAGCAGUAAGAUAAAAAAAACGAACCGAUGAUACUCCUGUAUAACUUUUAGUCAACUUUCUUUCCUCCUUCAUCUUUAUCUAUCUUCACGGAGCUUGACAUUGGUAUAUCAGCCUUUUUGCAAUUGUCCAGUCCAAACUUCUUCACAAUAUCAUUAGCAUAUUUCUCUUGAUAAAUAAAAGUUCAUUCCUUCAAUUGUUUUACUUGAAGUCCAAGAAAGAAGGUUAACUCACCCAUCAUGCUCAUUUCAAAUUCAUCUUGCAUAGUCUUAGAGAAUUUCUUGCACAGACUUUCAUUAGAGGAUCCAAAAAUAAUAUCAUCGACAUAUAUUUGAACAAGUAGAAAACUCUUGCUUUCUCUUUUAAUGAAAAGAGUAGUGUCUACUUUACCUUUAACAAAUCCAUUUUCGAUUAAAAACUUACUCAGUAUGUCGUACCAAGCUCGAGGAGCUUGUUUAAGCCGUAUAAAGCCUUUUUGAGUCUGAAUACUGAGUCUGGUUUCUUUGGGUCUUCAAACCCAGGUGGUUGUUCCACAUAGACUUCCUCUUGGAUGAAUCCAUUUAAGAAGGCACUUUUGACAUCCAUUUGGAAUAACCUGAAAUUCUUAUAACAAGCAAAAGCAAGUAAUAAUCGAAUUGCUUCUAACCUUGCUACUGGUGCAUAAGUCUCGUCAUAGUCUAUCCCUUCUUCUUGUGUAUAUCCCUUGGCUAUGAGUCUUGCCUUGUUUCUUAUGACUUUUCCUUUCUCGUUCAUCUUGUUCCUGAAAACCCAUUUAGCUCCAAUAACAGACUUACCUUUCGAUUUAGGAGUUAAUUCCCAGACAUCAUUAAUACUGAAUUGCCUGAGCUCUUCUUGCAUAGCUUCAAUCCAGCUUUCAUCAGAUAAAGCUUCUUCUAUACUUUUAGGUUCUAUUUCAGAAAUAAGAGCCACAGCACUAGACUCUUCGCGCCUUUUGGAUCUUGUGCGAAUUCCUUCAUUGAUGUCGCCAAUAAUAAGAUCUUUGGGAUGACUAGACUUAUGUUUCCAGUUGCUGGUUAAUUUGUCAGAUUGAUGGUCACUUUCUCCACUUGAAUCUUCAACAGUCACUUGUUGCUGGUCCUUCAAAGUCUGAGCUAUUUUAGACUUUGUAAAGUCUGGAGCAGGUUUAGAUUCUUCAAGAUGAGUCUGAAUGGAUUCAUUUUGCAUAGAAUCUUGGAAUUUAACAUUCAUUGAUUCUUCCACUGUUUGAGUCUUCUUGUUGUAGACUCUGUACGCUUUGCUUGUGGUUGAAUAUCCAAGGAAGAUGCCUUCAUCUGAUUUUUCUUCAAACUUUCCAACUCGAUUAUUUGCAUUUUUCAGUAUAAAACAUUUGCAUCCAAAUACAUGAAAAUAUGAAACAAUAGGCUUCUUUUCUUUGAAUAGUUCAUAGGGGUUUUUUUUUUCCAAAAUAGGCCUUAGAAAGACUCUAUUUAUAAUGUAACAUGCUGUAGAAACUGCUUCAGCCCAGAAACGUGAAGAGAUGUUACUUUCAAUUAAAAGAGUUCUAGCCAUUUCUUGAAGAGAUCUAUUCUUUCUUUCCACAACUCCAUUUUGCUCUGGAGUAUAUGGAGAGGAGAAUACAUGCUGAAAACCAGAUUCAUCAUAGAAUUUUGUAAAAUCAUGAUUUUCAAACUCACCUCCAUGAUAUGUGCUUAUACUUGAUAUAACAUACCCUUUUUCAUUUUGAACCUUUUUAGCAAACUUUUCAAAGUGAGAGAAGGUUUCAGACUUACUUGUCAAGAAAUAUACCCAAGUGAAUCGUGAGUAAUCAUCCACAAUUACCAGGCAGUAUUUCUUACCUCCAAUGCUUUGCGUUCUGGUUGGUCCAAAAAGAUCCAUAUGCAAAAGCUGCAGUACACGGUUAGUGGAAACUUGAUUUAUUGGUUUAAAGGAAUUUCUUACCUAUUUUCCCAAUAUAUAUGGUGUACAUAGAUCAGACUUUUGAUAUGAUAAAUUGGAUAGACCACGAACAAGCUUCUUUGCUGAGAUUUUGGCUAUUUGCUUCAUAUUGACGUGCCCGAGCUUUCUGUGCAUAAGUUUGCUUCAUCUUGGAUUGAGAUUAGACAUUGUGAUUCAUCUGGUUUCACGUCCAAGAGGUAGAUAUUUCCAUGUCUUUGACCCAUGAAUGACUGAGUAGAAUCUUUACUAAUUCCAGAACAUAUUCCCUCUUGAAAGUUGAUUUUGAAACCAGUAUCACAUAGCUGACUAAUACUGAGUAAAUUGUAUUUGAGCCAUUCCACUAAGGAAACAUUGCUGAUUUUGAGAUUUCCAAUUAUUACAGUUCCAAAUCCCACAAUUUUUCCUUUACUGUUUCCUCCCAAAGAAACUUUUCCACCAUUUACUCGAACAAGCUUUAUGAAGUAAUUUGAGUCUCCUGUCAUGUGUCUUGAGCAUCCACUAUCCAGAUACGAUUUUACCUUUUUCUUGGUAGUGACCUGCAUUUAAAAAAGAAACUCAAGCCUUCUUUGGUACCCAUAUUUUCUUGGGUCCAUUGGUGUUAGUAUGAUAUGCGGUUUUUACCCAUAUCUUUUUAACAGGUUUCCAAAUCAUAGGAUAUUCUUUUUCAAAAUGAUCUGCACUAUUGCACUUUGAGCAUCUGAGAGCAUUGUGACCUACUGGUUUUACAAAGAUUCUUUUUAAAAUGAUUUUUGUAAGCAUCUCUUGUGGGUCUUUGUUUGAUUCUUUCUUUCACCUUAGGAAAAUCAAUUAAAGGAAUAGUUUCAUCAGUCAUUCCCAAACCAGAUUUAUUAAAAUAAGGUCUUUGAACAGAAAGAAUUUUUUCUAGUUUCUCAGAUCCUAUAGAAAAUCUUUUGGAAAUAUUUGAGAUAUCUCUUUUCAAGAAUGCAUUUUCUUUUAACAAAUUAUCUUCACUUUCCUUAAGAGAAGAAACAUUAUUGUCUAAACUUUUCACUUUUUCUUUCAAAAUAUUUUCCUGUUGUUUUAGAGCAGAAUUUUCUUUCUUGAGUUCGGAAAUUCUUUUAAGAGAAGUCUUAAGACUGAAACACAAUUCAUCAAUAUACUUUGAAACCUUAAUAGGGAUUUUCAAGUUACUUACUUCAAAUUCGCUUUCUGAGUCUGAAUCUGUCUCGGAAUUUGAAUCUGAAUCCGAUUGUGCCAUCAGACAUAUAUUGGCAUAAUCAUCAUCACUUUCUUCACACUCUGUAUCACUCCAGGUUUUAGCUUUAAGAGAUUUUCGGUACUUUUCAGUUUUUCCUUUCUUCUUUCUCAAAAGAGGACAAUUGGAUCUGAUGUGUCCUUUUUUCUUACAUUCAAAGCAAACUAUAUCUUUGUUUGAUUCAUCAUCCUCAACAGACUUAGUCUGUUGCUUUUGAAAGCUUUGUUUCUUUGGAUUGAAUCUUCUUCAUUUUCUAUUCAGCUUUCUGAAUCUUCUUAUCAUGAGAGCAAGUUCCUCAUCAUCCAUAUCGUCUUCAGAAUCUGUAGCAUCAGAAUCAUUAUUAGAUUUUAACGCAAUGGAUUUCUUACCUUUAGGGUCUUCGUCUUCAUUGAUUCGUUCCACUUCAUAAAACUGAAGAGUCCCAACCAACUCAUCAACAGAUAGAUGCAUGAUUCUUUGGGUCUCUCUGAUUGAGGUCUUUAUGUGAUUUCAAUCCUUGGAGAGUCCACGCAGUAGCUUGUUUACUUUCAUGGGAUCAGAAAUUGGUUGACCUUGAUUUUCAAGACCGUUCACAAUAUCUGUAAAACGACUAAACAUAUCAGUUAUAGAUUCUCCUGGUUUCAUUUUGAAGGCUUCAUAUUGGCCGAGGAGAAUGUUGAUUCUAGUCUCUUUCACUCGAUCGGUUCCUUCAUAAGUAAUAUGUAAUCUAUCCCAAACUUCUUUAGCUGUAACACAAGAAGAUAUUAUGUUAUAUUCAGUAGGGGAUAAAGCACAAUAUAAGGAAUAAAUUGCUUUUGCAUCAAGAGCUUGUCUCUUGAUUUUCUCUUCCUGAGUCAUUUCGCUAGACUCAACAUCUUUUCCUCUUUCUGAGACAGAUGCAGCUUUAGGAAUGAUUCCUUUUUCUACAACGUCCCAUUCCAGAGGAUCCUUUGAUCUUAGGAAUGCUUUCAUCUUGUUCUUCCAUAUGUUGUAAUCCUUUCCAUCAAAGUAAGGUGGUCUGGUAUUGCUUUGCCCUUCUACCAGCCCUGGAGCCAACAUACUAGCCAUGGAUCUUUAACUCUGAAGUAAAAUACUUCAACAAAAGUGAGUACACAUGCUCUGAUACCAAUUGAGAUGGCUAGUAUAAUCACCUAGAGGGGGUGAAUAGGUGCACAAACAAAUUUUCGAGAUACGGAAGCGAUUUUAGGCAAUCGAUAGAAAGGAAAAUACGAUCAAAGUAAAGUAAAUGUUAGGUAAGAGAGAAAUGAACACAAGAUUUAUAGUGGUUCGGCUUAUUCAAAGUCUACAUCCACUCUUCCGCACUGACAGCCCACCGACUGGAUUUCACUAUGAACAAGAGAGAAGUUACAGCACAGCUUUUCCUUGAUUCCACAGUGUAGAUGUUCUACCACACUUCCUCAAGGUUUCUCACGAAUAUAGACUCUCUUUUGUUUACACGAUUAUGCUCAACAAAUGAAUUGACUAGAAACAAGGAGCUUCAGACUUUGGAAUUCUUCUAUCGUGCAUACUUUCGAACAACUAGAACGUCUUCCUUAUAUACUCCUUCAUGCCAUCAUACCCGUUGGCACUUACCAAAGGAAUUCCUCCAAUCUACCCGUUGGACGGAAUCAAUUAGGAAGAUCAUUCGAGCUAUUAAAGGAACAUGUCACUAGCCCAUCAAUCAUGUUCGCCCAUACAAUCAGGAUCUCGGUUUCCAUAAGUAGAACCUUCCAAGUAUACUUCGCCAAUCAUCGGAUCCUUAAUAUUCAAAUCAAUUGUGAUCAAAUAAAGAAUUAUGUUAUGUCAUAUCCAGCCAAGAGAUCUUCUCCAGUCGAUAAGGCCACAUCCUUAAUGAAACAUCCAGUUCUGGAUAGCCUUUCUUCAACGGAUUAGAGACUGUCAAUGAGAAUAGACUUUGAGUCUUGAGUCUGGCUGUCCGGAGGUCUUCAGACUUUAAAUAGCAGAGUCUGCAAUCCUUCAGACUAGACUAAUGGAAACGUUUUGUCAACUUCAAAAUAUUUCAAGAGGAAUUUCUCCAACACUAGUUUCGGGAAACAAAACACAUUCAGAGAACGUGAAGCAUCCCGGAAUGUCUUCUUCUCCCUUGUUGUUUGCAUAGAAUAAUUUGAAGAAUCAUAAUUUAUAGCUUAAUUACGAAAAUUCCUCCAAUUAGAUAAAUUAAAAUUGCUGCUACCAAAUAUAAUUAAUCAGUCUUGUCGAGCUCUCUCGUAGCGUGCAUGGAGCGAAAGCCCCCUUUGUUUCCACUCUCUUUUCUCGGUUUCUCCGAACUCUGCUUUCCUUCAUUUUUUUUCUUCUUUUUUUUCGUUCUUCUUGGCCAAGCUUUGUUUUAUUUCUUUCUGCUCUUGUAAUUUGUCUUGCAAUGAAGCAAGACUAAAGAAAGGGCUAAAACGAGACACCCAGCCUUGGGCUUAAUGUUUUGCUCUUAUUUAUUAUUUUUUGCAAGCCCGUUCCUUGCAAAUUUAUUCAUGAAGAUAAAUCUUUUAGGUAAUGUACCGAUGGAUCCUAUGUGGAGAGAGGAUAGGUCACUCGAAAUUAAAGUUGGGCACAUAACUUUUUUUAAUAGAAAAAAUAUCAGAAAAAUUAUAAAUCUAUUGUAUUAGUGUCAAUUUGACCUAGUAUCAAUUUAAUCAUCUCAACUAAUUUUGAUCAGAAAUUACUGACAUAGAUAUUGGUUAUCUUGCAUGACAUGCCUGCCCUAACAUGGAUAAUUUUUUAAUAAUAAUUCAAUAUUUUUUAUUUUUUAUUUAUUGUUAUUAUUAUUAUUUUCUUUUUUUUUCUUCAUUCUUCUUGGCCUCACUUGGGCAGGAGUUGGCGUCGCCGACCACAGGUGAGGCCUAGCCAAACGAGAGUGAUCCCAAUCAAGCUUGCCACUUUGUAUCAUUCUUGGAAAAGGUUGAGCCCUCACUUAUGCCUAAAUGAGGCCUUACGAGAGUCAGCCUCACCCAAGGCAGACUUGGUGAGGCCAGCUUGCUCAGUCAUUGCCUAUAACCAACAAAAGGAAGAAGAAAGAAAAAAAGAAAAGAAAAAACAAUAUAUAUAUAUAUAUAUAUAUAUAUAUAUUAGUAUUAAAAAUUUUCCACGGCCCCAAAUCACUUUUUGGUGUCCAGGAGGGGAAUUAGGGGUGAUUGGGUCUAAGAUAGGCAGGAUCUAAACCUGGACCCUGUACCCGAUCCUGUUAAACGGAUUCCUCUUUUCUGGACCCUAUACCUGACCCUGUUUGUAUUGAACCGUAUACCUGACCCACCCUGUUUUUCCGAUCCGGUUGCAAGAUCAACCUUGUUUUCACUAGAACCUGUUUUGCAAUCUUCCGAUAUCUUAUACGACUUCGAAUUUUAUAUUAAUACGUGAGAAAAUAACGUAAUCCUCAUAAUUUGUAUUGAAAUAUUAAGCACUUGUAAUAAAUAAAUACAUAAACUUUUUGACUAAACGAAAAAUUAAGGAUUCACGAGGCUAAUUAUAAUAAAUAAGAUCAUAAGGCAAAGAAUUAGCAACAAACAUGGAUUUAAUAUUAUUCUUAUUCCCACAACUAUUACAUGAAGUUACUUAUUUAUGCAAGCAUAACUCCUCAUACAAAAGAAAAAUUAGGCGGGCCAAUCUAUGUGAUACACAAGAACUUGGCGGUGAUGAACACCGUCCGUCCAUCGGACGGUGUGAGAGGGAGCCAGGGAGGGAGGGAAGCAAGUGAGGAAGAGGAAUGUCCUCCCUUGCAUGUUUAAGAGAGCCAAGAGGAAAAACGUCGUGUGAUUGCAGGGUAAGAAUAAAAAUCGAGGGAGAAAAAAGGGUUUUGGACCUUUACUUACAAAACUGAUUAGGGAAUUGGUUCCAAAACCGGUCCAGGAACCAGUUUCUGGGUGGGUAAUCACUCGGAACCUGUUCUCGGACCAGUUUAAACCGAUUCCAAAUUUUGGGAAUUGGUUCCCAGACCUGUUUCAACGGGAACUGUUUCAACGUGAACCGGUUCUCGACCCUAUUUUCUGGGUGGGCUAGUUCAGGAACCGGGUAUACCUAGUUCGGUUGCACACCCCUAAAGGGAAUCAUGGUCUGUAGACAUCCAAUUUGACUUUUGGUGCCUUGUAUCAAAUUUUGGAGUUCGGUAUUUUGGCAAAACACUCCAUCAAAAGUGAAUUUGGAUGUCUGUGAUGUCUGUGGACCACUGCCAAAAUCAAAUUUUGGAGUCUAGUGUUAUAUCAAAUUUUGGAGUCCGGUGUUUGGGCAAAACACUACCGCACCAAAAGUGAAUUUGGAUGUCUGCAGACCAUUGCCAAAUCGCCGCAUCAAAAGUAAAUUUGGAUGUAUGUGGACCAUGAUUCCCUUCGGUAUAAAUAGAAGUAUAAAUGAUGCUCCUAUCAUCGCCCCUCACAACUCCAUGGAUCUUACCUCCGUUGUCUCUAUCCUAGUCAACUUCAUCCAAGUGAAACUUCCCCGCCUUCACCCUUUGAAACUCACCUCGUCGCCACCGCAUCACCAUUUGCAGCCUGCUCCUGCUUUUCUUUUUCGGGCGUGUCGCUAAUCCGGCACCAUUGUCAAGCGGCCCUCCUCCUUCUAGUGAUGGAGUAGCACGCCUCUUCUUCCACUUCACCAGUUUGAUAUCGGUGUUUUUGCUCAUGUGAUUACUGCUCCACGACUCCUUCCACUCCGUCCUUUGGUUCAUGCUAUUCCUGUUGCUUUACGUGAGUCUAUUGCGGGCCUCAUUCAGAAACUCUGGCUGUGGUUUUACAACAAACUUCUUCUCAUGAUUAUUCGUGCGGCACGCUCCCACGUAUGGCAUGGUGGAAGAGCACAGUCACAUUUGCCGUUAUCUAACAUAAAAACUAAUCAAACCUAGGAUUUAUAAUUUUUCAUUUUUUAAUUAAAAAUUAAAUAUAAUAUAUAUUAUCAGUCUGGUCAAGGUGGGCAAUUCCACACCUAAAACGAGAAACAAACUGAUUUCAUUGGUUUUUAGGCGAUCUAGAUGAUUCUCGAUUCAUUUGCACAACCUUGCUCCUCGUCGUCGUUGUGCUUUCACAUGGUCUCCACCCAUUUCUCUCUCCUCUUUAAGAGUUUCCACAAAUAUUCCUCCUCAAUACCUUGUUUUUUUCUGUUUUCUCGAAAAGAUGACAUUUAUGAUUCAAUUUGAAUGAAAUAACAAUUUUAAUGCACGCACAUUUUUCACCUAUGGUGUAUCAUCUUCAUUCCAUUAAUUUGUAUGUUCCUUUUGCUUAAAUUUUGAAUUUAUUAGACCAAUCAAGGUCCUACCUUGUUUGGCCUUUUUCCAAGGAAAAAAGGAAAAAAAAUGAAGAAGAAGAAGAUGACAACAAAGUUCUCUCUUUUUAUAAUAUUUAUUCUCUCCUGCUAGGGUGUGCGCAUGUAUGGAUGCAUAAACCUCUCUUCAAAAACUUCUGAGUCUCCCUUAUUGACUAUCCCAAUGUAGUUUCUUUGUGAACUAGACUUAGUCACCAGAUUUUCACUCAUGCCCUUCCCGGUUCCUUCCCCCUUUUACUCACCCCUCAUCCCUUGCUGUGCUUUCGCGUGGCCUUCCCCCAUUUCUCUCUCUUCUUCAAAAGUUUCCACAAAUAUUCCUCCCCUAUACCUUGUUUUUUUUUUUUUUCCUAUUUUCUCAUAAAGAUGAUAUUUAUUAUUGAAUUUGGAUUAAAUAAACAUUAUGAUGCAUGCGUAUUUUUCAUCUGUGAUAUAUCAUCUUCAUUCCACUAAUUUGUACGUUUCUUUUGCUAUAAUUUUGAAUUUAUUAUACUAAUCAAGGCCUAACCUAAUUUGAACUGGUUCAAGUCCUUUUUUCUAGGCAAAAGAAGAAGAAUUCUCUCUUUCGAUCAUAUUUAUUCUCUUCUACAAGGCUUUGCGUAUGUAUGGACACAUAAACCACUCUUCAAAAACUUCCUCAGUCCCCAUUAUUGACUACACCUCUGAUAGUGCUAGUAUUAACAAAAUAAAGGAGUUAAGGAAGAGAAUAAGAACACAAGAUUUAUAGUGGUUCGGCUUAAUCCAAGCCUACGUCCACUCUCCCACGAUAACAGCCUUCUUGGCUGGAUUCCACUAUGUAAUCAACAAGAGAUUACAACUUCGAGUGCAAACACUUAGUAGUAGAUCACACCAACUCACUAAGUCACUCUCUUGGUAUUUCUCUCACGAUUACAAACGUUUAAGCUCUCCAAAGACAAGUGUAUGAUCGAAGGUCGCUCAGACUUUGGAAUUAUAAAUUCUACGCUCCGUCUCUCUUACUUGCUCAUCGGUCCAUGAUCUCCUUAAAUACUCCUCCACUUCCAAACUACCGUUGGAUAGUAUCCCGGAGAAUCGUCUUCCAAUAUACCCAUUGGACAGCUCUGUAUUUAGAAGAUUUAGUAGCCGUUGAGUGACAAAGGUAAAAUCCCAAAUUGAUUCCGAUCGCCCAUACAAACGAAAUCUUGGUUUCCAUAAGUAAAGCUUCUUCGUAUAUAAAGUUCUUGUCUUCAAUCAAAUCAAUCUUGAUGUGGAAUCCAAACCAGAUCACUAGCCGUUGUAUGAUUGGGCUUGAGUUACGAUUCAUCGUAAUCUGGAUGUAAAGUCUGAGUCUUUAGACUUUACGAUAUAAGUCUUGAGACUUUACAAUCUGGGUCUGUAGACUUUACAAUCUGAGUCUGUAGACUUUACAAUCUGAGUCUUGAGUCUGGCAGUCUUCAGACUUUGAGUCUCGAGUCUGGCAGUCUUCAAACUUUGAGUCUCGAGUCUGGCAGUCUUCAGACUUUGACACAGAAGUCUGGAAAUCUUCCAAAUAUACUUUGGACAUGUGUUACAUUCAGUCUUCUGGUCGUCUUCUGACUUUGAUAAUAUCAUCUACAUGUUCUAUCAUCUGCAUGGUCUAUUACUCAACCAUCAAACAUGUUAGUAGCCUUUGAUUUAUUUUGUCAUCUUCAAAACAUCAUAAGGGAUUUCCCUAACAACCUCUCUCUCUCUCUCUCUCUUCAAUCUCAUUUAUUGAAUUAGACAAAGCCAAAUAAUCUCGAGAGAGAGAGAGAGAGAGUUUCCCCAGGGUCUUAGGGGAGGCUUCGAUGCGACCGCAACAAUGGUUGGACCAUGUGGCAUCAAAUGAUGAUCCUAUGUCCAGGUGCGCGCGUAUGAAAUCUUAAUUAAAGUUGCGAAUUUUUUUAAAAGAAAAUCAAGGCCGAAUGAGAUUAAAAUUAAAGUUGGGCAUCUUUUCUGGAAAUUAGCCCAUAAAAAAGUAAUGCUUCCAUCAACAAUCCAAGGCAUCUUAAACUUAUUUUUGCAAUAUUUCAUCGAAAAGAUAUCCAGCUGCUUCAAAAGUAUUUUAGGAGAAUUUAAUAUAUGCAACAAUCAUAGAUAUAGAUGAGUUCGUGCUUAAAACAUGGCAACAAACAAAUGUUCAUGUCGCAAUAUAUAUAUAUAUAUAUAUAUAUAUAUAUAUAUAUAUAUUGUAAACUAUGCUAGGGGCGAGGAUAGGUCAUGGGGGGGAAAUGUUUGGCCAGAUCAAGGCCUCUUUAAUGGGAAAAAAUGUCGAAAAAGUUUUAAAUCUAUUGCAUUUGUGUCAAUUUAAUCUCAAACCUUUAAAUCAUAACAAUUUGAUCAUAAUUUUUUGCUAAUUCAAUUCUUCAGACUAAUUUUAACUAAAAGUUACUAAUAUAGAUGCUGGUUAUUCAAUGUGAUUCAACCAAACAGGUUACCCUCACGUGGGUGAGGAUCAUUGGCCUAACUAGGUGAGAGCGAUUCUCAAUGAGGCAGCCUUGGCCUGGUCGAGGGGAGCCCUCGCCCUCGCCUAGGCUAAGAUUUGGUGAGACCAGCCUGCUCAGCCAUUGCCUAUGAAUGGCAAAAGGAAGAAGAAAGAAAAAAAAAUUGUAAAAAAUUGUAAAAAUAUUAAAUUUUUAUUAUAAAUUUUUUUACAACCACCCACGUAAGCAAUAUUCAGUCCAAAUUAAUCGAAAUUACUAAAUUGACACAAUUAUAAGAUUUAGGAUUAAAUUUAGAUAAAUGCAAUAGGCUGAUGAUUUUCUUUGGUAUUUUUCUCCCUUAUGAAUAUAACCAAAUAAAAAAUAAAUCCGACAGUUCAAGGCCUUCGUUCACUCCAUGGCGUCGUGAGGGGUGAGGGUAGGGACAUCAUUUGAUAUUUGCUUUUUCAUGGAAAGUGGCACAGGACAUAAUUUUUGUUUUUUUUUGGGUCUGGGCAUAGGACAUUGUUUUUAUUUUGGGUGCUGCGGGGCGUCGUGAGGGAUGAAAAGACGGGACGUCAUUUUAUACUAUUUCUUUUGGGUGAAUUUGAACGCUCUAUAUUUGGGAUGUUGCAAAACAUUUUUUUAGGUCCAAACCAUUGAUGAUAUGCACCCAAAUGGGAUGGAAAAACGGGGACGUCAUUUCAUACUCUUUCUUUUGGAUGAAUUUGAACACUAUAUUUUGGAUGUUGCAAAACAUUUUAUACUCCUUCUAGGUUUAGGGCACUUUAUAUUUUGGAUGUUGUGAAACAUUUCAUACUCUUUCUUUUAGGUUUAGUGUACUUUAUAUUUUAUAAAAUGUUUCGCAACAUGUUUCGCAAUAUAUUUGGCUGUUGCGGAACAUUUUAUACUCUUUUUUUUAGAUUUAAUGUACCUUAUAUUUUAUAAAAUGUUCCAGAUUCCUACAGGAUUAGAUUUAAUGUACCUUAUAUUUUAUUCCGGAUUCCUACAGGAUAUCCGGAAAAUCUGAUAAAAUACAAGGUACAUUAAAUCUAAAAGAAAGAGUAUAAAAUGUUCCACAACAUCCAAAAUAUAGGUUCUAUAAAAUGUCGUCCCCGUCUUUUCAUCCCCUCACGACGCCAUGGAUCUUACCUCCAUCGUCUCUAUCCUGGUCAACAUCGUCCAAGUGGCUUACCAGGGGAAGUCGAUUUCACCCUUGGAAACCCACCCCCUCGCCACCCGCGUCGCCAUCUGCGGCCUCCUCCUGCAUUUCUCUUUGGGGUAUGUCGCUAAUCAGGCACCACCGCCUCGGAUGGAGCAGCGCGCCUCCUCUUCCACUUCACCGGUUUGGCAUCCGUGUUUUUGCUCGCAUGGUUGCUGCUCCACGACUCCUUCCACUCCACCCUCUGGUUCGUGCUGUUCGUGUUGCUUUCCGUGAAUCUGUUGCGCGGCCCCAUUCAAAAACUUUGUCUGUGGUUUUUCCGCAAACGCUUUCUCAUGAUUAUCCGUGAGGGGGGCUCCCGUGUAUGGCACGGUGGAAGAGCGCAGCCACAUUUGCCACGCCCGGUUGUGGAUAUGCGUUUCAUGCUGGAAGUCUGAGUGCCGUAGUUGUUCGACUGACUGCUCUCUCCUUGGAAGAAGUAAUUUUAAUUGUGUGAUCUCUUUAAAUCAAAUUAUUAGUACUUUAGGAAGCUAAGCAAGAUUAGUGUAAGAGGCACUUGGGGCUUUCUUCUCUUUAUCUGAAGCCAUAGCCAUGAGGAAUCCCCAAGCCUUUGGCGUCAAAUUAUCUCCCGAUCAUAAUAAAGGAGAGCAGGGAACAAGUAAAAACCACCUAUAUAUCUUUCCUGUUCCUAGCCAUGAAUGGUGAUGCACCUUGCAGUGACUAGAAAUUGGGAUCUGUCGAAGAGAUUGAAGAUGACCUCAACAAUUGUUACCACGAGUAGAAUGGUCGUUUCUAGCAGCCAUAUAGGGGUAGUAAUUGUUCUUGAGGUUAAAGCUCCUGACCUCUUUGAAAACAUAGUUGAGCGUUGCAGAUUUCCUUCUUUUUUCUCGUAAAUUUCUCUGUAGCUUUCUGUUUGGCCAGUGGGUGGAUAUGUGUCGUUUUUACGUUCUUUGCUGGUGUACUAUGUUCUUGUUCAUUUAUCAAUGGGAUAAAUUGAUGCCUUGGUGACGCGAGCACAGCUACAAUUUUAAAAGCUUCGAUCUAACACUAACAUCAUUGAGUGAUCCAAAUCAAAAUGAAACAUGUCAGCUUUUUCCAUCUCUCGCAUAUACACCAUUACUGCUUACUAGCUAUUCCGAUGAUAAUAUAGGUGGUCUGUCAUUGCAGAAUGUGGGAGUCAUUACAUCAUGUAGUCUUCAUUUUACCUCUGCGAGGCGACAGCUAGAUCUUUGCUGUGGCAAAUGCAUUAACUUGCAAUCAAAGACUAUGUUGUCUCCCUGGCUGAUUAAAAUUCAAGCUGCCGAGGCCAAGGUAAGAAAAGAACGCUGAAAUGUUGAUUUUUUUUUCUGUAGGCUUUAGUUCAAGAUUACUGAAUUUUGGCAGACUGUAGAUGUUAGAACCGAACUUUUCCCAUCGUCAUUUGCUGUAGAAUUUACAGUUCAUGUAUGCAAAGCUAGAUAGAUAGUAUGCAGAUGCUCGAGACAAUUCUGUACAAACUACACUCAUCUGAUGUUCAUAUUUGUGGAAAUAAUUAGACCAGCUAGCUUCCUGACAAUUUGAUUCAUCAUCAAAUUAGGCAUCCCAAUGUUAAUACUUUGAUAAAUGACAGAGCACAAAAGCCUUGCACUUCAAAAAUAUGAUAUUUGUCUGUUUUUACUGCAGAGAACAACAAUCUUGGAUGUCGACUGUAGCAGUGAGUCCAAUUGACUUGCAUAAAAACUUAAGUUGAAACAUCAAACAGAAGGGUGUUCUCCUGACUCCCAAAUUCUUUUUGUCUUGAUAAGGGCAUCCCCAACUCUGCAACUAAAUGCACUUCGCUUGUAGCUUUCGGAGACCAGCAUUACACGUCUUUUCUUGAGUACCUCCAAUUAUGCGCCCACUUUUUCCCGCAGAAUUUCAACUUUUUCAUCUAGUUCAGGCUGUUCAGCAAUAGCAGGGUCUUCAGUUAUUUGCACUAUUCUAGCAACUUGGAUUAAACACUGUUUGGUAUUAGCGCAUUUUCUGCUGAUUAUCACUUAUUGUGUAGAUGAGUCUAUAUAUAUGAUGUUAAAAAGGAGCAUGGCUAUUCACCACAUCACAUGGCAGCAUCUUGUAUCCAGUUUUGGCUAAAGGCUGUUUAGCAAGAGAGCACUACUGGGAUACAAGCGCCCCAUGGUAAACACAUUUGAUAAUGAGUAAUCCAAGGGCCAAGGGCAUUCAUCAUCCAUAAGCACCCAGGAUUUGUGUUCCUUUAUGAUAUUAUGAAGGGCACAAUAGUAUGCUCACUGGUUAUUAUCUUUCGAUGAACCAAGCAUAAAAGUGUGAGUUGAUGGAAUUUAAUGGAAAUUUUUUACUGUAGUGGAAGGCAAUCAGUGAUGAUUAAGAUUGCAUUGCACACAACUGCAAAAGCCGAAGCUGCACAAUUUACCACAGACACUUCAUAGUAGCAUGGUUAGGUAGAUUUAAAAUGAGAAAGUGUAUAUGCUUGCGGAGGUGAUGUUUCGAAGUGGGCCCCUUAAAAGUGCAUGGAGUGUUGAAGUCGUCACUUCCGUGCAGUGAAAGACAGAGCAUCCAUGCUCUUUGUGACAUAUGUCAACAGUGCUCCUCAUACGAGAAGAGAAAGGAUGUGCGGGGUGAGCAGGUCGUUGCAUCUGAGGGCAAUUCAGCACAUAAUUUAUGGAGCAGAGAGGAGCAUCUCUGUGCUGCAUGGCAAUACGCUAAACAUUUGACACAUUCAACACAAGCCUUGCACGCACCAUCCUUCAUAUGCCAGUUCCAGUGGCAGAGAAUGAUAGUGUAGCGGAGAAAGGAGAGGCAAUCAAGACAACUGUGGACCUCACCUAUAUGUUCCAUUCACAAGCUUCACACCCAAUUUUGCAGUCAAGCUGUGUGUGGAAGACCAGUGGAUGCUGAUGGUCGAAAUGGUAAAAAACCGAGUCCUUUGUGCCUCCAGAAGGACAACUAGCUAUUCUGAUGAUAAUAUUGUUUGUGUUUGUUGUUACAGAAUGAUAGAUUGGUUACAUCAUAUAGUCAGCACUUUACCUUUGAGAGGUGAGAACCAGAUCUUUGUUCCGGCAAAUGCAUCAACUUGCUUCAGCAAAUAAGAUUUAUAAAGACAGCGACUUUCUUUUCUGAUGUAUCCUGUUCGUAUCCAGAAGCUCUUGGAUCUGAAUAAUGCAAUCUAAGACUAUGUUGUCUCACUGGUUGAUUGGUUUUCGUCCAGGAGCUAGAAUUGUUGCUUCAGUCAGAAAUUCAAGUUGCCAGGGCCAAUGUGAGAAAAGAAUGCUGAAAUAUAGAUUUCUUUUUUGGGAGGCUUUAGUCCAAUAUAACCGAAUUUUGGUAUACUGCAGAUGUUAGAAUGGAACAAUUCCCAUCUUCAUGUGCUGGAAAAGAAUUUACAGUUCAUGAAUGCAAAGCCAUAUCGAUAGUAUGCAAAAGCUUGAGUCUAGUCUGUACAAACUACACCUGUCUGAUAUUCAUUUUUCGAGGAAAUAAUAAGACCGGCAAGCUUCCUGACGAGUUGAUUCAUAAUCAACUUAUUCAUCCCAAUUUUAGUGCAUUAAUUCAUAACAUGAAGCAAACAAGUCUCACACUCAAAAAUAUGAUAUUUUUCUGCUUUUGAUGCAGAGAAUAACAAUAUCGGAUGUCAAGUGUUAGCAGUGAUUCUGGACUUGCUUGAGAACGUAAAUUGAACCAUCAAACAGGAAGGUUGUCCCCUGCCUUCCCAAUUCCUUUCUUCUGGAUAAGUGCCUCCCCAAUUCUGCAACUACAUGCACUUUGCUUGCAUCUUUUUGAGACCUGCAUUGCCUCUUUGCUUUUCCUGCGGAAUUGCAAUUUUUUCAUCUAGUUCAGCAAUAGUAAGGUCUUCAGGUACUUCCAUUACUUUAAAAAACAUUUGGUAUUACCAUAAUUUCUGUUGAUUAUAACUUAUUGUGGAGAAUGAGUCUAUAGAUGAUGUUAAAGAAAGAAAAAAGAACAGGGCUAUUCACCACAUCACAAGGCAGCAUCUUGUAUCUCUUUGUUGGCUAGUUGUCAGUUUAGUGAGAAAGCACUUCUGUGAUGAAAGCAUACCGUAGGUAAAACACAUUCGAUAAAGUAAUCAAUGCACGGGCAUUCAUCGCAGCUGGAAGCACCUUGAUUCAGGUCUUUUUUCUCUCAAAGGUCACAAUAGUACUCACCGGCAUGAUCUUCGAUGGACGAAGUGUAAAGUGUGAGUUGAUGGAGGUGAUGGUGAUCUUUUAUCGUUGGUGGAAUUGUGGAAGAUAGUACUCACUGGCAUGAUCUUUGAUGGACGAAGUGUAAAGUGUGAGUUGAUGGAGGUGAUGGUGAUCUUUUAUUGUUGGUGGUAGUUAUGGAAGGCAAUCGUGAUUGACAUUAAGACUGCACUUCACAAGAACGUGAAAGUUGAAAGUGCAAAAUUUACCAGACAAUGCAUAGGGAAGCGUGGAUCAGUAGAUCUAAUAUAAGAAAGAGCAUACGCUCUUGGAGGUGAUGUUUCAAAGUGGGCCUAUUAAAAGUGCAAGGAAUGUUGAAGUCAAAGUUGCAUUUUACGCAGAGAAAGACAGCGUCAAUGCUCUUCACAACAUGCGUUAGUGAGCGUUCCUUCCUGAUAUGGGAAGAAGUGGCUGUGCCAGGGUGAACGGGGUGUUGCAUAACUGAGGGCAAUUCAGCACAUGAUUUAUGGAGUAGAUGAGAGCAGCACUGCUCCAUCGGCAGUGGAUGAUCGUGAAUUGGAGAAAGAAGAGGCAAUCCAGGCAACCAUAGACGUGACCUAGUAUGCUUUGCACUCGAUUCUGGUUUCAAGCUUCACGUGGAGGGACACCAGUAGAUGCCGAUGGGCGAAAUGGCAAAAAAACUGGGCCUUUCUUGCCAUCCAGGUCUUGUGAACCUAGACUUAUAGCCGCACAGUCCAUGUCAAGGCUGAACUUGCAUUCGCUGCACCGGAAACUAUAUGGCAGGCAUUACAUUGGAGGUCUACCAAUUGACCGAAAGCAAGAGAGAUGGUGAUCAUGGAGAGACGGGCAUUGCAUCUCUGGGGGGAGAUUUGGCGCAGCUCUCAUGGAGAGAGAAUACACACGUGUACCAUCAAUAGACCUCCUCGCAGGCUUCACAUUUGAUUCUACUUUUUUUGUCUCCGAGAUGAUGGGAUGUGAGCAGAUGCUAAUGAGCAAAACGUUGGAUGGUCGCAUUCUCAGAUUCCUCAUCAGGCUUAGAAUUGUGAGUAGGUAGACGAAGCAAUAUCGGGCUGUGCAGCAACGCUUAACCAUCCGAACGGCAAGAAGGAAGCCUGCUCACACGCAUGGCAACUCCGACAAUCCUCCGCAUCAUUGCCUAGCAGUCAAGUCGGGGCAGCGGGUGAAACGGGGGUCCUAGGGCGGACAGCAUGCCAAAUUCAGUGCAACUGGUGAAAGAAAAAUUGACACGAUUCACGGCAGUGGGCUGAGCCGCGGAGCGAAGACCAGCACGCGAGACAUUCCAAGCAACUACAACUUCCGCGUAGGUUCCGGAGACUCAAUGCAUGAUUGCCAAGGCAAAAUUAGGAGAUAAAAAAAACAUUUUGAAUGGAGUUAUGUCAACACGAAGCAAAUGAGGUGACAUGAAUUGUACCCCACUCCCAUAUUAUUUGAUGUUGUAUUUCAGUGUUCAUCCGUCCAUUUUUAUUUUAGUUUAUUUAUGCUUCAACGCAAUAGUUAAUAAAACUAAAGUGGCCCAUGAAAAGUUUUAUAUCUUGUUCAUUUAAAGUCAGCUGCAAUUAUAUGAGGUCUUAAAAGUGCAUUCACCCUGGGCUAGUCUAUACAUUCAUCAGAGUUCUUAUCCAACUUUUUUCUAAAAGUAACUUUUGCGUAAGACAAUUUUGUGAUAACAGUUUUGUGGUAAUCGUUUAAAAAGCCAAAUUCACAAUUUUUUUUAAAAAUUUUACGAGUUAUUUUUUUAAUUUAUUAUUCGAUUGCAUUUACAUGUAAAAGUAAUGUUUACAUUUGCCAUUAAAUACAAUUCGUACAAAUAGUAUGAGGCGAAUCUACUUUUUUUUAGUUAUCAAUGUCUAUAAAUGCACAUGUUCUGCAGCACCCUUGAUUUGUAAGCUAUGUCCAUAUGGCUCAUUGAAGCAGUAAUUGUAAUUAAACUUGUAAUUUUCUUUUAAAUCUUUGAAUAGAACUCGAUUUUAUUUUCAAAAACUAAAUAAUUAUCUGUAUUGGUUAUUUAAAAAAAAAAUACAGAUUGAAGUUGUUACAGACCCAAUUCACAUAUACAACCUACAACUUCAACUAAUUAAAUUGAAUUUAGAUCCACGGAUAAAAAGUUGGCAUUUGUAUAAACUAUGAAGACUAAGACUGAGGAGAAUAUUUCUAGAAAGAGCAAAACAAAAUAGAGAGGUGCUCUUCCGAGUAAUUACAAGUAAACCUAUCCAAAUGAUAAAAUGAACUACAUUGGGAUGAAAUAAAGAUUAUGAUGCAUGUACAUUUUUCAUCUAUGGUGAUCAUCUGCUUCUUUUGCUAAAAAUUUGAAUUUAUUAUACUAAUCAAAGUAACGAUUGGUCCGACCUUGAUUUUAAACCGGUUCACAUCCUUUUUCUAAGGCAAUAAAGAAAAAAAAAAAGACAAGAUGCUCUCUUUUGUCAUAUUUAUUCUCUCCUGCUAAGGUGUUCACGUGUACAUAUAGACCUCUUUUCAAUCUCCUUUAUUGACUCUUACCACUUUUCAAUCUCCUUUAUUGACUCUCUCUCUCUCUCUCUCUCUCUCAUAGAGAGUUACCAAAGGGUCUUAGGGGAACCUUUGGUGUUCACCUUGCAAAGGUUGGACUAUGCUGCGUUACAUGAUAAUCGUAUGGCCACUCAUGGGUGGAAAUGGGGCCUUCAUGAAACUUGGGAACUUUUUAACAACAAAAAACCAAUUUGAGUAGAAGCGCGAUUAAAAUUAAAAUUUGAGAUUUUUUUAGGAAAUUAGCAAAAUUCAUACUUCCAUCAACAAUCCAAGGUGUCUUAAACCGAAGAAAAUGCAAUCUUUUGUAAGUUAAAAACCUAUUUUUGCAAUAUUUCACCAAGAAAAAAUCCACGCUGCUUCAAAAGUAUUUUAGUAGGAUUUCGUAUAUCCAACAAUUAUAGAAAUAGGUGAGUUCGUGCAUAAAACAUGGCGACAUGAGGAUGCUCAUGUUGCGAUAUAUUAUUUGCACAAUAAAUGUGUAAUCAUAGAAAGGGAGGGGCGGCUAUUAUUGCAAUAUGAAAUUAGUAAGAUUAUAAUGAUACUCCUUACCAAAAACAAAGAAGAAGAAGAUUAUAAUGAUAUUGAGAAACAAUAAUGAUAUAUUAAUGUAUGUUUUCAUUUUAUUGACUUUGUGAAUAAGAUUUCAUUUAUCUAUUGUCACACCCCAACUCUAUAAAAUAAGGAAAACAACACCACCAUGGUCUUGCCCAAAGGAUGCAACUUCAUAUUAUCAAAUAUAUAUAUAUAUAUAUAUAUAUAUAUAUAUAUUCAUCUAUAUACUUGAUAAAUAGUGAGUUGGUUACAAAAUCAAGGGUUCUGAAUUUUUUUUUUUUAAAAUGUGUGAGUGUAUCUCCAAACUCAAUUAAACCCCACAAAUAUCAUCCUAGACAUAUAUGAGUAUCUAAACUCACAUCCAAAUCCAAAUGCAAAAAAUUUCUCGCCAAUAAUGCUUGCGUCCUAUUUUAGCUUACCUGAAAAAAGAUUUGGAAUGAAUAGUGUGAGUAACCACAGCUUAGUGACUAAUCCAAAUCUCUUCUAAGUAGAUCAAGCAUCUAUUGUGAUAAAGCAAUAACAAAGAUUCAUCUAUCCAAAUCCAAUAUAUAAUGUACAAUAAAAUCAAAAUAUGAGGAAUCACUUUAACGCAACUUUAGACUAAUCAAUUAUAUUCAUUCAAAUUUCAAAUACCAAAAGGGUGGUACACGCUCCAUCUGGUUUUAUGCAACAAAUAUAUUUUAAACAUUACUUUUUCGUUUAAAAAAAUCAUAUGGUGCAUUGUUUUUCACAACUUAUAAUAUUUCAAUUCACAAUCACUUUCAAGACACGAGCUUACAAAUUUGUAGAGGAUAACAACCACCCCUAAAUAAAAUCCAAAUUGAAAGUUCGCCACUUAAAAAGUUUCAAAGUCAUAUCAAAGAUUAACUAAAUGUCAAACUUACAUGUGAACUAACCUCAACUAAAACUUUAGUAGGCGAUACCGUAUUCUUGAGUCAAAUCGUCCACUUGACAAAAGAUCUUCAAACAAUUACUUUGCAAACAGAGUCAACCUCAUCUUAAAACUCCAAUUCAAGCGAGCUUACUUUUAGUAGAAAACUCUUUUGAAUUACUAAAAGACCAUAAAGCCAAAAGAUGAUUGGAGAAGGGUGAAAUCCAUUGCCAAAUACAGUAAUUUGAAAACCAUUUUAGUAGCAUGCAAAAUUUUAAAAAUUUAUCCCAAUCAAAUUGCAAACCUAAAUUGACUUUCCUGAAGUCCUACUUUGCACUACCCUAAAAUUUCUUUACAAUAUAAUUUCAUAGCUUAAAAACCUCUAAAAUCAACCUAGCAACAUAGAACCCAUACCAAACCUAAUUUAUAGUUUAAUUACGAAAGCUCCUUUAAUUAGAUAAAUAAAAGUUUCAAAUCCUUACCAAUUGCUAAGAAACAGAAUUAAUCCGGUGCAUACAGCAAGAGCUCCCUUUAUCUCCUCUGUCUUUUUCUCGGUCUCUCCAUACUCUACUUUCCUUCUCUCUUUUUUUCGUGUUCUUCUUGGCCAGACUGUUUUCAAUUUUUUUCACUCUUUUUGCUCUAGUAAUUCCCUUACCACCACAGCAACUGAAGCAAGACCAAAGAAAGGCCUUUAACGAUACACUUGGGCUUGGCCUUUGUGUUUUGCUCUUAUUUAUUAUUUUUUGCCAGCCCGGUUAUUGAAACUUUAUUCUUGUACAUGAAUCUUCCAGGUAUUACCUAUUGAUGUAACUAUGCGGACACACUGUACCGAGGAAAGGGAAAGGGGAAUUCAAUUGGCACCGGACAAAGUCUAUUUUUUUUUUUUUUUUGGAAAAAAUCACUAAAAAUCCAAAAUUUUGACCAAAGUGAUAAAUUUAUCCUAAGUUUUUUUUUUUUUUUUUGUGAUAUGAAAUAUCCCAAACUUUACCAAUCGUGAUACAUUUAUCUUAAAAAAAAAAAUUAUGACACAAAAAAUCAUGAACUUGUAUCAGUGUAACACAUUUACCCUUAAUUAUAGAACAUUUUGAUAUUUUACUUUUCUUUUUUUCUUCUUCUUCUUCUCUAGGGAAGAGAGUAGAAGAAAAAAGGGCAAAAAAAAAAAAAAAGGAAAAGCAGAAAAAAAAAGAAAAAGAAAAGAAGAAGAUGAAAAUGUCUUUAGUGGGGUAAAUGUGUCACGAUUAGUAAAGUUUGGAGAUUUUCAUGUCAUAAAAAAAUUUGAGGUAAAUUUGUCAUUUUAAGUAAAAUUUGAAGUUUGUGGCGGUCUUUUUUUUUUUUUUUUUUCCUAACACAAGAAAAAAUAAAUAGGAAAGUUCAGGGACAUGCUUCGAAGAGCGAAACCAAGAAUCUCAUGAAUGAUAGCCACGUGGUUCUUUCAUGCAGAGUGGCAUUAUUGUUAUUAGGUGAAGGCUUAUGAAGAGCGAAAUCAAGUAGGGGCAUCAUUCGUCUUCUCUUGUGAAGAGCAUAAGCGAAAUCCCUGGUUCCGAGAUCUCUUAUGAAGAGCGAAACUUAUGAAAGGCGAAGUCCCUGAUUCCGAGUUCUCUUACGAAGAGUGAAGCUUAAGAAAAGCGAAAGAGCACUCGCUCAUCUCAUCGCUUUUCAUGAGAUCACUCGCUCGGAUUCAUAUUCAUGGCUUUUCAUAGAGCACUCGCGCGGAACCAAUUCAUCGCUUUUCAUAAGAGCACUCGCUCGGAACCAUGAGUUGCGCUUUUCAUAAGCUUCGCUCUUCAUAAGAGAACUCGAACCACCAACGAUGUCCGCCAUGGAUUUUACCUCCAUCGUCUCUAUCCUGAUCAACUUCAUCCAAGUGAAAUUCCAGGGGAAGUCGAUUUCACCAUUCGAAACUCACCCCGUUGCCACCGGCGUUGCCAUCUGCAGCCUGCUCCUGCAUUUCUUGUUGCUGCAUCUUGCUAAUCUGGCACCCCCGUCUAGCGGCCGCACUCCUUGCGAUGGAGCAUCGCACCUCCUCAUCGACUUCACUGGUUCGAUAUUGGUGGCUUCGCUCGCGUGGUUGCUGCUCCACGACUCCUCCCACUCCGUCCUCUGGUUGUUCGUACUGCUCCUGUUGCUUUCCGUGAGUCUGUUGCGCGGCCUCUUUCAAAAACUUUGGCUUUGGUUUUAUGGCAAAAUCUUUGCCAUGAUUUUCCAUGUGGCGCCAUCUCGUCUAUGGCAUGGUGGAAGAGCGCUGCCAUAUCCGCCGCGCCUGGUUGUGGAUCUGCAUUUGUUGCUGGAAGUCUGAGCGCCCUAGUUGUUCGACUUACUGUUUCCUGUUUGGAAAAACUAAUUUUAAUCGUAUGACUACUUUAAAUCAAAUUAUUAGUACUUUAGGAAGCUAAGCUAGUUUUGUAUAAGGUGCACUCGGGCCUUUCUUCUGUUUAUCUGAAUACAUGUCCCCAAGCAUUCGACAUCAUUGAAUUAUCUCCAUUGGCCGUAAGAAAGGAGAGCAGGGAACAAGUAAAAACCACCAGUGUAUCUUUUCUAUUCCUAGCUGUGAACGGUGAUGGACCUUGUAGCGACUAGAUCCGAUUAAGAUAGGCUUAUUCCUAAAAAGAAAUUGGGAUCUAUUGUUAUCAAAGAGAUUGACGAUGAUAAACAAUUGUUAUGACAUAGUAGAAUGGUCUUUUCUAGUAGCCAUAUAAGGUGUAGUAAUUGUUCUUGAGGUUAUAGCUUCUGACCUCUUUGAAAGCAUUGCUGAGUGUUGCAGAUUUCCUUCUUUUUCUCUUUGUAGCUUUCUGUUUGGCCAGUGGAUGGACACGUAUCAUUUUACAUUCUUUGCUGGUGUACUAUGGUUUUGCUCAUUUAUCCAUAUGAACUGGGAUAAACUGAUGCCUUGGAGACGCGAGCACAGCUACAAUUUCAAAAGCUUUGAUCUGACACUAACAUCAUUGACUGAUCCAAAUUAAAAUGAAAGAUGUCAGCUUUUUCCAUCACUAUCACAUAUACACCAUUACUGCUUACUAGCUAUUCCGAUGAUAAUAUAGUUGUAGUUUGUCAUUGCAGAAUGUGGGAGUCAUUAUAUCAUAUAGUCUUCAUUUGACCUCUGAGAGAUGACAACUAGAUCUUUGCUGUGGCAAAUGCGUUAACUUGCAGUCAAAGACUAUGUUGUCUCGCUGGCUGAUUGCUGCAGCCAAGGUGAGAAAAGAAUGCUGAAAAGUUGAUUUUUUUCCAUAGGCUUUAGUUCGAGAUUACUGAAUUUUGGCAGACUGUAGAUGUUAAAACCGAACUUUUCCCAUCUUCGUGUGCUAUAGAAUUUACAGUUCAUGUAUGCAAAGCUAGUUGGAUAGAAUGCAGACGCUCGAGACAAGUCUGUACAAACUACACACAUUUGAUGUCCGUAUCUGAGGAAAUAAUUAGACCAGCAAGCUUCUUGACAAGUUGAUUCAAAAUCAAAUUAUGCAUCCCAAUGUUAAUACUUUGACAUAUGACAGAGCACACAAGUCUUGCACUUCAAAAAUAUGAUAUUUAUCUGCUUUUUCUGCAGAGAACAACAAUCUUGGAUGUCAACUGUAGCAAUGUGUCUAAUUGACUUGCAUAAGAACGUGAGUUGAAACAUCAAACAGGAAGGUAGGUUCUCCUGACUCCCGAAUUCUUUUUUUCUUGAUAAGGGCCUCACCAACACUGCAACUACAUGCACUUCACUUGUGGCUUUUAGAGACCAGCAUUGCACAUCUUUUCUUGAGUACCUAUUACGUGCUCAUUCUUUUCAGGUCUAUCCACAAGCCUAAAUGUUUAUUGCCGAAAACGAUUCCCUGGAGAAUUAUCAUGAUACUAAGUCAAAUAAUGAAGCUAAGUAGGUAAUGUACAGUGUAACUUAAGACUGCAGGACUGUCAAAAGCUUCUUCUAAUUCAGUAGCAGAUACUUCAAAAUGUUAAUGUUAAAUGGAGGCCAAAUGUUACUGAAGAGACUGAAAAUAAUUCACCAAUUAUUAGAGAAUAAUGGGGAGAUGUUUAGCCUUUUUUUUUUCGAGGUUACUUAAGAUUCCACUAGACCAAAAGAUUUGGAAGUUUCUUCCCUACUGGAGAGAAACAGAGGGAUGCUCAUGAAAAAUGGCACUUCUACUAGCAUUUUCAGACACCAAUUCUUCAUUAUCAAAUUGCCACCUGUCAAACGUUGUCAUAUGGUCGUUUUAGUCUACAAAAUAAAGUCAAAAUUGUUUUUGAGACUAAAGCUUCUGAACUCUUUGAAAACAUCACAAGCAUCACAGUUUUGCUUUUCUUUUUCUGGCGAGUCUCUUCGUGACUUUCUGGUCAGCCAGUGGAUCUAUAUGUGUUGUUUUACACACUUUUUGAUGGUAUACAAUGGUUUUGCUCAUUUAUCCAUAUGAACUAGGAUAAAUAGAUGCCUUGGAGACACGAGCACAGCUGCAAAGCAGAAACUUUGUUCUAUCAUCAUGGAGUUAUCCAUAUCAAAAUGAAAAAUGAUAGUUUUUGAUCUCUGUCCCAUAUGCAUGGGUACUGCUUACUAGCUAUUCUGAUGAUAAUUUUGUUUGAGUUUGUCAUUGCAGAAUGACAAGUGGUUACAUCAUAUAGUCAGCACUUUACCUCUUAGAGAUGACAACUCGAUCUUUGUUGCUGCGAAUACAUCAACUUGCUUCAGCAAAUAAAAUUUAUGAGGGCAGCGAAUUUUUUAGUGAUGUAUCCUGUAUGUAUCCGGAAGCUCUUGGAUCUGAGUAAUGCAAUCUAAGACUAUGUUGUCUCACUGGCUGAUAGGUUUUCGUCCAGCAGCUUGAUUUGUUGCUUCAGUCAGAGAUUCAAGUUGCCAGGGCCAAGGUGAGAAAAGAACACUGAAAGAUAGAUUUCUUUUUUGGGAGGCUGUAGGUCAAUAUAACCAAAUUUUGGUGGACCGCAGAUGUUAGAACCAAACUUUUCCCAUCUUCAUGUGCUGGAAAAGAAUUUUUACAGUUCAUGAAUGGAAAGCCAUAUAGAUAGUAUGCAAAACUUGAGACUAGUCUGUCUUGAGGCUAGUCUGUACAAACUACACACACCUGAUAUUCAUUUUUCGAGGAAAUAAGAAGACCAGCAAGCUUCCUGUCAAGCUGAUUUAUAAUCAAAUUAUGCAUCCCCAUGUAGUACUCCAACUCAUAACAUAAAGCACGUAAGUCUCAUACUAAAAAAUAUGAUAGUUAUCUGCUUUUGCUGCAGAUAACAAUAUCGGAUGUCAAGUGCUAGCAGUGAUUCCAAUUGACUUGCCUAAGAGCAUAAGUUAAAACAUCAAACAGAAAGGUGGUCUCCUGCCUCCCCAAUUCUUUUCUUCUGGAUAAGUGCCUCCCCAACUCUGCAAUUCUGCGCACUUCAUUUAGUUCAGCCAUAGUGGGGUCUUUAGGUACUUCCAUUACUUAAAAAAAACAAAAAAAUUGGCCUUACCACAUUUUCUGUUGAUAAUAACUUAUUGUGGAGAAUGAGUCUAUAUAUAAUGUUAAAAAAAGAAAAAAGAACAGGGCUAUUCACCACAUCAUAUGGCAGCAUCGUGUAUCCAUUUGUUGGCUAAAGUCAUUUUGGCGAGAGAGCACUUCUGGGAUGAAAGCAUACUGUGGGUAACACAAAUUCGAUAUGAGUAAUAAAUGCUCAAGGGCAUUCAUUGUAGACAGGAGCACCCAGAUUCAAGUCUUUUUCCCUAAAAAGUUACAAUAGUACUUACCGGCAUCAUCUUCAAUGAAUGUAGCAUAGAGCGUGAGUUGACGGAGGUGAUGGCAAUCUUUCAUUGUUGGUGGUAAUUGUGGAAGGCAAUCAUGAUUGACAUUAAGAUUACACUGCACCAAAACGUGAAAGUUGAAUGUGCAAAAUUUACCAGACACUAUACGCAGGUCAGGUGAUCUAAUAUAAGAAUGAGCAUAUGCUCGUGGAGGUGAGGUUUCAAAGUGGGCUUUUUAACAGUGCAUGGAAUGUUGAAGUUGAAGCCGCAUAUUGCGCAGAGAAAGACAGCAUCAACGCUUUUCACAACAUGCGUCAGUGAGUGUUCUUCCCUGAUGCGGGAAGAAGUGGAUGUGCCAGGGUGAACGGGGUGUUGCAUAACCGAGGGCAAUUCAGCACAUGAUUUAUGGAGCAGAUGAGAGCAGCCUUGCUCCAGCAGGUCAGUAGAUCUAAUAUAAGAGUGAGCAUAUGCUCAUGGAGGUGAUGUUUGAAAGUGGGCCUUUUAAAAGUGCAUGGAAUAUUGAAGUCGAAGUCGCAAUUUGCACGGAGAAAGACAGUGUUAACGCUCUUCACAACAUGCAUCAGUGAGUGUUCCUUCCUGAUACAGGAAGAAGGAUGUGCCAGGGUGAACGGGGUGUCGCAUAACUGAGGGCAAUUCAGCACAUGAUUUAUGGAGCAGAAAAGAGCAGCUCUGCUCCAGGCAGUGAUACCUUUGGACUUAUUCAUCACAAGCCUUGCACACAACAUCCUUCAUGUGACCCAGCUCCAGCGGCAGCGGAUGAUUGUGAAUUGGAGAAAAGAAGCGGCAAUCCAGACAAGCAUAGACCUCACCUAGUAUGCUCCAUUCACAAGCUUUGCACUCAAUUCUGGUUUUAAGCUUCACGUGGAAGGACCCCAGUCGAUGCUGAUGGGCAAAAUUUUAAAAAACUGAGCCUUCCUCGCCCUCAGAUCUUGUGAACAUAGAAUUAUAGCCACAGAGUCUAUAUCAAGACUGAAAUUGCAUUCGCUGACCAUAUGGCAGGCACUACAUUGGAGGUCUACCGAUUGAUCAAAAGCAAGAGAGAGGGUGAUCAUGGAGAGACGGGCAUUGUGUCUCUGGGGAGAGAUUCGGCGCAGCUCUCAUGGGGAAAGAAUCUACACGUGUAGAAUCGAUAGACCUCCUCACAGGCUUCGCAUUUGAUUCUACUUUUCGUCCCAAGAAGAUCGUGUGAGGGGAUGCUAAUGAGCAAAAUGUUGGAUGGUCGCAUUCUCAGAAUCCUCAUCAGGCUCUGUUGUGACUAGGCAGGUGAAGCAAUAUCGGGCCGUGCAGCAACGCUUAACCAUCCGAAUGGCAAGAAGGAAGCCUGCUCACAUGCAUGGCAACUCCGACGAUCCUUGUCAUCGUUGCCACCUAGGCGGUCCAGUCGGGGUAGCAGGUGAGACGGGUGUCCUUGGGCGGACAGAAUGCUAAAUUCAGUGUGACUAGACAAUUCACAGCAGUGGGCUGAGCUGCAGAUCGGAGACCAGCACGCGAGACAUUCCAAGCAAGUGCAACCUUCUUCGCUCAGGUUUCGGAGAUUCAAUACAUGAUCACCAGGGCAAAUUAGGAAAUAAAAAAGCGUUUUGAAUGGAGUUAUAAUUACCGACCAGAAAAAGAAAAGAAAUGAGUUAUAAUUGCUGAGUUACAUCAACACGAAGCGAAUAAUGUGAAAUGAAUCGUACCCUACUUCCAUAUAUUAUUUGACUUUUGUAUUUCAGUGUUAAUCUGUACAAUUUUUUCUACAUAUAUGCUUUAAUGCAAUAGUUAAAAAAAACUAAAGUGGCCCAUGAAAAGUUUCAUUUCAUUUUUCAUUUAGUAGUCAGCUGCAAUUAUAAUAUAAUUAUACAUAAAUAACCGAUAAAUAAAACUCCAAACAUUGGAUAAGGUCAUAAAGGUGAAAUGCACCUUCGGCUUGUCUAUACAUUUAUUAGAAAGUUCUUACCCAACUUAAUAUAAAAGUAAAUUACUUAAGACAAUAUUGCGAUAACAGUUUUCUAUGUUGCUAAUUAUUUAUUAAUCUAUAAAAAUACAUGUUUGGCGGCAAUCUUGAAUUCCAGGAUAUCGAAAAAGAGUUAUAUUGAUGCUCCAUAAGCUAUGACGAUAAGGUUCACCAAAGCAAUAAUUGUAAUUAAAUCUGUAAUUUUCUAUUAAAAUCUCUUAAGAGAACUCGAUUUCAUUUGCAAAAAUUAAAUAAUUCUACCCAUUGGUUAUUCUUGAAAUCAAAAUAUAGAUUGAAGUUAUUAUAGACCCAGUUUAUAUGUUUCCAUCCUACGAUUUCGGCUAGUUGAACCAAAUUUAGAUCCGGGGUCAAAAUUUGGCGUUUGGAUAAACUAUAUGAAGACUAAGACCCAAGAGAAACUUUCUAGAAAGAAAAAACAACACAAAGAGGUACUCUUCCGAGUAAUUAUAAGUAAACCUAUCCAAAUGAUAGAAUGCAUUGCAUUUGGAUGAAAUCAAGAUUAUGAUGCAUGCGCAUUUUUCAUCUAUGGUGAUCUCUUCAUUCCACCAAUUUGUACAUUCCUUUUGCUAAAAUUUUGAAUUUAUUAUACUAAUCAAAGUUACGAUUGGUCUAACCUUGAUUUUGAAUCGAGUCACGUCCUUUUUCUGAGGCAGCCAAAAAAAAAAAUGAGGAGAGAAUGAUCUCUUUUCUCCUACGAGGGUGUUUGUGCGUACAUAUUACGAGGGUGUUUGUGCGUACAUAUAAUCCUCUUUUCAGUGUCUUUUAAGGUGUUUGUGCAUACAUAUAAUCCUCUUUUGAGCGACUUUUCAAUUUCCUCUCUCCCCUCAAACCCCACUCCCCCCUUCCUUGUGAUGGAGUUUCCAAAGGGUCUUAGGGGAGGCUUCAAUGUUCACAAAGAUAUGGUUGGACCAUGUAGCAUUAUAUGAUAAUCCUAUGUCUACUCGUGGGCAAAAAUGGGAUCAUUGUGAGAGUUGCGGAUUUUCUGUUAAACAAGAAAAAAAAAUUGCCGUGAAAUUGAGAUUUUGUUAAAGUCAUGCUCUGUGACACUCUAAAAUUUCAUUACAACAUAAUUUAAUGGCUUAAAAACGUCUAGAAUCGACCCAGCAACAUAAAAAUCCGUACAAAGCCUAUUUUACUGUUUAACUACGGAAACUCCUUCAAUUAGAUAAAUAAAAGUUUCGAAUCCUUAUCGAUUGCUAUGAAAUAGAAAUAAUCUGGCUUGACCAAGCCUCUCAAACAUGCACGCAGUGAGAGUCCCCUUUUGUCUCCUCUCUGUCUUUUUCUCAGUUUGUCCAAACUCUGCUUUCCUUCUUUUUUUGUCUUUUGGGUUCUUCUUGGCCAUACUCUAUUUUCUCUCUUUCUGUUCUUGCAAUUCCCUUGCGACGGCAUCAACAGAAGCAAGAUCAAAGGAAGGGCUUAAACGAGACACUUGGGCUUGGGCUUCAUGUUUGGCUCUUAUUUAUUAUUUUUUGCGAGCCCGGUUAUUGAAACUUUAAUCUUGCACAUAAAUCUUUAUAGGUUAUUACGUAUUGAUGCAAACUACGCGGAUUGAGAAUAAGGUCUUGGGUCAUCUUGCGCAGCAGCCCUAAUCCCCUCCCCUCCUCGAGCUCGCGUCCGUGUUGCGCCCGCUUUAGUAGAAAUCUUAGCAGCAGCGCAAUCACCCGGUAGCUACCCAUUGGAAGACCGAGUUACCCAAGUCGUCUUCUCACUUUCCAAUUUUGCGAUAUGCAAAUGUUCAGUAAUGGGUCUGGUGAGACCUCGGGCCUUGCCAACCUCUAGCGAAGUAUACUCAUUGAAUUUUUUUGAUAAUUUUCCUCUGAAAAGUCAAAUUAGAGUUUUCGCACCAACGGCGGAGCACGUUUUUUAAUGCAUAAGUUUAUAACCACCCCUGACUCCUCUCUCUCUCUAUCUUUUCAAUAUUAUUUAUUAUUUAUUUGUCUAAGAUAAUAAUAAAUUGAGAUUUCUACUUUUUUUCUAGUUAUCAAUUUAUCCAUAAAUGUGCAUGUUCUACAACAAUCUUGACUUCCACAUUAUUGAAAAACAAUUACAUAUGAUAUGAUGCUCUGUAAGGCAUGUGGAUAAGGUUCCCCAAAGUAGUAGUUACAAUUAAACUUGUAUUUUUAUUAUCUUUGAAUAAAACUCAAUUUCAUUUUCAAAAAUUUAAUAAAUGUCCACAUUGUUUAUCUUGAAAACAAAAUAUAGAUCUAAGUUGUUAUAGACCUAGUUCACAUAUACAACCUACGACUUCCACUAGUUAGGCUGAAUUUAGAUGCAUAGGUCAAAAGUUGGCAUUUGUAUAAAUUAUGACGAGUAAGACCCAGGAGAACAUUUCAAGAAAGAACAAACAAAAUAGGGAGGUACUCUUCCGAGUAAUCAUAAGUAUAAUAAGAAAUGAUAGAAAGAACUACAUUUGGGAAAAGGAAAACCACAUCGGUGUAGAGCUCAUAUAAAAAGGUUCUUGGAAGUCUUUCUAUCCUAACCUAACUUUACUAGGAGCUAUAAUGGUAAGAUUGUGAACUAAGUAGCAUCACCAUUGACACGCGACACGCAACACAUCAUUUCUCAAAAAUAGAGAAUUUUCACAUGUUGGGACAUGUUGUAUGUAAAAUGAUAAUUUUUUAUUCAUUAUUUUAAUUUGAUAAAUUCAAUUGCAUUCCAUUCCAAUAAUCCAUAAAAGUUGAAGGAAGAAAAAACAAACAAUCCACAUUCUACUAUUAAAUUUAACAUUUAACAAAAUGUCAAAAUAAUAAUAAUAAUAAUAAUACACAUUCCACCAUCAAAUAUAACAAGAAGUCUUUAUUUCCCCUUUUAUUUUUAUAUUUAUAUUUUGACCUAUCAUUUAUUGAAAUUUUUGAAAUUAACCCCAGAAUCACGUGUCGAAAUUCCAUACUCGUAUGUCAGGAGAGUUGAUUACGUCUCAGAUUUUUCGACACUCAUUCACCACAUGUUAGAACGUGUCGUAGUGUCGGACAAGACACAAAUGCUUCAAUGCUUCUUAAAUUGUGAACCAAAUUAUAGUGGUACAAUUGCUUUUGCUGCCAAUGUCAUCUCAGUAGCAAAAAAGCCAUGGAAAGAUCAUGAGGUACAUUACAUACUUCAAAACACCAACUUACCCGAAACAAGUAAAUUGCAACGAAUAUCAGAACUCCUGGGUCAAAUUAUUCCCCUCUGACUUAUCAGUCAUGAGGAAAUGAAAGGCAUGAGGAGAAUCAGAAAUGCAAUGUGGUCAUAGCAAAACCAAUCGCAUAAUGACAAGUUAACAGGGAACAUGCAAGAGCAAUUUAGCAUAAAUAUUGCAGUACUUUCAGCUAGUUUCGGGAAACGAAACACAUUACAGAGAACAUGAAGCAUCCCAGAACGUCUCCUUCUGUUUUGUUGUCUACACUGCAUAAUCUGAAUAAUCAUAAUUUACGGCUUCAUUACGAAAAUUCCUGCACUUAGAUAAAUAAAAGUUGUUGCUACCAAAUAGAAGUAAUCCGUCUUGUCGAGUUCUUCCAAGCGUGCAUGGAGCGAAAGCCCCCUUUGUUUCCUCUCUCUUUUUCUCCGUUUCUUUCCUUUAUUUCUUUUCUUUUCUUUUCUUUUUUUGUUCUUCUUGGCCAGGCUCUGUUUUCUCUCCUUUCUGCUCUUGCAAUUUCCCUUGCAAUGAAGCAAAGACUAAAGAAAGGGCUCAAACAAAACACUUAAGCUUGGGCUUAAGCUUGGGCUUAAUGUUUUGCUCUUAUUUAUUAUUUUUUGCAAGCCCGUUUCUUGCAACUUUAUUCAUGAAGAUACAUAUUUUAGGUUACUAUGUACUGAUGGAUCCUAUGUGGAGUGAGGAUAAGGUCACUCGAAAUUAAAGUUAGCAUAUCACUUUUUCGAGAAAAAUCAUAAAUCUAUUAUAUUUGUGUCAAUUUGAAUUAGUGUCAAUUCAGUCUCUCCCCCCCCUUGGGUCAAAGAAGACCAAGAAAAUCUCGAUUCAACAUAAGCUUGGGGUGCUAAUAAGGAGGACCUUGCUGGGUUCGUUCAAUCAACAAGCCUUAACGCCCUUGAGACGGGAUCAACUCCUUUUAUAAAUAUGAUACCACCAAAGUCAAGCAACACUGACUUCUUCCUAUUACUACGCUCCGUACCCUGGCUAGAGAGCAUGAAUGACUCUUCCCAGGAACGAUCAGAUGCAAACCUGUUAAAAGCGCCUUUCCCAUGUGGAAGAAGUUACUUGUGUGCCUUAUCCUUUUAACUAAUUUUGAUCGAAAAUUACUGAUAUGGACAUUAGUUGUCCUACAUGGCAUGCUUAGCCCUAAUAUGGAUAAUUUUUUAUUUAUAGUAAUUCAAUUUUUUUAUUUGUUAUUAUUAUUUUUUUCUUUAUUUCUUUAUUCUUCCUUGGCCAUUGCCUGGUGGGUUGGCCUCACCUAGGUGAGGGUCGCCAUUGCCCACCACAGGCUAGGCUAGGCUAGGCCAGGCGAGAGCAAUCCUAGGCAAGGCCACCUUGGCUUGGGUGAGGCCUUACGAGGGUUAGCCUCGCCUAGGCUAGAUUUGGUGAGGCCAUCACGCUCAGCUAUUGCCUAUGAUCAACAGAAGGAGGAAGAAAGAAAAAGAAAAAAAAAUUAGAGAAUAAAAAAAUAUAUUAAAUUAUUAUGAAAAUUUUUCCAUAGCCGUCCAUAUCAAUAUCUAGUCAAAAUUAAUUAGAAUGAUUAAAUUGAUACAAUUAUAAGAUUUAAGAUUAAAUGAAUAUAAAUGCGAUAGGCUUAUGACUUUUCUCUCUUGUCAAAAUAACCAAAUAAAAAAUAAAUCCGAAAGUUUAAGGCCUUCGUCCUCUCCAUAGUGCGGUGAGAAGUGAGGGUAGGGACAUCAUUUGAUAUUUAUUUUUUCAUGGAAGGUGGCACGGACAUCAAUUUAAUAAUCUUUCUUUUGACAUCAAUCUAAUACUCUUUAUUUUUGAAGUCCAUUCCAAUCAAGGACGUCCAAAUGCCCUUUUUCCAAGUUCCCUUUCAAAAAUUCUAAGGACGCAACAGUUAUCUUCCUUUGAAAAAUGUUAAGGAUCCUUAACAUUUUUCCAAGGGAGUCAUGAUUAAAGGACAUCCUACUCCAAAAGAAGUCGGAAAAGGAUGUCGGGAUGUCCUUUAAUCAUGACUCGAUGUCCUUUAAUCAUCACUCUCUUUCACAUAGAUGGAAAGUAUAAAUAAUGUCCCCGUCUUUGCCCCUCCUCACGGCGCCAUGGAUAUCCCCUCCAUUGUCUCUGUCCUGGUCAACUUCAUCCAGGUGCAAAACCAGGGGAAGUCGAUUUCACCCUUUGAGACCCACCCCGUCGCCACCCGCGUCGUCAUCUGCAGCCUCCUCCUGCAUUUCUUUUUCGGGCGUGUCGCUAAUCAGGCACCACCUUCUCGCGGCCGUGCCCCUUCUUGCGAUGGAGCAGCACGCCUCCUCUUCCACUUCACCGGUUUGACAUCGGUGUUUUUGCUCGCAUGGUUGCUGCUCCACGACUCCUUCCACUCCGUCCUUUGGUUCGUGCUGUUCCUGUUGCUUUCCAUGCGUCUGCUGCAGGGCCUCAUUCGAAAACUUUGUCUGUGGUUUUACCGCAAACUCGUUCUCAUGAUUAUCCGUGCGGCGUGGUCUCGUGUAUGGCAUGGUGGAAGAGUGCGGCCACAUUUUCUGCGCCCGGCCGUGGGUCUCCGUUUCACGCCGGAAGUCUGAGCGACGUAGUUGUUCGACUCUUCCCUGCUUGGAUUCAAUAAAUUUAAUUGUAUCACUGCUUUAAUACAAAUUAUUAGUACUCUAGGAAGCUAAGCUAGUUUUGUAUAAGAGGCAACUCAAGUCUUUGUUCUCUUUAUGGGAAGCCUUAAGGAGUCCCCAAGACUUCGACAUCAAAUUAUCUCUCGACCAUAAGAAAGGAGAGCAGGGGACAAGUAAAAAUCACCUAUGUAUCGUUCCUAAUCCUAGCCAUGAACGCCGAUGGACCUUGUAGCAGCUAGAUCCAAUUAAGAUAGGCUAAGCCCUCAAAAGAUAUUGGGAUCUAUUGUUAUCGAAGGGAUUGAAGAUACCUCAACAAUUGUUACGAAGAGAAGAAUGGCCGUAUCUAGUAGCAUAUAAAGGGUAGAUAUUGUUCUUGAGGUUAAAGCUUCUGACCUCUUUGAAAGCAUUGCGAGUGUUGCAAAGUUUCCUUCCAUUUCUGGUGAAUCUCUUUGUAGCUUUCUGUUUGGCCAGCUGAUCAAUAUGUGUCAUUUUACAUUCUUUGCUGGUAUACUAUGGUUUUGCUCAUAUAUCCGUAUGAACUAGGAUAAAUAGAUGCCCUGGAGACACGAGCGCAGCUGCGAUUUCAAAAGCCUUGUUCUAACAUCAUUGAGUGAUCCAAAUCAAAAUGAAAGAUGUCAGCUUUUUCAUCUCUGUCCCAUAUGCACCACUACUGCUUUCUAGCUAUUCCGAUGAUGAUAAAGUUGUAGCUUACCAUUGCAGAAUGAGAGUUGUUGCAUCAUAUAGUCUUCAUUUUACCUCUGAGAGGUGACAAUUAGAAAUUUGCUGUGGCAAACGCGUCAACUUGCAAUCUAAGGCCACGUUGUCUCACUGGCUGAUUGGUUUUUGGCUGGGAGCUUGAAUUGUUGCUCCAGUUGGACAUUCAAGUUGCCAGGGCCAACGUGAAAAAAGAAUGCUGAAUGUAGAUUUUUUUUUCUUUCAAGAGGCUUUAGUUCAAGAUAACUGAAUUUUGGCAGACUGUAGAUGUUAGAACAGAACUUUUCGCAUCAUCAUGUGCUGGAAAAGAAUUUCCAGUUCAUGAAUGCAAAGCUAGAUAGAUAGUAUGCAGAAGCUCAAGACUUGUCUGUACAAACUACAGACAUCCAAUGUUCAUAUUUGGAAAGAAUUAGACCAGCAAGCUUCCUGAUAAAUUGAUUCAUAAUCAAAUUAUGCAUCCCAAUGUUUGUACUUUGAUGUAUGACAUAAAGCACAAAAGUCUUCCAGUUCAAAAAUAUGACAUUUAUCUGUUUUUACUGCAGAGAACAACAAUCUUGGAUGUCAACUGUAGCAGUAAAUCCAAUUGACUUGUAUAAGAACGUAAGUCAAAACAUCAAACGGAAAAGUAGGUUCCCCUGACUCCCAUAUUCUUCUCAUAUUGGUAAGUCCCUCCCCAAUUCUGCAACUGCAUGCACUUUGCUUCCGGUUUUUGGAGACCAGCAUUGUGCGUCUUUUCUUGAGUACCUCCAAUUAUGUGCUCACUUUUUCCUGCAGAAUUUUCAUUUUUUUUCAUCUAGUUCAACAAUAGCAGGGUCUUCAGGUACUUGCACUAUUCCAGCGACUUGUAUUAAACACUAUUUCGUAUUAGCGCAUUUUCUGUUGAUUCUUACUUAUUGUGGAGAUGAGUCUAUAUAUGAUGUUAAAAAGGAACAGGGCUAUUCACCACAUCGCAUGGCAGCAUCUUGUAUCCAAUUUUGGCUGAAGUCUGUUUAGCAAGAGAGCACUACACUGUGAUACAAGCGCACCAUGGUAAAACGCAUUGGAUAUGAAUUAUCAAUGGUCCGGGGCAUUCAUCACAGUCAUAAGCACCCAGAUUUGUGUCCCUCAUUGCAAAGGGCACAAUAGUACUACUCACUGGUAUUAUCUUCGAUGAACAAAGCAUAAAGCGUGAGUUGAUGGAAGUUAAUGGCAAUCUUUUACUGUAGUGGAAGGCAAUCUGUGAUGAUUAAGAUUGCAUUGCACACAACUGCAAAUGCCGAAGCUGCACAAUUUACCACAGACACUUCAUAGUAGCAUGGUUAGGUAGAUUUGAAAUAAGAAAGAGUAUAUGCUUGUAGAGGUGAUGUUUCGAAGUGCACCUUUUAAAAGUGCAUGAAGUGUUGAAGUCGUCACUUCCGUGCAGUGAAAGACAGAGCAUCCAUGCUCUUCACGAAAUAUGUCAACAGUGCUCCUGAUACGAGAAGAAAAAGGAUGUGCAGGGUGAGCAGGUCGUUGCAUCUGAGGGCAAUUCAGCACAUAAUUUAUGGAGCAGAGAAGAGCAUCUCUGCUCUGCAUGGCAAUAGGCUAAACAUUUGACACAUUCAACACAAGCCUUGCAUGCACCAUCCUUCAUAUGGCAGUUCCAGCGGCAGAGAAUGAUAGUGCAGUGAAGAAAGAAGAGGCAAUCAAGACAACCAUAGACCUCACCUAUAUGUUCCAUUCACAAGCUUCACGCCCGAUUUUGCAGUCAGGCUGUGUGUGGAAGACCAGUGGAUGCUGAUGGUCGAAAUGGUAAAAAACCAGUUCCUUUGUGCCUCCAGAAGGACAACUAGCUAUUCUGAUGAUAAUAUUGUUUGAGUUUGUCGUUGCAGAAUGACAGAUUGGUUACAUCAUAUAGUCAACACUUUACCUUUGAGAGGUGAGAACUAGAUCUUUGUUCUGGCGAAUGCGUCAACUUGCUUCAGCAAAUAGGAUUUAUAAAGACAGCGACUUCUUUUGUGAUGUAUCCUGCUUGUGUCCCGAAGCUCUUGGAUCUGAAUAAUGCAAUCUAAGACCAUGUUGUCUCACUGGUUGAUUGGUUUUCGUCCAGGAGCUAGAAUUGUUUCUUCAGUCAGAGAAUCAAGUUGCCAGGGCCAAGGUGAGAAAAGAACGCUGAAAUAUAGAUUUCUUUUUUGGGAGGCUUUAGUCCAACAUAACCGAAUUUUGGUAUGCUGCAGAUGUUAGAACGGAACUUUUCUCAUCUUCAUGUUCUGGAAAAGAAUUUACAGUUCAUGAAUGCAAAGCCACAUUGAUAGUAUGCAAAAGCUUGAGUCUAGUCUGUACAAACUACACCUGUCCGAUAUUCAUUUUUUGAGGAAAUAAUAAGACCGGCAAGCUUCCUGACGUGUUGAUUCAUAAUAAACUUAUGCAUCCCAAUUUUAGUGCAUUAAUUCAUAACAUGAAGCAAACAAGUCUCACACUCAAAAAAUAUGAUAUUUAUCUGCUUUUGAUGCAGAGAAUAACAAUAUUGGAUGUCGAGUGUUAGCAGUGAUUCUGAUUGACUUGCUUGAGAACGUAAGUUGAACCAUCAAACAGGAAGGCUGUCUCCUGCCUCCCCAGUUCUUUUCUUCUGGAUAAGUGCCUCCCCAACUCUGCAACUACAUGCACUUUGCUUGCAUCUUUUUGAGACCAGCAUUGCCCGUUAUUUUUUUUUUUUUUUUUCAGUACCCUCAGUUGUGUGCUCACUCUCUCUGCUUUUCCUGCAGAAUUGCAAUUUUUUCAUCUAGUUCGGCAAUAGCAAGGUCUUCAGGUACUUCCAUUACUUUAAAAAACAUUUGGUAUUACCAUAUUUUCUGUUGAUUAUAACUUAUUGUGGAGAAUGAGUCUAUAUAUGAUGUUAAAGAAAAAAAAAAGAACAGGGGCUAUUCACCACAUCACAAGGCAGCAUCUUGUAUCUAUUUGUUGGCUAAUUGUCAGUUUUGUGAGAAAGCACUUCUGUGAUGAAAGCAUACUGUGGGUAAAACGCAUUCGAUUUGAGUAAUCAAUGCACGGGCAUUCAUCGCAGCUGGAAGCACCUAGAUUCAGGUCUUUUUUCUCUCAAAGGUCACAAUAGUACUCACCAGCAUGAUCUUCGAUGGACGAAGUGUAAAGUGUGAGUUGAUGGAGGUGAUGGUGAUUUUUUAUCGUUGGUGGUAAUUGUGGAAGGCAAUCAUGAUUGACAUUAAGACUGCACUGCACAAGAACGUGAAAGUUGAAAGUGCAAAAUUUACCAGACAAUGCAUAGGAAGUGCGCAUCAGUAGAUCUAAUAUAAGAAAGAGCAUAUGCUCGUGGAGGUGAUGUUUGAAAGUGGGCCUCUUAAAAGUGCAUGGAAUGUUGAAGUCAAAGCCGCAUUUUGUGCAGAGAAAGACAGCGUCAAUGCUCUUCACGACAUGCAUCAGUGAGCGUUCCUUCCUGAUACGGGAAGAAGUGGCUGUGCCAGGGUGAACGGGGUGUUGCAUAACUGAGGGCAAUUCAGCAUAUGAUUUAUGGAGCAGAUGAGAGCAGCACUGCUCCAUCAGCAGUGGAUGAUCGUGAAUUGGAGAAAGAAGAGGCAAUCCAGGCAACCAUAGACGUCACCUAGUAUGCUUUGCACUCGAUUCUGGUUUCAAGCUUCACGUGGAGGGACACCAGUAGAUGCUGAUGGGCGAAAUGGCAAAAAAGCUGCGCCUUUCUUGCCCUCCAGAUCUUGUGAACCUAGACUAUAGCCGCACAGUCCAUGUCAAGGCUGAAAUUGCACUCGCUGCUGCAGCGGGAAACUAUAUGGCAGGCAUUACAUUGGAGGUCUACCAAUUGACGGAAAGCAAGAGAGAUGGUGAUCAUGGAGAGACGGGCAUUGCAUCUCUGGGAGGAGAUUUGGCGUAGCUCUCAUGGAGAAAGAAUACACACGUGUACCAUCGAUAGACCUCCUUGCAGGCUUCGCUUUUGAUUCUAUUUUUCGUCUCUGAGAUGAUGGGAUGUGAGCAGAUUCUAAUGAGCAAAAUGUUGGAUGGUCGCAUUCUCGGAUUCCUCAUCAGGCUUAGGGUUGUGAAUAGGUAGACGAAGCAAUAUCAGGCCGUGCAGCAACGGUCAACCAUCCAAAUGGCAAGAAGGAAGCCCGCUCAGACGCAUGGCAACUCCGACAAUCCUCCGCACCAUUGCCUACUGGGCGGUCAAGUCGGGGCAGCGGGUGAAACGGGGGUCCUAGGGCGGACAGCAUGCCAAAUUCAGCGCAACUGGUGAAAGAAAAAUUGACACGAUUUACGGCAGUGGGCUGAGCCGCAGAGGGAAGACCAGCACGCGAGACAUUCCAAGCAACUACAAGACUUCCGCUUAGGUUCCGGAGACUCACGAUACACAUGAUAAAAUUUCUAUUUCUCUUUCUCUGUUUCCCGGAAUAGGUUUAGAGCAGAAAUCCUUUGGUAAUGCAAUUUGAUUUUUUUAUUUCUGGAACAGAUUUCUAUUCCAAAAAUAGAUUUGAAGAAAAAAUCAAAAGUUAAAAUUUUUAAUUUUUUAAUUUCUGAAAUAAAAACUGAGAAAUCAAUUUCUCUUAUAGAAAUUUUGUUAUGCGCACCCUUAAUGCAUGAUCGCCAAGGCAAAAUAGGAGAUAACAAAGCGUUUUGAAUGUAGUUAUAGUUACAUGAUGUCAACACAAAGUAAAUGAGAUGACAUGAGUUGUACACUACUCCCGUAUUAUUUGAUGUUGUAUUUCAGUGUUCAUUUGUACAUUUUUAUUUUAUUUUAUUUAUGCUUCAACGCAAUGGUUUAGUAAAACUGAAGUGGCCCAUGAAAAGUUUUAUAUCUUGUUCAUUUAAAGUCAGCCGCAAUUAUAUGAGGUCUUAAAAGUGCAUUCACCUUGGGCUAGUCUGUACAUUCAUCAGAGAGUUCUUCUCCAACUUUCUCUAAUUAAAAAAAAAAAAAGUAACUUACGGCUUUGCGAUAACAGUUUUGUCAUAGUUAUUUAACUUCACCUAUUUUUAAGUUUACAAGUUAUUUUUUUAAUUUAUUAGUCGAUUGCUUUUACAUGUAAAAGUAAUAUUUACAUUUGCCAUUAAAUACAAUUCAUACAAAUAGUAUGAGCGAAAUCUACUUUUUUUUUCUAGUUAUCAAUUUCUCUAUAAAUGCACAUAUUCUGCAGCACCCUUGAUUUGUAAGCUAUGUCGAUAUGGCUCAUUGAAGCAGAUAUUGUAAUCAAACUUGUAAUUUUCUGUUAAAUCUUUGAAUAGAACUCGAUUUCAUUUUCAAAACUAAUAAUUAUCUGCAUUGGUUAUUUUUAAAAAAAAUACAGAUUGAAGUUGUUACAGGCCCAAUUCACAUAUAUAACCUACAACUUCAACUACUUAAACUGAAUUUAGAUCCAUAGAUAAAAAGUUGGUAUUUGUAUAAACUAUGAAGACUAAGACCGAGGAGAACAUUUCUAGAAAGAGCAAAACAAAAUAGAGAGGUACUCUUCCGAGUAAUUACAAGUAAACCUAUCCAAAUGAUAGAAUGAACUACAUUUGGAUGAAAUAAAGAUUAUGAUGCCCCACAUUUUUCAUCCAUGGCGAUCAUCUGCUCGUUUUGCUAAAACUUUGAAUUUAUUAUAUGGUUGGUCCAACCUUGAUUUUAAACCGGGUCACAUCCUUUUCUGAGGCAAAAAAGAAAGAAGACAAAAUGCUCUCUUUUUUGUCAUAUUUAUUCUCUCCUACUUGGGUGUUUACGUGUAUAUAUAAACCUCUUUUCAAUCUCCUUUAUUGACUCUUACCACUUUUCAAUCUCCUUUAUUGACUCUCUCUCUCCCUCUCUCUCUCACUGAGAAAGUUACCAAAGGGUCUUAGGGGAACCUUCGGUGUUCACAUUGCAAUUAGUAGACUGUGCGGCGUUACAUGAUGAUCGUAUGGCCACUCAUGGGUAGAAAUGGGGCCUUCAUGAAAGUUAAGAACUUUUUUAAACAAAAAAUCAAUUCGAAUAGAAUCGCCAUUAAAAUUAAAAUUUGAGAUUUUUUUAGGGAAUUAGCAAAAUUCGUACUUCCAUCAACAAUCCAAGGUGUCUUGAACCGAAGAAAAUGCAAUCUUUUGUAAGAUAAAAACCUAUUUUUGCAAUAUUUCACCAAGAAAAAAUGUCCAUUGCUUCAAAAGUAUUUUAGUAGGAUUUUGUAUGUCCAACAGUUAUAGAAAUAGAUGAGUUCAUGCAUAAAACAUGGCGACACAAGGAUGCUCAUGUCGCGAUAUAUUAUUUGCACGAUAAAUGGAUAAUUGUAGAAAGGGAGGGGUAGCUGUUAUUGGAGUAUGGGAUUGGUAAGAUUAUAAUGAUAUAGAGAAACAAUAAUGACAUAUUGAUGCAUGUUUUCAUUUUGUUGACUUUGUGAAUAAGAUAUGUCAUUUAUCUAUCGUUACACCCCAACUCUAUUAAAUAAGGAAAACGACACUACCAUGGUCUUGCUCAAAGGACGCAACUUCAAAUUAUCAAAAUAUAUAUUCGUCUAUACACUUGAUAAAUAGUGGGUUGGUUACAAAAUCAAGAGUUUUGAAAUUUAUUAAAAAGAAAAAAAGUGUAAGUGUAUCUCCAAACUCAAUUAAACCCUACAAAUAUCAUCCCAAAUAUAUACAAGUAUCUAAACUCACAUCCAAAUCCAACCGUAAAAUUUUUUUCGCCAAUAAUGCUCACUUCCUACUUUAGCUGACGUUAAAAAGAUUUAGAAUGAAUAGUGUGAGUAACCAUAGCUUAGUGACUAAUCGAAAUCUCUCCUAAGCAAAUCAAGCAUCUGCUAUGAUAAAGCAAUACCAAAGAUUCAUUUAUCCAAAUUCAAUAUAUUAUGUACAAUAGAAUCAAAAUAUGAGUAAUAUCACUAUAAUGCAACUUUAUACUAAUAAAUUAUAUUCAUUCAAAUUUCAAAACCAAAAGGGUAGUCUAUCCGAUUUUAUGCAACAAAUAUGUUUCAAACAUUACUUUUUCAUUUAAAAAAAAAUCAUUUUCUGCAAUGCUUUUCACAACUUAUAAUAUAUCAAAUCCCUAUCACUUUCAAGACAUGAGCUUACAAAUUUGUAGAGGAUAACAACCACCCCAAAAUAAAAUGCAAUCGAAAGUUACACCCUUGGAAGAGUCUCCAAGUCCUAUCAAAGUUUAUCUAAAUGUCAAACUUACAUGUCAACUAACCUCGACUAAAACUUUAGUAGGCAAUACCAUAUUCUUGAGUCAAAUCGUCCACUUGACGAAAGACCUUUGAACAAUUACUUUACAAAUAGAGUCGACUGCAUCUUAAAACUCCAAUUCAAGCGAGCUUAUUUUCAAUAGAAAACUCUUUCGAAUUACUAAGAGAUCAUAAAGCCAAAAGAUGGUCGGAGAAGGGUGAAAUUCAUUGCCAAACAUAGUAAUUUGAAAACUGUUUUUAGCAAUGUGCAAAAUUUUAAAAAUUUAUCCCAAUCAAAUCAUAAACAUAUAUUGAUUUUCCUAAAGUCCUAUUAUGCAAUACCCUAAAAUUUCUUUACAACAUAAUUUCAUAGCUUAAUAAUCUCUAGAAUCGACCUCGCAACAUAAAAUCCAUACAAAACCUAAUUUACAAUUUAAUUACGAAAACUCCUUCAAUUAGGUAAAUAAAAGUUUUCGAAUCCUUACCGAUUGUCAAGAAACAUAAUUAAUCUGGUGCAUACAGCAAGAGGCCCCUUUUGUCUCCUCUGUCUUUUUCUCGGUUUCUCCGGGCUCUGCUUUCCUUCUCUCUCUCUCUCUCUCUCUCUCUCUCUCCCUCUUUUUCGUGUUCUUCUUGGCAGACUCUGUUUUCAUCUUUUUCUCUCUUUUCGCUCUAGUGAUUCGGUUUACCACGGCAUCAACUGAGGCAAGACCAAAGAAAGGACUUUAACGAGACACUUGGGCUUGGGCUUACUGAUUUGCUCUUGGUUAUUAUUUUUUGCCAGCCCGGUUAUUGGAAUUUUAUUCUUGCCCAUGAAUCUUCCAGGUUAUUACGUAUUGAUGUAUCUAUGCGGACACACUGCCGAGAAAAGGGGAAGGAGAAUAAGGAGAAUUCAAUCAGCACCGAACAGUCUUUUUUUUCUGACACAAGAAAAAUUAAAUAGGAAAGUUCAAAGGCCUUCUUCCUCCCCGCCAGUGGUGGGUUGAAGCAGGGACAUCGUUCGUGGUUCUUUUAUGCAGAAUAAUAUUUUAAGGGUGAACUUCGACGCAUAAUUGAUUCUGGUUAUUUUAUGGAAGAGACAACUUUGAUCGGAGAGUGGGUUCUGGAAGUUCGCCCUUCCAUAAAAGAACCACGGACGAUGUCCCUACCUUCACCCCACCCGGCGCCAUGGAUUUUACCUCCAUCGUCUCUAUCCUGAUCAACUUACUCCAAGUGAAAUACCAGGGGAAGUCACCCUUUGAAACCCACGCCAUCGCCAUUGGUGUUGCCAUCUGCAGCCUGCUCCUGCUCCUGCAUUUUCUGUUGCUGCAUCUCGCUAAUCGGGCACUCCCGUCUAGCGGCCGCGCUCCUGCUUGUGAUGGAGCAUCAUCGCACCUCCUCAUCGACUUCACUGGUUCAAUAUCGGUAGUUCGCUCGCACCUCCUCAUCGACUUCACUGGUUCAAUAUCGGUAGUUCGCUCGCGUGGUUGCUGUUCCACGACUCCUCCCACUCUGUCCCCUGGUUGUUCAUGCUGCUCCUGUUGCUUUCCGUGAGUCUGUUGCGCGGCCUCUUUCAAAAACUUUGGCUUUGGUUUUACGACAAGAUCUUUGCCAUGAUUUUCCGUGUGGCGCCAUCUGGUCUAUGGCAUGGUGGAAGAGCGCAGCCACAUCUGCCGCGCCCGGGCGUGGAUCUGCGUUUAUUGCUGGAAGUCUGAGCGCCCUAGUUGUUCGACUGACUGUUCCCUGCCUGCUUGGAUAAAGUAAUCUAACCACUUUAAAACGAAAGAAUAAGUACUUUAGGAAGCUAGCUAGUUUUGUUUAGGAGGCGCUUUGGGCUUGUUGCAACUAUAUCUGAAUCCAUAAGAGAAUCGCAAGCCUUUGGCAGGGAAAGUAAAAACCAAUUGUUAUUGAAGAGAUCAAAGACGACCUCAACAGUUGUUACCAAGGGAAGAAUAGUCGUUUCUAUAGCCAUAUAAGGGGUAGUAAUUGUUCUUGAGGUUAAAGCUUCUGACCUCCUUUAAAGCAUUGCUAAGUGUUGCAGAUUUCCUUCUAUUUUUGGUGUAUCUCUUUGUAGCUUUCUGUCUGGCCAGUGGAUCCAUAUGUGUCAUUUUAUGUUCUUUGCUGGUGUACUAUGGUUUUGCUCGUAUAUCCAUAUGAACUGGGAUAAAUAGAUGCCUUGGCAACGUGGGCACAGCUACAAUUUUCAAAGCUUUGAUCUAACACUAACACCAUUGAGUAAUCCAAAUCAAAAUGAAAGAUGUCAGCUUUCUCAUCUCUCUUGCAUAUACACCGUUACUGCUUCCUAGCUAUUCCGAUGAUAAUAUAGUUGUAGUUUCUCAUUGCAGAAUGUGGGAAUUGUUACAUCAUAGUCUCUAUUUGACCUCCAAGAGGUGACAACUAGAUCUUUGCUGUGGCAAAUGCGUUAACUUGCAAUCUAAGACUAUGUUGUCUCGCUGUGGAUUGGUUUUUGGCCAGGAGCUUGAAUUGUUGCUUCAGUUGGACACUCAAGUUUCUGGGGCCAAGGUGAGAAAAGAAUGCUGAAAUGUAGAGUUUUUUCGGCUGGCUUUAGCUCAAGAUUACUUAAUUCUGGUUGACUGUAGAUGUUAGAACCGAACUUUUCCCACUCUUCAUGUGCUAAAGAAUUUACACUUCAUGUAUGCAAAGCUAGAUAGGUAGUAUGCAGAUGCACGAGACAAGUCUGUAUAAACUACACCCAUCUUAUGUUGGUAUCUGAGGAAAUAAUUAGACCGGCAAGCUUCCUGCCAAGUUGAUUCACUAUCAAAUUAUGCAUUCCAGUGUCAACAAUUCAUUUCAUUACAGAGAGCACUCAAGUCUGGCACUUAAAUAAUAUGAUAUUCGUCUGCUUUUACUGCAGAAAGCUACAAUCUUGGAUGUCGACUGUGGCAGUGAGUCCAAUCGACUUGCAUGGGAGCAUAAGUUGAAACAUCAAACAGAAAGGAAAUUCUUUUUGUCUUGGUAAGUGCCUGCCAAACCCUGCAACUAAAUGCAAUAUUUUCAUGGAGUUCAGAGUAGCAGGGUCUUCAGGUACUUACACUAUUCCAGCAACCUGUAUUAAAAAAAUGUUUGGUAUUGGAGCAUUUUCUCUUGAUUAUUACUUAUUGUGGAGGAUGAGUCUAUAUAUAUGAUGUUAAAAAGGAACAUGGCUAUUCACCACAUCACAUGGUAUUGUAUCCAUUUGUUGCCUAAAGUCUGUUUAGUAAGAUAGCACUUGUGAUGAAAGUGCACGGUAGGUGAUACACAUUUGAUAUGAGUAAUCAAUGGAUAGGGGCAUUCAUUGCAGACAUAGGCACCCAGAUUCAGGUUCCUUAUCUUCUCACAAAGGUCACAAUAGUACUCACUGGUAUCAUCUUUGAUGAACGAAGCUUAAAGUGUGAGUUGAUGAAAGUUAAUGGCAAUCUUUUACUGUAGUGGAAGGCAAUCUGUGAUGACUGAGAUUGCACUGCACACAACCAUAAAAGUUGAACCUGCAAAUUUUACCAGAGACACUGCAUAGGAAGCACAGUUCUGUAGACUAAAAUAAGAAAGAGUAUAAAAUGCUCGUGGAGGUGAUUUUUCAAAGUGGGCCUUUCAAAAGUGCAUGAAAUGUUGAAGUCGUAGUCACAUUCCAUGCAGUGAAAGACAGAGCGUCAACGCUCUUCACGACGUAUGUCAACUACUCUCCUUCCUAGUAUGAGAAGAAAAAGGAUGCGUGGCGUGAACAGUUUGUUGCAUAACUGAGGGCAAUUCAGCACGUGAUUAGAAAAGAGCAGCUCUGCUCCAGCCAGCGAUAGGUUAAACGUCUGAUGGAUUCAUCACAAGCCUUGCAUGGACCAUCCUUCAAAUGACAGUUCCAGCAGCAGAGGACGAUCGUGCAGGGAUGAAGAGGCAAUUAAGACAACCAUAGACCUCACCUGGUAUGUUCUCCACAAGCUUUGCACCUGAUUCUGCUUUCUAGUUUCAUGUAGAAGACCAGUGAAUGCUGAUGGUCAAAAUUGUAGAAAACCAAGUCCUUCUUGCCCUCUAGGUCUUGUGAACAUAGAGUUAAAGCCGCGCAGUCCAUGUUGAGGCUGAAUUUGCAUUCACUGCAGUAGGAAACCAUGGCAGGUGUUACAUUUAGCUCCUCCAAUUGAUUGAAAGCAAAAGAGAGAGAGGGUGAUCAUGGAGAGACAGGUGUUGCAUCUCUGGGGAAAAUUCGGUGCAGCUUUUGUGGAGAAAGAAUAUGCAUGCAUAGCAUCCAUAGACCUCCCCCAAUAUUGCUUGCUCACAGGCUUUGCAUUUGAUUCUAUUUUUCGUCCCGAGAUGAUGGGAUGUGGGCGGAUGCUCAUGAGCAUUUGUUGGAUGGCCACAUUCUGAGAGUCCUCAUUGGGAGGACAGGCAAUCUUGGGCUGUGCACUAAGAAUUGAUGGAUCCGACUGUUAAGAGAAGGUUGUCAAAUAUAUAUAUAUCAAUCGCACGUAUUUCCUUGUGACCAAGUUUGUUAGGAAUAUGGAUGAGCCUCGAUAAGCCAUUCCCUCUUGGGUCCAUCCAUCGAUCACCUCUUACUUCUACCACAUUAGACUUAGUGUUCCACACAAUGAGUGACUAAGUUUGUCAGGAAAUAAAAUGAUAGCACAGCUUCAAGAUGAGUAUUUAUAGAUACGUCUUAGUGAUUUUAGAGCGCUCAAAAUGAGCAAUUUCUCAAGAACAGAUCAGAGAAAGCAUAUAACCUUGGAGCAUAAUCACAUAUGUCAUUAUCUGAAGAGCUAAAGAGAAAUAUGCAAUGUGAUUUGAGGAUUGAACCUAUGAUUUAGAUGCAGAUGGUAAUAAAUUCUUCUCUGGACUCUGAAGGUUAGCCAUUUUGUAUGAGAUAUGCAGGAUUGCAGGUAUCAUAAAGCAAAUCAAAUUAUGUUAGCAAAAAAGUUGGUACCGUCAUCUCCAAUGAAAGCAAAAUGUGUGAUAAAUGUUGUUGGCCAUGAAAACUGGAAGGAGCAAUAGAUGAUUCAUCUUCAGUCAAAGCAUGUGUCACAGAGAACAGCAUCUUUCUCUUCUUGGUUGACCAUUCUUCCUUGUCGGGCAAUUGUUUCUAUCUACUUCAUCAAUUAUGUAUGCUAUCCUUUAAUCCAUAGGAACUUCUCAUCAGUUGCAGGGUUUGGUUGCCCAAAAUCGGCUUGGCUUCGCCAAAACUCCUCUUCUCUAGAAGCCUGGCUGGCAUGGCAUCCCACUGGCAGUAGGGUGGUCAACCUUGCCUCGGCUUCGUGACAUGCUAUCUUUCCCCUCUGCAUUCCAUAGUCAAGGGUGAGUCCCAAGUGUCAGUUUGUGGAUAGCGGUCUCACACACAAAUCCCUACAGAUUCCUCUAGGUAGUCCAAAUUAUAUCUAAUUUAUUUUGAUGUGGUUCGUUCAUCAUUUGAUUUGACCUUGGAAGUUGGUUUUCUUCUUAUUUAUUUACAAGCCUAAAUGCUUAUUGUAAAAAACGAUUCCCAGGAGAGUAUCAUGAUAAUAAGUCAAAUAAUGAAGCUAAGUAGGUGAUCGACUCGAUAAAUUAAGAUGGCAGCACUGUCAAAUGCUUCUGCUAAUUUGGUGGCAGAUACUUAAAAUUGUUACCGACAAUGGAAGGGCAAAUGUUAUUGAAAAGACCAAAAAUACUUUGACAAUUAUUACGAGUAGAAUGGGGAGAUGUUUCAUUGGUUGUUUCAAGGUUACCUAAGAUCCUACUAGACCAAAAUACUUGGAAGUUUUUUCUUUACUGAAGAGAGAAAAAGAGGGAUGUUCAUGAAAAAUGGCACUUUUACUAGCACUUUCAGAUAGCAGCACCUUAUUAUCACAUUGCCACAUGUCAAACGUUGUCAUAUGGUCGUUACUAGUUGCCAAAAUAAAGUCAAAAUUGUUCUUGAGGUUAAAGCUUCUGAAUUCUUUGAAAAUAUCGCAAGUGUCACAGUUUUGCUUUUAUUUUUCUGGCAAAUCUCUUCGUGACUUUCUGCUUGGCCAGUGGAUCUAUAUGUGUUAUUUUACAGACUCUUUGCUGUUAUACGAUGGUUUUGCUCAUUUAUCCAUAUGAACUAGGAUAAAUAGAUGCCUUGGAGACAGGAGCACUGCUGCAAUAUCAGAGCUUUCUUCUAUCAUCAUAGAGUUAGAAGAAUCAAAAUGAACAAUGUCAGUUUUUUCAUCUCUGUCCCGUAUGCACGGGUAAUGCUUACUAACUAUUCUGAUGAUAACAAUUUUUGAGUAUGUGAUUGCAAAACGACACAGUGGUUACAUCAUUUAGUCAGCAUUUUACCUCUGAGAGGUGACAACUAGAUUUUUGUCGCCGCAAAUGUAUCAACUUGCUUCAGCAAAUAAGAUUUAUAAAGACAAACUUCUUCAGUGGUGUAUCCCACGUGUCCGGAAGCUCUUGGAUCUGAAUAAUGCAAUGACUAUGUUGUCUCCCAGGCUAAAUUGGUUUUCGGCCAGGAGCAUGAAUUGUUGCUUCAGUGGGAGAUUCAAUUUAGGGCCAAGGUGCGAAAAGAACGCUUGAUUUCUUUUUUUGGGAGGCUUUAGUUCAACAUAGCUGAAUUUUGGUAGACUGCAGAUGUUAGGUCCACACUUUUCCCAUCUUCAUGUGCUAGAAAAGAAUUUACAGUUAAUGAAUGCAAAGCUCGAUAGAUAGUAUGCAAAAGCUUGUGGCUAGUCUGCACAAACUACAUAAACCUUAUAUUCAUUUUCAAGGAAUUAACAAGACCGGCAAGCUUCCUAACAAAUUUAUUCAUAAUCAAAUUAUGCAUCCCAAUGUUAAUACUCCUAUUCAUAACACAGAGCACACAAGUCUUACACUCAAAAAUAUGAUAUUUAUCUGCUUUUGCUCAGAAGAUAACAAUAUCGGAUGUCAAGUGUUGGCAGGGAUUCCAAUUGACUUGCGUAAGAGCAUAAGUUGAAACAUCAAACAAAAAGGCGGUCUUCUGCCUCCCCAAUUCUUUCCAUCUGGAUAAGAGCCUCCCCAACUCUUCAACUACAUGCACUUUGCUUGCAGCUUUUUGAGACCAGCAUUGCAGGUCUUCUUUUGAGUACCUCCUAUUGUGGGCUCAUUCUGUCCACUUUUUCCUGCAGAAAUAAAUCUAGUUCAGCAAAAUCGAGGCUUCAGGUACUUCCAUUACUUUAAAAAAAAAUUGGUAUUGCCAUAUUUUCUGUUGAUUGUAACUUAUUGUGGAGAUUGAGUCUGUAUAUGAUAUAACAAAAGAAAAAAGAACAGGGCUAUUCACCACAUCACAUGGCAGCAUCUCGUUGCCAUAUAUACGUUAAAGUUUAGUGAGAGAGUAUUUCUGUGAUGAAACCAAACCGUGGGUAAAACGUAUUUGAUAUGAGUAAUCAAUGGACAAGGGCAUUCAUCAGAGACGGAAUCACCCAGUUUCAGGUCCGUUUCUCUCAAAGAUUACAAUAGUACUCACCAGCAUCGUCUUCAAUGAACAUAGCGUAGAGUGAAUUGAUGGAGAUGAUGGCGAUCUUUAUUGUUGGUGUUAACCAUGGAAGGCAAUCAUUGUUGACAUAAAGAUUGCAUUGCACAAGAACGUGAAAGUCGAAUGUGCAAAAUUUACCAGACACUGCAUAGGAAGCAUGGGUCGGUAGCUCUAAUAAAAGAAAGAGUAUAUGCUUGGGUAGGUGAUGUUUCAAAGUGGGCCUUUCAAAAGUGCAUGGAAUGUUGAAGUCGAAGUCGCAUUCUGCGUAGCGAAUGACAGCGUCGAUGCUCUUCACGACAUGCGUCAGUGAGCCUUCCUUCUUGAUACGGGAAGAAGUGGGUGUGCCAGGGUGAACAGGGCGUUGCAUAACUGAGGGCAAUUCAGCACAUGAUUUACGGAGCAGAAAAGAGCAGCUCGGCUCCAGGCAGGCAUGGGCUAAACCUUUAACAUAUUAAUCACGAGCCUCGCUCGCACCAUCCUUCAUUCGACCCAGCUCCAGCGGCAGCGGAUGAUAGUGAAUUGGAGAAGAGGCAAUCCAGACAAGCAUAGAACCCACCUAGUAUGCUGCUCUAUUCUCAGCUUUACACCCAGAUUCUGGUUUCAAGCUUCACGUGGAAGGACACCAGUAGAUGCUGAUGGGCGAAAUGAUUAAUAAAAAAUAAUAAAAAAAACUGAGCCUUUCUUGCCCUCCAGAUCUUGUGAACAUAGAGUUAUAGCCACGUAGUCCACGUCAAUGCUGAAAUUGCAUUCGCUGGAGGGGCAAACCAGAAGGCAGACAUUACAUUGGAGGUUUGCCGAUUGAUCGAAAGCAAGAAAAAGGGUUGAUUAUGGAGAGAGAUGCGUCGCUUCUCUGGGGUCGAUUCGGUGCAGCUCUCGUGAACUAAGAGUAUGCACCGUGUAGCAUCCCUAGACCUCCUCGCAGGCUUUGCAUUUGAUUCUACUCUUCGUCCCAAAAUGGAGGGACGGGAGCAGACGCUAAUGAGCAAAUUGCAGGAUGGAUUCUCAGAAUCCUCAUCAAGCUUCCUCAUCAAGCUUAGUUGUGAUUAGGCAGAAGCGGUAUCCGGCCGUGCACUAAUGCUCAAUCGUCCGAAUGGCAAGAAGGAAGCCUGCUCACACGCAUGGCAACUCCGAUGAUCCUCCUCAUCGUUGGCAGCUGGGCAGUCAAGGCGGGGCAGCGGGUGAGACAGGUGUCCUAGUGUGGACAGCAUGCUAAAUUCGGCAUGACUCGUAAAAGAAGAAACGACACGAUUCACAGUGGUGAGCCGAGCUGCGGAUUGGAGAUCAGCACGCAUGACAUUCCAAGCAAGUACAGGCUUCUUCGCUCAGGUUUCGCAGAUUCAAUACAUGAUCACCAAGGCAAAUUAGGAAAUAAAAAUGCGUUUUGAAUGGAGUUAUAGUUGUUAUCAACACGAAGUAAAUGUGGCGAAAUUAAUUGAGUUAAUGCUUUAAAAAACCCCAAAUUGAUACGUCUAUGACAAAUUUAUGCUAAAAUAAUUUUUUGAUCAUAAAAAACUUCAAACUAGUAUACAUUUGAUAAAUUUACCUCAAAUUUGUAUAUUUGUGAUAAAUUUACCCUAUGUUAGUUUCCGUUAAAUUUUACUAUCGAAUUACUAAAUUAAAGGACACGUGAAAGUUGACUGGUGUAUCGAUUUGGAAUUUUAUUCUCCAUUUUUCACAGUUAUAUAAUUUUUGUAAUUUUUUGUGGUAUUAAUCCAAUUUAACAUAGGAUAUAUUUAUCACAAAUGUAUCAGUUUUAGGUUUUUGGCGAUCAAAUAAGUUAAUUUAGAAUAAAUUUGUCACAGGUGUACCAGUUUAGAAUUUUUCAUGGUCAAAAAAUUAAUUUAAGAUAAAUUUGUUAUACGUGUAUCAGUUUGGAGUUUUUCAGGAUAUUAACCCAAAUUAAUUUUACCCCACUCCCACAUCAUUUGAUGUUGUGUUUCAGUGCUAAUUUGUACAAUUAUUUUUUUUAAUGCUUUAAUUCAAUGGUUAACGAAACUAAAGUAGCCCAUGAAAAGUUUCAUAUCUUGUUCAUUUAAAGUCAGUUGCAAUCUAACCAAAAAAUAAAAAUCAGCCACAACUGUUAUGAAAUACAUGAAUGAAUAGAAUACAUAAAUAAAUAUUCAUUAUAUUCAUCUUAUUUAAUGUACUUAUUAUGGUACAUUUGUAUCAUAUAUUCUAAGUACAUCUCUCUAUACAAUGAAUGUCCAUCUCCUUUAUCCAGUACAUGUAUCAUUCGAUACAUUGAUAUUAAUGAUAAGUACAUUUUUGUUUUUCUAUAAAUAGGAGUUUAGUUUUUAUGUACAAUACACAAUCACACAGAAACACAACAGUGAGAUACUAGAAAUAAAGCUCUCUCAUCUUGCUACUAUCUCUAGUGUUCACUUGCUUUCUCUUCUUUAAUCUCUUCUCUAUUAUACAUUCACCACGCGAUAUUUUACAACAACAACUAUAAUUUAAUUUUCCAUAAAUUAACCAAUAAAUAAAACUCCAAACAUUGGUUAAGAUCAUAAAGGUGCAUCACCUUGGGCUAGUCUAUACAUUUAUUAGAAAUUCUUAUCCAACUUACUAUGAAUGCUACUUACUUAACACAAUAUUGCGAUAUGACUUUUUUAUAAAUUACUAAAGUGGAAUUAACUUGACAUGACUUUAUAGUUUAUAAAACUAAAUUCACCUUAUAUGUAAAAGUAACCCUUACAUAUGCUGGGUCAUGUCCUUUUUCUGAGGCAAAAAAAAAAAAAAAAAAUUCUCUCUCUCUCUAUGAGAGAGUUUCCAAAGGGUCUCAAGGGAGGCUUCGAUGUUCCCGCAAAUAUGGUUGGAUCAUGCGGUAUUACAUGAUAAUCCUAUGUCUAAUCGUGGGCAGAAAUGGGACCAUGAAAGUUGGGGAUUUUUUUUAUAAAAAAAAAAACCAUUUUUGGCAAAAUUAAGAUUUUCCUGAAGUUUUGCUCUGCGACACUUUAAAUUUUCUUUACAACAUUAUUUCACAGUUUAAAAACCUCUAGAAUCAGCCCAACAACAUAAAAUCCAUACAAAACCUAAUUUACAGUUUAACUAAGAAAACUUCUUCAAUUAGAUAAAUAAAAGUUUAAAAUCCUUAUCGAUUACUAAGAAAUAUAAAUAAUCCGGCUUGACCCAGCCUCUCAAACGUGCAUGUAGCGAGAGCCCCUCGUCUCAUCUUUGUCUUUUUGUCUGUUUCUCCGGAUUCUGGUUUCCUCCGUUUUUUGGGUUCUUCUAUCUGCACUCGUAAUUCCUUUGCAAUGGCGUCAACUGAACCAAGACCAAGGAAAGUGCUAAACGAGACACUUGGGCUUCUGCUUAAUGUUUUGCUCUUUUGAUAUGUGUUAACAAGUAGCACCCAAAUUUGGGUCCCUUAUCUUCUCACAAAGGUCACAAAAGAACUCACUGGUAUCAUCUUCGAUGAACGAAGCAUAAAGUGUGAGUUGAUGGAAGUUAAUGGCAAUCUUUAGUGUAGUUGAAGGCAAUCUGUGAUGAUUAAGGUUGCAAUGCACACAAUUGUAAAAGUCAAACCUGCAAAAUUUACUACAGACACUGCAUAGGAAGCACAGUUCGGAAGAUCUAAAUUAAGAAAGAGUACAUGCUCGUGCAGGUGAUGUUUCAAAGUGGGCCUUUCAAAAGUGCAUGGAAUGUUGAAGUCAUAGUCACUGUCCAUGCAGCGAAAGACAGAGCGUCAACACUCUUCACGGCAUAUGUCAACACCGCUCCUUCCUGAUGCAAGAAAAAAAAGACGUGCGGGGUGAACAGGUUGUUGCAUGAGUGAGGGCGAUUCAGCACAUGAUUUAUGGAGCAAAAAAGAGCAGCCCUGGUUCAGCCAGCGAUAGAUGCACGCACUACGAGCCUUGCACGCACCAUCCUUCAUAUGACGGUUCCAGCAGCAGAGGAUGACCGGGCAGAGGAGAAAGAAGAGGCAAUCAAGCCAACCAUGGACCUCACCUGGUAUGUUACUUUCACAAGCUUUGCACCUGAUUCUGCUUUCGAGCUUCGUGAGGAAGACCAGUGGAUGCUGAUGGUCGAAGUGGUAGAAAACCGAGUCCUUCUUGCCAUCCAGAUCUUGCGAACAUCGAGUUAAUGCUGUGUCCAUGUCAAGGCUGAAUUUUGUAAUCGCUACAGUAGGAGACCAUGGUAAGCAUUAGAGUGUCAAAAUGGGUCCAUCACCCAUUUUUUGACUCAUAUUCUGAGAAGUGGGUCAUACAAGUUAUUCAAACUUUUAAGGGCCAGGCCUAAAUGGAUUUAAAAAGACUCAAAGUUUGGCGGGACGACAAAAUUUGGGUCCUCGACGGUGGCAUUGUGGGGCUGGGACAGAGGUGAGACUGUAUCGACUGAGUUGGACAUGCAACGAGGUAGAGUUCAUCUUCCUUCUCUCAACACAGCAACUGGUUGAUGGUCAGGCCUCCAAUCAAUGUGAACAACACCACCUUGUUUCUCUCCUGUCCUUGUGCUUCUAGAUCUACUCCGCUUCUCUGCACGCUUUGCACUUCUAGAUCUUCCUUCACUUCUCAGUCUCUGUAUUGUGUUAAGAGAGAGCCUUGAGGUCGAACUAUUAUUGAGAAUUAAAGAGGUAGCUCGUUCAUUUGAGACCCAAUUUGUCUCAAGCCCAAUUUGUCUCAAGCCCCAAUUCUAAGCCCAAUAAAAAACUGCCGAUGGGCUGUUCUUUGUUAUCGAUAUGGCCGAAAUUACCCCCAAAAAGAAAAAUAUAUAUAUGUCAGCAAAGCGAGUUGGGUUGGGUUGGGUUACGUUGGGUUGGAUCCAGUGGAGGUUGAAUAUGGGUUUGGAAGCGCACUGGUUGAUGAGAGCAAGGAUAUUGCUUGUCAUCGAGUAAGAUUCGUCAUCCUUCACCUCGUAAAAAUAUCAAAAAAUAGCGAUCCACGUAGAAAAUUAGAAAGAGUAAAGCAAAUAUAGGAAAACAAAAAUUAAUUAUACGUAUAUGCAUCGUAAAUAAUGGCUACUAAUGAGCUUUAAAUGAGUGGAUAUGAAUUUUCAUAGAUUUAGUUAAAUAUAGACGUGCUUUAAUAAUUUAGGUAUAGGUCAAGUUUGGGUCACUGGAUUUAUACUGCAUGUAAAUGAGUCAAAACGGAUUAAAUGGGUCGAUUUGAAUCGAACCAUUUUUUGACUCCCAACCUACCUAUUUGACAGCCCUGGUAAGCAUUACAUUUAGCUCCUCCAAUUAAUCAAAAGCGAGAGAGAGAGGGUGAUCAUGGAGACGAGUGUUGCUUCUCUAUGGAAGACUCGGUGCAGCUUUUGUGGAGAAAGAAUAUGCACGCAUGGCAUCCAUAGACUUGCCCCAAGAUCGCUUGUUCGUAGGUUUUGCAGCUCUUGAGCAUUUGUUGGAUGGUCACAUUCUGAGAAUCCUCAUCGGGGCUUAGUUGUGGCAAGGCAGAUGAAGCUAUAUUGGGCUGUGCAAUAACAAUCGACGUGUCCAAAUGACGAGAAAAUUUUCAUAUAUAAAAGCGAAAUAUUGAUUGGAAUGUACAUUACUAGAUUGGUGAGGUCACGUAUUUUCUUGUGUCAUGACAAGUUUGUUAGCCAUCGCCUAAGACCCACCACUGGCGAAAGGAAACAAAAGCUAAAAAAAAAAAAGGAAAAAAAAGGAAAAAAAAAGGAUGAAAAAUUCAAAAAUAAAAUAAAAUGUUGUCAACAUUAGCGCCAGUACGCCACAGGACGACUAGUUGGGACUAGCGUUUUCCAAUCAAAAUUGACUGAAAAGAUUAUUUGAUAAAUUGUCUUAAGUUUGAGGACUAAAUAAGUAAAAUUGAAAGGUUUAGAAUUAUUAUUAUUAUUAUUAUUUUGCCUAUAAAGUUUAGGGUUGAAUUAGUACAAGUGUAAUAGAUUUAGAAUUUUUUGGGAUUUUUCCUAAAAAAAAUGGAGGAAAGUAUCAUUCGGAAAUAAUUUGUAACGACAAUGACCUAGUUAAUGUAAUUUCUUUGUAACAAGACUUUUAGAGUGCGUUUGGCAACGUUUCUGUUCAAAAAUUGUUUCAGGGAACAGAAAUAGAAAAAACUAUUUCUAUUCCGGCGAACAAUUUUUGACCAGAAAGAUGCGUUUGGUAAACUUGUUCCGGGAAUAAAAAAUGAAUAGAAAUACGUUUGGUAAAUUUAUAUUCUUUUUUUUUUCUUUUAAAUUUUUAAUAUUUUUAUUUUAUUUUUUUUCUUUUUUCCUUUCUUUUUUUCUUCUUUUGGCCGAUUGCCGGCCUCCGGUGAUCGGCAGACGGGGGCUGACAGUCGAGCCUCGCCUUGGCUGGGCGAGCUCGGGCUCGCCUAGAUCCGGCGAGGCUUGGCCUGGCCGGUGGCUGGGCGAGCUUGGCCUCGUCCGGAUCCGACGAGGCCGAGCGUCGCCGGCCCCCGGCGUGGCUCAGCCUCGCCGAAUCUGGGCGAGCUCGAGCUCGCCAUGCUGGCGAGGCUCGGCCUCGCCGGAUCUAGGCGAGCUCGAGCUCACCUAGCCAUGGCGAGGCUUGGCCUCGCGAAUUUGGGCAAGCCCGAGCUCACCCAGCCAUGGCGAGGCUCGACCUCGCCGAAUCUGGGCGAGGCCAAGCUCGCCCAGCCAAGGCAAGGCCGAGCCUCGCCCCGGCCCCUCUCGGCCAUGCCGGAUUUGGGUGAGCUCGAGAGGCGAGGCCGAGCCUCGCUAGGGGCCGGCGACGCUCCGGCGAGGUCACCGACCCUCGCUGGCCAUGGCCGAGGCCCGCGACCGGCCAAAGAAGAAAAGAAGAAGAAAAGAGAAGAGAGAGAAAAAAUGUUCUUCAAAAGUGUUUCUGGAACAAAAAUAUAAUUUUUUUUUGUUUCUCAUUUCCGUUCCAAUUUUGUUCCGAGAACAAAAAAACAGAUUUUGAACAAAAACACAAACAAACGCGUUUCUAUUCUUUUUUUGUUCCCGAAAACAAAAAAAAAAAACAAAAUUUUUGUUCAUAAACAAUAAAAAAGAACAUUACCAUGCAGGGCCUUAGUCAUCAGAUGUUUCCACUUAUGCCCUUCUCGUUCCUUCCCUUUUUCACUAAUUUCUCAUCAGUCAAUCAAUCGUUGUCCCUUUCACAUGCCCUUUCCCAAUCUCUCUCCUCGUUAAAAGUUUCCACAAAUAUUCCUCCUUAAUAACUUUUUUUUCCUCUUUCUCAAAAAGAUGACAUUUGUAUAUUCCUUAUGCUAAAAUUCAAAUACAUUAUACUAAUCAGGGUCUAACCCUCAUUUGAACCGGGUCAAAUACUUUUUUUGGGAAGAAAGAAGAAGGAGAUAGAAUUCUUUUUUUUUUUAUGUCAUAUUUAUUCUCUCCCGCUAGACCUCUCUUCAACAACUUCUCAGUUUUCUUUAGUCUCCUUUCGAUUCCAUCUCUCUCUCUGAGAGUAAGUUUCCAAGAGGCUUCGAUGUUAACGUUGCAAUGGGACCAUGAGGAGUCACGUGAUGACCCAUACCAUAUGGAUAUAUGUGGGACCGUAGUGAAAGUUGGGACAAAAAAAGUUCAAAAUAGAACUGAAAUUGAAAUUAAAGUUGGAUUUUUUUUUUUUAGGGAAUUAACCCAUAAAAAUUCAUGAUUCCAUCAACAGUCCAAGAUAUCUCAAAUCAAAGAAAAUGCGAUCUCUUAUCAAGAUGGGAACCUAUUUUCAUAAUAUUUCACCAAAAAAGGAAAUGUUCAACUGCUUUGAAAGUAUUUUGACAGGAUUUAGUACAUCCAACAAUUACAAAAAUAGGUGCGUUCGUGCUUAAAAUAUGUUGCACUAUAGAUGUGUAUUUAAAGAAAGGGAUGAGUAGCUAUAUUGAAAUGGAGAAACAAUAACUAUAUAUUACUGGAUGUUUUUAUUUUGUUGAUUUUGUGAAUAAGACCUGUCAUUGACAUUUGUCAUCCCCCAGCUCUAUAAAAAUAGGGAAAACAACAUCAAGGUCCUCCUGCCUAGAAAAGAUAGCCUUAAACAUAAACCAACGUAAACAUGUUAUCAAAAUAUGUCUUCAUCUAUAUACUUGAUAUAAAGGUGAGUAGGUUACAAAAUCAAGAUUCUGAAAUUCAUCAAAAAAGUAAGUGUAUAUAAUAUGUAUUUCCAAACUCAAUUAAACCCUACAAAUAUCAUUUGAGACCUAUACGAGUAUCUAAACUCAUAUCAAAAUCCAACUAUAAAAUUUUAUUGCCGAUAACUCUCACAUCCUACCUUAGUUGAAGAAUUUGAAAAAGAUUUGAUAUAGAUAAUGUGAACAACCAUAAUUCAGUGACUAACACAAAUCUCUUCUAAGCAAAUGGGCAUCCGCCGUGCAUAUUAUAAAGUACUACUACAGACUCAUUUAUCCAAAUCCAAUAUAUAAUGUAUAGUAAAAUCCAAAUAUGAGCGAUAUCACUUCAACUCGGUUUUAUACUGAUCGGAAAUAUUCAUUCAAAUUUCAAAUACCAAAAGGGUAGUAUACACUCCAUCCGGCUUUAUGCGAUAAAUUUGUUUUAAACUGUACUUUUUUGUUUUAGCAAAAUCAUAUCAUGCAAUGCCUUUCUUAACAUAUAAUUUAUUACUUUUAAAACAUGAGUUUUUACAAAUUUAUAGAAUAUCACAACUUACCCUUAACCAAAAUCCAAAUCGAAAGUUACACCAAUCAAAAAGUUUCAAAAUCCUAUUGAAGGCGAUGCCAUAUUCAAACUUACGUGUCAACUAACCUCGACUAAAACUUCAGUAAGUGAUGCCAUAUUCUUAAGUCAAAUCGUUCACUUGAGAAAAGAGCUCUUAACAACUACUUUGCAAACAGAGUCAACCUCAUUUCAGAACUCUAAUUCAAGCGAGCUUACUUUCAACAAAAAAACUCCUUUGAAUUAUUAAGAGACCAUAAAGCCAAAAGAUGGCCCGAGAAGGGCAAAGUCCAUUGCCAAACACAGUAAUUGGGAAAUUGUUUCCAACAGCAUGCAAAAUUUUAAAAAUUUAUCACGACCAAACCAUAAACCUAAAUCAACUUUCAUGAAGUCUUGCUAUGCAACACCCUAAUUUUUUUUUUUUUUACAACAUAAUUUCACAACUUGAAAACCUCUAAAAUCAACCUGGCAACGUAGAAUCCAUACAAAACCUAAUUUAUAGAUUAACUACAAAAACCUAUUCCAUUAGAUAAAUAAAAGUUUCGAAUCCUUACCAAUUGCCAUGAAACAAAUAUAAUCGGGCUUGACCAAGCCUCUCAAAUGUGCAUGCAUUGAGAGUCCCCUUUGACUUGAGAAAAUAUUGGGUAUACUAGGGAGGCUAUCUCAACAAAUCACCAAUCCAUUCAUUGGGUGAUACAUGUCGCGUUAGGCUUAUCUUCCAUUAAUUUUCCCCUUUGACUUGAGAAAUUAUUCCCUCCGACUUAUUAUUCAUGAGGAAAUGAAUGGCAUGAGGAGAAUCACAAAUGCAAUGUGGUCAUAGCAAAACCAAUCGCAUAAUGACAAGUUAACAGGGAACAUGCAAGAGCAAUUUAGCAUAAAUAUUGCAGUACUAUCAACUAGUUUCGGGAAACGAAACACAUUACAGAGAACAUGAAGCAUCCCAGAACGUCUCCUUCUGUUUUGUUGUCUACACUGCAUAAUCUGAAUAAUCAUAAUUUAUGGCUUAAUUACGAAAAUUCCUGCACUUAGAUAAAUAAAAGUUGUUGCUACCAAAUAGAAUUAAUUCGUCUUGUCGAGUUCUCCCAAGCGUGCAUGGAGCGAAAGCCCCCUUUGUUUCCUCUCUCUCUCUCUCUCUUUUUCUCCGUUUCUUUCCUUCUUUUCUUUUUUGUUUUUCUUGGCCAGGCUCUGUUUUCUCUCCUCCGUUCUGCUCUUGUAAUUUCCCUUGCAAUGAAGCAAGACUAAAGAAAGGGCUAAAAUGAAACACUAGGCUUGGGCUUAGGCUUGGGCUUAAUGUUUUGCUCUUAUUUAUUAUUUUUUGCAAGCCCAUUUCUUGCAACUUCAUUGAUGAAGAUAAAUAUUUUAGGUUAUUAUGUACUGAUGGAUCCUAUGUGGCGUGAGGAUAAGGUCACUCAAAAUUAAAGUUGGACAUAUCUCUAUUUAAAGAAAAAUUAUAAAUCUAUUAUAUUUGUGUCAAUUUAAAUUAGUGUCAAUUCAGCCAUUUCGACUAAUUUUAAUUGGAAAUUACUGAUAUGGACAUCAGUUGUCCUAUAUGGCACAUCCAGCCCUAAUAUAGAUAAUUUUUUUUUAUAGUAAUUCAAUUUUUUAUUUUUUAUUAUUAUUAUUUUUUCUUUAUUCUUCCUUGGCCAUUUCCAUUGCGGGUUGGCCUCGCUUGGGUGAGGGUCGUCAUUGCCCACUACAGGCUAGGCUAGGCUAGGCUAGGCUAGGCUAGGCCAAGCGAGAGCGAUCCCAAGCAAGGCCACCUUGGCUUGGGCGAGGUCUUACGAGGGUUAGCCUCACCUAAGCUAGAUUUGGUGAGGCCAGCUUGCUCGGCUAUUGCUUAUCAUCAGCAAAAGAAGGAAGAAAGGAAAAAAUAAAAAAUAAAAAAAUUAGAAAAAAUAAAAAAAUAUUAAAUUAUUAUUAAACGUUUUCCAUGGCCAUCCAUAUCAGUAUCUAGUCAAAAUUAACUAAAAUGACUAAAUUGAUAUAAUUAUAAGAUUUAUGACUAAAUAAAAUUAAAUGCGAUAGGCUUAUGGCUUUUCUCCCUUGUCAAUAUAACCAAAUGAAAAAUAAAUAAAAAAGUUUAAGGCCUUCGUCCUCUCUAUAGUGUGGUGAGGAGUGAGGGUAGGGACAUCAUUUGAUCUUUAUUUUUUCAUGGAAAGUGGCACGGACAUCAAGUUAAUAAUCUUCUUUUGACAUCAAUCUAAUACUCUUUAUUUUGGACGUCCAUUCCAAUCAAGGACAUCCAAAUGCCCCUUUUCCAAGUUUCCUUUUAAAAAUUUUAAGAUGCAACGGGUAUCUUCCUUUAAAGAUAUCCUUAACAUUUUUCAAGCAAGUCGUGGUUUGUUUUUUUUGUUUCUGGAACGAAAUAGGAACAGAAAACAGAAACGAAAAAAAGUCGUUUCUUUUGAAAAGGAACACUUCUUCGAUGGAACAAAAGAACACAAACCCAAGGAACAAAAGAACAAAAUCAGAACAAAGGCGAACUCUUCUCCUUCGUGCGUGCUCGUCGCUCCUCUCGUCUGCUGAAGGCUUCCUUCUUCCCUUUCCGGAGUCUCUUCCCUUCUCUCCGGGGGCUCCCACUCGGCUGACUCUACCGGCGACUCCUCACUACCGGCAAUUCACGGUACGUUUCUAGGUGGUCCUCCUUCUCCGGGUAGCUUUGCUCCCCCUUCGGGNNNNNNNNNNNNNNNNNNNNNNNNNNNNNNNNNNNNNNNNNNNNNNNNNNNNNNNNNNNNNNNNNNNNNNNNNNNNNNNNNNNNNNNNNNNNNNNNNNNNGAUCAACUAUGAGCACAACCCUAUAGGCGCCUUGAUAAAAUGCCUGAUUUAUGAAAUGAAAAGCAAAGUCGAAAUCUAGGAUGUCAUAACUCUUCCUCUCUUAAAAAAAUUUCGUCCUCGAAAUUUAAACCUUUACCAAAUCUUUUAAUAAAAAUGUGGGGGUAUCAUAGUCUCAUCGAGUCUCACUUUUUCCGGUUACUUCUUUAGUCCCGCAGUGUUGUUAGAUGACUUUGACCAAGGGGAAUGUCCUUGAACCACGACUUGCUUGCGCAUAAAUGAAAAGUAUAAAUAAUGUCCCCCGUCUUUGCUCCUCCUCACAGCACCAUGGAUCUUCCCUCCAUUGUCUCUGUCCUGGCCAACUUCAUCCAAGUGAAAUUCCAGGGGAAGUCGCCUUCACCCUUUGAAACCCACCCCCUCGCCACCCGUGUCGCCAUCUGCAGCCUCCUCCUGCAUUUCUCGUUGGGGCGUGUCGCUACUCGGCUACCACCGCCUCUCGGCCCUGCUCUUUCCUGUGAUGGAGCAGCGCGCCUCCUCUUCCACUUCACCGGUUUGACAUCGGUGUUUUCGCUCGCGUGGUUGCUGCUCCACGACUCCUUCCACUCCCUCCUCUGGUUCGUGCUGUUCCUGUUGCUUGCCGUGCGUCUGUUACGGGGCCUCAUUCUAAGACUUUGGCUGUGGUUUUACCACAAACUCGUUCUCAUGAUUAUCCGUGCGGGGGGCUCCCGUGUAUGGCACGGUGGAAGAGCGCAGUCACAUUUGCCACGCCCGGUCGUGGAUCUGCGUUUCAUGCUGGAAGUUUGAGCGCUGUAAUUGUUCGAGUGACUGCUCCCUGCUUGGAAGAAGUAAUUUUAAUUGUAUGACCACUUCAAAUCAAAUAAUUAGUACGUUAGGAACCUAAGCUAGUUUUGUAUAAGAUGCACUUGGGGUUUUCUUCUCUUUAUCUGGAGCCAAAGCCGUAAGGAAUCCCCAAGCCUUCGGCGUCAAAUUAUCUCCCGAUCAUAACAAAGGAGAGCAGGGAACAAGCAAAAACUACCUAUGUAUCUUUCCUAUUCCUAGCCAUGAACGGUGAUGGACCUUGUAGUGACUAGAUCUGAUUAAGAUAGGCUAAGCCCUCGAAAGAAAUUUGGAUCUAUUGUUAUCGAAGAGAUUGAAGACGACCUCAACAAUUGUUAUGACGAGUAGAAUGGUCGUUUCUACUGGCCAUAUAAGGGGUAGUAAUGGUUCUUGAGGUUGAAGCUUCUGACCUCUUUGAAAACGUUGUUGAGUGUUGCAGAUUUCCUUCUUUUUUCAGUGAAUCUCUUUGUAGCUUUCUGUUUGGCCAGUGGAUGGAUAUGUGUGAUUUUACGUUCCUUGCUGGUGUACUAUGGUUUUGCUUAUAUGAACUGGGAUAAAUUGAUGCCUUGGAGAUGUGAGCACAGCUGCAGUUUCAAAAGCUUUGAUCUAACACUAACAUCAUUGAAUGAUCCAAAUCAAAAUGAAAGAUGUCAGCUUUUUCAUCUCUCUCGCAUAUACACUGUUACUGCUUACUAGCUAUUCCGAUGAUAAUAUAGUUGUAGUUUGUCAUUGCAGAAUGUGGGAAUGGUUACAUCAUAUGGUCUUCAUUUGAGCUCUGAGAGGUGACAACUACUAGAUCUUUGCUGUGGCAAACGUGUUAACUUGCAAUCUAAGACUUCAUUGUCUAGCUGGCUGAUUGACAUUCAAGUUGCCAGGGCCAAGGGGAGAAAAGAAUGCUGAAAUGUCGAUUUUUUUUUUUCUCUGUAGGCUUUAGUUCAAGAUUACUAAAUUUUGGCAAGACUGUAGAUGUUAAAACCGAAAUUUUCCCAUCUUCAUGUGCUAAAGAAUUUACGGUUCAUGUGUGCAAUGCUAGAUAGAUAGUAUGCAGAUGCUUGAGACAAUUCCGUACAAACUACACACAUUUGAUGUUCGUAUCUGAGGAAAUAAUUAGACCAGCAAGCUUCUUGACAAGUUGAUUCAUAAUCAAAUCAUGCAUCCCAAUGUUAGCACGUCAUCUCAUUACAUAGAGCACUCAAGUCUCGCACUUCAAAAAUAUGAUAUUUAUCUGCUUUACUGCAGAGAACAACAAUCUUGGAAGUCGACUGUAGCAGUGACACCAAUUGACUUGCAUGACAUCAAACAGAAAGGAAAUUCUUUUCAUAUUGAUAAGUGCCUCCCCAACUCUGCAAGUACAUGCACUUCACUUGCAGUUUUUCGAGACCAACAUUGCACGUCUUUUCUUGAGGACCUCCAAUUGUGUGCUCAUUCUUUUCACUUUUACCUGCAGAAUUGCAAUAUUUUCAUCUAGUUCAGCAAUAGCAGGGUCUCAGGUACGUCCACCAUUCCAGAAACCUGAUUUAAAAGGUGUUUGGUAUUGGAGCAUUUUCCGUUGAUUACUACUUAUUGUGGAGGAUGAAUAUAUAUAUACGAUGUUAAAAAGGAACAUGGCUACUCACCACAUCAUAUGGCAUUGUAUCCAUUUGUCGCCUAAAGUCUGUUUAGUAAGAGAUCAUUUCUGUGAUGAAAGCGCACUGUGGGCAAAACACAUUUGAUACGAGUAAUCAAUGGGCAGGGGCAUUCAUGGCAGAUGUAAGCACUCAGAUUCAGGUUCCUUAUCUUCUCACAAAGGUCACAAUAGUACUCACUGGUAUCAUCUUUGAUGAAUGAAUCGUAAAGAGUGAAUUGAUGAAAGUUAAUGGCAAUCUUUUACUGUGGUGGAAGGCAAUCUGUGAUGAUUAAGAUUGCACUGCACACAACCAUUGAAGACAAACCUGCAAAAUUUACUAGAGACACUGCUUAGGAAAUACAGUUCAUUAGAUCUAAAAUAAGAAAGAGUAUAUGCUCGUGGAGGUGUUGUUUCAAAGUGUGCCUUUCAAAAGUGCAUGAAAUGUUGAAGUCAUAGUCACAUUCCAUGCAGUGAAAGAUAGAGAGCCGACGCUCUACGACAUAUUUCAACAGUGUUCCUUCCUAAUAUGAGAAGAAAAAAGGAUGUGUGGGGUGAACAGGUUCUUGCAUGACUGAGGGCAAUUCAGCACAUGAUUAAUAGAGCAUAAGAGCAGCUUUGCUUCCACCAGCAAUAGGCUAAACAUUUGAUGCUUUAUCACAAGCCUCACAUGGACCAUCCCUCAUAUGACAGUUCCAGCGGCAGACAACUAUAGACCGCACCUGGUAUGUUCUGUUCACAAGCUUUGCACCUGAUUCUGCUUUCGAGUUUCAUGUGGAAGACCAGUGGAUGCUGAUGGUCACAAUUGUAAAAGACCAAGUCCUUCUUGCCCUUCAGGUCUUGCAAACAUAGAGUUCAAGCCAUGCAGUCCAUGUCAAGGCUGAAUUUGUAUUCACUGCAGUAGGAAACCAUGGCAGACGUUAUGUUUAGCUCCUCAAAUUUAUUGAAGAGAGACGGUAAUUAUGGAGAGAAGCAGGAGAGACAGGGUUAUUAUGGGGAGACAGGUGUUGCAUCUCUGGGGGAGAUCCGAUGCAGCUUUUGUGGAGAAAGAAUAUGCAAGCAUAGCAUCCAUAGGCCUCCCCCAAGAUUGCCUACUCGCAGGCUUUGCAUUUGAUUCUAUUUUUCAUCCCAAGAUGAUGGGAUGUGAGUAGAUGCUCAUGAGCAUUUUUUGAAUGGCCACAUUCUGAGAAUCCUCAUUAGGAGGACAAGCAAUCUUGGGCCGUGCAGUAACAAUUGAUGGAUCCAACUGGCAAGAGAAGGUUUUUAUAUAUAAAUGCAAAAUACUGUUUGGAAUGUAUAUAUCACUAGACUGGUGAGGUCACGUAUUUCCUCGUGACAAGUCUGUUAAGAAUAUGGACGAGCCUUGAUAAGCCAUUCCCUCUUGGGUCCAGCCGUCGAUCACAUCUAACUUCUACCAUAAGACUUAGUGUUCCAGACAAUGAGUGACUAAGUUUGCUAGGAAAUAAAAUGAUAGUGCAGCUCCAAGAUAAGUAUUUAUAGAUACCUUUCAGUGAUUUUAGAGUCCUCAAAACGAGCAGUUUCUCAAGAACAGAUCAGAGAAAACAUGUAACCUUGGAGCAUAAUAAUACAUGUCAUUAUUUGAAGGGCUGAACAGAAAUAUGGGAUGUGAUUUGAGGACUGAACCGAUGAUUUAGAUGCAGAUGGUAAUAAAUUCUUUUAUCCGGACUCUGAAGGUUACCCAUUUUGUAUGUGAUGUGCAGGAUUGCAGGUAUAAAGCAAAUCAAAUUAUGUUAGCAAAAAAUUUGGUACCAUCAUUUCCAAUGAAAGCAAUAUGUGUGAUAAAUGUUGUUGGCCAUGGAAACUGGAAAGAGCAAUAGAUGAUUCAUCUUCAGUGAAAGUAUGUCUCACAGACAACAGUAUCUUUCUCUUCUGGGUUGACCAUUCUUCCUCCUCAGGCAAUUUUUUCUAUCUACUCCAUCAAUUAAGUAUGCUACCCUUUAAUCCAUAGGAACUUCUCAUCAUUUGCAGGGUUUGGUUGCCCAAAAUCGAAUUGGCUUCACCAAAACUCCUCUUCUCUAGAAGCCUGGCCAGCAAAGUGUCCCGCUGGCAGUAGAGUGCUAAACUUCACCUUGCUUUUGUGACAUGCAUUCCAUAGUCAAGGGUGAGUCCCAUGCAUCAGUUUGUGGAUCGUGGUCUUAAAUGCCAAUCUCUACAAAUUCCUGUGGGAGGUCCAAAUUAUAUGCAUUUUAAUUUUCAUGUGGGUUCGUUCAUCAUUUGAUUUGACCUUGCAGUUGAUUUUCUUCUCACAUAUAUCUACAAGCCUAAAUGCUUAUUGUGAAAAAUAAUUCCCAGGAGAGUUAUCGUGAUACUAGGUCAAAUAAUGAAGCUAAGAAGUUGAUCAGCAGUAUGACUUAAGAUGGCAAGACUGUCAAAUGCUUCUGCUAAUUCAGUAGCAGAUACUUCAAAUUGUUACCAUCAACGAAAGGGCAAAUGUUAUUGAAAAGACAAAAAUAAUUUGACAAUUAUUGCGACUAGAAGAAUGGGGAGAUAUUUCAUUGUUUGCUUCCAGUUUACCUAAGAUCCUACUGGACCAAAAGAUUUGGAAUUUUUUUUUUUUUUUUUUUACUGAAGAGAGAAAAAGAGGGACAUUCAUGAAAGAAGGUACUUUUACUAGCAUUUUCGGAUACCAACUCCUUAUCAUCAAAUUGCCACGUGUCAAGCGUUGUCAUAUGGUUGUUACUAGUUGCCAAAAUAAAGUCAAAAUAAAGCUCCUGAAUUCUCUGAAAAUAUGGCAAGCGUUGUAGUUUUGCUUUUCUUUUUCUGGCAAAUCUCUUCGUAACUUUCUGUUUGACCAUGGAUCUAUAUGUGUUAUUUUACAGAAUCUUUGACCAUAUGCAAUGGUUUUGCUCAUUUAUCCAUAUGAACAAGGAUAAAUAGAUGCCUUGGAGACAUGAGCACAGCUGCAAUGUCAGAGCUUUGUUCUAUUGCCAUAGAUCUAGCAGAAUCAAAAUGAACAAUGUCAGUCUUUUCAUCUCUGUCCCGUAUGCACGGGUACUGCUUACUAGCUAUUCUGAUGAUGACAUUGUUUGAGUUUGUAACUGCAGAAUGACAAAGUGGUUAUAUCAUAUAGUCAGCAUUUUACCUCCGAGAGGUGACAACUAGAUCUUUGUUGCAGCGAAUGCGUUAACUUGCUUCGGCAACAAGAUUUAUAAAGACACUUCUUCUGUGGUGUAUCCUGUAUGUAUCAAGAAGCUUUUGGAUCUGAAUUAUGCAAUUACUAUGUUGUCUCUCUGCCCGACUGGUUUUCAGCCAGGAGCUAGAAUUGUUGCUUUGGUUGGAGAUUCAAGUUGCCAGGGCCAAAUUGAGAAAAGAACGCUUGAUUUCUUUUUUGGGAGGCUUUAGUUCAAUAUAACUGAAUUUUGGUAGACUGCAGAUGUUAGAACUGAACUUUUCCCAUCUUCACUUGCUGGAAAAGAAUUUACAGCUCGUGAAAGCAAAGCUAGAUAGCUAGUAUGCAAAAGCUUGAGACAAGUCUGCACAAACUGCACACAUCUGAUAUUCAUUUUCAGGGAAAUAAUAAGACUGGCAAGCUUCCUAACAAGUUGAUUCGUAAUCAAGUUAUGCAUCCCAAUGUUAGUACUCCUAUUCAUAAAUAACACAGAGCACACAAGUCUUAUGCUAAAAAAUAUGAUAUUUAUCUGAUUUUGCUGCAGAAGAUAAAAAUAUCGGAUGUCAAGUGUUAGUGGUGAUUCCAACUGACUUGCAUAUAAGUGGGUAAGCUGAAACAUCAAACAGAAAGGUGGUCUCCUGCCUCCCCAAUUCUUUCCUUCUGGAUAAGAGCGCCCAUGCACUUCGCUUGCUGCUUUUUGAGACCAGCAUUGCAAGUCUUUUUUUGGAGUUCCUCCAAUUGUGUGCUCACUGUCCACUUUUUCCUGCAGAAUUGCAAUUUCUUCAUCUAGUUCAGCUAUAGCGGGGCUUCAGGUACUUCCAUUACUUCAAAAUAAAUUUUGUAUUACCAUAUUUCCUGUUGAUUAUAUUUUAUUGUGGAGAUUUGAGUCUGUAUAUGAUGUAACAAAAGAAAAAAGAACAGGGCUAUUCACAUCAUGGGGCAGCAUCUUGUAGCCGUUUGUUGGCUAAAGUCAGGUUAGUGAGAGACCACUUCUGUGAUGAAAGCAUACCGUGGGUAAAACACAUGUCGAUAUGAGUAAUCAAGGGCAUUCAUUGGCAUUCAUUGCAGCCAGAAGCACCCAGAUUCAGGUCUUUUUUCUCUCAAAGGUCACAGAGGUACUAACUGGCAUCAUCUUUGAUGGACGAAGUGUAAGGUGUGAGUUGAUGGAGGUGAUGGCCAUCUUUUAUUGUUGGUGGUAACUGUGGAAGGCAAUCAUGAUUUACAUUAAGAUUGCACUGCGCAAAAACGUGAAAGUCGAAUGUGCAAAAUUUACCAGACACUGCAUCAGUAGUGCAGGUCAAUAGAUCUAAUACAAGAAUGAGUAUAUGAUCGUGGAGGUGAUGUUUCAACGUGUGCCUUCCAAAAGUGCAUGGAAUUUUGAUGUCGAAGUUGCAUUCUGCGCAGCAAAAGACAGCGUCAAUGCUCUUCACAAUGCGUCAGUGAGCGUUCCUUCCUGAUACGGGAAGAAGUGGAUGUGCAGGGUGAACAGGGUGUUGCAUAACUGAGGGCAUUUCAGCACAUGAUUUAUGGAGCAGGAAAGAGCAGCACUGCUCCAGCGGCAGCGGAUGAUUGUGAAUUGGAGAAAGAAGAGGCAAUCCAGACAAACAUAGACCUCACCUAGUAUGCUUUACACUCUGAUUCUGGUUUCAAGCUUCACGUGGAGGGCACCAACUAGAUGCUGAUGGGCGAAAUGGCAAAGAAACUGGGCCUUUCUUGCCCUCCAGGACUUGUGAACGUAGACUUAUAGCCGCACAAUCCAUGUCAAGGCUGAAAUUGCAUUCGCUGCCGCGGGAAACUAUAUGGCAGGCAUAACGUUGGAGGUCUGCCAAUUGAUCGAAAGGAAGAGAGAUGGUGAUCCCGGCGUUGCAUCUCUAGGGGGAGAUUCAAUAAUUAUAAAGCUGAGUUGAAAACAAAAUAAAGAGGUGCUCUUCUUAGUAAUUACAAGUAAGCCUGUCUAAAUGAUGGAAUGAACUAUAUUUGGAUGAAAUAAAAAUUAUGAUGCAUGCACAUUUUUCAUCUAUGGUGAUCAUCUUCCUUUCACUAGUUUGUACGCUUCUUUUGCUGGUACUUUGAAUUUAUUAUACUAAUCAAAGUAACGAUUGGUCCGACCUUGAUUUUGAACCGGGUCAAAUCCUUUUUUUGAGGUAUAAAAGGAAGACAGAAUGCUCUCUUUUUUAUCAUAUUUAUUGUCUCAUGCUAAGGUGUUUGCGUGUAUAUAAAAACCUCUUUUCAAUAACCACUGGGAUUUGCCCCAGUGGCCACCCUUCCAAUAUGGAAGGGGGAGGUGAGAGGUUCAAAUCCCCACUCUCAGGGGGGGAUGGGGUGGGGACGCAUAAGUUUCAAAAGUGGGUUUCGACUUCCACGCCCUGCACGAGGCAGAGCAAGAGUCUAAAAGUAAGUGUAAAGUAGGAAUAGAAUAGGACUGAUAACAAAAAAAAAAAAACGUGCAGGGCAAGAGUCUAAGAGUAAGUGUAGAGUAGGAAUAGAAUAUGACUGACAAAAAAAAAAAAAAAACUACUUUUCAAUCUCCUUUAAUGACUCUCUCUCUCUCUCUCUCUCUCUCUCUCUAAGAGAGUUUCCAAUGGGUCUCAGGGGAAGCUUCGGUGUUAACAUUGCAAUGGUUGGACUAUGCGGUGUUACAUGAUGAUCCAAUGGCCACUCAUGGGCAGAAGUGGGGCUUUCAAGAAAGUUGGAAAUUCUUUUUUAAAAAGAAAAAUCAAGGUAGAAUUGCGAUUAAAAUUAAAAUUUGAGAUUUUUCUAGGAGAUUAGCCCAUAAAAGCCCAUACUUCCAUCAACAAUUCAAGGUGUCUCAAACCGAAGAAAAUGCAAUUUUUAGUUAAGAUGGAAACCAUUUUUAGCAAUAUUUCACCAAGAGAAAAUGCUUGCUGCUUCAAAAGUACUUUAAUAGGAUUUUGUAUAUCCAACAAUUAUAGAAAUAGGUGAGUUUGUGCAUAAAACAUGGGGACACGAGAAUGCUCAUGUUGUGAUAUAUUAUUUGCACAAUAAAUGGAUAAUUAGAAAAAAGAGAGGAGCGGCUAUUAUUACAAUAUGAAAUUGGUAAGAUUAUAAUGAUAUAGAAAAACAAUGAUGAUAUAUUGAUGUAUGUUUUCAUUUUGUUGAUUUUGUGAAUAAGAUUUCUCCUUUAUCUAUUGUCACACCCCAAAUCUAUAAAAUAAGGAAAAUGACACCACCAUGCUCUUAUUCAAAGGAUGUAGCAUCAAAUUAUCAAAAUAUAUAUUCAUCUAUAUACUUGAUAAAGAGUGAGUUGGUUACAAACUCAAGAAUUCUAAAAUUCAUUAAAAAUAAAAGUAUGACUCAAUCUCCAAACUCAAUUAAACCCCACAAAUAUCAUCCCAGACAGAUAUAAGUACCUAAACUCACAUCCAAAUCUAACUGUAACUAAUUUCCCGCCGAUAAUGCUCAUGUCCUACUUUAGCUUACCAGAAAAAGAUUUGGAAUGAAUAAUAUGAGCAAUCACAGUUUAGUGACUAAUCCAAAUCUCUCCUAAAUAGAUCAAGAAUUUGCUAUGAUAAAUCAAUACUAGAGAUUGAUUUAUCCAAAUCCAAUAUAUUAUGUACAAUAAAAUCAAAAUAUGAAUAAUGUCACUUUAACGCAACUUUAUACUAAUAAAUUAUAUACCAAAAGGGUAAUAAAUGCUCAAUCUAAUUUUAUGCAACAAAUAUGUUUCAAAUAUUACUUUUUCAUUUAAAAAAAAUCAUUUUGUGCAAUGUUCUUCACAACUUAUAAUAUAUCAAAUCCCUAUCACUUUCAAGACAUGAGCUUAUAAUUUUUUAGAGGAUAACAACCACCCCUAAAUAAAAUGCAAAUCGAAAGUUACGCCACUCGAAGAGUCUCAAAGUCCUAUCAAAGUUGAUUUAAAUGUCAAACUUACAUGUCAACUAACCUCGACUACAACUUGAGUAGGCAAUACCAUAUUCUUGAGUAAAAUCCUCCACUAGACAAAAGAUCUUUGAACAAUUACAUUGCAAAUAGAGUAGACCUCAUCUUAAAAUUUCAAUUCAAGCGAGCUUACUUUCAAAAGAAAACUCUUUCGAAUUAAUUAUAAAGCCAAAAGAUGGUCGGAGAAGGGUGAAAUUCAUUGCCAAACAUAGUAAUUCGAAAACUGUUUUUAGCAAUGCGCAAAAUUUUAAAAAUUCAUCCAAAUCAAAUCAUUAACCUACAUUAACUUUUUUAAAGUCCUGUUAUGCAAUACCCAAAAAUUUCUUUACAACAUAAUUUCACAGCUUAAAAAUCUAUAGAAUAGACCUGGCAACAUAGAAUUCAUACAAAACCUAAUUUACGAUUUAGUUACGAAAACUCCUUCAAUUAGAUAAAUAAAAGUUUCGAAUCCUUACCGAAAUAGAAUUAAUCCGGUGCAUGUAGCAAGAGCCCCCUUUUGUCUCCUCUGUCUUUUUGUCGGUUUCUCUGGACUCAGCUUUCCUCAAUUUCUUUUUUUUUUCCGUGUUCUUCUUGGCCAUACUCUGUUUUCAUUUUAUUUUAUUUUUAUCUCUUUUUGCUCCAGUAAUUCCCUUACCCCGGCAUCAACUGAAGCAGGACCAAAGAAAGGGCUUUAACGAGACACUUGGGCUUGAGCUCACUGUUUUGCUCUUAUUUAUCAUUUUUUGCCGGAGGUGGUGGUGUAGGGCUGGCCGUAGCCGUAGUUGGGCGGCGCGUGGGGGUAGCCUGACAUUUUUCCGGGAGGAGCGACGCGCGAGGAUAUAUUUUCUUCCGGUCAAACUUCUAUUUUUUUUUUUUUUCUGGGAGGGGGCAAAAAGAGGCGAAGCUUUUCCGGGGUUCGCUUUGGGGGAGGGCUUGACGCGUAUAAAUUAGACGAGCGACACCGCCUCGCGUUGCGAAUUGGGGGUUCGGAUAGGAGGUAAUUUACGAGAUUGCCAUUAUUAUCCGGGGAACCGUGCCGAAUUUCGAAACGGAAAUUUAGGGUGCGUUUGUUUGCGUUUCUGUUUAAAAAUUGUUCCAGGAAACAGAAAUAGAAAAAAGUGUUUCUGUUCCUGGGAACAAUUUCUGAACAAAAAAACGCGUUUGGUAACUGUAUAAAAUUUCUGUUUCUGGAAUAGAAAAAGAACAGAAACACGUUUGGUAACUGUAAAAAAAUUUUGUUUGCGUUUCUGUUUAAAAAUUGUUCCAGGAAACAGAAAUAGAAAAAAGUGUUUAUGUUCCUGGGAACAAUUUCUGAACAAAAAAACGCGUGUGGUAACUGUAUAAAAUUUCUGUUUCUGGAAUAGAAAAAGAACAGAAACACGUUUGGUAACUGUAAAAAAAUUCUGUUUCUAGAAUAGAAAAAGAACAGAAACACGUUUGGUUAUGUACAAAAUUUAUGUUCCAAUUUUUUUUCAAUUGUUUUUUUUUUAAUAAAAUGUGAACUUGGUAUUGAAUUAUCAUUCUCAUGAAAUGCUUAUCAAUUUAAUUUUGUUCAUAUUAAGUGAAAACAAACAUUCUAAACUUAAUCAUAUUUGCUUAGUCGGAAUAAAUUUUUUUAAGUUCAUACCAAAAUUUUCCCAUUUGUUUUUUUUUUAAAAUAAAGUGUAAACUUGACUUUGAAUUCUCAUUAUCAUAAAAUGCUCAUCAAUUUAAUUUUGUUCAUGGUUAGUAAAGUCAAACAUUUUGAACAUGGUUAUAAGUGCAUACUCUGAAGAAAAUUUUAUAAAUAAACUUUGUUCCAAAUUUUUCUCACGUGCCUUUUUUUUUCAAUAAAGUGUAAACUUGGUAUUGCAUUAUCACUCUAAUGAAAUGCUCAUCAAUUUAAUUUUGUUCAUGGUUGGUGAAGACAAACAUUUUGAACAUGAUCAUGUGCAUACUUGGAACAAAAUUUCAUAAGUAAAAAUCCCAUAAUAAGAGCUACCUAAAAGAAGAAUACUUCAUAGAUCUCUACGUAGACCCUUUCAUACAUAACAUCACAAUAAUGAAGUAAUAUAGUUCAUUGUUCAACUUCAUCAUAUUAGAUUUGAUAAGUGAAUACUUAAAAACAAAAUUACAAAAGUCGGAAACACAAAGUCAUGAAAUUUAGGCAUAUUAUGAUCCAUCGCCAUUUUAUUUGCAAUCCUUGUCCUAAGCAUGUUUAUUCCAGGUGCAUCAUGCAAUGUAUCAUCUGCAACCUCCAAUUCUAUAGGUCCGCAUGGAACUUUGGAUGGAUCCACCGAAGUUCUCAAAGCAUCAGCGUUCACUUGAGAAUGAAUCAACCAAUUGAGGAUGUACCUUAAGUAAAGAAAAAUUCAAGACAAUAAGCAAUAAGGCAACAACGAAACAGCACCCUCCAUUCUCGCAAAUCCAUAACUUAAAGAGAAAAAAUCGAAGCAUUAUAGCCAUAAGAUAUGAAGGAUCUCGCAUAAUGUAUAAUCCCCAACAUUCCUACAAAAAAAAGUCAAACAACGUUGUUCUUAUAGAUUCACAAAGAAUGUACUAAAUGAACAAGUCAACAACGUUGUUCUUCUCACGUGCCUUUUUUUUUCUGUUCUUUUCUUUUCUUUCACUUUUAUUUUUCUCCUCCCCUUUAGUCUACCCCUCUACACGUUCUCUUCUUCGGGCGUCAUCUUCUUCCUUUUGUCUUUCUCACUUUUAACACCCAUUUUUUCCUUUUUCUUCCUCGACUUCCGAUUGGAUCAAAAUGUGGCUGAGUCGCAAGGGUUCAUAGAGACACACAGAAAAUACUAAUAUUAGACCAAAUCCAAGCAAUACGGGACAAAACGCAAAUUGAGAAGCUUUAACACAAAGGCAGAAAAAUAAAUAACAAUAACUUCGACAUUGAUUCACAUCACUUUGAUAUAUUCAGCCACAAAUCCAUAGAUCUACAUGAUGUCAUAGAGAUUGAGACAUGAUGUCAUAGAGAUUGAGAUUAAAGAAACAAUAAUGUAUAGAACUCUGAGAGUGAUAAAAGGCUAUUUUGUCAUGCCCGAUGUUGUCAAUUGACAGUCCACACACAAUGAAAAGUGUAGCAGCAGUAAGCAGACGCUCGCUUGGCAACAAUAACUUCUAUGCUCGCUGUUGCGAGCGCUCGAGAGAGCAGAGCAGGGCUCGUUGCUCUGCUCGCUUGAUUCAGGCAUUUGCAUGAUUCUUGCUAACUACUUUGAUUGACAUUAAUAGAUCAAUAAAUGGAGAAAGACUAGGAAAAUACCCACUGGAAGAUAUUGGCCUAGAUAGGGCAUCGUUUUUUUUGCCACAGAACAACAGGAUCGCGGGACAAAGAUCAACAGAACAGCAACUCGUCAUGGUGUCGAGGAACGCCAGCAAAGGCCAGAUAUUUGCCCCGUUUCGUGCCCUUUCCCCCAUCACCAGUGCCAGCACCAUUGGGCACGGCAGAAGAGCCGCCGAUGGUUCCAGUUCCGACACACAGCGGGCGGCUCGCUGGAGCCUGAGCAGCAGCGACGCUCGCUGCUCUGCUCGCUCGAGCCGAGCCUGAGCAGCAGCGACGCUCGCUGCUCUGCUCGCUCGAGCCUGAGCAGCAACGACGCUCGCUGCUCGAGCAGCAACGAUGCUCAAUGCUUUGCUCGCUCGCCCAGAUCUCGAGCGAGCAGAUGAGCUGCUGUCGCAAAUCUGGGUGAGCAACGCUCGCCCAAAUCUGCGAGACUCGCUCAAGCAAGCGGCUCGCAGAUCUGGGCAAGCGCUGGCUCGAGCGAGCCCUAACACUCGAGCUCUCGUCGAAGUGAAGACAAUCAGUGAAGGAGGAGCAGUGACCACGUUUACCUGGUGAAGGAGCAGCGGCUGUCGAGACAGAGGCCGCUGUUGGCGCCGGAGAAGACGAUGGAAUUCUCUGCUCGCAGGAGGAGACGCUCGUUGCAGGAGGAGACGCUCGUCGCAGGUCGCAGGAGGAGAAGCUCGUCGCGGGGGGGAGAGAGGCGUUGUUUGAGCACUAUCCAAGAAAUAAAAAAGGAACACAAUUUUGUUCCUUUUUUGUUUCUGAUUUGUGUUUCAGAAACAAGAAACACAAAAUUUGGCUGCGUUUGGUUGUAUUUCUUUUUUUUUGUUUUUAAACACUUUUUCUGUUUUUUGGUUCUUUUAUUCCCAGGAACAAAAAAGAAAUAGAAACAAGAAACACAAAUUUUGUGUUUCUUGUUUCUGAAACACUUUUGAGAAACACUUAUUUUUUUUUCUUUUUUCUCUUAUUUUCUUGUUCUUUUUUCUUUUGGCCGGACGCCGGCCUCGGUCAUGGUCGAGGACCGGCCGACGAGGGCCGGCGGCCUCGANNNNNNNNNNNNNNNNNNNNNNNNNNNNNNNNNNNNNNNNNNNNNNNNNNNNNNNNNNNNNNNNNNNNNNNNNNNNNNNNNNNNNNNNNNNNNNNNNNNNUUGAAAGAUAGAAAAUAUAUUUUCAAAUUUAGAAGGUUUUUAUUAUUGAUGAAAAAUGCAUUUUCUAUCGGUUCAUUUUGUGAAACGAAUAUUGAAAAAUGCGAGAAUUUUGUUUCCGAAAGUUUUUCUUCGUGAAACGAAGGAAGCUUGGCAAUUUGGACACAUCAAGAAAAAAAGCGACCUUCCUUUGAUUAUUCGUUUUAUUCCUAAGUACGGUCUACUUUUUGAGUUCCUAUUCUGUCGAAACAAGACCGUCAUUUUCCAGAGGAAAAUCAGCCAAUCACCGACCGUCCUUGGCACGGGCCUGGGUGUGGUGGGGGGCGGGGAUCCAGCGGUUCCCCACGUGCGGGCCCUACCAGGAGUUCCCGCGAGUCGUGGGGGCCACGUGCGGAUUCCGCACCGUUUUUUCUUUUUGAAUUUUGGGAACCUCGAAAAACGGAUAAAAGGAGUGCAGGCCCACUUCGCAAAAUCAAUUUCGGAAAAGACGUGACGGGUGUUUUUUUUUAAAAAAAAAAUACAUUCGUUUAUCAAAUUAGAGUUUCAUCGAGAAAGAAAAGAAAAAGAGAGCAGAAAUUAGAGAAUGCCUAGUGCCAACUCCCGCACACCGACAGAGCACCGGCCAAAAGAAGAAAAAAAAUAUGAAAAGGAAAAAAAGGAAAAAUAAGAGAAAAAUAGAAAAAAUAAAAGAAAUAAAAAAAAUUAUCCAAAAUUACCAAACAUGUUUCUGUUUAUUUUUUAUUCCCGGAACAAGUUUACCAAACGCGUUGUUUUGUUCAAAAAUUGUUCCCCGGAACAGAAACACUUUUUUUUAUUUCUGUUCCCUAGAACAAUUUUUAAACAGAAACGCAAACAAACGCACCCUUUGUGUUUCUUGUUUCUGUUUCUUUUUUGUUCCUGGGAACAAAAGAACAAAAUAACAGAAAAAGUGUUUAAAAACAAAAAAAAGAAAUACAAACAAACGCAGCCUUACUAGUAAAGGCGACGACCUUUUCGAUUUUCGCAGGCAGUGGGCGAGUUCAAAUUUGACAGGCCUCUUUGCCCCCUCUGAUAACGUCAAAAUCGUCGUCCGACCGACAUGUGGAAAUUCAUUUAAAAAAAAAAAAAGAUAAGUGCUUCGACAUCGACUAAGAAUAUGCCUCGUAAGCUUCGUAGGCCUUAUGUUACAAGUGUUAAGUAAGGAUGAAGGGUUCCAAAUUCCUUAUAAAUUUUGUCUAAAUUCUAAAACCUACUUUUGGGUAUAAAUUUUUAAUUUUUUGGAACCUAAAACUUCAAUUCUAGAAUUCAAUGGAAUUUCGAUCUUGAGGUCUCUACAAUAAAGUGGCCAAAACUGAAUCAAUUUAGUUGCCCAUUGAUGGGUAAGAAAGUCUCUUUUUCUAACACAAGAAAAAAUAGAUGGCAAAGUUCAAAGGCCCUUCCUCCUCUCCAGUGGUGGGGUGAAUGCAGGGACCUUGGCGGACCCCCCGUGGGGAAGGUAUCUUUUUCCAGCCCCUUACCUCUUAGAAUAUUCCUGGCUUAUGUGACGCCAAAUCACUUAUGAAAGUACCAGGAAACAGGAUCGCUUUUGCUUUCUUGUCCUUUGGCUCGCUACUAAGAUGUUUCAGUUCAAUGUACCUAUCUUCACCACAACCGGCGCCAUGGACUUUAGCUCCAUCGUCUCUAUCCUUGCGGCGCACUCCCGUGUAUGGCAUGGUGGAAGAGCGCAGCCACAUCCGCCGCGCCCGGGCGUGGAUCUGCGUUUAUCGCUAGAAGUCUAAGCACUGUAGUUGUUCGACUGACUGUUCCCUGCUUGGAAGAACUAAUUUUAAUCGUAUUUGACUUCUUUAAAAUUAAAUGAGUAGUACUUAAGGAACCUAAGCUAGUUUUGUAUAAGAUGCACUAGGGGCUUUCUUCUCUUUAUCUGAAGCCAAACCCAUAAGGAAUCCCCAAGCCUUUGGCGUCAAAUUAUCUCCCGAUCGUAAGAAAGGAGAGCAGGGAACAAGUAAAAACCAUCUAUGUAUCUUUCCUAUUCCUAGCCAUGAAUGGUGAUGCACCUUGUAGUGACUAGAUCUGUUUAAGAUAAGCUAAGUCCUCAAAAGAAAUUGGGAUCAAUUGUUAUUGAAGAGAUUGAAGAUGACCUCAACAACAGUUACGACGAGUAGAAUGGUCUUUUCUAGUAGGCAUAUAGGGGGUAGUAAUUGUUCUUGAGGUUAUAGCUUCUGACCUCUUUGAAAGCAUUGCUGAAUGUUGCAGAUUUCCUUCUUUUUUUCUGGUGAAUCUCUUUGUAGCUUUCUGUUUGGCCAGUGGAUGGAUUUGUGUCAUUUUACAUUCUUUGCUGGUGUGCUAUGGUUUUGCUCAUUUAUCCAUAUGAACUGGGAUAAAUUGAUGCCUUGGAGACACAAGCACAGCUAAAAUUUCAAAAGCUUUGAUCUAAUACUAACAUCAUUGAGUGAUCCAAAUCAAAAUGAAAGAUGCCAGCUUUUUCCAUCUCUCUCGCAUAUACACCAUUACUGCUUACUAGCUAUUCCGAUGAUAAUAUAAUUGUAGUUUGUCAUUGCAGAAUGUGGGAGUGGUUACAUCAUAUAAUCUUUAUUUUACCUCGAGAGGUGACAACUAGAUCUUUGCUGUGGCAACUGCGUGAACUUGCAAUUUAAGAUUACGCCAUCUCGCUGACUCAUUGACAUUCAAGUUGCUGGGGCCAAGGUGAGAAAAGAAUGCUGAAAUGUAGAUAUUUUUCAGGAGGCUUUAUUUCAAGAUAACUGAAUUUUGGUUGACUACAGAUGUUAGAACCGAAAUUUUCCCACCCUGCAUGUGCUAAGAAUUUACAGUUCAUGUACGCAAAGCUAGAUAGAUAGUAUGCAGAUGCUUGAGACAAGUCUGUACAAACUACACACAUUUGAUGUUCGUAUCUGAGGAAAUAAUUAGACCAGCAAGCUUCUUGACAAGUUGAUUCAUAAUCAAAUCAUGCAUUCCAACGUUAGUACUUUGAAAUAUGACAGAGCACACAAGUCUUGCACUUCAAAAAUAUGAUAUUUAUCUGCUUUUUCUGCAGAGAACAAUGAUCUUGGAUGUUGACUGUAGCAGUGAGUCCAAUUGACUUGCAUAAGAACGUGACUUGUCAAUCAAAAAGGGUAGGUUCUCCUGACUCCCGAAUUUUUUUUCUUCUUGGUAAGUGCCUCCCCAACACUACAACUGCAUGCACUUCAAUUGCAGCUUUUAGAGACCAGCAUUGCAAGUCUUUUCUUGAGUACCUCCAAUUAUGUGCUCGUUCUUUCUGCUUUUUCCUGUAGAGUUGCAAUUUUUUUCAUCUAAUUCAGCUAUAGCAAGAUUUUCGGGUACUUCCACUAUUCCAGCAACCUGUAUUAAAAAAUGUUUGGUAUAAGCGCAAUUUCUGUUGAUUAUUAAAAAAAAAGUUUGGUAUUGUGGAGGAUGAGUCCAUACAUAUGACGUUCAAAAAGGAAUAUGGCUAUUUACCACAUUAUAUGGCAGCAUCUUGUAUCCAUUUGUUGGCUAAAGUCUGUUUAGUAAGAGAGCCCUUGUGUGAUGGAAGUGCAUCGUGGGUCAAACACAUUUGAUAUGAGUAAUCAAUGGGCAAGGGAAUUCAUUGGAGUCCUAAGCACCUAGAUUUGGGUCCCUUAUCAUCUUGCGAAGGUCAUAUUAGUACUCACCGGUAUCAUCUUUGAUGGACAAAGUGUAAAAUAUGAGUUGAAGGAAGUUGAUGACAAUCUUUUACUGCAGUGGAGGUUAAUCUGUGAUGAUUAAGAUUGCACUGCACACUACCGUAAAAGUCAAACCUGCAAAAUUUACCACAGAUGCUCCAUAGGAAGCAUGGUUUGGUAGAACUAAUAUAAGCAUGGUUCUGUCCCCUCUGCAUUCCACAGGCAAGGGUGAGUCCCAUGCAUCAGUUUGUGGAUCGCGCUUUCACACACUAAUCCCUACAGAUUCCUGUGGGAGGACCAAAUCCUAUUGAUUUGAAUUUUCAGCAGGUUCCUUUAUCAUUUGAUAUGAACUUGGAAGUUAAUCUUCUUCUCAGGUUUAUAAAAGCCUGAAUGCUUAUUGUGGAAAACAAUUACCAGGAGAGUUAUCAUUAUCCUAAGUCAAAUAAUGAAGCUAAGUACAUGAUCUACAGAAGAACUUAAGACUGCAGGACUGUCAAAUGCUUCUGCUCAUUCAAUAGCAGAUACUUAAAAAUUGUAACCUUUAACUGGAGUGUGAAUGUUACUGAAGAGACCAAAAAUACUUUGACAAUCAUUACAACGAGGAGGUUGGGGAGAUGUUUCAUUUUUUGUUUCAAGGUUACUGAAGGUCCUACUAGACCAAAAGAUUUGGAAGUUUUUUUCUUUACUGAAAAGAGAAAAAGAGGCAAGUUCAUGAAAAAUGGUGCUUUUACUAGCAUUUUUAGAUAUUGACUCUUUACUAACACAUUGGCACGUGUCAAAUGUUGUCAUAUGGUCGUUUCUAGUUGCCAAAAUAGAGUUAUGAACUAGGAUAAAUAAGAUGCCUUGGAGACGCGAGCACAGCUGCAAUAUAGAAGUUUUGUUCUAUCGUGACAGAGUUAUCCAUAUCAAAAUAAAAAAUGUCAGUUUUUUCAUCUCUGUCCCAUAUGCACGGGUACCGCUUCUUAGCUAUUCUGAUGAUAAUUUUGUUUGAGUUUGUCAUUGCAGGACGACAAGAGUGGUUAUGUCAUAUAGUCAGCACUAUCUCUCAGAGGUGACAACUAGAUCUUUGUUGCUGCAAAUGUGUCAACUUGCUUUGGCAAAUAAUAUUUAUAAAGGCAGCGACUUCUUUUGUGACAUAUCCUGUUUGUAUCUGGAAGCUCUUGGAUCUGGGUGAUGCAAUCUAAGACUAUGUUGUCUCACAGGCUGAUUGGUUUUCGUGGGGACCUAGAAUUGUGGCUUCAGUCAGAGAUUCAAGGUGCCAGGGCCAAGGUGAGAAAAGAAUGCUGAAAUAUGGAUUUCUUUUUUGGGAGGCUUUAGUUCAAUAUAACCGACUUUUGGUAGACUGCAGAUGUUAGAACUGAACUUUUCCCAUCGUCAUGUGCUGGAAGAGAAUUUUUGCAGUUCAUGAAUGCAAAGCCAUAUAGAUAGUAUGCAAAAGCUUGAGACUAGUCUGUGCAUACUACUUACAUCUGAUAUUCUUUUUUUUUGAGGAAAUAAUAAGACCCACAAGCUUCCUGACAAGUUGAUUCAUAAUCAAAUUAUGCAUCUUUUUGUUAGCACUCCAACUCUUAACAUAGACCAAACAAGUCUUACACUCAAAAAUAUGAUAUCUAUGUGCUUUUGCUGCAGAGAAUAACAAUCUCAGAUGUCGAGUGUCAGCAGUGAUUCUGUGUAACUACAUGCGCUUUGGAUGCAUCUUUUUGAGAUCAGCAUUGCUCAUCUUGUUUUUAGUACCCCCAGUCGUGUGCUCGCUCUGUCCUCUUUUUCCUGCAGAGUUGCAAUUGUUUCACCUAUUUCAGCCAUAGCAGGGUCUUCAGGUACUUCCACUAUUCCAGCAACCUGUAUUUGGUACUAGCAAGUUUUCUGUUAACUAUUACUUAUUGUGGAGGAUGAGUCUAUAUAUGUGGUGUUAAAAAGGAACUAAGCUAUUAAAUGGCACUGGCGGCAUCUUAUAUCCAUUAGAUGGCUAGAGUCUGUUUAGUAAGAGAGCACUUCUGGGAUGAAAAUGCACUGUGAGUAAAACACGUUUGAUAUGAGUAUUCAAUGGGCAAGGGCAAACAUUGCAGUUGUAAGCACCCAGAUUCAGGUCCCUUAACUUCUCGCAAAGGUCACAAUAGUACUCACCGGUAUCAUCUUCGAUGAACGAAGCGUAAAGUGUGAGUUAAUGGAAGUUAAUGGGAAUCUUUUACGUAGUGCUAGGCAAUCUGUGAUGAUUAUAUUGCAAUGCACACAACUGUAAAAGUCGAACUUGCAAAAUUUACUGCAGCAGACACUGCAUAGGAAGCACAGUUCGGUAGAUCUGAAUUAAGAAAGAGUACAUGGUCGUGGAGGUGAUGUUUCAAAGUGGGCCUCUCAAAAGUGCAUGGAAUCUUGAAGUUGUAGUAACUUUCCAUGCAGUGAAAGAGCGUCGACAAUCUUUACAACAUAUGUCAGCAAUGCUCCUUCCUGAUAUGAGAAGAAAAAGGAUGCGUGGAGCAAACAGGUUGUUUCAUAACAGAGGGCAAUUCAGCUCAUGAAUUAUGGAGCUGAAAAGAGCUGCUCUGCUCCAGCCAGCGAUAGGCUGAACAUUUGACGCAUUCAUCGCAGUCUUGCACAGACCAUCCUUCAUAUGACAAUGCCAGCAGCAGAGGAUGAUUGUGAGAGAAGAGGCAAUAAAGACAAGCAUAGACCUCACCUGGUAUGUUCUCUUCGCAAGCUUUGCACCAGAUUCUUCUCUUGAGCUUUGUGUGUAAGACCAGUCGAUGCUGAUUGUUGAAAUGGUUAAAAACCGAGUCCUUAUUGGCUCCAGAUCUUGUGAACGUAGCCGUGCAGUCCAUGUCGCGGCUGAAUCUGCAUUCGCUGCUGUAGGAAACCAUGGUAAGCAUUACAUUUAGCUCCUCCAAUUGAUCGAAAGCAAGAGAGAGAGAGGGUGAUCAUGGAGAGACAGGUGUUGCAUCUCUGUGGGGGGAUUCGGCGCAGCUUUUGUGGAAAAAGAAGAUGCACGCAUGGCCUCAAUAGACCUCCCCCAAGAUCGCUUGCUCGCAGGUUUUGCAUUUAUUUCUACUUUUCAUCCUGAGAUGAUGGGAUGUGAGCGGCUCUUGAGCAUAUAUUGGAUGGCCAUAUUCUGAGAAUCUUCAUCGAGCCUUAGUUGUGACUAGCCAGACGAAGCUAUAUCGGGCUGUGCAAUAAUAAUCGACCCAUUCGAAUGGCAAGAGAAGGUUUUCAUAUAUAAAAGGCGAAAUAUUCAUGGAAUAUAUAUAUAUAAUAUCUAUAUCACUAGACCGGUGAGGUCGUGUACUUCAUGGUGUCGUGAUCAACUUUUGCUAGGAAAAUAAAAUGAUAUUGUUUAUGUAUGCGCGUUACGGUUGGGUGAAUCAACCCAGCGACAUAGAUGGAUGAAAAGCAUCUCUGAAAGACGACACGUAAGCGGUGACGACUUUAUGCCCUUCUCAUUCCUCCCUUCUUUUACUCAUUUCUCAUCCCCCGUUUGUCCCUUUCACGUGGCCUCUCCCCAUUUCUCUCUCCUCUCUAAAAGUUUCCACAAAUAUUCCUCCUCAAUUCCUCGUUCUUUCUUUGUCACGAAAGUUGACAUUUAUGAUGCAAUUUGGACGAAAUAAAGAUUAUGAUGCAUAGGCAUUUUUCAUCUGUGGCGAUCAUCUUCAUUUCACUAGUUUGUAUGAUUUUUUUGCUAAAAUUCGAAUUUAUUAUGGUCCGACAAACCGCAUAGGGUUGGAUCAUGCGGCGUCACAUGAUGAUCCUAUGUCCCCGGGGGCACAUAUGAGAUCUCAAUUGAAUUUGGAGAUUUUUGUUUUUUAACAAAAGAAAAAAUUGAAGUAAAAUUGAGAUUAGAAUUAGAGUUGUGCAUCUUUUUAGGAAAUUAGCCCAUAAUGAAUCUUCCAGGUUAAUUGCGCACACUGCUGAAACACAGGAACAAAUAAAUAGGAAAGUUUAAAGGCGUUUCCCCGCUGUCCACCCCGGUGGUGGGGUGAACGCAGGGACAUGAUUGAUGUUUCUGCUUCUUUUAUUCGAGGUGACAUUUGCACCUAUUCAUGCUGUGAAUAUUAAUGAUGUCCAAAUUUCACUUCGAAUAAAAGAAGCAGAAGCGAAGCAUCAAUGAUGUCCCUGCCUGCGCCCAACACGGCGCCAUGGAUCUUACCCCAUCGACGAGGAUCCCAUCGUCUCUAUCCUCGUCGAUUUCAUCCUAGUGAGAUAUAGGGGAAGUCGACUUCGCCCUUUGAAACCCACCCCGUCGCCAUCGGCGUUGCCAUCUGCAGCCUGCUCCUGCGUUUCUUGUUGCUGCGUCUCGCUGAUCGGGCACCACCGUCUAGCGGCCGUGCUCCUUCUCAGGAUGCAGCAUGGCACCUCUUCAUCGACUUCGUCGGUUCGAUAUUGGUGGCUUCGUUCGCGUGGUUGCUGCUCCAUGACUCCUCCCACUCCGUCCCCUGGUUGUUCGUGCUGCUCCUGCUGCUUUCCGUGAGUCUGUUGUGCGGCCUCAUGCAAAAACUUUGUCUGUGGUUUUACGACAAAAUCCUCAUGAUGAUCAUCCGUGCCGUGCAGCGUGGUCUCCCGGCCGUGGAUCAGCGUUUAAGGCCGCAUCUCUAAGCUAGUUUUGUAUAAGAUGCACUCGGGCCUUUCUUCCGUUUAUAUGAAAACAUAAGGAGUCCCCAAGCCUUCGGAAAAAUCAAAUUAUCUCCCAACCAUAAGAAAGGAGAGCAGGGGACAAGUACAAACCACCUAUGAACGGUGAUGGACCUUGUAGCGACUAGAUCUGAUUAAGAUAGGCUCAGUCCUCAAAAGAAAUUGGGAUCUACUGUUAUUGAAGAGAUAGAAGAUAACCUCAGCAAUCGUUUUGACGAGUAGGUCUACUCUAGUAGCCAGGUAAGAGAUAGUAAUUGUUCUUGAGGUUAAAGCUUCUGACCUCUUUGAAAAUGUUGUUGAGUGUUGCAGAUUUUCCUUCUUCUUCUGGUGAAUCUCUUCGUAGCUUUCUGUUUGGCCAGUGGAUGGAUACGUGUCAUUUUAUAUUCUUUGCUGGUGUACUAUGGUUUUGCUCAUUUUUCCAUAUGAACUGGGAUAAAUUGAUGCCUUGGAGAGGCGAGCACAACUACAAUUUCAAAAGCUUUGAUCUAAUGCUAACAUCAACAAGUGAUCCAAAUAAAAAUGAAAGAUGUCAGCUCUUUCAUUUCUGUCCCAUAUACACCAUUACUGCUUAAUAGCUAUUCUGAUGAUAACAUAGUUGUAGUUUGUCAUUGCAGAAUGUGGGAGUCAUUACAUCAUAUAGUCUUCAUUUGACCUCUGAGAGGUGACAACUAGAUCUUUGCUGUGGCACAAGCAUUAACUUGCAAUCUAAGACUACAUUGUCUUGCUGGCUGAUUGACAUUCAAGUUGCCAGGGCCAAGGUGAGAAAAGAAUGCUGAAAUGUUGAUUUUUUUUUCUGUAGGCUUUAUUUCAAGAUUACUAAAUUUUGGCAGACUGUAGAUGUUAAAACCAAACUUUUCCCAUCUUCAUGUGCUAUAGAAUUUACAGUUUAUGUAUGCAAAGCUAGAUAGAUAGUAUGCAGACGCUCGAGACAAUUCUGUACAAACUACACAUCUCUAAUGUUCGUAUCUGUGGAAAUAAUUAGACUGGCAAGCUACCUGACAAGUUGAUUCAUCAUCAAAUUAUGCAGCCCAAUGUUAAUACUCCGAUUCAUAAAAUGGAGCACACAAGUCUUGCACUUCAAAAAUAUGAUAUUUAUCUGCUUUUACUGCAGAGAACAACAAUCUUGGAUGUUGACUCUAGCAGUGAGUCCAAUUGACUUGCAUAAGAAUGCAAGUUGAAAAAUCAAACAGAAAGGUAGGUUCCCCUGACUCCCAUAUUCUUUUCAUCUUGUUAAGUGCCUUUCGAACUCUGCAACUGCAUGUAAUUUGCUUGUGGCUUUUGGAAACCAGCAUCGAACAUCUUUUCUUGAGUACCUCCAAGUAUGUGCCCACUUUUUUCUGCAGAAUUUUAAUUUUUUUCAUCUAGUUCAGCAAUAGCAGGGUCUUCAGGUACUUGCACUAUUCCAGCAACUUGUAUUAAACACUGUUUGGUAUUGGUGCAUUUUCGGUUGAUUAUUACUUACUGUGGAGAUUAGUCUCUAUAUAUGAUAUUAAAAAGGAACAUGACUAUUCACCACAUUGUACGGCUGCAUCUUGUAUCCAAUUUUGGCUAAAGUCUGUUUAGCAUGAGAGUUCUACUGUGAUACAAGCACACCAUGGUAAAACAUAUUUGAUAUGAGUAAUAGAUGGGCAAGGGCAUUAAUCACAGUCAUAAGCACCCAGAUUCGUGUCUCUUAUCUUAUUACAAAGGGGACAAUAGUACUGCUAACUGGUAUUAUCUUUGAUGAACAAAGCAUAAGUGUGGGUUGAUGAAAGUUAAUGGCAAUCUUUUACUGAAGUGGAAGGCAAUCUGUGAGGAUUAAGAUUGCACUGCGCACAACUGCAAAAACCUAAUUUACAGUUUAACUACGAAAACUCUUUAAUUAGAUAAAUAAAAGUUUCAAAUCCUUACCAAUUGCUAAGAAACACAAAUAAUCUGGCUUGACCAAGCUGCUCAAAAGUGCAUGCAGCGAGAGCCCCCUGUCUCACUUUGUCUUUUUGUCUGUUUCUCCGGACUCUGCUUUCCUCCUCUUUUGGGGUUCUUCUUGGCCAGACUGUUUAUUUUUAUUUUCUCUCUAUCUGCUCUAGUAAUUUCGUUGCAAUGGCAUCAACUGAAGCAAGACCGAAGAAAGUGCUUAAACGAGACACUUGGACUUGGGCUUACUGUUUUGCUCUUAUUUAUUGUUUUUUGCCAGCCCGGUUAUUGAAACUUCAAUAGGAAAGUUAAGUUCAAAGGCGUUCCUCCACUCCAGUGGUGGGUUGAAGGCAGGGAUAGCAGAGUGGCAUAAAAGAUGACAGUCUGGAACUGGGAGGAUCACUGCCACUGUCAGUUUGGAGUUUAGUUGCUACAAGGUGCAUUCCCAUUCAUGGCUAGGUAUUGGCACGAUACAUGGGUAGUUUUUACUUUCUUAUGGUCGGAAGAUAAUUUGAUGAUUCCAAAGGCUUGGGAACUCCUUAUGUUUCAGAUAAAGAGAAGAAAGCCCCAAAUGCCUCUUAUAAAAUACUAGCUAGCUUCCUAAAGUACUUGUCACUUGUUUUAAAGUGGCCAUAUAGAACAAGAGUACUUUUUCCAAGCAGGGAACAGUUGAACAACUAUGGCACUCAGACUUCCAACAUGAAAUGCAGAUACAGGACUGUGCGAGGUGAAUACGGCUGCACUCUUCCACCAUGCCAUACAUGAGACUGCACCGCAUGGAUUAUUAUGAGAAUGAGUUUGCAGUAAAACCAUAGCCAAAGUUUUUGAAUGGGGCCUUGCAACAGACUCAUGGAAAGCAACAGGAGUGGCACGAACCAGGGAACGGAGUGGAAGGAGUCAUGGAACAGCAACCAAGCGAGUGAAGCCACCGAUAUCGAACCGGUGAAGUCAAUGAGGAAGGAUGAUGCUCCAUCACAAGAAGGAGCAUGGCUGCCAGAUAAGCGAAACGCAGCAACAAGAAAUGCAGGAGCAGGCUGCAGAUGGCGACGAUGGUGGUGACGGGGUGAGUUUCAAAGGGUGAAGUCAACUUCCCCUGGUAUUUUAAUUUAAUGAAGUUGACCAGGAUAGAGACAAUGGAGGUUAAAUCCAUGACACCAUGAGGGAUGAAGGCAGGGACAUCAUUUGUGGUUCUUUUUAUGGACAUUGGCCCUCAAAAGAAAUUGGGACCUAUUUGUUAUUGAAGAGAUCAAAGAUAAUCUCAAAAAUUGUUACAAGGAGUAGAAUAAUCGUUUCUAGUAGCCAUAUGAAGCGUAGAAAUUGUUCUUGAGGUUAAAGCUUCUGGCCUCUUUGAAAACAUUACGAGCAUUGCAGGUUUCCUUCUUUUUCUGGUGAAUCUCUUUGUAGCUUUCUGUUUGGCCCUUUGAUCAACAUGUGCCAUUUUACAUUCUUUGCUAGUAUACUAUGGUUUUGCCCAUAUAUCCGUAUGAACUAGGAUACAUAGAUGCCUUGGAGACACGAGCACAGCUGCAAUUUCAAAAGCUCUGUUCUAACAUCACUGAGUGAUCCAAAUCAAAAUGAAAGACAUCUGUUUUUUCAUCUCUGUCCCACAUACCCCAUUACUGCCCAAUGAUGAUAAAGUUUUAGUUUGUCAUUGCAGAAUGAAAGUGGUUAUAUCAUAUAGUCUUCAUUUGACCUCUUGAGAGUUGACAACUAGAUCAUUGUUGUGGCGAAUGCAUCUACUUGCAAUCCAAGACUACUUUGUCACUAAUCCCUGCAGAUUCCUGUAGGAGGACCAAAUCAUAUUGAUUUUAAUUUUCAGCGGGUUUCUUCAUCAUUUGAUAUGAACUUGGAAGUUGAUAUUCUUCUCGGUUUUAUAAAAGCCUGAAUGCUUAUCGUGGAACUUGCAAUCUAAGACAACUAGAUCAUUGUUCUCAGGACUGUCAAAUCCUUCUGCUAAUUCAGUAGCAGAUGCUUAAAACUUGUAACCUUUAACUGGAGUGCAAAUGUUACUGGAGAGACCAAAAUACUUCAACAAUCACUAUGACAAGGAGGAUGGGGAGAUGUUUCAUUGUUUGUUUCGAGGGUAACCAAGAUCCUGGUAGACCAAAAGAUUAAGAAGUUUUUUCUUUACUGAAAAGAGAAAAAGAGGCACGUUAAUGAAAAAUGGCGCUUUUACUAGCAUUUUCAUAUAUUAACUCUUUAUUAUCGCAUUGGCACGUGUCAAAUGUUGUCACAUGGUCGUUUCUAGUUGCCAAAAUAAAGUCGUGAACUAGGAUACCUUGGAGACGCGAGAACGGCUACAAUAUAGAAGCUUUGUUCUUUCAUGAUAGAGUUAUCCAUAUCAAAUGAAAAAUGUCAGUUUUUUCAUCUCUGUCCCAUAUGCACAGGUAUCGCUUACUAGCUAUUCUCAUGAUAAUUUCGUUUGAGUUUGUCAUCGCAGAAUGACGAGUACUUACAUCAUAUAGUCAGCACUUUUCCUCUCAGAGGUGACAACUAGAUCUUUGUUGCUGUGAAUGCGUCAACUUGCUUCAGCUAAUAAUAUUUAUGAAGGCAGCGACUUCUUUUGUGAUGGAUCCUGUAUGAAUCUGAAAGCUCUUGGGUCUGAGUAAUGCAAUCUAAGACUGUUGUCUCACUGGCUGAUUGGUUUUCGUCAGGAGCUAGAAUUGUAGCUUCUGUCAGAGACUCAAGUUGCCAGGGCCAACGUGAGAAAAGAAGGUUGAAAUACAGAUUUCGUUUUCCGGAGGCUUUAGUUUAAUAUAACUGACUUUUGGUAGACUGCAGAUGUUAGAAUUGAACUUUCCCAUCUUCAUGUGCUGGAAAAGAAUUUUUGCAGUUCAUGAAUGCAAAGCCCUGUAGGUAGUUUGCAAAGGCUGAGACUAGUCCAUGCAAACUAUUCACAUCUGACAUUUAUUUUUCAAAGAAAUAAUAAGACCGGCAAGCUUCCUGACAAGUUGAUUCAUAAUCAAAUUAUGCAUCCCUAUGUGAGUAGUCCAACUCAUAACAUUGAGCACACAAGUUUUACACUAAAAAAUAUGACAUUUAUCUGCUUUGCUGCAGAGAAUAACAAUCUCAGAUGUCGAGUGUCUGCAGUGAUCCCUGUAAGUUGAAACAUCAAACAGGAAGGUGGUCUCCCGCCUCCGCAAUUCUUUUCUUAUCGAUAAGUGCCUACCCAACUCUUCAACUACAUGCACUUUGGUUGCAUCUUUUUUAGACCAGCAUUGCACAUCUUUUUUUUUAGUACCCUCAGUUGUGUGCUCGCUCUGUCCUCUUUUUCCUGCAGAAUUGCAAUUGUUUCAUCUAGUUCAGCCACGGCAGGGUCUUCAGAUGCUUCCACUAUCCCAGCAACCUGUAUUUGGUUCUAGCAAGUUUUCUGUUAAUUAUUACUUAUUGUGGAGGAUGAGUCUAUCUAUAUGAUGUUAAAAAGGAGCAAGGCUAUUCACCACAGCAAAUGGCGUUGGCAGCAUCUUGUAUCCAUUAGAUGGAUAAAGUCUAUUUGGUAAGAGAGCACUUCUGGGAUGAAAAUGCACCGUGGGUAAAACGCAUUUGAUAUGAGUAAUCGAUGGGCAAGGGCUUACAUUGCAGUCAUAAGCACCCAGAUUCAGGUCCCUUGUCUUCUUGCAAAGGUCACAGUAGUACUCACUGGUAUCAUUUUAUCGAAGCGUAAAUUGUGAGUUGAUGGAAGUUAAUGGGAAUCUUUUACUGUAGUGGAAGGCAAUCUGUGAUGAUUAAGAUUGCAAUGCAGACAACUGUAAAAUUCGAACCUGCAAAGUUUACAGCAGAGCAUCGACACUCUUCAUGACAUGUCAACAGUGCUCCAUCCUGAUAUGAGAAGAAGGUAGGAUGUGCAGGUGAACAGGUUGUUGCAUAACUGAGGGCAAUUCAGCACAUGAUUUAUGGAGCAGGAAAGAGCACCUUUGCUCCAGCCAGCGAUAGGCUAAACAUUUGAUGCAUUCAUCAGAAGCCUUGCACGGACCAGCCUCCAUAUGACAGUUCCAGCGGCAGAGGGUGAUCGUGCAGUGCAGAAAGAAGGGGCAACCAAGACAACCAUGGACCUUUGCACCUGAUUCUGUUUUAGAGCUUCAUGUGGAAGACCAGUGGAUGCUGACGGUCGAAAUGGUAGAGAACCGAGUCCUUAGUGCCUCCAGAUCUUGCGAACAUAGAGAUAAAGCCAUGCGUGCAAUCCAUGUCGAGGCUGAAUUUGCAUUUUUUGCAGUCGGAAACCAUGAUAAGCAACUAAGGACGGAUUUUGGUAAUGUUGCUGUUUUAGGAAACAGUUUUUUUUCGGAAGCACUUUUUUUCUAUUUUUGUUCUUGGGAACAAUUUCUGAGUAUUUUAAGAUGUUUGGUAAAUAUUUAAAAUUUUUGUUCACAAAACAAAAAUACGUUUGAU
rnacentral:lncRNA from 1 species